rnacentral:lncRNA from 1 species
AGAUGCAUAUAUAGUAUUGCUCUUUAAAACUUAUCGUGUAUAAUUUUUUUUUUCACAAUUUUUCAUAUAACAUAAACAAAGUCCAAACAUUGUGUUACAAUAAAUAAACGUAAAAAAAAAAAAAAUUAAUCUCAUCAGAUACAAACUACAAAAAAAUGAAUCAAAAGAGAGAGAAAAUAAAAUAUAAAAAUAAUUUACGUAAUUUUACAAUUGUCAUACACGAAUGGAGAUAGAAUAGAAGCUUUAAUUCUAACCAAAUUAGAGUACAAAAAAAAUCUCUCUUACUUUUAUAAUAUCCUUCGUCACGUCCACCUAAGAGUCCACCUAAGAGCUACAAAUUUAAAAGUACCAAUGAAUUAGUACUUUUAAAAAUAUCUCAAUUCACUUCGAGUUGAACUAUAUUAUAUCUAAAAGUACUAAUUUAUUGGUACUUUUAAGUUCUAGCCUUUUGAUCUACGUAUGUUUUGAUAAUUAGUAACUUUUGAAUCAAACACUAUUUCACUUACUAUCACUAUUCUAGCCCUGCGUCAUCUUCAUCAAAGAGUUACGAACUUAAAAGCACUAAUAGAUUUGUGCUUUUAGAAAUAUUCUAACUCAAUUCUCUAAUUUUAUAUUAAUAACUAAAUUAUAACAACAACAACAAUAAUAAGAAAAAUAAUUAUAAAUACUUUCAUAAGCCAAAAAUAGCGAGGCCGUUGAUUUUUUGUCACGGCGAAUCGUAUUCGUCCAUCAAUCAUAGGAGUGCACAAAAGCUAUAAUCCAACGUGAAGCGUUUCCAUCAUAAAAAUGUAUGAUAUCAACUCCGCACCACCUAAAUAAAAAUCUCUCUCCCCACAUUUAUCGAUCCGCUCCAAAAUCCCAAGCACUCGACCACCACUUCAUUCCCACCACCACUCUCCUCCACUCAUCCCAACCCCAAUCCCCUCACCCCACUCCACUCCUCUUCUUCUCCCUCACCACCUCUCCCCAAUACCUCGUCCUCUUCCUCUUCCUCUUCCUCUUCCUCUUUCUCCUCCUCCGUUGCUCGCUCCAAGCCAUCGACAAUGGCCGCCGCCGCCGCCGCAUUCGCCGCGGCCGUGUCCCUCCCCUCCUCCUCCUCCAUAUCCUCCCCUUCUCCCUCGCUCCACAAGGUGAGACCUUUUCCACCCCGCCCCGCCAUUAGAGAGCGUGCUUAAAAAGCUCACUUUUUGUGGGUUUCUCGUUUCGUUCCUUGCUUCGUAGACGUGCUUGUUGUACCCGAGAGGCGUCGCAAAGGCCGCAGUCGGGAGAGGGGGCGGCGUUGCGCCGUUACGAGCUCAGGUGACCACCGAGGCUCCGGCGAAGGUUGAGAAGGUCUCGAAGAAGCAGGACGAGGGGCUCGUCACCAACAAGUUCAAGCCCAAGGAGCCCUUCAUCGGCCGCUGCCUCCUCAACACCAAGAUCACCGGCGACGACGCCCCCGGCGAGACAUGGCACAUGGUCUUCAGCACCGAUGGUCCAUCUCUCUUACUUUCUGCGGUUUCUGCGUGCUAGGGUUUGCUCAAUUUCGAGGAACAUGAGGUGGGUAUUUCGUUUUUUUUUUUUUUUUUUUUUUUGCAGGGCAGGUGCCCUACAGAGAGGGGCAAUCCAUUGGAGUGAUCCCUGAUGGGGUGGAUAAGAAUGGGAAGCCCCACAAGCUGAGAUUGUACUCCAUCGCCAGCAGCGCUCUCGGAGACUUCGGCGAUUCCAAAACCGUGAGUGAAUUGUGAAUAGAAUUACCGACGUUUCGAUUCAUUUCCUCGCAAAUUCGUAAAUUUUGAUUCUUGCAUAUGCUGGUAUGUCCUGAGGAGUGUGCCAUUUAAAUCCUUGUUAAGUUGCAUGCAAUUCGAAGAGCUUCACAGCAAACCACCGAUCAUGUUAGCACUGAUUUUAAGUUCUUUGUGAAUCAUGGAUUUAUCAUUUUGGUUGAUUACUUGCUGAUUGGCAUGCAUUUAACAUACUAAAAAGUAGGAAAAUUUUCACAUGCUUUUUAUUGGGUGGUUGAAGUUCAACUAUAUUGCUCUGAUAUUACUGUUAAAAGAAAACUGAUUGGAUUCAGCAUGCGGGGGGGUUUGGCGUUUCCGCAGGUUUCUCUCUGCGUGAAGCGGCUUGUUUAUACCAAUGAGCAGGGGGAGAUAGUGAAAGGAGUUUGCUCGAACUUCCUAUGUAAGAGCUUCAACUUCUCUCUCUCCCCUGUGAAUUACCGAAUGAUUCGGCGCAGAAUUUGAGAUUUUUUUUUUUUUUCCAUUUACGAGAGUACUCUUAAACUGGUUUCCUGCUGUUUGUUCCCCAGGUGAUCUCAAACCUGGUGCUGAUGUCAAGAUUACCGGACCAGUCGGAAAAGAAAUGCUUAUGCCAAAAGAUCCUAACGCAACUGUUAUAAUGGUAAAUCUCAUUCCCAUAAGUUUAGUUUUGCUUAUGGGUUUCACUCGACGACUUUAUUUAGCAUCUUAUCGAGAUAUGUUGGUUCAUGGCAGCUUGCGACAGGAACUGGGAUUGCUCCUUUCCGCGCAUUCUUGUGGAAAAUGUUCUUUGAGAAGCACGAGGAUUACAAGGUAAUGUUUUUCGCAUGUGCUUUGGUUUGCGGUGGAAUUCCUUUCAAAUGCAGAGCAAUAUCAAACGGAAUUUAUGUGUGAAACCAUGUGGCUAUUUGGUUUGCUACACAAUAACACAAAUUGACCUGGAAGAGAUAUUUAGUUUACGCCUCAAACUCCCACGCUUGAAUGUAUUGCCAUUUCUGAUCUUGUUUUUAGCGUGAUUAGUUUGCGAUGAAAUUAUGCAGUUCAAUGGACUAGCAUGGCUCUUCUUGGGAGUUCCUACAAGCAGCUCCUUGCUUUAUAAGGAGGUGAGCUAUCUCAUUUCCUCUGAGAGUCUCUAACUUUAUUUUAGUCAUCGCGCGAAAGGACAAAAAAAGAAGAAGUUUUCUCAACCUUUUUGUGAUGGGUUUUGUUUUGAAUCUCAGGAAUUUGAGAAGAUGGAGGAGAAGGCGCCGGACAAUUUCCGGCUCGACUUUGCAGUGAGCAGAGAGCAAACUAAUGCCAAAGGCGAGAAGAUGUACAUCCAGACUCGCAUGGCAGAGUAUGCCGAGGAAUUGUGGGAGCUACUCAAGAAGGACAAUACCUUUGUAUACAUGUGUGGACUAAAGGGGAUGGAGAAGGGUAUCGAUGACAUUAUGGUGUCUUUGGCCGCCAAAGACGGUAAUAAAAUUGUCGGGUUUAAUGAUAAAUUGUCGGAUUGUAUUAAACGCAAAGCGUAGUUUCCUACUUCAGAAACUCGACAACUUGACAUGCAGUAUUUAUGUUCCAAUGAACAGGUAUCGACUGGGCGACGUACAAGAAGGAACUAAAGAAAGGAGAACAGUGGAACGUGGAAGUGUAUUGAUCAUCCUUGCAUUUUUCAUGCAACCUGCGUCUCUCGUGGAAGGAGAUGUACAUGCUAGAAAAUUCGGUCCCCUCUAUGUAGAUAAGCAGUCUUUUCCUUUGAGCUUAUAUUACUUUCUUGUAAGAGGCUCAGUUACUGUAUCCUUCUUGGUUUUAUUCAAAAGGAAGCAUAAGAUGUAACAUCUUGUAAGCAAUCUCUACUCCAUUGAUAAACUUCCUCCUCCGGUUUUCUUAUGCCAACGUUUUUAUUUUUUUCAAGAAAAUAUCACGUCUGGUACGACCUGUUUGGCCUAACUUCUGGAAUAACUUCUGGAAAAGUGAUUUCCGUAUAAGUGAUUUUGAUUUGGAGAAUUGAUUUUAGUGAAAAGUGAUAGAGCGUUUGACUGAGUCUAGAUAAAAGUAAUUUUUUUAAAAUAAUUUUCUAAAACUGUUUGGUAAAAAAUUUUUGAUACUUACAUACAUUAAUAUUUUUGUUAAAUUUUAUGUUAAAAUAAUUUAAAAUUUGAAUGUAAAUUAAAAAAUUAAAUUUGAAUUAAAAGUAUACUUUUUAAAUUGCACAUUUGUACAAAAAAUAAAUUUUAAAUUUUAAAUUUGAAUUUUUUAAAUCUAAAUUUAAAUUUUUAAUUUUCCAAUCUGAAUUUAAAUUUUGAAUUUUAAAUUUUAAAUUUAAGAUUUGAAAUUGAAAAUUCAAAAAUUUAAAAUUUAAAAUUUAAUUUGAAAAUCUAAAUUUUUAAAAUUUAAACUUAAAUUUUCAAUUUUCAAUUAAAAUUUAAAAUUAAAAUUUAAAAAUUUAAAAUUUAAAUAAAAUUUAAAAUUUAAAAAUUAAAAUUAAAAUUUUAAAUUUAAAUUUUAAAUUUAAAUUUUAAAUUUAAAUGUUUAAAUCAAAUUUAAAUUUAAAUUUAAAUUUCAAAAAUUUAAAACUUCAAAUUCAGAUUUAAAAUUUAAAAUUUGAAAUUUGAAAUUUAAAACUAAAAUAAAAUUUUAAAUUUCAAAAUUUAAAAUUUAAAAUUUUAAAAUUUGAAAUUUAAAAUUAAAAUUUAAAAUUUGAAUUUUCUAAUUUGAAAAUUAAAAAUUGUAAUUUUAAGUUUUAAAUUUUAAAAUUUUAAAAUUUAAGUUUUAAAAUAUGAAAUGUCAAAAAAUAAAUUUUAUCUUAAAUUUAAAAUUUAAAAUUUUGAAUUUUAAAAUUUAAAAUGUGAGAUUAGAAACUUAAAUUUAAAAUUUAAAAAUCUAAAUUUAAAAUUUAAAAUUUGAAAAGUUGAGAUUUAAAAAUUCAGAUAUGAAUUUAAAAUUUCAAUAUUUAAAUUAAAUGUUAAUUUUUUUUACUUUGAAUCUAAAAUAAAAAUAAAAAUUUGAAGUUCGAAUCCAAAAUCAUAAUCAGUUUUGGAUAAGUAGUUUUUUUCUGUUUCUCAUUUAGGAGCCUUCAAAAUUAGUUUUCUGAUUCUAAAAAAUAAAAUCAGAUUUUUCAUCUGUUGUUUCCAAACGCUCUACUGAGCUCAAAAGUGAUUUUGGGCUCAGAAUUACUUCUGAGAAGUUAGACCAAACACCCCCUAAAUCUAUUUACUGGUUUGAUUGCUGUAAAAUGGAGUCACUAAAAUGAUUUUUUUUAACAAUCAGCACUCUUUUAGCUAAGUGCAUGUUGACUACUUACUAUAUGUCAGUAUUGUUGACAAGCAUUUUUACCUCCUUUUCUUCGGAACCAGUAUCUAUGUUUCUCAACAUUAUUGGCUUUCUUUGUUUUUUUUUAAAAAUUAUUAGGAGUAUCCUCUAGUCUAUGGAAAUAUUAUUAUUAUACUAAUAAUAAGAGACUUUUGAGAGUUAUCUUUUGGCUGUCCAACUUGAUCACCUCUUUCAGAUGGGAGGAAAGACUAAUUGGAUGACCGCAAUAGAAAGAUGGAAGUUAUAAAAAGAAACAAAAAAGCACUGCAGGAGAAAGCACUAUGACUCUUCCAUGUAAGAGGCAUGGAGAAGAUAGUUAUCAGCGCACACUAGGUUAUUCUUGAACACCAAAAACAACAAUGUGUACAUAUCAUGCUAGUAUUCAAGUGGCGAUAAAAAGAUGAAGCAUGAUGCUACUUAGCUACAACAAUGGCAGAGAAGUGCCAACCCUUGGUGAAAUUAAAAUUCAGAAUGCAAUUAAACUACAACAACAACAAAAGCUACCAGAUUAGAUUGCUACGUAAUACCAUCCAACACCGAAAAAGUUGAGGGCAUGACUGCAUCUGUAAACCCGCGGAUCGAGAGUUCCGGUAUAGAUGGAUUACUCUCUUGCAAUAGCUCGUGAUCGAUGAAGAUAACAAUCACCGUAAUGUCAUCAUGGAAGAAACGGCGGAUCCCCUUGUCCAGUUUCUUGAGAUCUGCAUAGCUCAUUUCCCUCUUCCGUGCAGCUUCUUCGAGAGCUCUUUUAACCAGUCUCCUAGCAAUUCCCUGUAAUAUGUAGCAUAAAAUAAGUUAGCUAGAAGUCGAUGGGAAAGGAGGUUAAUUACUGAAAUUAUCAAUAUAAGAGAGGGCGAGUUCUUACUGCUCUUGGGUAAUUAUGGACGAUCUCGACUGCUUGUUGGUUCGUCAGGUGCUCCCACAGUCCAUCAGAUGCAAAUAUUAAGAACUUAUCUUGUGGACAAAGCACUCGCGUGUAUAGGGACGGCUCUGCUGUCAGUACGGGGCGACGAAGAGGUUCCGACAGCCGGAAUCGCUGCACAGAUGGAUCCACGGAGAACUCCGGCUUCUUCAAGUAUGCAUCACCAAUAGAUCUUGAAACCUACGAAUGGAUCACAGAAAAGCUGCUAUAAGAAAGUCACCUUACAUCAAAUAUAUAACAUCAUAUUCCGACUUAAUAAUGAAUCUAUAGAAACAACUUAAACAGAUCUACGCAAACAAAAAGAGCAAAGGUGGAUGACUAUCUCACCUGAAUAAUGCCUUUGAUACGCCAUACCCCAUGCUUAAGUACCACAAUAUGUGAAUCAUCCGGAUGAAGAGAUCGAAGUUCUUGUCUCACUUCCUCCACACUAGCAUUAUGAUCUCUUGUCAGUUGCUCAGCGACAAUUUUGUUUGACCUACCCAAACAACCAAUGACAGCUCGAGAAUCUCCCACAUUAGCUACAUAGAGAGUUCCUCUCCAUAUAACACCAACCAGACAACAAGAUCCAACAGCAGCAAUCAAAGGCUUAAAUUCACGCAUUCUCCGAACAAGUGCCAGGAAGCCAUUCUCAGUUGCAGAAAAUGCAUUUCUAACAACAUCCUCAGAUAUCGUUCCACUUUCCCGAGCAAGCCCUAAAAAUUGGGAGAAGAGUGUCGGAUAGCGAAGGUGAAAGAAACACAGAACAUGUAAUAAUACCAAAAGAGACGAAGAGAGACAUGAGUUUAUAGUGUAGGUCGUGCAAAUUAAAAUCUGACACAUCUUGCUUGAUGCUGCAACAAAACAGAACAAGCUCAGAUUAAGCAAGCCAGUUUUGUCCUAUUAGUGAGACUAGGUCCUUUGGUUGAUUAUUCAUUUCUCCUCCGUUACCGGAACACAUACUAAUUCACCAUUUGUACCCCAUUUUCCAUCAAUGCAAGAGACAGACCCGGCGCCUCAAAAGCUACCUGAUAAGUAGGCACCAAGGUUUUUAGUGGCUCAACGGUUUAAGGUCAACGAGCAAGCGAGAGAUCCAGAGAUUUUCCUCGGAAUUGUAAACAAAAUGACUAAACCAAACGGAAAGUGAUUUAAGAAUAACAAGAACAUAAAAUCCGGAAAGUGAAUAUUAUCCAGCAGUAACAUAGGAAACCACACUUGAAACUUCUGUAAAGAUAGCUCAAAAUGAUCUACUGUUGCAACAUUAUUGACUACGUCUAUGGUAAAGCAACUGACUCCCACACUGGGGAAAACUAUCUAAUUAUUAAACAAAUUUCAAAUGAUAUGUCAAUUAUAGACGAAUUUAGAUGUACGUUAUAGCAAAAGAAAGGGGAAUCUGACAAACAAUUAAAAUGACCAGGAAAUAGGAAAGGCCAAACACCAAUCUAUUCUGUCUAAACCAAACACUCAAGCAGAAUAACUAGUCGACAAUCAUUCUUGAAUACUGUUUAAUUAUCAAACCCAUCAAAACGUUAAGAUAACGGAUUUUAUUCUUCAUGGACUACUUUAUGCUUCAGGUUAGUUGCAAAUUAUACAACAAUAAACAAACUCAAAACACAUGCUUCACAAGCAAAAAUUAUGUUUCAAGUACGUUGCAAACUACAGGGUUCAUUAUUCUAGUUGAUAAAGAAUAGUGUGUUUUCUCUCACCUGCAACUGCGGUUUUCUCAACCAUAAGUGCAAGUCUUCCCCAUCAAAUGCUUUGCAAGUAAUUACUUCCUCAAAAUAACAAGUCAGAUAAGUAUAACACUGAAGUGCAGGAUCUGACUAGGUUUACGUUUCCACAAUCUUGAUAUGAUAUGACCGAUACACGAGAUAUACAUACAUGUUGUUUUACUUUGAAAUCAAUCCUUCACAAGAGCUUUAAAUAAUUGUUUUCCAUCUCUCAUAUACAUCUUUCAUAUACUCUAUUAACACAAGUUAAUUCUAGAACAAACUUUUUCCAUUAACCCUGAUCAACUUAAUGACGAUGCAAUUAUUGGCUUAACUAAGAAAUCCAACGCUUUCCACACUAGCAAUUACAAAGAGUGCACACCUAUAAAGAAGCACUCCUCAAGGCGUUUAAGUUCCAUUCAAUCCUUCUGUCGCCUACAACAAUUCUUGAAAGGUUUCUUAGGCAUUUUAGAAAAAAUCCUCCACACUGCAUAAUGCUUGUUCUCACUUAUUUUUGGCAAAAGAGGAAAAAAAAAUCUGAGACUAGUUUAGAAUGUUUAGGAUGUUGGGAAACAGGAAGUCUAUCAUAUGGAACCAAAAGAGUAUUCCAGUUCAGAAGACAACAUAUUCUUGCAUGAAAACAAAAUGGUGUGAUAGAGGAAAUGGGAAUCUAGGGCAAACUCCCAAUUAUACCAAUUCAUGGCUGAUUUAUAAGCAUUUAGUCAAAUAGGCUAAUACAGACCUUGCAAUCAGUCCUAUGUUCAUCACCCUUUCAUCACCCCCAGUAUUUCCUUACUAGCCAUUCUCAUUAAUAACAACUCACCCGUAAAUUUCUGAAAAUAAAUUGCUACAAACAGAGACAGCGAUUUCUCCGUUUUAGUGGCUAUUUAAUAAAUUUUGAUAUCAAAAACCUAUAAAUCCCACACAUCUACCAAAAAUAUGUUUCCAAACACUUCACUUUCGGCCUUCUCUUGAUUUAUACAAAUAAAAGCACGUUUCAAAAGGCUAAUCAUCGUUAUGUACAAGAAAAAAAACAAGACAACAAAUUUAAGCAACCCCCCUCACUUCACAUACAACGUCGCUUAAGCUAUCAAAACAUCUCAAAAAAGGAACUGCGACAGAAUAUUUGAAACCCAUAAAAGCGAAAACCAAACCAAGAGAGAACAAAUGGACCUGUGCAGGAUGAAUUUAAAUAAAUACUGAAUAGCAAAGAUAAAAAAAUAUAUGUAUAUCACUUCGAUGCCGAGAAGAGAGGAACUUACGAACGAGGUGGAGGAAGAGGUGGUCGGAGAUGAAUCGCGAGGCGUCGGCGCCGCCGUGGCCGUCGUAGACCCCGACGAAGGUGGCGGCGACGCCGGUCUCGACCUGGCUGUGGUCCUCGAUCACCUCGUUGGCCUGCACGACGGCGAACGAGUACUCCCCCGCCGCGUGGCGCCCGAUGUCCCGCGACCACAGCAGCACGUCGUCUCCGCCGUCGUCGCCGCCCCCCUCAUCCUUGCUCAUACGCGCGUACCUCCGUACCGGGCCCAUGCACGCCGCCGCAAUCCUCGACAACCACGAAAACAUCCCUCAUUUCCCUCCACGCAAGAUCCCGUAGGGUUUCCGCACCGAGAUCGCCGCCGCGUCGCCGCCCACCCGAGACGACCCCGAUCCCCCGACGCGAACAGAGUUUUCGGACAGAAUUAGGGUUUCGAAUGUAGAAGCCACCGGAAAUUUAGGGUUAGGGUUUCGAUCGAGAGCGAGGAAGAGGUCGAUGUGGCGAGGGAGGCGCGCGAGUGGAGAAGGGGGAGAGAGAGAGAGAGAGAGAGAGAGAGGGAACCGAAGAAAGAGGACUCCGACAAAGGCUCAUUAAGCUACGGACAAGUCCCCGGACAUUUAUAACGGAUUUUGCGAAGUAAGUGCCACUGUGGUUGGACAAAUUUACGAAGAUGCCACCGACGGAAAACAGCGGAAAAAGUGUUGAGGGAAAAAGCGCGCACCGAGACGGGGGGGAGGUCGAGUUCCGGACCGUGAUAGGCGCGUUGACUUCCACUGUUCGAGAACGUUUAUUUAAAACCUUUUUCUUGGCAUUUUUUUAUUUUUAAUAUUAAUUAUUAAGCUUUACUAAUCGUUCCUAGAGUAAGUGAUAAAGAACUUAGUGAUUGAUAUUCGAGACCCAAAUUCGUAUUUUUAUUCAUUUAUAUUUUCAGCUAAAUUUAUUUCUAAAUAAAAUAAAUGAAACGAAUACUGUGCUAUCUAUUUUUCAAAAAAAAAAAAUAAUUAUUAAGUUUUGUAUCAUUGUAUGUGUUAUUUUCUCAAAUCUUUGUUUCCUACUUAUGAAAAUAAACUUCCUCGAAUAAUUUCAACGCGCAUGAAUGGUUUUUUUUUUUUUUUUUUACUGUUCCUGUUUAGAUUUUUCUCUUAUUGUUAUUUCUUAAGAGUUGUAUUAUAUUUCUCAAAUUAAAAAGAACCUCUUAAGCCACCUCGAGCAAAAGUGCAUGCUCUUAGUAAUCCUCCAAUAAAAAAUUAAAAGCCAAUUGUAGCAUAGAACAAAUGAUAAUCAAUUAAUAAUACUCUUCAGGAGCCCGAGUUGCCCCACUCUUGUAGCCUAGUUCAUCUUAUUAUUGAAUGAAGCAAGUAGCGUGCUACAUUUAUCUCAAAAAAAAUUAAUAAUACUCUUCAGUCAUGCCAUUUCAUUUUUUAUCCAAAAAACUGAAGCCAUUACAUAUUAUUUCAGGUUACGCACGACUUAGCUAAAAAGAAAAAGAAAAUAUAAGAGGACCUGCAAAAUAGUUCUUUCGUUCAGUACCUUCGUGUAUUUGCAUUAAAUAGAAAGAUAUUAAACAUAUAUGUUAGGAGAAUGGUGAUUUGAACCUAGUAAUUCAAAUUUUAGAUCUUCUGAAAUUUUUUUUUUUUUGAUUAAACAGGAAUUUACCCUAUUUGAAAAGGUACAAAGACCAGGAGAGAAGGGAAGGAAAAGAGGUGGAAGGAGUAUCCGAUUACAAAUAAAAAGCCCCAGACACGAAUCAAUCAGCACACAUGGAUAAUUUAUAAAUUAAUAUAAAUUAAUAUAAAACAAUAAUUUUAGAUCUUCUUAUUUGAUACUAUAUAAAUUAAUAUAAACAAUAAUUUUUUCGAAUAACUUAACGUACCAAAUAAUGGUAUAUUUAUAUUUAUAUAUUUCAACAUAUGGCCCUCCUGAAAUAUAAAAAUAAAAUUUUCAAUUGAGGAAAGGAUUUGCUAAAAACAUUUCUUUUUCUAUGUAUUCCCAUGACUCCAAAAUUGCUAAUUGAUCAGAUAUUUAUUUACCUAAUAGUAUCUCAGCAAUAACACACCUAGAGUGAGUUAUAUAGCAUUUUGCUACAAAUAUAAUAGGUAAAAAUAAACAUAGGGUUAAAUCUAACGGUGGAAAAUUCGAUAGCACCAAAUUCUUGGUGCUAUCGAUAGUACCCCAACCGGAUUCUAAAAAACUAGGCUGAAAUACUAUCAAUAGCACCAAGCUAUUGGUGCUAUUGAUUUUUUAGCUCUUGAAUUGAGAAAUAGAUGGUUAGGAUGAUGUGGGCCCUCUAGGGUUAAGUGAGUGGUUGGUUGAAUAGUAUAAUCUAACGGGUAAAAAUAAUCAUAGAGUUAAAUCUAACGGUAGAAAACUCGAUAGCACCAAAUUCUUGGUGCUAUCGAUAGUACCCCAGCCGGACUCCUAGCUAAAUCUAUAAAGAUAAACAAUAUAUUCAAAUUUUGAAGUCAAUAUAUUGUUUACUGAUGGAAAUUAAACAAAUUAAAAUAUUGGACAGUAAAAUUAAAAUUUUAAAAUAUUAGGCAAUCGGCUGAAAAUGAUCCACUUCUCAAAUUAAUUCUAUACCUUUUUAAAUUAAUUAUAUAUUUAAAUAUAGAGUCCGGCUUGGGUACUAUCGAUAGCACCAAGAAUUUGGUGCUAUCGAGUUUUCCACCGUUAGAUUUAACCCUAUAAUUAUUUUUAUCCGUUAGAUUAUACUAUUCAACCAACUACUUACUCAACCCUGGGGGGCCCACAUCAUCCUAACCAUCCAUUUCGCAAUCCAAGGGCUAAAAAAUCAAUAGCACCAAUAGCUUGGUGCUAUUGAUAGUAUUACAGCCUAGUUCUUUAGCUAGGAGUCCGGCUGGGGUACUAUCGAUAGCACCAAGAAUUUUAAAAUGCUGGAUAGCUAAUUCAAAAUGAUUCAUAAUACACGUAAGUUUUGUAUAUUUUUAUCUAUAUAUAUAUUAUCAUAAAGAGUUUACGGGACCGGUAGACACGCAUUAAAAAUAUUCAUCAAAUUACCGNUUUUGAAUUAUUCACUCAACUUCAAAGUUUAAUUUUUUUAAAAAAAAUAGAUUUAAAAUUUAGACAUUAUUUCAAAAUUUUGAUGUAAAAUUUCAAUAUUUAAUUUGAAUUUAAAUUAAUAUAUUAUAAGAUAAUGUUAAUAUAUUAAUUUGAUUACGUUUUUUAUAUCUACCUGAACCAAACACCGACAAUGGGAAUGAUUUAUUCCGAUUCCGAUUCUGGGGAUGAACCAAACGGAAUUAAGUAAUGGAUCAUUCCGAUUCCGAUUCCACCUUAUUUUGAUUCCGAUUCCGAUUCCGACUCCGACUUUGAACCAAACACGCCCAUAGAGUGAGUUAUAUAGCAUUUUGCUACAAAUAUAACGGGUAAAAAUAAAUAUAGGGUUAAAUCUAACGGUGGAAAACUCGAUAGCACCAAAUUCUUGGUGCUAUCGAUAGUACCCCAACCGAACUCUAAAAAACUAGGCUGAAAAACUAUCAAUAGCACCAAGCUAUUGGUGCUAUUGAUUUUUUAGCUCUUGAAUUGAGAAAUAGAUGGUUAGGAUGAUGUGGGCCCCCUAGGGUUGAGUGAGUGGUUGGUUGAAUAGUAUAAUCUAACGGGUAAAAAUAAUCAUAGAGUUAAAUCUAACGGUAGAAAACUCGAUAGCACCAAAUUUUUGGUGCUAUCGAUAGUACCCCAGCCGGACUCCUAGCUAGAUAAACAAUAUAUUCAAAUUUUGAAGUCAAUAUAUUGUUUACUGAUGGAAAUUAAACAAAUUAAAAUAUUGGACAAUAAAAUUAAAAUUUUAAAAUAUUAGGCAAUCGGCUGAAAAUGAUCCACUUCUCAAAUUAAUUCUAUACCUUUUUAAAUUAAUUAUAUAUUUAUAUAUAGAGUCCGGCUGGGGUACUAUCGAUAGGACCAAGAAUUUGGUGCUGUCGAGUUUUCCACCGUUAGAUUUAACUCUAUAAUUAUUUUUACCCGUCAGAUUAUACUAUUCAACCAACUACUUACUCAGCCCUGGGGGGCCCACAUCAUCCUAACCAUCCAUUUCGCAAUCCAAGAGCUAAAAAAUCAAUAGCACCAGCACCAAUAAGUUGGUGCUAUUGAUAGUAUUACAGUCUAGUUCUUUAGCUAGGAGUCCGGCUGGGGUACUAUCGAUAGCACCAAGAAUUUUAAAAUGCUGGAUAGCUAAUUCAAAAUGAUUCAUAAAACACAUAAGUUUUGUACAUUUUUAUCUAUAUAUAUUAUCAUAAAGAGUUUACGGGACCGGUAGACACGCAUUAAAAAUAUUCAUCAAAUUACCGACUAUUCCUAGUAUGAGUAGCAAAAGGCUUGGUAGUUGGUACCUGAGGUCCCAAGUUCGAAUUCUAAUUGAUUCAUAUUUCCAACUAAAUUUAUUUCUAAAUGAAAUAAAUGAAGUGAAUAGUAUAUACUACCUGCCUCUCUCAAAAAAAAAAAAAAAAAAAAAUCACCAAAUUAAAUAAAUUAUUAAAAGAUCGGCAGAAGUCAGAUAGGAGGGUUGUUACUGGAAAGAUCAGUCGAGCGUUCGGGGCACUCGAAACCUGUGAGAAAGAGAGAAAGAAAGAAAGAAAGAAAGAAAGAAAGAAAAGCUUUGACCAGCUACAUGGGCGGAGGGGGCCACGAGGAUACGAGCGUGGUGUUUUUAAUGCACACCUACCGUGCAACCAACGAUAUCAUCAUCGAUAUGCCUUGCCUUACAUAUAUGAGAGCUCUGAUGCUCUGUACACUGUGGAUCCAAAAUAUGAUAUGAUGAUCACUACGCGUGCAAUCAUCAUCGUUAUCUUCUAUUCACCCAAAAAACAAGAAAAAGAAAAAAAGAGAAUUGAUAUUGUCAAAAUAAUUUUUUGCUAUUACCGGAACCAAAUACCCUGAACUCCUAAAAGUACCGUAGGUAGAGACGAUAGAUUUCGUUUGGUAUUUGCCAAGCUCAGCUUUGACAAUAUCAAUUUUCUUAAAAGAGACGACUAGAUUUUUAGCAAGUGUUGCAAAAUAUUUAAGUUGAAAUCCUUCGAUUUUUCUAUUAUAAAGUAACAUAUAAAUCCAUACCUUUUCUACAAGGAAAAAAUAAAAAAGGUAAGUUCAAGAUUUUCUUAAUUUUCAAACAAACAUAAAGAUGUAAAGUUUACAAACAGGCCGUCGUGCAUCAGCGCAUUUAAAGCCAUAUAUAACUUGAGAGGAGAUGAACCAUACGUUUAGCCAAAAGAAGCAUCAAGUACCAUGUUUUUUUUUAUUAGUGGUUAGGAUUAACUAUGACAUAGCCAACUAGCUAGAUGGACAAUUAAUCAGCUCAAAGGAUCAAUGGUUUUCCAACAAGUGCAAUAGCAUCCACCUUGUAUUGUUAAAGGCACCCAAUUUUGAUUGUCAUAGAUAAUAAGCUCAUAUUACUUAAUCCUCCUAGCUGUGGGUGAGUGAUUUAGGUUGCAACACAACAAUUUCUCAACAUAAAAUAGAGGCUAUUACGGAGUUUUUGCGGCUCUCAUCUUAUCCUAACUCCUUAUCUCCACUGGCCUUUCUAAUAAGAUUUGGUGAGUAAGAGUGCGAUGAGAGAAACAGAGGAUCUCGUGAGUGAAGAGGUUGACGUGUAUCCACUAAAGAACAGUGUCCUUGUAAUUGUCACGUUUAACUCUUCUUUGUAGAAGUGCUGCUCCUGAAACUUUUCAAGUUGAUGAUGAAAUGAGGAUGCUCUUUUCCUUUGAUAACUAAAGCGAAAAGAUAAGCGCCUUGCGACCAAGAACAAGAGGUUUGUUUGGCACCACUAGUAAAUCCAUCAAUUAGCGCACUUUUUGCACUUUUUUGUACCCUUUUUUUGCACUUAUUGUCGCACUUUUUCUACCUCUUCUCUCUCUUCUCUAUAUCCAGAAGAACCAGAACUAUCCAUUUUCAACCGCACAAAAUGUAAAUUGUUCGUAUCGAAGACCAAUAAUCCUCACAACUAACUUUAUAGCAUAGUGGAUAGGAAAUGAUAAAAUCGGAUUGCGGUAAAUUAAAAGUUGCAAAAAGUUGUAGCAAAAUAGUGUUGGUGUGAGUACAUUAAAAUUUAAUACUUUCCUAUUACUCCCACAAUCGCAACAAAGAAGAAGAUGAAGAAGAAAAUGACGGGCUACCACCUACUAGUAUUGCAUAUGAAUUUUCUUCGCAUUAGGUUCGCUGAAUCUGUUUUGGUGACAGUGAUUUGAAAGUUCUGUUAACUUUAGUGCUCCCAAACUAGGCCUUACUGAGAUCAAAGAUUAAAUUUGAAAGAGCUACUGCUCAUUAUAGUCUGAAAGUUUCCUAGGAUUGUUUUUUUUUUUUUUUUCUUGAAACAAAUGUAGUAUGUUGUCUGUUUUGUUUAUUUUUAAAAAAAUAAAUUUAAUUGAAAAUAUAAAUUAAUUAAAAUUCGAACUUGUGAUCUCGAAUACUAACUAUCAAGUCGUUUACCGCUUACGCUAGCUAUAAACGGUCAGUAGUUUUCUAGGAUUGUUGAUCAUGCCUAUUAUGCUGGUCCCUGGGGGCUAUAUUUGAAACGGAUGAAAAAUAUCAAGAAAAAGUUUUCUUGAAGUACUUCCUUUCGCCAGAAGUCUUCAAUUGAAAGAAUCCAACUUUCACUCAUCUGACGAAGUAGCAACGCAUGAAACUCAGACAGAUCAAGCAUUUAAUUUUUUAUUAGGGUAACUACAUAUGACUCUAUGUAAAGACAUCAAAUAACAAAUAUAUUUCUACAAAACUUANGCCACAGGGCAGGAUGCUGGCCCAUUUAAGCCAACAAUCCUCCCUCCAGCACCUGCACACAUUUGCAGCAUGCAGGAAUCGAACCCGUGACCUCUAGCUCUGAUACCACUUGUCGGAUCGUUGGCGCUAACCAUUAAUUCCAAAAGCUCGAGCUGUUAGAAAUACGCAACCAAUUUACUUAAGGCGUACAGAAACAAUGCCCACGGGUCUCAAUUGUGACUCGGCCCACCUGGCCUCACGCCACUUCGAACAUAACUCGGCCCAACCCAGCCUCACGCCAUUUCGAACAUGACUCGGCCCACAUGGCCUCCCGCCACAGGGCAGGAUGCUGGCCCAUUUAAGCCAACAGUAGCAACGCAUGAAACUCAGACAGAUCAAGCAUUUAAUUUUUUAUUAGGGUAACUACAUAUGACUCUAUGUAAAGACAUCAAAUAACAAAUAUAUUUCUACAAAAUUAAGUUAUCAAAUUUAUUUCUCCAAAAAUUCUUCCAUCUACAAGUAAUUUUGAUAAUCAUGAGUUUAAAAAGCUAACCACAGUUAGCUAAGAGGUAAAAUAAUUUUUUAUCUCCUAUAUGUAUAAUUUGUAUUUUAAUGUAGAGUCUCAUCAUCUUUCUCGUCCCUUUAUUUUUAUUCAUAGUGACAACGAGACCUACGGCAGCGGCGACGUCAAAGGUGAGACCCUCGAUCGCGAUAAAAAUAAGAUACGCUACAUGUGCCGCAAGGAAGGCGAAGAGAGAGAAAAAGAAAAAUAGCUUUUACGGACCCAUCGCUAAAAAAAUUAAUGAUGAAUCAAACGGGAAGAUCAUAUACGAACUAACGGAAACUUUUGAAAUGAUAUAUUUAUAAAUCAGAGAAUUUUUUUAAAAAUAAAUCUGAUAACUUAAGUUUUGUAGGCCGUAUUUGCUAUUUCAUAUCUUGUAGCAACCUGUAUAAAAUUAAUCUCUCUUUUUAGAGACUGCUCAUAGUUUGCUCAGCGCUACACCCACACAAAAGUUAUUUCUUGGCUUUCUUGCACGGCAGAAACGAGCGACUUUGCCCGGUGGCUGUCUGAUGUUGAGUUCAUUGAGCUCGCCGACUGCGGGCCUGCGGCCUAAAGCGGCCUGAAACUUCUUUCCAGGCCGUAAUUCUUAGGUCCGUUUGGUCCGGUCCAACCCGGCUCCCCCACGACCUUCUUCUCAAUCCUCACGUGAGUGCCACGUGUACGAUGCCACGACAAGCGACCGUUGGCGCCAAAAGGGAGUGGGUCGCCGCCUCCGCGCUACUUGAAUAAAAUCGCUCAUUUUAAAAUUUUUUUUUUAAAAAAAAACUUGCUUGGCCGGCCGAAGAGCCGGACGAUUUUGUUCCCCUUCUCCCAUUUGUCACCCUCGCUGACUCCUCUCUCUCUCUCUCUCUCUCUCUGUCGUCCUCAUCAAUUGUGCUAAUGUCCUCGUCUACUAAGUCACUCCCGUCCCUCCACCUCUUCCACUCUCCUCCCCACAAUCCCCUCAAAACCCUAGAAACCCACCCUAGGGUCCUUGCAAUGGCUUCCUAGCUAAGAUUCUUGAAUAUUCUUGAUUUUGUUGAGCUCGUCGGGGCAUGGCGUCGCUGGAGGAGCUUCUUGCGAAGGAAGGGUUCAAGAAGGGGAAGGCGAAGCAGGGGCUGAGGGGAUCGGCCGCGCCGAGGGCGGUGAGUAUGCCUCUUUACCCCGAUCGCGGUCAGAAUCUUUUGGAUCGUAAUACGGAGUCUAGGUUUCAGAAGAAUAGGGCAAGAUCUGGUGCCUUUGAUAGGGGGACGCGAUCCGGUUGGUCGGAGAAUGGAGGAGGUAGAGGCGGGAGGCAGAAGUAUGGCCCGGUGCGAGGGGAGAGCUCCGUUGAUAGCUACGAUGAGGAAUUCCUCGAGAUUGAGGGUUUUGAAACUGGCGGAUCGAAUCAGUCUCGAGAAGUUAAAAGUUUUAAUGGAAGGUCACGUAAUUCUCGUUUAAAUAGUGUUGACGAGGCAGAGAAGUAUAAAGCCGACACAAUUGUUAAGCCCAAGGUUAGGAUGGGUAGAAACCCUAAGCAAGAAGGUCCUGGAAAUCUUAGAUGCAAGGAGGCCGACUUGCAUGAUACGAUUUGUGAUGAAAAGCUUCAGAAAAGAAAUAUUACAAACAUUCAGAUGCAACCAAGCUUUAAUUAUGACGUUCGGAGUAGAAAGGAUGAUGAACCGACCCUUGAUGAGGCUGCAAUCUGGGCUGUUGUCUCGAUAUUGACUAGUUAUAUAAAGCUAUACUUUAAAGAUGGAAACUUCCGUGCAUCAAUCCGUCACAGCUGUGCUGCUUGCCUAGGCCUUGGUGCAACUAAACAGAAACAACAAAAGGAUCAUAAUGGAGCAGUCGCUGACCUAAAGGAAGCGAUUCAAACUGUUGAAAGAGUAGUUAAAGAUAAUUUGGAUUCGGUUGAAGUUACAAAAGCUUUUAAGAAACUAACUGUUAUCUCGGGAUUGAGUUCAACAGAUAGAAAGGAUGGAUUUGCAUUUGGAAGUCUUGAUUCAUAUCUGGCUGCGUGCGCCCAUCUCUACCUUAGUGUAAUUUAUAAGCUUCAGAAGAAAGAUAAGCUUUCGGCUAAGCAUCUUCUUCAGGUCUUUUGUAGUUCACCGUACCAGGCGCGGACUAAUCUUCUCCCGGCCUUGUGGGACCGUCUUUUCCUUCCUAAUCUAUCUCAUUUAAAGUCAUGGUAUGAGGAAGAAGUCAAGUCUAUAGCACAAUCACCCAUGGGAGAGAAGAAGACAAAGCUUCUCGUCAAAAUGUACAAUGAUGUAUUGGACAAGGGUACUCAUGCUUUUGCUACUUAUUACAAAGAGUGGCUUAUAGAGGAGACUGAAGCUCCAGCACUUCCGUCUAUUCAUGUCCCUUUUACAUCUUAUCAUGGAAUUUCACAAGAGUCAAAUGUUCCCACUGAUUCUGAUGAAGGUUGUAGUCCUGGCAGUUCUGUUACCACUCAGCUGACGAUAAGCAAUAGCUUGUAUCUAUCUUCUUCGAGCCAAUCAAAGAAUUCGGAUGCAGCUGAUAGAAUAGAAAGUAAAGAUGAAGAGGAGGAGAUUGAUGAAGAGCAACUAACCAUUCAUUCCGACAAUCUCAAUCAAUACUAUGAGGAAACCAGGAUUUCCUCUCAAAAGUUCGGGAUUCAAAACCGUAUUAUAGGGCAGAUACAAGAACAUCACAACCCUUUCUUGAAGGACAGUUCUAUUGCCACUCAGCUGAUGAUCAGUGAUAGCUUGUAUCUAUCUUCUUCCAGCCAAUCAAAGAAUUUGGAUCCAGCUGAUGCAACAGAAAGUAGAGAUGAGGAAGAGGAGAUUGAUGAAGAGCAAUUAAUCACUCAUUCCAACAACCGCAAUCAAGACUAUGAGGAAACCAAGAUUUCCUCUCGCAAGUUCGGGAUUCAAAACCAUAUAGUAGGACAAACACAAGAAGAUCAUAAACCUUUCGUGAAGGAGCUAAAUUCAUCUAUUAAUGUAAGUGCUCUUAUUCUUCACUUGUUUGUUUUGCGCUUUCUCUCCAACUUGUACAUAUCUUCUUUUUUUUUGGGGGNAGAAAGUUGUCGAACAUAUUAAGUUCUAAGGAGAAGAAAGAACUCAUCAGUUGUGAGCAAGUAGGUCGCAUGGGCCUGUUCUAUAUUUUGAGAAAUGCUGUAUGUGCAACCUUCUAUGCUUAGUGCUGCUGUAUAGGUUCUGACAAUCAGUGUCACACUCAUAUGCUUGGGGAUUUGGUGGUUCACAUACUCCAAAGAAAUUUCGGAAGGUGUUUCGUAAUUCAAAUUGUCCCGGAAUUGAAUACGGAUAUAUGUAUUUGCAAAUUCUUGUGUGUGUGCACGCGCAUGCGUGUGUGUGUUCAUUCAGAUACACUUCAUUUUGUCCACCUAUGAUUAAGGUUCUCAUUCUUGAUCAGACAAAUCUGGUCUGCAGUAUUGUUUUCUUUCCAGUUUCUUUAUAGUUAAACAUCCUUUGAUUUUCAGUACCAAUCUCAUCUUUUCCUUUCUCAAACUCAAAUGUUCUUCAGGUGAAUAACUUCUGCAUGUGUAUAUGAUGUAUAUCACUUGAUUUCCCUUUUUAUCUUGAUUGUUUUUCUAUCUUACUAUGCAGGCUGAAGAAAGUGAGCUUUACCUUAAAAAAUUAGCACAGGCAGUUUUCAAACCACAGGUCACUGAUUUUUUUUGUUAUGAUAAUGAAUAUAGUAUGUACUAUGAUGAUAUUUCUUGUUUAGUGCAGUCGACAAAAAAACUAUUCUUGGAAUUUAAAAUUAGCCAUUGUACUUAAAUCAGUUUACUCUGAGUGGUAAACCCAUUGUGGUCUUUUUAUUUUUGCAGCUUAGUACUGUAUCUGAGCUGACAAAAACUAGGACAUUUGCUGAGAUUGCUGAUACAGAGGUAUUGGCAGUUAGUUUGAGGUAGUUCUUUUUGUUUGUGAAUGAACUUCACUAUACUUAUUUAAGCAUCCGUAACCAAGCUUAACAGUAACUGAAGUUUUGUUUCUCAGCGCAGAGUCAUUUACAAAUGACAAAGAUGCUGAUGAAGGGUCCUUUUUCUCUGCUACUCCACAAGAUUUUGUCUGCCCUUUAACAGGGCAGGUCUUUGAAGAUCCUGUGACAUUGGAGACAGGACAAACCUUUGAGCAAGCAGCUAUAAAAGAAUGGUUCAAUCGCGGCAAUACAACAUGCCCAGUUAGUGGGCAGGAACUUGAAUGUUUGUUGGUCCCAGAAACUAAUUUGGUAUUGAAGCACUUGAUUGCUAGUUGGAAAUCCGAACAUUUUAAAAAUCUGCUAGGUAUUGCUGUGCAAAUAGCUGGGUGUGUGAUAACACAAGAUCGUGAAUCAAAAAAUGAGUUAGUUUUGUCCAUAAUAGAGCAACUUCUUGGGGGUUUAAGCUUGGAGGAACAACUUGAAAAUGCAAGACACCUUAUGGCUUUGGGUGGCUUAGAUUUUCUUUUACGCAGGUUUGAAUUAGCAAACGUGGAUGAGAAAACACGCAUAGUUGGACUUCUGUUAUGCUGUAUCAAGGCAGAUGGUUGUUGCAGGAACUACCUGGCGGUGAAACUAAACAGUGUGUGUAUCCUUGAGCUUCUGCACAGUAAGCAGGUCAAUGCACGAACAAACAUAGUGUUGCUGCUGACUGAACUACUCUACCUGAAAAGGUUUGUUUAGCGUGCAUCGACCAACGUCUUUUUGUUGUUUAACUAUGUGUUUUUUUGUUAGUCUUGCAACAUUUUAUGUUUUCGUUACGAAAUUGGCAAAAGUUGUUUCCCUUGCUCCAUAGUGGUGUCUCUUUGAAGCAGCCAGGAAACUUUCUACCUGUGUAUUUUUCUUAGGGACAAAUGUGCACAAACCUGCAAACAUGCAACUGGAAGCCUUUUUUUUUCACUCUGAUCCAACUGUGUGUUCAGCUAUUUUCAGAAUUAAAGAAAUAAGGUUACCUAGUUUUCAACUUUCAGCUACUGAACCUAGUAACAGUAGUUCAGGAAAGAAAUCUUACAAUAAUUCAUAAUAUUCCAUGUUGAUGGCAUCGUUUUUUUAACGAUGCUUUUGCUGUUCAGUCAAAGUCAAAAAUCUUCUCCCAACUUUGUCCUCAAAUUUGAUGACAUUAAGGCAUCAAGCCUUGAAAGUUGUCAAAGCAACAUAGAAUGAGUUGUACAUUUACAUGUUAUUUCUUUUAUUUUCAACUUCUCAGAAGGGCAACGCUCACAUUGUUCUUAAGUGGUUUGCACACGGAGGCAAUUGUGAAUACAAUGCAUGUCCUGCUUGUGUAUCUUCAUAGUUCCCCACCAGAAGAAAGAGCUCAGGCUGCUGUUCUCCUUUUACACUUUGAUCUGAUGGUAUUGAUCAGAAUUCUCAUCCUGUUUUACAUUGUUCAACUCCGCUUUUCUUCUAAAACUGCAUAAAUAGUUACUGCCACUCUUCUAGGAAAGCUAUUGUUGAAUCUGUUACACAGAGUAACCGUAUUCUAAACCAGAAAUUUGUCAAAAUAGUAGAACUUUGUUUAAGGGAGCUAUAAUGAUAUAUUAGACACCAAAAAUUCCAGACAUCUUUGAUGACUGCAUUGAGCGGUGUAUGCCGUAAAUCUAAGCCAAGCAUUUGAGAGUCCAUGCUUAAGUCAAGGACUCCAAAUAGUUGCUUAAUUUUUUGUCAAACUGGAAGCUUUCACAAUUAAGAUGGUCGACCAGAAUUCUCCUGAAAAGGGUCGUUGUCUUGUGCAAUUCUUUUGCUAUGCUUCUGCGUUGUGCCUUUUUUUUGUUCAAUGGAUAAGAUGGUUCUGUAGUUUUUAUUAGUCUUAGCAGGAAAGCAUCAACUGGCUUCCUUUUCCCUGAAACCUGAAAGGGUAAAGCAUAAAUUUUUUCCUCUCUAAGAUAAGUUUCUUAUCCAAGUCAUCCAAUUUGGUUUAUUUGUUCCACAAAUAUCAUCAAGAUGUAAUUUUGGUUUUUUCGCCUUACAUAAAUCAUAUUUCUGCCGUUAUUCCAUGCUAGGGUUAAUUUUCUGUUGGGUAAGAUUUUAUGAUGACUACCAAUGAUGAUCUCUUUUUGUUCUUUUUUAGAGUUAAAUAUGUUAUUUCAAAACAAGAAAUACUUAAUGAAGUAUCUUGUUAGUUGCUAUGCAAUUGCUUUUUAAUAAUUUUGCCUGGAUUGCGUAGACUUUUGAGACAAUUGUUUAACAGGUAGAUUCCCGUAAGUAUAGCAUAUACAGAGAAGAGGCCAUUAAUAGCAUUACACUAUCACUUAAUGGCUGCUUAUCAGACAAGAAUGUGAUACCAAACUCUCGGAAAGCGCUUCUGAUGUUAGGGGGGCACUUCUCUUCUUCUGGAGAUAUAUUGACAGAGGCUUGGAUGCUGCAACAAGCAGGAUUCAUUGAUGGUCCUAGUGCCGAAUAUAUUGAUAAUGACGAGGAGAUUGAUGAAAGUGUGCUGGUAUGCCAGUUUCUGGUCAUUCCUUUUAUAUAUAUUUUACUUCCGUCAUCAAUGUUCUUGAUUUGUACGGAAUUGAUUUUUUUUUUUUUUUUUAAGCAAGGAAUUUCUUAAUUUGUAGCUACUAUCAUAGAAGUCUCACACUGGGCUACUAUCAAGGCAUACAUGUCCAUAUUGUAUAUAUCUAUAUAAGAUUCGCAUAUGCUAUGGUGUGCUUGCUUUUCAUGAUUUACCAUGUUUAGCGUGCUCAUCUGCUAAUGUGUUCCCACUCCUUUCAUACUUGUUUUCUCCUGUGCACCUAGCAUUCUGAUGUCUUUGGGCUUCUCUAUUCUACAGGCUUCUAACUUCGACCAUGACAAUAGCCAUAGUGCCUUCAUUGGAUUUGUUUCUCAUAUGUUAUGAUUAAACACAAGUUGUUGCAUUCACUAAAAUUGAAAAACGAGUAAUGAAUUUACCGUCUAUCAUGUUUGUUAUCUGAUGGUGUUUUCUGUAUUAUCAUAUGCUUCUUUUAGUUUUUGAAACUUCUGGGUUUGCUGAUUCCAGAACGAAGAAACAUCAGAAAAGGAGAAGUGGCUAAAUAAUGUCACCAUGGCACUUCUUGGUAAUGCAAGGCGAUCGUUCCUUGAGGCUCUCUCCAAAUGUUUAGAUUCUGGGAAUGUGGAGCUAGUAAGGGCAUGCCUGACCACAGUGGCAUGGCUUAGCCAUUCACUUGUAUCACUUUCUACCAGUGAAAUUCAGCUCUUUGCGUUCUCCAUUCUCAUUCCUCGAUUAAAAGAAUGUUUGGGGAACAGCAUGGAAGUAGAGAACAGAGUACUCGCUUGUAUUUCGCUACUCAAUUUCAGCAAUAUUCCAGGUAAGUUAGUUUAAGUUUAAUCCUAAGGGAGGGGUAGGAAAAAAAAAAAACCUCUGGAUGUCCUUUUAUCUCUAUAUAGACUGUUAAUAUGCAAAUAAGAUUUAUCCAUGAUAAAAGACAUAAUAAUUGACAUAAUUCCAGCCAUAUAGGAUAUCAUCGUGCCUACCUUUUGAUCUUUGAGUUCCUCUUUCAUCUUUCCGUCUCUUCAUUUGAUCCUUCCUGCUAAACCAAAUUGGUAAUUUGUAUUAGAUUGUAAAUGUAUUUUUCUAUCUUGCUUUUUUGGGUUAAAUUCGUCGUUGUCUCAGAAUAUAGUAUGUCAGUCCUGUUUGUCCCUGAUGUCGAUGGAAGUGUUCAACCAGAAGCACUUCCCCCAGAAUUGGUUCUGAGUGAAGCUCCAAUUUGGAGCUCACAUGGAAUGUGUCAAAACUGAAUUUCACGGGUAAAAGCAGCAGCAGCAGCAGCAGCAGCUAGGCAUCUUUGCUUGUCAAACAAAGGGAAAUGCUCAAACUGCCGCGCUCUAUAUCCAAAUGUUAUAUAAAUGAGAGAUCAGAAUUUGUUUAGUUUUUUUUUCUCUUUUUGACCAUCUUAUUUGCAGAGUGCAGGGUCUUGCUAAAGUCAUUGGCAAAGGAGAUGCGCCAUCAUUUGAAGGAGCUCAGAGAACUAACUUGGACGGCGAAGCGGCUUUAUACAACAAUAUUUGGAUGAAUAUAUUUGUAAGCCCCAAAGGUUGCAAAAACCACCUCCCAUUUCUCGCGAGCUUUGAUUCUGCAGGUGUAACAGCUAACUGGAGAAAGUACCGGAUCAGAAAAACUUAAAUAAAUAAAUAAAUAAGUACAACGGGUAAGAUAUAUGAAUAUUUCCUGUACAUUCUAAUGUUGUAGCUUGCCCUGUAGUUUUUAAACUUAAAACCCUUAGUUCUUGAAAACGUAUCCUAGUUAUUUAUAAAUUAGUUAUUUUAUUUUACAAAGUAAAGUAGUAAUUUGUGUAAACAAAUUUAAUUUUCACAAUCCACGAAAGUUCAAAAAAAAAACAAAAAAAAAAAAAAAAAAAAAAAAAAAACUGUUACUAGAAAUAGGAGUGAUGCUUUACUGUAAACUGUAUCAGCAUUGUCUAAUCCGAGUACAGUAACAAGCAUCCAGAGAUUGAACCAUUUGGAUAAUAUUAUAGAGGAACAACUUUUCAAAAUCCCAGAUACAGGCAUACAGCCAAUCACAAAAAAAGAAAAAAGAAAUACCCAAUCAAACAGUAGCUAUAAUACACUAGUAGAGGCUACAUUUAAGAGCGAGGCGCAUACAUAAUCAAACCAACAAGCCACACAACGAUGGACCCAACAAUCCAACAAAAGAGAAGGAAAACUACAAACGCGGCCAAAACGGUCAGGGGCGGGGGGCCGUUAUCUGCCGCCUCAUUGCUCUUAUUAGCUUUGCUUUUGCCUGAAGCUUCUGGGGCAGAAGAGCUUGAAUCUGAAGCAAAAACAACCUGUGCUCGGUGCCUCGAACUCGAACUUGCUGCACCUGCAAGCCUGGAAAUAAGAAUUUGCAUUACUAUUACUGUGCCUGAAGAUUCAUUGCAGACACCAGAAAAUGCUACAGAAUAGUAUGUAAUGAAUGUAAGGCUGCACCUUGAAUCUCAAAGGAUCACUUCAAUGUGAGUCCUGGCUUAUUAAUUGUUGGUAUUAUAUAAUCAGGAGAGUCAUCAGAAAAGGCAUGAGAGCAUAUUCUGUGGCAAAGAUUGGAAUGAUCUGUAAGGUCAGGGCAGAGAACUGCAAGAAAUUUAAGUUUUAUAUCCAACACAGAUGUAUCAGAAGCAAUGUCUUCAAGACUAGCCAGAGUUGCCAUUAGCACCGCUGUGUGUGGCUUUUCAAAUUACAUAUUUUUUUCUCACAAUUGAUUUUUUUUUUCCCUACUGUCGAUACAAGAUAGAAGGCUAAAGUUUAAGAAUAAGGAUUAAACCUGAACAAUCAAAAGCAUGUUUUUUUUUGUUGUUGUUCUAUAGAUCUAGCUGUCAGUUAAGAGGGAACAACGAGGAAACAACAAUGUUGCAGGGCAGUAAAAGCACAAUUUUUUAUCCGGCAUUGUGUCUUUUUAUUCAGUGUGUGAAAAGAAGAACACAGUUUGUCGACCGAAGGACCGUUUUCUGAAUAUUAGUUUCUGUAACAGCUAAUUUGAAUAGAAUGUUUGCGACGCUUUAACUCCUCUGCGCCCUAAACCCAGAUCCACUGUGAUCGACAAUACCGGCGCGAUCGACUCAUCGGCGAUAUUUCAAUCUAAAGUUAGAAAAACAGCAAUUCACACACAAACAAAAAGUGGAGAGAACCAAAUUAAAUAAAAAAAAACACAAACUGGAAAAAAAGAGAUCAUAACAGUACAAAUGCACCAUAAAGCCACUCCUCCGAGAAAUCCAAACAGGAUAUUAACAACGAGAUCGAUCGAUCGAUCGAAAUGCACCAGAAACAGAUUCAAAAAAAAAAGAAAANAAAAAAAAAAAAAAAAGAGAGAGUACCAGGAAUCGUGGAAGAUAGGGCGGAGGUUGGAGAGGGGCGGGAGCGACGGGGCCGCCGUGAGAGUUCGGGUUCGGAGAGGAGGGGAGCGGCGAAACCCUAGCGACAAGGAGGUGGCGCACGAAAGAGAAGAGGACAUGGCGUUUGUUCUCUCUCUCAGUGGAGGAGGUAGUGGCGCGGGAGGAGAUGGGUGAGGCGUGGUGUGAGAGGCGCUAGAAAAAUAAUAAUAUUAUUAUCUGGAUUUGUUAAAUGCUUUUUUCGUAAGCAAUAUCUUUCUUUCUUUCUUUUUUUUAAUACAUUUUAAUCAUUUUGGUUACAUUUGUCAUGUUGCUCGUCUCAAAUGGGCCCUAUAGGAGAGAGAAAGGAACUUGGGUUGGGCUCGGGUGCGAAAUUCGGAGGCCCCGAACGAACCCAUUAGUCCUUCAUUUAAGAGCUUGUUUGAUCACACUUUUGCGUCGGAUAAAAUACGGAAAGAAAGGUAUGCUCAAAAUAUCAAACGAACUCAUUCCAUAGUCUCAAACUUCGACACAAUCAUACACUCAAUAUAGCAUGCUCAGUAUCAUAUGGUUGUAUUAUAGAAUACAAAUAAAACAUCUUUCCAGAGGUAGAAACUACGGCUGCGAUACAAGUGAGGUAAAAGAUGCGGCAGCAAAAGUGGAAUCAUUCUAUAAACUUUCGAACAAUAGUUCAUAUCCAGAACAUGAAUGAAGAAAGCCUAGCAUUUCUAAAUAAGCAAUACACUUAGUUUUGUAGUUGACGGUAGACGAUCACCUCCGAUCGAAUGGAAGCUGCGUUCAAACUCAGCACUCCAAGUUGGUCGAGAAAGUGAGAGCAUGGCAUUCCAAGUUUCUCAGAUUGAGCUGCAUAAACAUAGAAAUGGCGAAAAAGAUAAUCACCAGCAAAUGCUGAAAAUUUUGUAAAAUAUCGAUAAAGAAUUCAAAAUGGCAGGUUCAUCAUCACCGUACCAGCAUUGUAGCGAAAUAUUGGGUUGGCUAGACCCAUCUCAAGGAUUAGAAGACCUCAGAGGAAUAGAGAUUUUAAUUAUCAGCUAUCAACCUAAAUCUCCAACUAACAAUGGAGAUGCUCGCCACAUAUAUAUAUAUAUAUAUAUAUAUAUGCAGGGGCAGUUGGCAGGUAGGGCAAUGCAUUUUGUUGAUUGUGAUUUAGACUCAUAUAACCCAGUGGCAACUCUCUAGAAAUUCAUCUAAAGACCAUUAUUAUUUGCAAAUAGAUAAAUAUUAUAAUUUCCGAGUUACAGGUCUGUCUUUAUAGGUAAUAAGUCCAAAGAAAACUGGAAAAUUAAUGUUUAACUAAUAGAUAGUGGUAGAAUGAUUAGAAAAUGCAAAUCGCACAAGACAUUGGGUUUGUAAUCAUCAUUGAUCCAAUUAUUUCACAUCCAUGCUUAGGAGGACAACAAUAUCUUGAUCUUUCAUUUCGGCUAACAAUCCUCUUAAAGCAUUACCAACCGUCGUAAGUGAUUAAGAUUGUAAUUUCACAUGCAUGCAAGGACAUACCAUUACAGCAACUCCAGUCUCGGAAAAUUUGGGAAUGCAGAUAAGCCUCACUAGUUGUUUCUCAGGUCCUGAAUAAGAUGAAAAUCAAUUAGUGGUUCAAAACAAAGAUAAGACAGAGCAUUCUGAUUUAACAGUACCUUCCAAUAAACGAGUCUCAUAUUUAUCUUGAUUGCCAACGAAAUAAACAUGAGGACAACUUUCAAGGAGGAAUGGGUCCUUAUCAGUGUACGGGUAGCAUCCUGAAAAUAUGAACAUGGAGGGUCAUGUUAUAAGUAAACACACAGAUACAAGAUAGGUUAAUUGUCAGAUAUGCAGAAUCUUGUAUGCUUUACUUUUUCAAAAUUAUAUCCUGAUAAAUGAUCUCGUUCACUUAUACCAAACUAAAUUAAUUAAGCAUAAGAAUUCCAUAUUAAGGUCAGGUUGUUACACAAACCCAUGUCAAUUUAAGGGCAGGGAAAAAUGCAAUUCAUUGCAAUCAGAAGUUAAAGACUACCAAGGGUGUUUGGAGCUGUUGGUGCAAGGUGCCUCCAUCUUAAUGUCCUCUCCAUAAACUCAAGCUUGUCUUUGGCGUCAGAGUACUUAUUGAGAUCGUCUAUGUUCUGACCAGAUGUCCCAAGAAACCUAAAUCAUGCUAGUGAUCAACUAUUAUCUCCAGAUUAUGCAUUAGCAAAUUUACAAAUUCCCAGAUGUAAUGAUGCUUACUGGACAUUAUCAAGCUCAAACUGAUGAGGAUUUGUGGAAGACACAAAAGUAUUAUAGGCGGAUGCUCCAGAGAAAAGACACCUAUGCAAUGGCUAGAUAUGAGUGGAAGACAAGUUAACAAUCGAGUCAAAUGGGCGACUUUGCGCAUACGAAAAUACUCUUCUAAAUUUAUUGCCAGAUCAAUAGAAAAACCUGCUGAGGUAAGGAGAAAUUUGCUGGAUCAUUAGAUCCGGGCAUUAUAUCCACAGGCAUAGCAGCCACCAGCUGCAUGGAGAAAUACAACAAAAUGGUGAUGUCAGAAGGAUGGUAUGAAGCAACCAAACUCCUUUCAAUGCCUUAAGGGCUUGUUUGGUUCAUCCAUUUUAGGUAUGAAAUGGGAAUCGGUUUGAUCAAAUCCGGUUAAUUUUGUUUGGUUCGCAUGAAUCGAUUUGGGAUUCCUAUUCCGGACUGGAAUGGGAAUGGCCCAUUAGCCUUCAACUUGAUUCCGGUCUUCUAGCCUGGAUUGAGAUUUCAUUCCGGAAGCCCACUAAGUUCUCGAAGCCCAUGUGACCAUCUCACCCUCCUUCUCUUCACCCCUUUCUCAUCAANAAAAAAAAAAAAAACAUAUCCUCUCUCAAAAUCCUAUUCCUAACCCACAUCAAUAAAAGUUUUUAAAAAUAAAUUUGAUAUUUUUUUUGGAAAACUUAUUAGAGAAUAGUAUUAUAUUUUUCAUAAAUUUUAAAUAAUAUAAAUUUAUAUUUGAGAGUAAAAUUAGUAUUAUAGUAUCCUAUAAUUUUUUUAAUUUAUACGAACCAAACAAUGAAACGUGAAUAACAUAUUCCAAUUCCCAAUCCACAAAUAAACCAAACGUCUUGGAGGAGUGGGCCAUUCCAAUUACCAUUCCAAUUCAUUCCCAUUCCAUUAUCCAUUCCAAUUCCACCCCUGAACCAAACAAGCCCUAAUAGAAAAGCAUUUAGCACCUGAGUUAACAUUAUGUCAAGCUCUUUGAGUGGCUCUGUUAUCUUGGAAUGAUCCUUGGGCGCUAUAUUCUGCAAUAUCAGAAUGGAUAAAGUACGUAACUGUCAAAAUAUGCUCUAAAAUAAGACACAGGAGGCCCUUUUAACUGACAAGAAAACUAACAAAAAAAUAUCAUAUCAAAAGAUAAAACUACCUGACCAUUGACAAGGCCUUGUGAAAUUUGUACAGAAUUUCCAGCAAUUAGAAGGCGAACUAUCUCGGAUGCAAUGCUUUGUUCCUUUCUCCAUUACAUGUGAACCAAAACAAUCAAUGACACACUCGAAUAAUCAAUAACUAGGAUCAUAUCAAGAGAAAAGUCACACAUUCUCAUCACCCAAGUGUCCAGUUAUAUGGUCGACAAGAAGUUGGAACUGCAGAGGGUUGAAUUCGCUACUCCCAACACUUAAUCCAGACACAAAAACCACAUAUUUGUCUUCUCCUGCAGUGUAUCAAAUUGCAGUUUCAGAACAUGAAUUUUGCUUUGAUGGAGCAAAACAUCUACUAUUGUUUCCAACAUCAAAGUUACAUGAUGUGAACCAAUUAAGGAAACAUUCAAACUUUCAGUAAGCUAAUUGAAGGUUUCCGUAGAAGACUAAAAUAAUCUAAUAUGCCAGAUGUUGUUUAAAUGUUACCCGGGCCAAUUGGUAACUCAAUUUGAGGGGGUAGACCAGCUUCCAGAACAUCUUGAACACAGAAAUCACCAUCACUUGUUUCCUUUCCAUGAAGAGCUACUACGACCCCUGAGUAAUUUUGUGCAGGUAAUAAUCAAAGGAACCAUAAUUACUGAUAAAGAACUCUACAUUGAUGAUAAGAAACUACCAUCAAUAUCAACUGUGGAAUUAAAUUUCAACAUCAAAAUUUUGAAGGUAGAUAUUUUUCAAGGUUAAACCUGUUACAAAAGCUGCAGGAGCAAGAACUGAUCCAGAAAGUUUAACUCUUCCACUCUCAUCUUCCAAAAUAAGAUGAUCAUCAUGAUGAAUGAAAUUAUGCGGCUUGGCAAGGGGAAGGGCGGAUCUCUGCACAUAAGAGUGGGCAUAAAGGAGCACAUUAUUGCAUGAGUCAUCAUGACCUUACAAGGGCGAUGUAGGAUAACAUUACCUCCUUGGAGUAUUCAUCGAGUAUAGAAGGUUUGAGUUUCAUAUGCUUGUAUAGAGUUCCGACUAAAAUGCACUCUUUUCCUUCUUCCAGCCCUAAAACCGUAUUAACUGCAAUACCAAAAAAGGUCAAAAUGUUAUUGGCACAGAGAAAAGAUUAAAGUUGUUGAAGCAACAACACUUCUGUCUUGUUUGUCACUAAAUUUGCGAACAAGUAUAGUUUUAUCUUUCUCUCCCAAGCAUUUUACAGGGUAUCAAGUUGUCGAAGUGGGACGAAUGGUAAAUAUUUGUAGAUUAGACCAGCUCAUGCAAACAUUUGAGCUACCUAAUGAUUCCAAAAUAAAUAAAAAAAAAAGUACACAAGAACUAAAAUUUAUCACGAUUCCAAAUGGCGCCAUCUCCUAUGGCAGCUUUGCCCAAUCGCGAGCUCUAUGAAUUAGGGUUUCCAUGACAAAAGAACCAAAAACAGUGUUAAAAACCAAUUUGCCCUCUACACCGAGCAUCAAAAACCCUAAUUCUAAGAAGAUCUCUACUACAGCCACAAAAUCGAAUCGGAAAACCCCUAUCCCAAUAAAACCAAACAGGGAGAAAGAUAGAGAGGGAUUGCUCUACCCGGCAUGUUCGGUUUCCAUUUGGGGACGAGGGAGCGGAGGAGGUUCCUCAUGUGGUGGAGGCGCAUGAAGUAGAUUUGGCUAUACUGUUGUCCUCGAUACCUCUCCCCAUGGAUCUCGUACCUCUCAUCCUGCGACCAAAGAGAGCAACCGAGGGGUUGGGUGAGAGCGAGCGAGCGAGCGAGCGCGCGCAAGCGAGAGAGAGAGAGGAAGAGGAGAAGGGUUUUAGGGUUUAGGGUUUAGGGUUUACGAGGCUUCGAUAGAUCGAUUGUUUCCGGUGGAAGAGCAUCGCGGCGCCGUCGCCCAUCUCCGCGUCCUCCGCCAUGGCGGGAAAGUGCGAGUGAGGAGUGAGCGGGGAAUUUUGCAAUGGGCGAGAGUUUCCCUCCGGACGUUAAUAAAUCCCUAGUCCCCCUACUUAUAAAAAGCCAAAAAAAAAAAAAAAAAUUUGAAACCUCGUUUCAUAAAAUUUUUAAAUUCCUUUUAUUCAAGUGAAAUUUAAAAUAGCAAUAACGAAAAAACAUUAUUUGUAAGCUGAAAAAAAAUGCCAUACUUUUCACAAGAGGGAUUGUUUUUCUGUACUCAACGAUAUUGCUCUUGUAAAAGCGUUCCACUUAUAUUCUACAUAUUACUAAAUUAUUUUCAAUAAUGUUUCAUUAGACGUGAUUUGUAUUAUUAAAAAUAUUUAAAAAUUAAAUUUAAUAUUUUUAUAAUAUUAUUUGAUUAGAAGUGAAAAGGUUUCAAAAUUAUCAAUUUUAAUAACUUACAUGAUGCAUUUGUGAGUUUAAUAGUAUAAGAUAAUUCAAAUUUAAUAAAUUUUUGAUAGAAUAUUUUUUUACUAUUUAGAGUGAGAACUGGAUUUUGAUAUGAAACGUAAGUUUAUUAUUAUUUUUUUAUUAAAAUUUUAUUUUUCAAUUGUUCAUUUUAUGAUUAUUUGUUUUAAAAAAUAAAUAAUGUUGAAAAAUUAGUUUGUAGAUACUUUUAAUAUUAUAUAUCAUGCUUAACAUAGUCGAUCGCUAAUUGAAAUAUUCAAUUAUCAAAGAUAAUUUGAUACUACAGAGGUUUUCGUACUACCGAAAAUACUCUAACCUAGUUCCUUAUAAAAUGUAUGUUAUUGUGUUUAGCAUAUCUAUGUGGUACUUUUAAAGUUUGCAAAUGAACAUAUUAAAAACUUCUACAUUUUUAGAACACCAAUACCAUGGUAUGCGACGGUAUCGUUGUAAAGUGACCGUGAUAUUCUCGUACUAAAACUUUAAUUUAUUAUAUUUUUAAAAUUAAACUUUACAAAUUAUUAUAAUUAAUCCACACAACUCAAUUUAGUUAAUAAAAUAUUAUAUAUUGCUAAUAUAAAAGUAAUGAGACAUUUUAAUUAUUAUCCCAAUCAAAACUCUGUUAAAUUAUUUCAACAUUAGUCACAUAUUAAUAUUUAGUCAGCUAAAUUAUGUUGUGCGACUUGAUUAUAAUAAUUUAGAAAGUUUUAAAUAUAAAUUAUAACAAAUUCAAAUUUAAGAAACAAAAUAUCGUGCCACGUAUAGUUUAAAUACCUAAAGUGUAAUUUAGCCGCCAUAACAUUGCGUCACGUAAAUCAUAAUGAUAUGAUUUUAGGGGCUGCUUGGUUUCCAAAUAAAAGGAAAAAAGUUUUCAUUGGAAUUUCAAUAAAAAUUAAUUUUUUGGAAAGUUUUUUAUGCAAAAUUGGUGAAAAAUUUCUAUUUUUUCAAAAUUUAAAGAAUAAGAACUAACUUUUAUAAAAUCUGAAAGAAAUAAUUUUCAAAAAAAAAGGCUUUUUUAAAAAACCAAACCGUUUUUCAAAUAAUAAAGAAAAUUAUUUGCUUGGAAAAUUACUUUCCCCUUUUUCUUUUUGUUUUUUUGUCAAACAAAACAUGCGGUUUGGGCCCCACGUGAAAGAAGGGAAGAUGGAUGGGAGAAAGCCCAGCAUUUCCAUGAAGCAACACGGCCCCACGAUUCUGGUUUCUACAGUCUUCCAAUUUUAGAACCCUUAGUUUGCCGACAUUUUGGAAGACAGCUGCUCAUUGACCGUCCGUCUAAUUUUCUUCCAACUUUAGAAGGCAGGCUGCUCAUUCUCUUCAUUUUACAGUGCUGAUCUGCAGUUUCGCUCUAAUCUCUCUAUCCCUAGGCUUUAGGGCGUAUUCAUUCUCAACCGUUAAUAUUGUUCAGUUCGUCAAUCUGAGAGUACCGACACGUAGCCGAGACCGAUAAAGUCAGAGAUUGAAUGCGGAGAGCGAUUAAAGACAUACAGACUGUGAUAACUACCUACGCCCUUGAGCACAGUAAGAGAUCUCGAAAUUGUCCUCUACCAAGACGAAAUCGAUAUUGGACAUACGUUGUGAUCCUUGCGAAACAAACAGACACUAAGCAGCUGCAGUUACUCGGCAUUGAUCAUAAAAAUCGUACAAAAGUGUUUCGCGAAAUUUUAUCCUCCUAGUCGAAUCAAAUCGAUCUGUUCACCAUGCUUGCGCUCAAACCAUUUGGCAAAAACAGUGAACAUGUAGUGUCUGAUUGCUUGACAUCCAUAAGAGUUCACUGGAGUGGAUCUAGUGACACAGGAUACAAAUAUAUAUUUAUAUAGUAGCAUUAUUAUUUGUACAAAUAGUAGUUUAGAUUCGUUUAAUCUAAUCAAAGUUAAUUACUAAUAAACAACAAUCAUAACUAAUUAUAAUUGAAUUUUAUAUAUCAAUAUAUUCAUCAAAUUUGAUAUAGAGUACACUUCAAUUUGCCCCCUUGAGGUUCAACGUUGUCUCGUUGUUUAAAAAAUUAUACUAAUUAAUUAUACUGUAGGUUUAGUUUAAUUUCACUGAAAAUUUCUAGUAUUAAAUAAGAUAACAGAAUAAAGCAUAUAUUUUUUUUUGCAAAUUAUAAGAUAGUAAACUGAAUAUCAUUAGGUGGUAAAAUUUUAUAUUACACCGUCCUAUGAUUUGCAGUAAAUAUUAUUUUGUCAACAUGUUUAAUGGUUAAAUCAUAUAAUAGAUUUGAAAUAAAAUUAUAGAACAAUAAUUUUUUGAAGCCAAAUUGAAUUUUAUGGUUGGAUACAUUAAUAAUUUAAUAAUUAAAAAAUAUACCUUCCUGGUGAGUCGUGAUACAUAAUACACAGUUGUUACAACAUGCUUUCAUGAUUGGACCAUUGUCUUUUUAACAGGUCAACUCUCUGAGCACAGUGUUUGUUCCCUACACACCGCAUGUGUACACAUGAUCUUACCUGUACAGCACCCAAAAUAAUAUACGCACUUUUUAAUUUCUCGUUGUCCACAAAAAAACACCAAACAACAUGUGAACCGCUGAUCCUAAUCAUAUACGCCUCAUUAAUCUAAUCCAACACCCAAAACACAUCCGAGCCGGUGAACUUUCCUACGCAGCUACGCAGAGAAAUUCCUAUGCGCGCGUGAGAAUCCACCGUCGAGUUCGGCAAGUCGUGCGGUGGAUGCGCGUCACGCAUAAUAUUUUUAUGGCGACGACGAAACAGUUGCGGUACGGCCGCGGUCAAUGCGCCCUAACGUCGCGCGCUAGUGCGCGGUCGUGAGCAGCCUGAAUUUGGCUCACGCAAAAAUGUCAAGGGACUCCGUCAACAAGAGACAAUUUUAUAAAAGGUCCUAAUUUUUUUUAAUUAUUAUUUUCAAUUACUCAAAUUUUAUGAUUUUAUUAAUUAGAUUUAAAAAAUUUAAACUAAAUUAAAGAAUGUUUCUUUUUAGCUGAUAAAGUUACAAAUAGUAAAUGGUGAAAGGGUCCAUUUUAAAAUUUUGUGUACUUGAGGGAUUUUUUAUAUAUUUUUGAGAUAACGAGGCCAUUCAACACCUUCCUUCUUUACGGGCUCCUUCCUCGUUCGUCCCCUCAUCUCCCUCUCUGAAAUUAAAAAAAAUAGUUUUUUUUUAAAAAAAAGUUAAAAGAUAAAAUAAAUGUUUGAUGAAUUAAUCGAAUUAUUAUUAUUAUAAUUAUGUUAAUAAUAAUUUUUAAUUGCACAAGGAAAUGAAAAUGGGGCCCUUCGCUUUCACCAAAAUUGAGAUGGAGAAAUCGCCAUGAAGGAUCCUCCGCCCGCCACCGCCGACCACGACGGCGCUCGCACCUCUGCGCUUUAAAUUCCCGCGCGCGCACGCCUUCGAUUCCCCCGCUCCCCUUCGAUCUCUUCUUUUCCAGUUUCGGAGGUGAUUUUGAUCUCCGGAGCGGCUUCGGUUGCUUUGGAUCGAUCGAAUUUGGGGUAUUCUCUUUUUUGCUGUGGAUUUGAGUAGAAUCUCUGUUCUCGGUGUCGGAUUUGGGACGAGGAGCUUCCGAUUUCGAAGCUGAGCUCGGUCAAAAGGGAGAAAUUUUUUUGUUUAAAAAAAAUUUGGUCCUGGGGUUUGGGUUGUCGAUUUCGUGGAGAAAAGUUGGGGAAAAAAGGGUGCUUGAUGCGAUAUUCUUGAUCGAUCACGCGUGCGUUUGAUGGGCAACACAUGCCGCGGAUCUUUCGGGAGCAAGCACCUCUACGAGCCCGCGGAUCGAUCCGACUCUAAGCGGAACCAGAACCUCCACUCCUCCGACGCGCCACCGACGAAGCCCGCCGCCGUCGCCGUCGCCGUCGCUAGCCCCAAAUCGAAGCCUCCGCAUUCGCCGACCAAGCCCGCCGUCAUGAGGCGCGCGGGGUUCGACCCGAACACCAACUACGUCCUCGGGCACAAGACCCCGAACAUCCGCGAACUCUACGAGCUCGGCCGGAAGCUAGGGCAGGGCCAGUUCGGGACGACGUACCUGUGCACGGAGAUCGCGACGGGGAACGAGUACGCGUGCAAAUCGAUCUCGAAGAGGAAGCUGAUCUCCAGAGAGGAUGUCGAGGACGUGCGGCGCGAGAUCCAGAUCAUGCACCACCUCGCCGGGCACAAGAACGUGGUCACCAUCAAGGGCGCCUACGAGGACCCGCUCUACGUGCACAUCGUGAUGGAGCUCUGCGCCGGAGGGGAGCUCUUCGACCGCAUCAUACAGAGGGGCCACUACAGCGAGCGCAAGGCCGCCGAGCUCACCAGGAUCAUCGUCGGGGUCGUCGAGGCGUGCCACUCGCUCGGCGUCAUGCAUCGCGAUCUCAAGCCGGAGAACUUCCUCCUGGUCAAUAAGGACGACGAUUUGUCCCUGAAGGCUAUUGAUUUCGGGCUCUCGGUGUUCUUCAAGCCUGGUGAGGGACAAAAAAAUUUGAUUUUUUCUUUGUUGAUUUAUUGCCGAAUUUGAUGCCGAAGGGUUUAAUUAUUUGUCUGAUGCAUUUAUAUUUUGGUCAUUCAAUACAUUGCAUUUAACUUUAACAAUGCAUACCUUUGUUAUGGAUAUGCAUGAAUCCAUGUGUCAGAUGCCAUAAUCAUUGUAUCAGAUGUACAGCUGGUUGAGUUUUGAUGUUCAAAAUUAAGGUUCCUUACCUUGAGAUCGGCAUGCUACCGGGUUAAAAACUGCUUUUUUUUUUUUUUUUUUUUUUUUUUUUUUUUUUUUUUUUUUUUUUUGUUGGAUAUGCUGUGUGAAGGGUACUGGAUAUUUAACAAUUGUUGGUGCUUUAUUUGCUUGCAUUAUUAAGAUUGCAGCUGCCAAAGCUCUUCAAUGUGCCUUGCAACUGCUAUAAAAUACAUAAUUUGUUCCAUUUGUAUCAUAAUUUAAGACUGUUGAAUACGCGUACAGUUCAUCUGGUUUUCCAAUGGCUUGUUCACUGUCACUUUUCUCGAUGGAUAACUUCUUUGCUACACAUAAUUAGGGUUGUUGCUUAAUAUGAUCUCCUGAGUAAGUAUCUUUUGGACUAUUGCUUUGCGCUUCUACUCAUUAUUGCCCGUUCUUUUCUAGCUCAUAAAUCAUUUCAUGCUCGGCACCCUUUCUUCGCACUGCAACUGACAAAAAGUAACUCUCGUAACUGUCUUUGGUUCGGAUCUUAUGCCCCUGCAGGUCAGAUUUUCACUGAUGUUGUCGGAAGCCCGUACUAUGUUGCUCCUGAGGUACUGUGCAAGCACUAUGGACCAGAAGCUGAUGUCUGGACGGCUGGUGUUAUACUUUAUAUAUUAUUGAGUGGUGUACCACCAUUUUGGGCUGGUAAGAAUUGUGUCUGCCAGUUCAGAAACUUCAUAAUCUUCAUGAAAUCAGUUGAAUGAUUUUUUGUUUCUUUCUCUUUCUCCAGAAACGCAGCAAGGAAUAUUUGAUGCGGUUCUGAAGGGGGUUAUUGAUUUUGACUCGGAACCAUGGCCUGUGAUUUCUGAUAGUGCAAAAGAUCUUAUAACAAAGAUGCUCAAUCCUCGUCCUUCAGAGCGGUUGACAGCCCAUGAAGUUCUAUGUUAGUCUUCUUCACUUCUAAGAUUAUGAAUUUGAUUGCUUUGCCGUUGUUGAUAAAUAUCCACCAAAACGACUGUUGCCUUUAAACCUAUAGAUUAGUAAGCGGAUAAAUACAUUCGCGUUGAUAAGGGUUUUUAUUUUCUUGAGAGUGAAGUAAUUAUUAUUCUCUGCACCUUUUUUGUUUCCACCACCAAAUACAAAGUAGCAUAAAAUGAUAAAACAGUAGCGUUAAAGGAUAGCACCAGGACCUUCGGUUCAUAUUCUGUAAAAGCAUAGGUGCAGCAAAUCAUAAGAAGAUUUGGCAUUGCAUUUGGUGGGAUAAUCUUGAAACUAUGCUACUCUUUUGCCCAAAUUCUCAAUUAGUUGUCAAUACCUGGUAGAAUUUGCCUAUUGCUUUUUAAUUUACUGUUUGAUUUUCUUCAUGAGUUUGAUCUGGUGGAGAUAAUGCUAUUGAGGUUUUCUGUGAUCCACUAUCUCUGCCAACAGACCAGUUCGCAUGUAGAAUAGUUAGCAUUAAUAUGUGAGUUUCAAGAUAUAUCAUUGUUUUCAUGAUAGAGUAUAAUCCUUCGAUUGUGCUCAGGUCACCCCUGGAUAUGUGAGAAUGGAGUUGCUCCUGAUCGGCCGCUGGAUCCAGCUGUCCUUUCUCGCCUCAAACAAUUUUCAGCCAUGAAUAAGUUAAAAAAAAUGGCUUUGCGAGUGAGUGCAUUUCUUGUGCUUUAGAUAUGAAAAACUGAAAAUUUGAUUUAUAAAGCAAGAUGCUUUGAUCUGUUUCAAAAUUUUACUCCUGAGAAAAAUUCUUUCGUCGUGCAUGAUCUGUACAAAAACUCAUUAAUUUUGAUAUUCUGGUCAACAAAAAGUUGACGACAGUAAUACUUUUUGGGUUCUUUCCACUCACUUGAACCCAUUUUUUGUGUAUAUUUAGGUUUAAUGCUUUGUUUAUUAAAAGUUCUAUGCCUAAAAAGGGAAUCAAGACUGCAAACAUGGGGUACAAACAGUUACUUGGUAUCAACAAAUUGCAUUACAUGAAUCUAGAAUUACGAUUCAUGCUGAUGUAGCAGUAACACUGGUUCUUUGCUCAUAUUUCUGCUUCAGCUUAGCAUAUUUAAUGAACUGCAGCCCUACAUUGUACUUUAAGUGCUUUAGUUUUUGUCAAUGUGAACACACUUUUGUGAUCAUGCUUAUAAGAGUACUUUACAUUUGCCAGGUAAUAGCUGAAAGCCUCUCAGAGGAGGAGAUUGCUGGAUUAAAAGAAAUGUUUAAGACGAUGGACACUGAUAGCAGUGGUGCUAUUACAUUUGAUGAGCUAAAAGCUGGUCUGCGAAGAUAUGGUUCUACACUGAAGGAUACGGAGAUUCGUGAUCUAAUGGAGGCUGUAAGUUUCUUUAAUAGCAGAGUUUUUUUGGUUGGCUUAAUUCAUAUGUGAUUAAACUAACAUUGUUAGCCUGUGGAUUCCCUGGUUUUGUUAAUUUUGCCAAUGUUUAUAAAGUGUGCUAGUUUUUAAAGCUUGUUUUCUAGAUCUUUGAACACUAGACCUAUCAGUUUGAUGUUAUGUACCAACUUGACUUAUUUAGAGAAUUAUUGAAAUACUUGAAUGAAAAAGUAAUCCGCCAAUUUGUGCCAUAUCAUGGACAAAAUUUGAAGCAUCAGUAUGCUUCAGAUAUAUGAUUUUCUCAUUAAUGCAUAUAGUGGAGGGUUUAGACUGUUAAAAAUUCAUCAUUUGUCCACAGUUCUGGUUUCGUCUUGGUUGUGCAUUAUAAGUGGAUUUGAGGUUUCCGGGUUAUGAGGCCAACAGGCUAUGUCAAAAAAAAAAAAAAGAAAAAAAAGAAAGAAGAAAGGAGAUAUUUUUACAUGGAUAUGAAGGAGGCAAAGCUCUAAAUCUUAAGCAUUGGUAUAAGCUGUUAAUUUAAUUCGUCCCUAAUUAAAUAGAAGUACCCAUUUAAAGAUAGGGGAUAUUGCAUAGGUAUACUUGGCACCUUAAGAAGCAUCAGGUUCUGCAUGAACUUUGAUGAUUUGUCUGAGAGUGGAUUUCUUUGAUGAUUCAUUGAUUUGUCUGAGAGUGGAUUGAGUGGCUACAAAGUAGAAAUUUAGAUACUUUGCUACCGCAGGCAUUACUUGAUAUUGAUACCUUCCCCAUUGCUUAUUAUCUGUGUGCUUUAUUGUCUUGUCCUUUAUUAAAAGAAUUCAAUUAUUUUUCUGAAAUUUGAAAAGAAUACAAACGCCUUUUUCAGUAAGAUGUAGACCUUUUCUUUCUAUGACCAGCAUCACCGAAGAUGUUUUUACAUAGAUAUUGCAAUUCUUCGCUAUUUUGAGGAGAGUCAUUCUACGUGGUUUAUCUCAUUGGUUUUUAUCAUUUUUAGGCCGACAUCGACAACAGUGGUACUAUCGAUUAUGGAGAAUUCAUUGCUGCGACUGUACAUCUUAACAAACUGGGGCGGGAAGAACAUCUGGUUGCAGCUUUUCAAUAUUUUGAUAAAGAUGGAAGUGGCUACAUAACAGUUGAUGAGCUCCAGCAAGCUUGUGUGGAGCACAACAUGACGGAUGCUUUCCUUGAAGAUAUCAUUAAAGAAGUGGAUCAGGAUAAUGUAAGUGCCCAUCCCGAUGAAGAUUCAUGCACAAUCCAGUAUCUAGUAUUAUUCAUAAAUAUCUUGCAUACUUUAGUGGUCAUAAGCUGGAAUGCAGUCAAGCACAACUGUGUGCCAUCCUAGUGAUAAAAUAAAUGACAAGAUAAAAAUAAUGGUGCUAAACCUGUUGAGUUCAUAUCUGGCAUACAAAAGAAAGUUUUGACUCGUAUAUCAUCUUUUCUUCUACUUUCUUUUAUUUCCUUCUUCUCCCACCUAUCAUUGUGAGCCACUCAUUUUGUCACUGAAAUUGAAAGCUGCUAUAUCUACUUGAGCAAGGUCUGGUCAACAAAUUUGUUCAACUAUGUAUCUUGAACUUUUUAAAACUUCCUGCAGCCAUAAUUAAAAGCCCUCUGGCAUUGCAUGGAAGAAAUAGAUCUAGAGAAGAUAUUUGAUAACUUAUUACAUCUAUGUUUCAAUUGAAAGUUACGGCCUUUCGUCACUUUGUCACAUGACAUCAUGUAAGAAGUUGGCCAUUCACAAGUCAAAAGGUCCGAUUUAUGAGAAAUCAUGGAACUACAUAGAACUUCCAGAUGUACUUUGCUUUGUUGAGUUUCUUACCUAUCAUGGUUUUGUUUUGUUUCAGGACGGUCGCAUUGACUACGGCGAGUUUGUCGCAAUGAUGCAAAAAGGCACUAUGGGGCUUGGAAGACGGACGAUGAGAAACAGCCUGAAUAUAAGCAUGAGGGAUGCAGCUGGCACUCGCUGAAUUUUUCACCGUGUACAGGUUUUGUGUUGUUUCUGCUGAUCUUUGCCUUUUCCUGUCAUCUUUUUGUAUCUUGGGUUGUGAGAUGACUGAAAGUGUAUGAGAAGUGGCACUUCCUGAUAUAUUUGGUUUAACUGUCACGGUUUAUUAUUUGAGUAAUUAUUCUCUAGUGCAGGUGUGUGGUCACUCUGGGUAGGUUUAACAUGCUGCAAGAGCCCAUAAGCCUACUCUUAAAUGUACUAUUAACUAGCAUAUAUUAAGUUAUUAGAUCUGUUCAGGGAAUUUAAAGAAAAUAUGGGUCGAGUUGAACUGCAACAACCCAUUUCAUCUGUAUCAUACCUUUUGUUUAUUCCAGUUUAAGGUCAUAGAAUCUGUUAACUGUGCAUCAGAUGAUAAAAAGGCACAGCAAAGUUGUGAGAAGUUGGCCUCUUCGUAUCAUUCUAGGGUUUAAUCGGGGUAAUGAGUCUGCUGGGCCUUUCUAUCCUUUUCCAUUUCUUUCUUUGUUUUGUUUUUCCUUUUUUGUUUUUUUUUUUUUUUUUUUUUUUUUUUGUUUUACUCAGUUGCAUUAGUCUAAGAUAAAUUUAUCUUCCUGCUUCUGAAACUUCGACUUAAAUCUAUUGAUCAUUUAUAAGUAUUGCACGUACCAAAAAAGAAUGUGCAUUAUGUAUUCUCCAGAAAUGGCAAAAUGAGGUGUUUUUUUUUCUUCCGUAUGAAUGACGCACUUGAAUUUUAACUUAAAAAUCAACUAAAAAGUUUCCCAAAAAGCAAAAAACAAAACUGAUUCUCAGAUAUCAAUAAAUUAAACGCAAUAUCAUUUUGACAAUAUAUGACUUGAAAUACAAGAUAACUAUUAUUUAUUGAGCUAGAUACAUUUGUCUAGUAACAAAUAACAUGUAACAAUUUAUAGACUUUAUAAACUCGAAAGCUAUGCAUCCUCCGCAACUGCUAUUUCAUGACCAAAUGCCAUCUCCUGCAAACAGAAGCCAAUAAAAAGAAAAAGGCAAUAUGAGGAAAAUCGCCUCCUUACCCUUGUAAAAUUUCAGAAUUUUCUAUUUACUCUUUUGUCUCAAAUAUGCUUCUACAAAGUUUAUCUUUUUUUCUUAUAUACCUGUAUUUUGCGGAUUUAUUUGAAAGAAUUUAAAUUUUUAGAAGGGAAUAUCCAAGGAUAGAUGUCGUUGAGGGGUAGAUAUGAAAGUAAUAUCCUAGGACAGACGUCGUUGAGGGGUAGAUAUGAAAGUACGUUUAUGUUGAGGGAUAUGUUUAAAUCAUCCAUUUAAACAACAAAUCUAUAGGAAUUGUACCAUGUAUUUCCAACUAUCAAUCUGUAGGUUCUAACUAAAUGAGUCAUCAGUCUAAAACUUUUUUGAUAUAAAAAGCAUCAUUUUCAAACUCCUAAUUUUUUUUUUUCAAAAAAAAUGUGGCCUAGGUAUAAAAGAGAAAGCUCUAAAAAGAAGUGUUAGUUUGAAACUCGCCUUAAGUUUUCUAUCCUUGGAGAGGAGGCAUCUCGAUGUGAUCGCUCUACCGUGAUCAAACAACCAUCCAACUUCCCCAGUUAUCUCACCAUCAUCUACUUUGAAAGAACACCAUAAUUGCUUUGGCAGUGUAACAAGGCCAAGCUGAUCUCUAACAAUCUUUCCUGGCUUACUGGGAAAGAGUUCUUGUAAUAUUUCCUGUUGAUGAAGAACAACAAAUUAGGGGGUAGAUAAUGAUAAUAAGAUAUUCCUCAAAAAGGAAAAAGAUAAUAAGACAUUAUGCUCCAUUAAAUCUAAAAUUAUGCAUGAUAAUUGAAGAUCUUGUGUUGAUAUUGUGGGGAAAUAUUAUUAAGAAAAAGGAUAGGUCUAAGCAGAAAGGCGGUAAGAAAUUUAAAAGAACAUGGAUACAACUAUGACAUGGGAGUAUCAACAAAGGAACAGUGUGUUUUGAUAAGAGACAGCAGAAAACUAUACCAAAUACAGUUGUUAACUUAAAUACUCCAUUCUGUACAUACAGUUAAAAGUGCCAUUGAAGAGCAUACUAUCUCCUUUGAGUAAAAGUACAAAUAGCAGAUAACUUCAAUACUCCCAGGGACUAAAUAACUGAUUGUUUGUGGACCCCGCAUUGACCGACAUCAAAUUGUCUGAGUUUGAUCAUCAUAUCAAUAAAUACUUCUUAAAAUCUCCUGAAAACAUGAUCCAAUGUUCGGCAUGUGCUUCAUGUGUUCAAUAUAAGCAAGGAUAUUUUCAAUGACUAGUACUUGGUACAAAUCACAUGUCAAAACUGAAGUACUUGCAGGGCUAGCUUGCCAAAGGGUCAUAUAUUGGAUAAGAUAUGAGGACACAAUGCAUCUAGCUGAGGUGGAUUCUCUCUUAUAGAUACAUCCACGAGAAGCCUCAAUCAAACAACAUAAGAAUCUGCAUCUCCUUGACCAUAUUUGUCUUUGUGAGUAUAUUCCUAAAUAUUUUCAUCAAUCCAAAAUGAAUUCCGCCUAACCCUACGUUCGGAUCUUAGUGGUCCGCAUCCUAUUCCUACCUUAUAUAAUAUUAAAGUUUAAAGCCACCUUUAACUCAGAGACACACAUUGACCUUUCAUUGACUAGAUUGCUACAAAUGGCACAAUGAAAUUUCCUAGCUAGCACCACCAAUUUAACAGCAUAAUUGAGUCAAUUGUUAUAAUCUCAGAAACAAAAACUCAGUACAUCAUGCUAUGUACAUUGGGCUGUUUAUCAUGCGGAACAAUAACAAUAAGCCAACUAAAUUAUCAACCAAAUCAAAAGAAAUAUCGAUAAUGAAUCUGUAUAUCAAACACGAAGACAAAUUAAUUGGGUCGAACAAUCUAUUAAUCAACUAGCCAAUCAUGAAGCAUAACAUACUUAAAAAACCAGAAACAACUUUAAAGCUCAAAGAACUCACCAUUUGCUCUGCUCCGAAUCUAGCAACCGAAGAAGUUAUCCCCUGCCAAACACCCACAACAUCAGACACCCUAAGUGCGCUGCUCGACGCAAAGCCUGAUUCCCUAAUUGCGCACCCUCCAAGCUGCUCCCCAUUCCGGAAGGGUCCAUACCACUGCUCCGAGAAGACCCUAAUCGCCUCCAAUCUCAUCCCCUCUUCCUCCGCCGCAGUAACCUGAAUCACUCUCACUCGCCCUUCCUUAUUCGCAGGAUCCACCAAGCAAUGCUCCACUUCCAACAGCUUCUUCCCUCCCUGACCAUCGACGGGCCAUGCGGCGACAUACGAACCGCUCGGAUCGAACCCUAAUGCGGAAACCCUACCCUCCGAGCUCCCCGCGAUCCGCUCCUCGACGCUGUGCCUCGUGGCGGCGUCGGCCUCGCAUCCGACGGUGGGGAGCAGCUUGAUGAGCUUGUAGCAAAGCACGGGAUCGCCCGAUUCGGACGCGAGGGUAGGGCACUGCGUUUGCCAAUCGAAGACCUCGACCCCCCAUUCCCGGAACGCCUCGGGGACGACGGACUCCGGGAGCUCGAUAGGGUUGCCCUCGGGGGUGAACUCGGCGCCGAAUCCGUCCCAUUCGCCGGAUACUCGCCUCGCGAACUCGCCCCAAUCUGAAUCGAUUACAGGAAACGGAUUAGGGUUAGAUGGACCGAAGCAAGAAUCUUACACCGGAAUCGAAAGGGUUCGAGGAAGGACCGAACUGGAUAGGGUUUGGGGGAAUGGUUUCGUGAUCUCCUGGAGAUCGGGAUCUGCGGAGGCUGCGGCGGCGGCGGAGAAGGAGGAGGAAGAAGCGGAUACGACGAGGCGCUUCGGAGGAGGGGAGGAUAGGAGGGGAUUCAGAGGGGAAAUGGGGGAGAGAUUAGGGUUUCUGAGGAGGUCGAGGGAGGGGAUUAGGGUUUUGUUGGGGGAGAGGAGGUUCGCGGAGAGAAGCGCCAUUUCUCUCCGCUGCACGUGCGUGGGAAGAGACGGGAGGGGAAAGGGUGGCGUUUUAACGAUCAGGAUUAGAUUAUGAUCGUGGGGUACGGCAAUAGUGGGAUCUUAAUGGGCCGUUAAGUGGGCCGUUAGAAGGUCGAAAGCCCAUUGCGUACAUAGCAACUGUUAAUGGGCGAGCAAAUUGGGCCUCCUACGAGGCCCAUUAAUUCUCUAUUGAGUAAUGCGUAUUAUUAUUAGAUAAAGAACAUAUAAUCUCUCCUUAAAUAUUUUUGUUUAAAAAAAAAAAUAAAACGCGUAAUAAGUUGAAGAACCAUAGCUACUUCAUCACCGUAAUUUGCAACAAGAGAAAACAGGAUCUGCAACCUUUUUUUUUAUUAUUAUUAAUGAGAAAAAAAGUAAGCAAGCUUCUUUUUUUGAAUGUAAAUAAAUAGACUUCUAAAUGCCCGAUCUUGUAAAAAUGACAUCUCUCAUUGUUCUUUGAAGUUUGAAAACAUCAUCUUCCCUGUGGAAAAGGGAAACAAUUUGUCACAUGAUCCCACGGGUAGAGUGAUCCCUCAGAUAUACGGCACUCUACAAAAUGCCUUCCUAAUGGUUGUACUUAGGACACGCUCAGUAAACGAAUCCCAUUCACAGCGCUUGGAAGAGAAGAGCUUCUUCAAAAGCCCAUCAUUAAUUGCUUCCCCAACUACUAUUCUCAAUUAUGAGAAUAUUUCCUACAUUAAUGCAAUAGGAACCUGUUCCCACUCCUCCCCUCGUGAGCCAUUUAUUGCACCAAAUCAUGUGGGUUCCGUCUACGACCACACCACCUCCCUGUGGACCUUUAACCGCAUCACGUCUCCCCCCCCUCCCCUUACAAAAUAUUUACCGACCAUAUGCACAAUCGUAUCUAACACAGUUAACUAAAUAUUUAAUAAUUAAUAUUCAAAAUUCUAAGUUCGAGGCCGUAGAAAGAAGUCCUUUCUCUCUCAAAAAAAUAGGGAAAAAGAACUCUAAGCCUCCGUUUGAUUUGGGGUUGAGAAAAAAGUAACUAUUACAGGGAUAGAGUUAAGUUCAGGAUUAAAGUGGGGUUAAAAUUUUUUGUGUUUGGUUGGGGGUUGGAGUUAGUCUAGAAUAAUGAAAAAUAGUGUUUGGUUGGAGUUGGUGGGAUAAGAAGAUAAUGAUUGAUAAAGAAGGAUAAUGAUUGGUUGGAGUAGGUGUGAUAAGAAAGAUAAUGGGUUAUUAUGAAUAGAAAAUAGUGUUUGGUUAGAGUUUGGUGGGAGUAGGUGGAAUUAGCUAACCCGGGAUAAUUUAUUUGAGGUGGGAUUAGCUUUGGGGUGUUUGGGGAUAAAAUGGGGGUUAAGGGGUUAUUCCACCCCUUAACCCCCAACCAAACAAGGGCUAAAAAGAUUUUAAAAAAAGAGCUCUGGAAAGCACAUCAAAAGUUAUAUACACAUUACCUACCAAUGCGUCUUACCCAACGGUCGACUUUUCAGGUGGAAUUUAGUAAGCAUGUAUCGGCUCCCACGUUGUUACCUCUUGGCGCCAAAUAAAGACUAGGAGUUAUUGCUUGAAAAGCUCCAUCACUAAAAAUUUACAGAAACAGGCUAUAUAACAUAAUACUUACGCUUCCAUUGUCUCUUCCAUUCGUUUCACCAGUCCCUUUGUUAGUAAUUAGCACCAUUUUGUACCAUAAAACCCUCCAAACCCUUUGAUUUCAUCGGGACCGUCUCACAAAAAUAUAGCUUCCGACAAUGGCCAAUCAACCAGGAAGAAGAAACUCCAGCGGCGAACUACUUGCAGAGAUCGCGAGCUUAAGUCAAACACUCAGCCGACCCCCCACCACCGGCAAUCGUCGCCGCACCGCCUCCCUCGCCCUGCCGCGCUCUGCCGCCCCGACGUUGGCCGACUUCGCCUCUGAUGGGCCGCAGAUCACCGAUGGGGCUCCUCGAACCGACCGCUGGAGCCACUCCUUCCGCUUCAUGCCCCUUUCUUCCUGGCGCUCCCGUCCGAAACCUAAAGCAGACACGGAAAGUGAGGGGACCGAUGCUGAUGAAAACCCUAAUUUCACGGCCCGGCCUCCGGAUGGGGAGAAGAAAGGUAUAUGGGGUUGGAAGCCGAUGCGAGCCCUCUCGCACAUCGGUAUGCGGCAUAUUGGGUGUUUGUUCAGAGUUGAAGUAGUCGCAAUCCGCUCCCUCCCAACUUCUAUGAACGGCCUCCGCCUCUCGGUCACGGUCCGGAAGAAGGAGAAGGCCAAGGAGGGAGCUGUGCAAACAAUGCCCUCCCGAGUGAUGCAAGGAAUUGCCGACUAUGAUGAAACCUUAUUUAUUAGGUGCAAUCUCUACUACAGCGGAGGUCGCGGCACAGGAAAGCCACUCAAGUUUGAGGGUCGCCCUUUUGUUAUCUCUGUGGUGGCUGUCGAUGCCCCUGAGCUUGGUUUCGGAAAGAGAACCAUCGACUUGAGUGCGAUGAUUCUCGAGUCAGUGGAAAAGAGUUUGGAGGGGCAGCGGCUUCGGCAGUGGGAGAGGACUUUUGAGCUCUCUGGAAAGGCAAAGGGGGCUGAAUUAGUUCUCCGGUUAGGGUUUCAGAUCAUGGAGGACGGACACCUCGGUAUCUACAAUCAGGCUUAUGUUAUAAAGUCGAAGGAUCAUGGAAGGAGCUCCUCUUUCUCCAUUGCACGGAACCAAUCAAAGUCUACUUACAGUGCUCCGAGCCCAAGUAUCACGAGAUCAGAUUCACCUAUCACUGAUCCAGAGAGAAAGUUAAAAGGAGUUGAUUACUUCAAUCACAAUGAUCGUGGAAUUUCAUCCUUGAAUCCCUGGUCAAUUCAGAAGUCAGAGCAAGAGAGAGUAGUGGAGGAUUUUGAUAUCCCAGAAUUUGAAGUCAUUGAGAAAGGAAUCGAGAUUCAAGGACAAAGCAAAGUUGAAGAGGUACAGUCGGAGUCCACGGAAGGGACCUCGGCCUCAAAUGGAAACGUUAAAGAGAUUGUUCGUGACAGUGCUCAUUUGGUUAGGCUUAAAGAGCUUGACUCGAUAGCAAAAGAAAUUGAGGCUCUUGAGUCAAUGAUCAUUGGAAAUAAUGCAGAUCCUAUUAUAUCACUACAACGAUCCCAAGAGCAGCAAUUAGAUGCUAAAGAGGAGAGAAUGACAAGGGAGUACCUCCGAAUGCUUAAGAUGCAAGAUAAUAAGCAGCUGAAACAAGAGCUUCUCUCCCCAAAAUUAGCAGGAGAUGGUGAAAAAGAUGGUGAAGUGAAGGUUCUCCUUCCGGAUUUAGGGAAGGGUCUGGGCUCCGUCAUUUGUACGCGGGAUGGAGGCUUCUUAAUUUCAACGAAUCCAUUUAAUAUAGAAGUAGCAAGGAAAGAGAGUCCAAAACUGGCUAUGCAUAUCUCGAGACCAUUCGUCUUCAAGAAUCAGAAGCUAGUAAGUGGGUUCGAAGUAUUUCAGAGAUUAGCUGCCAUGGGAUCUGAAGAGCUGAGUUCUAAAUUGCUCUCAUUGGUUGAUAUGGACGAAUUGACGGGUAAAAGUGCAGAAAAGAUAGCAUUCGAGGGCAUUGCAUCGGCCAUCAUAAGUGGGAGGAACAAGGAAGUAGGAAGCUCGAGUGCAACUAGAACAAUCCUGAUUGCUAAACAGAUGGCUGCAGCGAUGAGCGAAGGUAGAAAGCAAAGGAUUUCCACGGGAAUUUGGAGUACAAAGAAGGACCCUAUGAUGAUAGAAGAAAUCUUGGGGUUCUCUCUGCAAAAGAUGGAGGCCAUGGCAGUGGAGGCUCUGAAGAUUCAGGCUGAGAUGGCCGAAGAAGAAGCCCCAUUUGAUGUUUCUCCACUUAUCUUGAAAGAUAAUCCAAAGUGCUUCUUGGAUUCCACCAUUUCACUUGAGGAGUGGGCCAAAAACUGCAGCAAAAACAGUGCAAUUACAAUGUCAGUAGUCAUUCAACUGCGAGACCCGUUAAGGAGUUACGAAGCUGUGGGGGGUCCCAUGAUUGCUGUGGUGCAGGCAAUGAAAGCAAAUAGUGAUGAAGAAGAUGGGUUUCAGUUUAAAGUGGAGAAUCUCCAUAUUGGGGGUCUGAAGGUGAAGGAAAGAGGGAAAAGGAAUGCUUUGGAUGGGGAGAAACAGAGGCUGACUGCUAUGCAAUGGUUGGUGGCCUAUAAUUUGGCGAAAGCAAAGAAAAAUAAGUUGGCGGAGGCAAAACCAAAACAAGAUUUUGUUUGGAGCAUGUCCUCACGAAUCAUGGCAGAUAUGUGGCUCAAGCCGAUGCGAAACCCUGACGUGAAAGUUUCUAGCAAGAGUAGAUGAGAUGUUGUUUAAUAAUAUAGGUUUAGUGCUAUUGUUUAAUAGUGAAAGGACAACUUGCUUUCGUGGAUAAUGCAUGUAUCGAACAUCUUGUUUUAUGUAUAGAAAUAGUUCAUGUUAUGUAAGUCUGACUCUAUUGUUGACUGAUCAACAAAGUAGGUGAAGUGAAAAAGUUUCCUUAGAGUACAUGCCAGUACAUUUUAUGUUAUUUUCCCAUUUUUCAAUUGAUGUUCUUAAUAACAACCUACAAGCACCAAAAGGAAGAAGAUUCUUUUCAGGACAAUCAGAAGAGCUUCAUCAGCUAUCUCUAACUUUAAUUCUUCACACUUUCAAAGCUAAGAAAUGAGCAAGGAAUCAACACAUGGUAGGAUAACCUAGAAAAGCUGCGUAAUUUCUAUUAAAAGCAAUAGAUAAAGAACUCCCGCCGAGAUUCAUACCGUAAUACAGCAAUUAGAAGAAAUCAAUGAAAUUGUAAUUUAUAAAUAAAGCUUACAAAGCAGUAUGUUUACCUAUCUCAAUCUGUCAAUUGUUGCCUGCAUAGACAAGAAAGAAAAUGCUGCAACCCAAUCAAACUUAAAAGAUUCAGUGUAUCUGUAAGCAUAAUUUAUGCAAUUGUUGGGUAACAAAGAAUAAAUGAGUAAAACAUAAAAGGUGAAGGAACAACCUCCACUUCACCAGUAGUCACUGCAAGAGCAAGAUCCUUCUCUAAAAUGGUGAAAGCGAAUGCCAUCCCUAACUAUCAAUUCCCUACCAGCAAUCAAUGAUAUUAACUUGAUUACGGUGUGACAAUCACUGCAUAUCCGAAGAUUCUUCAUAAUAUGGAUGGGCAUCCAAGUAGGCAAGCUCAUUAGUCCAAAGGCCACAGCUAGUUUCUCACUAUGAUGUCUCUCUGAUCGUAAGCUCAUUGUUUUAAUGUACCCAACAGCUUCAAUCUUUUCAAUCAGUUCAUCAAGCUUUCGUUGAAUAUGAAUAAUUUGAGGGUGGCUAACAUCAUCCGCUUUAAAAACAUGAAUCAUAUUCUCAACCUCAAUCCAGCUAUGCCCAGGAUUCUUUUUAAUCCCUCUGUCUCUCAUUAGUUUUCUUACUUGUGCAGAAUCGUUUGACUUUCCAGCAUCACAAUAUAUCUUUGCCAGAAGCAUAUAGCUUCCAGAAUCUUUUGAAUCUAACUCUAAUAGAUGUUUCCCGGCAAGCUCUGCAAGUUCUGCAUUGCCAUAGUUCUUGCAAGCUGCGAGAAGAGCUCCCCAAACUUCAGCACUAGGUUGGAUUGGCAUAUUGACUAUGAAAUUUUUAGCUUCUUCCAAAAGCCCUGCUCUGCCAAGAAGAUCUGCCAUGCAAGAAAAAUGCUCUAAACCUGCGCAUAUGUUAUGAACUCUAGUCAUGGAGUCAAAAUAAAAUUUGCCUUCCUGUACAAGUCCUGAGUGACUACAACCUGCUAAAACUGCAACAUAACUUAUAUAAUCUGGCUUUAUUCCCUUAGCUAACAUACUCUCGAAAAUCUUUAUUGCUUGCUUUCCCAUGCCAUGCUGCGCAUAUCCAGUUAUCAUAGCAUUCCAAGAAACUAAAUCCUUAUUUAUAACUGAAUCGAAAACCUCUCGAGCUUCUGCUAUCUUUCCACAUUUCGAGUACAUUGUGAUAACAGCAUUAGCCACCGAGUUAUCCAAAUUAAGCCCCACUUUAAUGGUAUGGGCAAUGAUCUGAUUGCCAAGUUUAACUGCAGCUAUUUCAGCACAAGCACUAAGCAACGACACGAAUGUAACCCAAUCUGGUCUCACAUCAUUUUCUCUAAGCAUGGCGGAGUACAUUUUGAGGCCCACUUCUUCAUCCCCAUUUUGUAUGUACGUGCCCAACAUUGCAUUCCAAGUGACUAUAUUCUUAGCAGCCAUUUUGUCGAAGAAUGUGCAGGCCUUAUUUAUAUUCCCCGCCUGAGAAUAUGCAGUUAUCAUGCUAGUCCACGAUAUGACAUCUUUCUCGGCCAUUAAAUCAAAGACCAACUCAGCACUCUGAACACUACCGCCCUUUGCAUACAUUGUGAUGAGCGAAUUAGACACAGGAAUAGCUAAAUCACAGCCACUCUUCAAGGAAAGUGAAUGCAACUGACUCCCAAGGCAUACAUCCACCUUGCCACAGCAAGCACUUAUCACAGUUGCUAGCGUGAAUUCAUCAUAAGUGAGAAACUCAGCUCUCAUCUGAUUAAACAAAUCUAUAGACUCAUUGAUGUACCCAUAAGUAGCAAAUCCCCCGAUAAGAGAUGUCCAUGAUACAGUGUUGCGGUCAGUUAAGGAGUCGAAUGUUCGUUUUGCUGCCUUCAGAUCGUCACAUUUGGCAUACAAGUGGACUAGCGCACUGCCAACAAAUGCAUCUAUUCCCAGUUGGGUUCUGAUUAUAUGAGCAUGAAGAUGCUUACCCCAAUCCAAAUUAGAGACAUUAGCACAUGCACUAAGAAUGCUCGUGUAAGUCGUAGAAUUAAGUUCUAGACCAUUGUUACGCAUAUCUUUCAACAUGGAAAGGGCGUCGCUAUCUCGUCCAUGUUGUGACAAUAUUGAUAUCAUCAUAUUCCACGAGACAAUAUCUCGUUCCGGCAUCCUAUCAAACAACUCGAUGGCACGUCCUACACCGUAGAAUCUCGAAUAACCCAAAAGCAUGCUGUUCCAGAAAAAAAGGUUCGGGCUUUCCAGCUGAUCAAACAACUUGGAAGCUAAGUCCAUUGCUCCACAUUUAACAUACAUAUCAACUAGAGCUCCCUCGACCUGCGCAUCUCUUCCAAAAUCAAACUUCUCAACAAAUCCAUGCAAUUGAAGGCCCAACCCCUGACACCGAAGGGCGCCGCAAGCUUUCAUUGUGCACGUGAGCGUAAACAUAUUUGGUCCACAAUCUGCGGAGCUGUUCAUGCAAACAAAAGCCUUUACGGCGUCCGAGAACCGUCCGUUUUGGAAGUACCCCGACAUGAGCGUGUUCCAAGAGGUGGUAUCCCUCACGGGCAUUUCAUCGAACACCUUCACCGCGUCAUCCAAAUGAGCAAACUUGGAGUACCCAUUAAUCAUCAUGUUGUGGGAGAUCACAUUGGGCGCGGCGAUGCCCUCGAAGACGCGGCGCGCGUCGUCGAGGGAGCCGCAGCUGAGGUAGGUGUGGAGGAGGUUGUUCUGGAGGAAGGUGGAGGAGGCGAGGCCGAGGGAGAUGAGGCGCGCGUGGAGGCUCCGCGCGGCGGAGAUGGAGGAGGAGGAGGAGGAGGAGGAGGAGGGGGAGGUCGCGCACGCUCGCAUGGCGUCGGAGAGCUCCUGGGUGAGGGCCAUGUACGCUUGGGGAGAGGGCAUGGGGGUAGAGGAGGAAGGGGUUCGUCUUUGGUGGGAGAAGGGGAGAGGCGAAGAGAGCUUCGAACGAGGCCAUGAGAGCUUGACCAUCCAACAAUGGCGCCUCUUCUCGUGGCGGGGUGUCGCAUUCCACGCUUCGCUCUGAGAGCUCCUCGAAGUGUUUGAUCUGCGCGCGAUCCAAUUGGACUUCGCUAUUCUAUUUAUGGUUUUUUUUUUUUUUUUUUUUUUUUUUUUUUUUUUUUUGAAAAAGCUUACCUGGUACAUUGGUGAAGGGAUCGUCAAUUUACACUCCUUAUUCCAUAAUUCAUAAAAAAUCUAAAUAAUUCAUAAUAAAAAAAAUAUUAAUAUGAUAACUAAAAAAUAAUAGUCCUUGAAUGAAGAGGAUAUAAUUAGCAUUGUUUUUUUGUUUUCUAUGUUUUACGAAAUUUUGUUAAGUUGUAUCUAUACGGGGGAUAAGUAUUGCAGUAACUUCGAAUUUGUUUGGUAACACGGAGCUCCAACCCGUAGAAGACGCAGGUUUUGUCUGUAUACCAACAACUUUACGUGUGACGGACGCAAGGUUGCGAGUUCGCACUGUAUACAAACAUAUCGCUCUAUGAGAUUGUCUUACCCAUGCAAUAAGGUGUGGACAACCGAAAAAGUCGGAGAUUGAAGUUCCUCCAAACUCCGAUGAUCUCGAGUUACACGAGCUCACAAGUUUCGUGCCUGACUUCGAUCUGAACAAACACCCUAAACUCCCUCUCUCCUAGGAGGUUUGAGGCAUUUAGAAAAUAAAUUUUGAUUUGAUGGCAUAAAUGAAAUAGGCAACUCUCUCUCUCUCUCUCUCUCUCUCUCUCUCUCUCUCUCUCUUUCUCUCUCUGGUAUAGAAUAUUUUAGAGUGCUCUAAAAAUAAGUGUUCUAGAAACAAGUGUCUCUACUUGCUAAUAAAGCACUCUAGAGUGCUCUAGAAUAUUCUAGAGUGCUCAAGUUGGUAGGUUGGGAGUCUAUAAAUAGAUGAGGACUCCUAUGUGUGAUGUUGUACGAAACGUGGGUGGUGAGAUAGUGUAGAGAGUGAGAGUGUAUUGAAUAGUGAAGUUAGUGUAUCUUUUAAUCUUUUUGGUGUAUGUGAUAAAACUAUAUAUGAAAAUUAUUUUAUGUGUAAUAAAAAAAAUUUUAUUAUUAGUUUUGUACGCCAAUAUUCUAUAAUAAACCCAACUUUGAGCAAAAUUUCGACUUUUCUUAUUGAUCGAAGGCCAAAGUAACUAUACAAAUUCUCUACUACCACCCUUUUGUUGUGAUAUAAUAUAGAUUUUUUGAUGGUUGACCACUGCAAUGAGGUUUAACACCCAGUCCGAGAUCUAUGACUCAAUUUUUCUGCAACCUUUUUGCAGCUUCAACUAGCUAGCUAUUAGGAUAUUCUGCAUGCACGGAUAGCAAAAAUUUUAAAAAAUAAAGAAAAAUACGAAUUAAAUUAUAAUUUAAAUCAAAUUUUCUGGAUCAAAUAAAAAUAUCCUAAUUGUAGAUACAUCUUACAUCUCUUUUUUUUAAAUAAACUGCUUAAAAACUAGAAAAAAAAAGAUCUGGUAUAAUCUAAUUUUAUUAUUUGAAUUGUGUAAAACCUGAUCCCCGAUCUAGAGUAGUCAAAAAAAUUUAUGUUUGAACACGGAUAUUAAUCCGGAUAAAAUAAUUUGUCUUGACAUGAUUUUCGGACGAAAAUUUUCAUUCGAAUUGUCAAACAAAUGUUUGGAAUUAUUAUAUUUAUUUAAAUACAUCCAAAAAUUGAUAAAAUUAUUCAAGAAAAGAAGAACUCUUCUUCUAACUUCCAAAGAGAGGUUUAUAAAAAAAAAAAUAAAAAAAAAAGGAAAAAGAAAAAAAGCCAGCAUAUAUUGAUGGAACCUACUCGUACGUUGGUGACGUCCUCAUCUGAGUGACAAUAAUAAUAAUGAUAACAUUUCAUUUAAGUGACAUAAUUAAUAUAAUAAGAUCUUCUAGCAUUAUGCUUUGAGGGUCAUUACAUCAACUUUAGGAGCAAAAUUUUCCAGCAUGAUGUAACACAUGAAAAUAAAAAAAACAUCACAAUCAAAAUAGUUUCAAUGACUCAGCAUUCAUAUUUUUCCACCAGAUUAUUGAUUCAAUUCAACUGCUAUAUAAGAACAACCAACUCAACGCAAUCGCGACCUAACGUACCAAAAUGCAAUAAAAAAUUAAAAAUUAAAAAAAUUAAAAUAAUCUUAAUAUUUGUACUCAUAUGUAUGAUCCGUAUUAACAUGUUGCGUCUACUGACUAAAAAGACCUAUAAAGUGUUAAAUGGAAGAGAUUUAAUCCAUUAAACAAUACAUAUAAAAGAAAACAAAAUUAUAAUCUUGUGCAUGAUCCUACUUUGAAAUCAUAUUUCAAAAGAUUUUAUAAUAUUAUUAAUGUGCUAAUCAAUUUAUAUGUUAUGUUAGAAUUCAUGUACGAGCUAAUUAAAAAUUAAUGAAUUAGAAAAUACAAAUAAAUAUAUUUUAGAGGAUCAGAAAUAAAUAUAUUUUUGUUUAUAUAUACAAUAAUGCAUAUUCUGUUCGCAUGUAUGAAUAUCUGAUUUAAAAUAUUUUUUUAAUAUAUAUUAUAAUAUAUAUAUAUAUAUAUUUAUUUAUUUAUUUAAUAUGUCAGAAGCGUGACUUUUAGAUUAUUUUUUAAAAAAUUUAUUUCAACAUUGAAAUAGGAUCAUAAAAAAUAGAAAUCAAAUUUAGACUUUUGUACUUUUUUAAGUAUCAUAUGAAAUAAUUAUUGAAUGUCUAUAAAAUUAUAUUUUAAUAAAAAUAAUUAUUUAAUGUCUAUUAAAAUUAUAUUUAAUAUUUUUUUAUAUAUUCCAUGAGCCAUGUGGCAUCCAUUGAUUGGUUCGAUCAUCGGUGGGUAGGACACGUGUACGAAAAUAACAAGGUGGGGACCAGUGACGUCAACUGACGGCCUCAUCUCCUAUUGAACCUGGACACCUGUCUCCUGUGGUGUCAGGCAUAUUUCUUUUUUUAUUAUAUAAAAAAUAAAUAUUUUUAUUUUUAUUUUUUUAUUUAUUUUGUUGGGUUCCGUAGGAGUCGCUACCGCACCACGGCACCCGAGACCCGCCUCAUCUCCGGAGCACUUUUGUCGUCUUCGUCCACGUGGCCACGCCUCCUUUAAAAUGCACCGAUACAAAGCAUUUUAUAUAAUUUUAUGCGCAAAAAUUUUUAAAAAACUUUAAAAAUCCUCCUGUGAUUUCGGAGUUUUUUAUUUUGCCUCCUUAUGGUUUAAAAUAUAUCAAUUUACUUUUCUGUGAUUUCUUUUUUCUCUUUUUCUGAUCAAUUUUAUUAUUUUUUUCUUAAAUCAGUGAUAAAGUUAAAAUUAAAGAAUACUAAAAUAUAUAUUUGAUAAAUCUAGAUGGGUAUCUGAAGUUUUUUUUGUAUAUAAUUUAAUGAAAUAUUAACGAAAAAGCUACCGAAAAGAUAAAAACGAAACCACAGGAGGACAAAUUGAUAUAUUUUAAACCACAUGGGGGCAAAGUGAGAAACUACGAACCGACAGGGGGGUUUUUGAAGUUUUUCCAAAAUUUUAUAUAUACAAAAUUAUUUUAUCAUAGCAAUCUAACCGUACAGUACAACGACGAGAUCGAUUUGGACCAGUGAUAUCAAACCCAUGAACUUGCACGGUGAGAUCGAACUAGACAAAUCAAUCAAUUACUCUGGAUGGUGUAUUAAACUCAAAUAAGUGGACUUGUACCGAACUCACCGCUAUACAGUAUACACAACUUUGUCCGGAUAUAGAAGUACGUCACGUUCGCGAGUUAUAUUUGUAUUUGGUUAUGGAUAUAUAUACAAUAAUCUCUAUCAAUUUACAGUAAAUUUUUAAAAUUUUAAUUUAUGAACAUGUUGUUUUAGUCGUAUUAACAUUGUCGUGUUUGACGGACCGUCCCUAAAGCAAGUGGUAAAGGAUUUGAUGGUUGGUACCCGAGGUCUCAAGUUCGAAUCCUAAUUGAUUCACAUUUCAAGCUAAAUUUAUUUUUAAAUAAAAUAAACGAAACGACUAACGUGUUACCUACGAGAGAAAAAAAAUAAAUAUUGUUGUGUUUGCGACUUUAGCAUAUUUGUAUUAUCAUGUCGUGUCUAAAUUGAAGCGACUGGAAUCGCAUUGGAUUCUAGAUUUCAUCACACGUGGCACGCUUUUUAAAGCGCGAUGGAUUCGCGUGGAAAAAAAGUUAGAAGCUCUUCCACGCAUGAAGAGGAAUCGCACACAAUCCUUGGCAAAAUUAUUAACGUAAUUAAUAACUAAAAAAAAAGUAAUAUGAAACUAAAACGGUAUUAAUUAAAAAGAAAAAAGUGAGAAUGCUAUUUCAGAGGAACCUAGUUUAUCCCUCAGGACUUGGAUAGAUAAUGCAUCUCAAAACUUAGAAAAUAUAUAAUUUAUCUGUGAUUUUCAAAAUCGCCCUUUUUGUUUUCAAAUUUAUCUCUGAAAAUAUCAUGUUCAUUCAAAUAUGCUUCUGCGCGCCCUUGAAAAAUUAUUGAGAAACUUUGAAUUUUUACAGAAUAUCGUCGUGACGAAUAUAGGAAUAAAUUUUAAAAAAUAUAGUGUGGCAUGCUCAGUAAUGAGAUCUCGAACCAAAUUAUAUAUACAACUCACAUGCCGUAAGAGAAGCAAAAUGGGGACAACUCACUUUCUGCUUAUUUGCACUAAUAAUGCACUCAUUUGUUGUUUCUUGUACGCAAUUACUAGACAUAUAUUGACUCUAACUGUAUUGCUGUAUCAGCAUCUAAAUAUUGUAACUAAAAGAGCAAAAAGAGGUUAUGUUGAUAUAUUUAUAGAGAGAGAGUUCGUACUUUUAUCAGUGUUUUUUUUGUACUCAUAAGUUUUCGGCCGUUAAAUUUAUUCGUUAGAUCAUACUAUUCAACCAACUACCCGUUCAAUCUUAGAAGGCUGGUAUCAUUCUAACAUGAAACAGCUAUUAUCCUAACCGCACAUCCCUUCCAUCCAACGACCGAAAUUUAUGAGUAUAAAGGGUUUUAUGCUCAUAAGAGUAUAGUAGACUUGGCAUAUAUAUAUAUAUAUAUAUAUAUAUAUAUAUAUAUAUAUAUUUUCGAGAGAUAGGUAGCAAACUACCUGUUUCGUUUUUUUCUAUUUAGAAAUAAACUUAGAUAGAAUUGUGAAUCAACUAAAAUUCGAACUUGGAUACUCGGGCAUAUUGGUGCUAUUACAUUUUCGGUUCUUGGAUGAAGAGAUGCGCGGUUAGGAUGGUUGUGGUCCUCUAAGAUUUGGUGGGUGGUUGGUGAAAUAAUAUGAUAUAAUGGGUGGAAAUGGUCUUAGGAUCUAAUGGUGGAAAACUUGGUAGCACCAAGUAUUUGGUGCUUUAUAGCAUCGUAGUCGAACUAUAUAUAUAUAUAGUAGAGCUACUAUGCUAUCGGAAGCAUAGAGGAUCUGGUGCUUCCGAUUUUUUGGUCCUUAGAUCAACCCCUUUAAUCAUUUCUAAUAUUUGGAUUAAUACUAUUAUCUUGUGGGGACUACUCAACCCUAGGGGUACUACUCAACCCUGGGGGACCGCAAUCAUCCCAACAGUAUAAUUUUUGAUCUAAUGGUCAAAAAGUUGGAAGCAUGAGAUUCUCUAUACUUCCGAUAGCAUAGUAGCUCUACACACACACACACACACACACUCACACAUCUAUAUAUAUAUAUAUAUAUAGAAUUGGGCUCAUAUGCUUUUAAAAGUACCAAGUUAUUGGUGCUUAUAGAUUUGUGGCCAUUGGAUUAAGGAAUGUGCGAUUAGGAUAAUGUGCCUCCUAGGGUUGAGUGGGUGGUUGGUUGAAUAAUAUAAUCUAACGGUUAAAAAUGAUCAAAGGAGUAGAUCUAACAGUACAAAAUUUACAAACACCAAGCUACCGUUUGGUUCGGGGUUAAGAAAAAACUAGUUAUUCCAGGGAUAUGGUUAAGUUCAGGAUUAAGGUGGGGUUAGAGUAUUUUUGUGUUUGGUUGGGGGUUGGAGUUAGUCGAGGAUAGUGAAAAAUAGUGUUUGGUUAGAAUAGGUGGGAUAAGAAAGAUAGUGGGUUAUUAUGAAUAGAAAAUAAUGUUUGGUUGAGGUUUGGUGGGGUUAAGUGGGGUUAGCUAACCCGGAAUAGCCUAUUUGAGGUGGGGUUAGCUAACCUCACCCAUUUUUAGAGUGUUUGGGGAUAAUAUGGGGGUUAAGGGGUUAUUCCACCCCUAAACCCCCAACCAAACAAAGGCCAAGUGUUUGAUGCUUUUACAAGCACCAUAGCCGGACUCUCUCUCUCUCUCUCUCUCUCUCUCUCUCUCUCUCUCUCUCUCUAUAUAUAUAUAUAUAUAUAUAUAUAUAUAUGUAUAUAUAUAUNNNNNNNNNNNNNNNNNNNNCUAUAUAUAUAUAUAUAUAUAUAUAUAUAUAUAGAGAGAGAGAGAGAGAGAGAGAGAGAGAGAGAGAGAGAGAGAGAGAGAUAUAUAGAGAGAGAGAGAGAGAGAGAGAGAGUUGAGAUAGAAUACUCUGAAAAGCACAAAGAGGGUGGUGCUUUUGAGUUUUUAGCCAUUGAAUGGAGAGAUAUAAGGUUGGGAUGAUGAUGGUAGAUGGUGGUAGGUGGAAUAGUGUUUAAUCCAAGCGCUAUUAGUUAUCAAGGAGUAGAUCCAAGUGCUAGAAACCUAAAAGCACCAAGGAGUUGGUGCUUCUAAAAGUAUUCUAGCUCAAUUAUAUAUAUAUAUAAUUGAACUCUUAUGCUUUUAAAAGCACCAAAUUAUUGGUUUUUAUAGAUUUUCAGCCUUUGGAUGAAUAUUUGUAGGGUAAGAUAAUAGUGACCCCAUAGGGUUAAGUGGAUGAUUUGUGGAAUAAUAUAAUCUAAGAGAUAGAAUUGGUCAAAGAAAUAGAUUUAACAAUAAAAAAAACUUAAUAGUACCGGUGCUUUUAAAAACUCCAUAUCCAAACUCUCUCUCUCUCUCUCUCUCUCUCUCUCUCUCUCUCUCUCUCUCUCUCUCUCUCUCUCUCUCUCUCUCUCUCUCUCUCUCUCUCUCUCUCUCUCUCUCUCUCUCUCUCUCUCUCUCUCUCUCUCUCUCUCUCUCUCUCUCUCUCUCUCUCUCUCUCUCUCUCUCUCUCUCUCUCUCUCUCUCUCUCUCUCUCUCUCUCUCUCUCUCUCUCUCUCUCUCUCUCUCUCUCUCUCUCUCUCUCUCUCUCUCUAUUAUUAUUAUAUAUAUUAUGCAGUAGUAAUUAUGAUAAGCCAAUUUUUUGAAUUAAUAAAGUUCCACUUUAGGGAGGCACAAAAAGCUGAAAAAUAGGGGAAUUAAAAAAAAUUUUCCUUUUAAAAUGAAAUUUUUUUUUAAUAUUUUUGGUCCGUAUAAAACGAGGGUGGAGAAGGGAACAGCGAAACACUUUCACGUUCCCUUCACGUAUUAUCAACUCUCUUUCUCCCUCACUUGGCUUCUUUCCUCUUCCGUUCACUUUGACGGGUAGCUUGGGAGGGGAAAAAAAUGACGUUUUAUAUUAUGGGUCGCGUAGAAGAACCAAAAUUUGGGAUAUUUGGGGGGUCUCCUCGCUAUUUGGAGCAGUAAAAAUCGUGUAGAUUCCAGCGCAUUCUUAGUGGAGCAACAGUGUUAAGUCUUUUAAGUGUGGUCACAGCGGUAACAGAGCAUGAUUGGGUGUACUUGAAGAUAUUUAUUUUUUAUUUAAAAAAGCCCCCUUUGGCUCUUCUUGAUUGGAGACACCUGAAGGUUCCCGAGGAGAAGUAACAAAAAGUAAUUCCAACUCCUCAGAUGGGUAUUUGAGAAUACGAGCUCAUUCGAUCUCUGGGUGGAGAAAACCCUAGCAAGGUGAGACCUUUACGCGUAUUUUUAAGCUUUUCUGGUGCUUUUGGGUGGAGACACGGAAAUAUUUAUGAUUUAUCAAGUCGGUACUUGAGAAAACGAGCUCAUUUGAUCUCUGGGUCGAGGACACCAUAGAAAGGUGUGACCUUUACGGGGAAUGUUGGGUUUUUAUUUAUAUUUCUUUGGGGUGCUUUUGAGUGGUGAGGAUAAGCGCUUCCCAGGGAGUGAGAGAGUUUAGUGUGUCUAGUAGUGGUUGGGGAAGUGUAGGGGGAGCUUUUCGUAUUGGUUUUGCUCCAUUUUUUAAGCUUUCCCAAUUUGGGGUGGGGUUGGGUUGUUGUGCACCUUCCUCUGAGCUUUUGUCCGUACACGGAGACCCUGUAAAGGGCACACGGGGAGAGAGAGAGAGAGAGAGGAAGAGUUAGGGUUUCCACGGAGCUAGGGUUUCGGGUGAGCUUAUUGUCGCCGCACUUGUUCCUAAUUCCACCUCGCUCCUUGGGUGUGCUCAAAGUUUUAAUCUUUGUUUCCAUAUCUGCUUAUUCGUUGUUACUGAUCUUCGCUUUGUUUACAGUGAGGUAGGGAACUCUCUGUGAUUUCUCCUUUUGAUUUAAUGCCCAAAUAAGUGGUGAUUGGAUUGAGAUUCCACAAACUUUGAGUUUGGAUUGUGAUUUGUGUGCGCCAAGGUUUCUCAUUCAGGUAAUUGAUUUGUUCCUUUCCUAGAAGAGAUGGCGGGGGCUGCUCUAGUUGCCAUCGCAGCUUCGAUCGGGAACUUGUUGCAGGGAUGGGACAAUGCUACGAUUGCCGGUGAGUUUCUCGAUCGAAGUACCUGGCUUUAUUUAGGUCUUAUGUCACUUCAGAGUAAUCUUCAAUUUUUCCUGGUUGAUUGAGAAUUCUUAUGCAAUCGUUUGAGUAACUGGAGCCUGUUUUUAGGUUUUGUUAUUUUUCCUUUAACUGUUUGCCACUUAUAUAUGCCAUGGCUCCUUGGUCUUGUUUGAUUAUUGAGGCCUUGCAAUAUACUGUUCGAGUUCUUGUUCUGAAUGAGGAUUGCAUUGUUCAAAAUAAACCAAAGCUUAAUAUUUCGGCAGGAGCUGUUCUGUACAUAAAGAAAGAAUUCAAAUUGGAAAGCGAGCCGACAAUCGAGGGGCUAAUCGUGGCCAUGUCACUCAUCGGGGCCACCAUUAUAACAACGUUCUCCGGAGCAGUAUCCGACUGCGUCGGCAGGCGGCCUAUGCUAAUCGUCUCAUCCGUCCUCUACUUCGUUAGCGGCAUCGUAAUGUUAUGGUCUCCCAAUGUCUAUGUCUUGCUCUUAGCAAGGCUUAUAGAUGGCUUUGGUAUCGGUUUGGCCGUCACUCUUAUCCCUGUAUAUAUUUCGGAGACUGCCCCUGCGGAUAUAAGAGGAUUGUUGAAUACGCUGCCGCAAUUCAGUGGUUCGGGAGGGAUGUUUUUAUCUUACUGCAUGGUAUUCGGGAUGUCAUUAAUGCCUAAGCCGGAUUGGAGAAUAAUGUUGGGAGUGCUCUCAAUUCCUUCACUCUUGUACUUUGCAUUAACUGUAUUUUAUCUACCGGAAUCACCAAGGUGGCUUGUGAGCAAAGGGCGAAUGUUGGAGGCCAAACGGGUUUUACAGAGAAUACGUGGAAGGGAAGACGUCUCAGGUUUGUUGUGCCAAUGAUACAUAAUUCUCUCUGAUUAACAAUCACACCUCUAUGUGUGGAAUGGAUUAUUCUUAGCUGCUUCUUUGCUACGAUUUCUUACUGUUUGUUUUCCUUGUAAAUCAUGAAUACUUGAAAUUUUAGGUAGAGCAUAAGAGAGAAUCUUCAGCUGCUCAAUCAUCUGUACAACCACAUACUCAAUAGUGUUGGUUCGUUUUCAAACUGUUCAUAGUUUAUCAUUGUAUUCGAUAUUAUGAAGAUGCUUGUGGACCACAGGAAUUUUCAACUUUACUAAUUAUUCUCAUAUUGAUGGAUUUUCAACUUUACUAAUUACUCCCAUAUUGAUGGAGAUACUUACAGGCCAAUUGCUUCUCAGCAUCAUAUUCUUUCAACUGUAUGAAUCUAUUUUAAGGUUAAGCGAAUUGAUUCAUAGCAUGAUGUAUGACAUGAUAGAUAUAUUUGAACCUCGUCCCAAGUUAAUAUUACUGAAGGAACAGAGUUAAAGUCAAUUUUUACUAUUCUGCUAAUAUUCUGUAUACUUAGCAUUUUCUCUGCCAUUAUAAAUUAUUUCCUACUUGUAUAUCUUAAGAUGUGUAUAAAGCAUGUAUGUAAUGCUAAGAUAUUGGAGUGUCUCCUUGAACUCAGAAAAAAGGCCUCUUUUCUGACCAUACUCAGCAAAAUAGUUCAUUCAACUGAUUGUUUCAUAUAAAAAUUGUGCGAGGAUAAGCUUACUCGUCUAUUCAUUAUUUUUCCAUAACAACCGAUACUUGUUUUUUUUUUUUUUUUUUUUCUCACCUCAAAGUUAGUGUGAUUAAUAAUAUGAGCGAGCUUAGCAACAACACAACGGUACAUUUGAGCCACUAAAUGGAAAUUUUUUGUUCAAUUUCAUAGGAGAAAUGGCCCUACUUGUUGAAGGCUUGGGAGUCGGGGGAGACACGUCCAUCGAAGAGUACAUCAUCGGGCCGGCCAAUGAGCUCAUCGAUGACCAAGGUGAGACCGUCGAUAAGGAUCAAGUCACAUUGUACGGCCCCGAAGAAGGUCUAUCGUGGGUUGCCCGACCCACUAAGGGACAGAGCGCCCUGGGAAGUGCCCUGACCAUCGUCUCUCGCCAUGGUAGCGUGCAGAACCAAAAUAUACCUCUAAUGGAUCCUCUAGUCACUCUUUUCGGCAGUGUCCAUGAAAAACUUCCCGAAAUGGGAAGCAUGCGGAGCACACUAUUUCCCAAUUUUGGGAGCAUGUUCAGCGUAGCAGAACAACAACCCAAAACUGAGCAGUGGGAUGAGGAGAGUCUUCACAGAGAGGGUGAAGACUACGCAUCUGAGGAUGCAGGAGGCGACUCUGAUGAUAAUAAUCUUCAAAGCCCAUUGCUUUCUAGGCAAACAACGAGCCUGGAGGGAAAAGAGAUAACCCAAGCACAAACCGGUCAUGAUAGCAUAUUGAGCAUGGGAAGAAAUAGCAGUCUCAUGCGGAGAAGUACUACUGGUGAGGCAGUGAGUAGUAUGGGAAUUGGCGGGGGUUGGCAACUAGCAUGGAAAUGGUCGGAAAAAGAAGGGGUGGAUGGAAAGGAAGGUGGGUUUAGGAGAAUCUAUUUGCACCAAGAGGGUGGGGCCGGUUCACGGAGGGGUUCGCUUCUUUCGAUUCCAGGUGGUGAAACCCCCGAAGAGAGUGAGUUUGUUCAGGCUGCUGCAUUGGUGAGCCAGCCCGCUCUUUUCUCUAAGGAGCUCAUGGACCAGCACCCAGUGGGGCCCGCAAUGCUCCACCCGUCGGAGACGGCUGUUAAGGGUCCGAGGUGGCACGAUCUCUUCGAACCUGGAGUGAGGCAUGCGUUGAUUGUUGGAGUCGGGAUUCAGAUACUUCAGCAGGUAACGAUGGUUUUAAUUUUGGGGGAAACAGAUGGUGAUUACUUUGUGUUUGGUUUUGUCAUUCUGUCCGCAUGUUUUUUCGCACUGGAUGUGAUUGUUUAUCCUGAUGAAGGUAGCUAUAGAUGUAAUUACUCUUUAAAUGUGCUUUCUCAUGAGAACCAGCUUAAUUUGCUCUAAAAGAAUGACUCUACGCUCGUUCUAUUUGGCUUUGCUUAUCGUCACGGAAUAACCAACACAUGUUAAUUAGUAUACUUCUACAUAUGGCUGUUAAAUAGCUUUACAUUGUUAUUACUUUCCAAUCCUUUCUGGCUAUAAUAUUAUCUUGGGUUUCUCACGUCCUCUUAUCCGCUGGAAAAUAGCAAUGCAUGCAACCCGCAAAACAUCAAGCAGUUUGCACCUCGCAAUUGCCGUAUUUUAUACUCUUUCAUCGAACUAAUAUGCCUAUUGUCGACCCCCUCGCCUUUAUAUAUCAUUAUCUUCUGUAUUACUUUUGUCUGUUAGUAACUAUCCCUUACUUUCGUUACCUCCGCAGUUUGCUGGCAUAAAUGGGGUCCUCUACUACACUCCUCAGAUACUCAAGCAAGCCGGCGUCGAAGUUCUUCUUGCAAACAUUGGUAUCAGCUCUGAUUCGGCAUCUAUUCUUAUCAGUGCCAUCACAACCCUCUUGAUGCUUCCUAGCAUCGGCAUUGCCAUGAGACUAAUGGAUAUUUGUGGGAGAAGGUUCUCUCUCUUUCCCCUCUAACGCUUCUCUCGCUUCCACAUAUUUGUAUCGUUGUGGUGCAACCAUUGCACUAGUAUACAUAGCAAAAAGGUACAAUAAUUGUGCCCCUUUAUGCAGGUUCCUACUUUUGGCGACAAUUCCGAUCUUGAUAGCUUCUUUAUUUGUCUUGGUUGUGGCUAACGUGGCCCAGCUGAGCACGGUCCUCCACGCGGUGCUCUCCACCAUUAGCGUCAUCAUUUACUUCUGCUGCUUCGUGAUGGGGUUCGGCCCGAUCCCGAACAUCCUCUGUGCGGAGAUAUUCCCUACUUCGGUCCGCGGCGUGUGCAUCGCGAUCUGCGCCCUCACCUUCUGGGCCGGGGACAUCAUCGUAACCUAUACCCUCCCCGUCAUGUUGACCGCAAUCGGGCUCGCUGGUGUGUUCGGAAUCUAUGCCGUCGUCUGCGUGUUCGCUUUUAUAUUUGUUUUCUUGAAGGUUCCGGAAACGAAGGGAAUGCCUCUCGAGGUCAUUACCGAGUUCUUCGCAGUCGGGGCGAAGAGGGCGCAGGCUGCUAAAAGCUCAUCAGCUGUUCUCGGCUAACUGUACUAUUAGUUGCACCCUGAUCGCUUAUCCCUGGAAGCGACAUAGUCAAUGCGAGAGAGAAAGAGGAGCAAAUAAGGAUAAGCUAGGGCUUCAGCUAGGGUGAUGAUGGAUGACUUGGUUACUCUAUUUGGCUAUGAGGAAUUUUAAGUAGAAAAUCUAAAUAAUUGCUUCUUUUUUUUUUUUUUGGUUCUUUGUUCUAUUUUGGUUUCAAUGUUUCUUGUCGCAUUGUAUUUUGUUUACACUGGGAUAUUUGUUUUGUAACUAUCAUUGUGUUGUUGUACGAGGUGGGCGCAUCUUAGUUCCAGUUUCUUAGUCUGAGAAAUCAUACUAUGCUGAAACAAAAUGCUCUGAGAGCCUACUAUUUAACACUCAACUGUGCAGUAUACAACCGAUCGUCACUAGAGCAAGUGACAAAAGGUUUGGUGAUUGGUACCUAAUAUUCAAGUUCGAAUCUUAGUUGAUUUACAUUUCUUACUAAGUUUAUUUCUAAAUGAAAUAAACGAAGCGGAUAGCGUGCUACCUAUUUCUUAAAAAAAAAAAAAAAAACUGUGCAGUAUACAUCAUGAAAAUCAUGGAGGCCCCUAUUGUAGGAUCCAAAAUGAACUAAAAUAAUAACAACAAACUUGAAAUAAUCUAUAUAUGCAGGUAUUAGAUAAGGAGGGGUGUUAUACUAGAUUUGAAAUUAAUUGCUGUGUCGCGGAAAUGCUGUAGAGGUCUUAGUCUCAUGAUGUGGUCUUAUACUAAACGGGGGUGUUGUGUCAUUUUCGAGGGGGAUGAGAUACAUUUGAAUGAUUCAUUUCUCCUCUCUCCUGAUUGGUUAUGAGGCAACUUACGUGAUGGUUACAUUCCACUGAUUUGUUGCUUUUGGUACUUCUAGUCUAAUUAUUUCCUAAAUCUACGCAAUGAGAGGGCCUGAUUGAUUUUCACCACUGGCGGCAGCCUGAUGACGUUUAUCAGCUGUAAGGGUGGGGUGGACAGCGAUAGUGCAUAAAAAUUUUCUGUGCAUGAGAAUCCGCAGCGUCAAAUAAUAUCUGCCUGCCGUCCCAUAGUAUCAAAAUCUUGAAUUUAAAAUACCUAAAAAAAUAAAAUAAAAUAAAUCUUAGAUUUAAGAUGAUGUGGCAGACAAAAUCAUUUCAACUCUCUGCAUUAAAGCAAAUGUUAGUACCACAUUUUGGUGCCGGCCGAACUAUCCCACCCAUGAUGGGUUGGGGAAGGUCAGAAUAAAAAAAUGAUUAACAUAACUCAAGAAAUGAUUAACAUCUUUAACACAAUUAAUAUCAGUAAGUUUUAGUUUAGUAUUGAGAUCUAUCUGACGUUAUUGUAUAAAAUAGGAUUAGGAUAAAAGUAUAUAGAGAUGUGCUUAUGUAUUAUCCGAUGGAACCGCAGAAAAUAUAUUAUAAUCGAUUUAUUGUGAUAUACAGAACGCAAUAUUACGUAAAGAAAUAAACAAAAUAUUUUUCUAUUGUAUUUUCUCACCGAACGUAACGCAAUCUCUCUGUAAUUCCAAACGAAGCCUAAGUUACCUCUGCAGGCUUUCUCUAGAAGAAAAAAAAAAAAAAGAAAAAAAGGAAAAGAAAAGAAAAAGAGUUAAUCAUGAUCAUUCCUCACAGCUUAUUUUCACAACUAACAUGUUAUCUAAACAUUGUAAACAAAACCUGAGCCCAGGUUAGACAUUAAUCUAGCCGCACUUACAACUCCUUGGUCGAUAAAAGCCCCGCCACACUAUCUUGUUCGAUUUGGAGAAUUCGUUAAAUCAUUUACUUUGGUUAAGUAAUCGCACUCUGCAUUUAUCUUACAUCCAGGCCCGCGAAUUUAACCGUUUUAACGUAUGGUCACACGCAUUUUUAUCAUUCAAUUCUAUAGAUAGUAGAAGAAUAGUGAUUACUGUAAACCAUAAUAAAACAUCACAGGAGUGAUUAGAAUUUAUUUGAUUUAGAAAGAAGCACAACGAACGAAUCGGAAGCAAUAAGAGGAAAGUCAUUCAGUAAGAUCUACAUAUAAUUUCCUUUUGGCCAAACAAAACAACACGUAAAAGAAAAAUGGACCUGUAUCUCAUCUCUAUUUUCUGAGACUCGUACAACAAAACUGCAAGUUGACUUUGAAAAUUUUCUAUUUACAGAAAACUAUCCAAACAGCUAUUGAAAGUAACAUUGAAUUGGUCAAUCUAAGUUUCCAUUCAAUUCAUGUCGUGACCCGCUAUCGGAAAUAUCAAAGUCCUCGCCGGACUUCGACGCAAUGUGGUUGUUCUUGUUAUUAGCAGGCUUACUGUUUUCCGGCGGCUCUUGUGGUUUCUCCGAUGACUUGAAUUGUGGAUGCUGAAACAAGUAAGCACAGUGUUAAGCUUGCAAAGUCCUUUAAUGCAUGAUAUCUUCUAUAUCACAUAGUUAAGUAACAGAAGAGCCAUAUUCUUUGACAUGUACUGGAAGACUCGAAAGUUAUUUGAAAAAAAAGAAAAGAAAGUCUGCUGAAAAACUUGUCCGGACAAAAAAUGAAACAGUGUACAAAAAAUAACAGUUGAUCUUUAGCUAACUUGAAUAUUUGAAUAUAAGAGUAAAUUAUCUGCAAUAUACUUCCAGUAUCUUAUUUUCUUCCUCAUAUCCUACAUACUAUGAAUUACACCAAAAGAUGAAGAGAAUAGUAAAUGAGCACUCACAUCUCGUAGAGAUUGCAGUUUCUUCUGCAACGCUUCAUGCUCAGCUUUAACGCGAAAGGGAACGCCGUCCUUUUGAUACACAUUGCUUUUGGCGAUGUCCUCAUCGAUGUCAAUGGAAGUAGCUGCAAAUGGGUGAUUGGCUGGAAUCCAUCUGAUCGUCUCAGGAUCGACAUUUGGUGGUACGGAAUCACCUUCUUUGAGAAAAACCGUUGGCCUCUUCCACUGGUAUGCACGCGAUCUCCUCUUCUGAUGGAUUGAUUGCUGCUCUUUGGUAAGGGUAACAGGAGCCAAGCGAUAAACCUUCCCAAACAUUUGAAUAGUUGAAUUAUCCUUGUCCAUCUUUACUAAAGGAUUGUUAAAAGGGUCGUCAUAUUUUAAAGGCUUUGUGCUGCAGAGAGAAGAAACCAUUAAAGCAUCACUAUAGCAUAGUGAAACGAACAAAAUGCAUAUCAUUCAUUUGAAAGCCUUCAUAAUUGAUAUGCAUAAGCCGGACUAUGUAAUAGAAGUACACAGCUAAAUCUUAAGAAAUUGACCAAAGCCAUUCUAUGCGUUAUUCAGAUAUGAUUAUGUAUUUGUAGGAACAAGCAAGAUGAAAUUGGAUAUAACUAAAGACCCAAAGAACAUACAUGCCUCUUCGAUCAGAUUUUAACUGGCCACGCCUUACAAGGUCAGCAACAGAACCUUGGUUGCUCUGGCUCUGCAUUUUAAGCAUAAUUUGUCUUGCAACAAUCAUCAAAAUUGCAAAUGUUAUGCAUACACCAAGAGUGAACUUUGAAUCAAUAUUUUUUCUCACCUGCAAAAACCAAAAAAUAAAUCUCAGAGAGGAUGAAAAGGCGUGGAAAGCAUUAUAGAACAAAUGCAGAAAAAGAAUUUACAAUAUUUGCUUUGCUCUCAAAUAGGCACAUGGCACUAUGAAAAAUAGUACUACUCAAUGAGGAAAACAUCCCUAGUUGCACCAAUUAUUGAGAACGAAAAUCCCCACUCAUGCAACCAAACUUCAGUUGAUAUUAAUAGAUCAUAGGUUAAAAUUACUGGCCAUAAAGUGGGAGACAAUUUAAUUCCACGUAAAUAAAGUAAUACCACAGAAGCUAUAAACUCAUACAGCAGCAUGCAAAGGCUAACAUGUCCCUCCUUCAGUUUUCAUAGAUUUACAAAAUGUAUAAAUAUCAUUAAGGUUUGCAGCAAGAAAUGAUUACUAAUGCGAUAACUAGAAUAACUUGUUGGGCCCAAACAAUCGGCCCAAAAUGCUUAUUCCAUUUAUUAUUACUAGAGCUCUUACCCAUUGGAGCAUCACAAACUCCUCCUAUUUAAACCCUAGCAUUCUCGCCAGGUUCGAUACCACCCUAGCCUAUGAUCACCAAGUGAUGUGAGACCCAUCUCACUCUUCCAGCUGGCAAACCGGCUUUAAUACCAAAUAUAACGACCCAGCUUAUUAGCAUUAAUAACUCGUUGGACCCAAACUAUCGGCCCAAAAUGCAUAAGUAUAAUAUUAUUAUUAUACUAGAGCCCUUAGCUAUUGGGGAGUCACAGUUACCAAAAGCAAAUUCAAAUAACUGUUGGUUUAAACGAAGGCUAUAUACUAAACUCUUUCACUUUGCUUUGAUUUUGGAUAAAACUACCAAAAUUUCAUAGGAAAUAUUGCAGCAUUUCCAUGGAUUUUCAUCAAGGCGGAAUUUUCAUCAAGGCAGCAUAUUUUGUGAUUGCACAAGUAGUUACAUGAAUAUAUACAUUUAAGCAUGUAAACUCCGACUUUUACUGCUAAAAUAAAGAAUAAAUGCUAUCAAAAUAAAAAGAGAGCAAAAUGAUCGCACCGCGAGCACGGAUGAGGGCAGAGCAACCACCAUUUCCCUUAGAGAACCAAUUUUUCCUUCCGCGAAGAAACCCAACUCAUUCUUCUCCACCUCCCCACGAACUCCACCCCCCACACCCCCCUCAUCCUUAGCCGGAUCAACAGAGUGCCCAUCCGAAGCCCUAACCACAAAGACCCACCGCGAUCUCCCGCGACAACCGAAUCCCAAAUUGGUAAAACGCAAACCCUUCAAUUCGCGAGUUCGAUUCUACAAAUUGAGAAAUCCAAUCGAAACAGUAAGAAAUUGGGAUUAGGGCACGAAAUGGGAGGAGGAGAGGGGUCGAGAAGUUACCCUAUAACGGGGGGAUUGGAUCGAGAGGAUGCAGAGCGCCCCGGAAGCGGACGCCAUUGUCGCCUCAACAUGAAGGAUGGAGCGGAUCGAGGGCUAGGGUUAGCGACGCGCGGAAGCGACGAUCGCCUCACGUUGAGCUAGGGUUUAUGUUGGAACGGUGAAGAGCGGGUUCCGAACAGUGAGAGGCGAACCGAGUUUUUGGCAUUUUCGGGACUUUGAUUGGAUGUGGUCCACCACGUCAGCAAAAAAAAGGCUCUUACUUUUGUUUCACUCAAGAGGCUUGAAAAUUUAAAUAUAACAAUAUUUAACAUGAUUUAUAGAAAAAUUACUUUACAUAUUAAAGAUAUUACUAUGGGAGCUUUUUAGCUCCAAUACUAGGCUUUUUCUCAAUGACCACGCAUCUAUCUUCUCUUUGAGAAAAUUAAAAUUUUUUUUUUAACUCGACAUAUUUUUAUUUUCUGACCAUACAGUAAUUAUAUCCAUUCAAUAUCGACAGAUUGAAUACAUGUUUAUCACUGAUGAGCUAUAGAGUUAUUUUUCUGUGAAUGAAAUUCCAUUCCAAAAAGGAUUUAUUAAUAUUUUUAACUGUAGAAACAUAUUGGAUCUAAAUAAAGUGCCUUCCAAUAAAGAAGUUUCCAAGGGUGUGGGAAGACGAUUAUUAGAGUGAGAGAUGGAAACAAUAUCACUAGUGGUCUACUACAUCUUCUAGGAGCCAAAAUUUAGUGGGGAUUAAAUCAACAAUAAAGUAUUACUAAACAAGCAAGAGAUCUUAAUGCAUCACAUUAUAUACCAAAAAGUUACUAAUACUACGCGACUUUAGUGAAAGAUCUUCAUUGAAUGAGGAGAUAAGUUAUAGUUUUAUAGGGGCAGUGGUGGAUGGUGGAGAGAAGGGCUUCGACUUCCCCUUUAUUUUGUGUUGGAUUCAACUAAUUAAAAGGGCACACCAAUGCCAAUCCACUAAUGUAGAAGGAAAUUUAAUAGGGAAGGUUAGGUUAAAUAAAUGUAUAUAUAGGCAGGUCAAGAUUAGGUUUGAAAUUGAGCAGAAGAAAAAUUAGAUCAAGAGAAUCAAUCAGCUUAGUUCGAGACUCAGGUCGGUUCUUUUGACCCUUUUUUUUUUAUAUCUUUCAAAUUGUAGAUUAGAGAGUGGCUAAACCGCUGAAAAUAGGAUGGAGUUGGGUGAGCGUGUAUGAAUAGCAUUACUCUUUGAAUAAUUUGAAAAUGAAAAAAAAGCAUGAAGCUAAUACAUAAUUAAUCUUUAGCUAAGUUUUAUUAUUAUUUUCUAUUAAUUUUGGGCUUUUAAGCCCGCCGUGGAAGAGACGAGAUCCAAACCAAAUGAACAUGUAGAAAAAUUUUAGGCAUUGGGCCUCAUAAAUUGUGCUCCGUACAAACUAUCAUGCAUCGCAUGCAUAGCUGUCCAUCAAUUAUGAGUUCCAUCACGUGUUACGAGCCCAAUUUACUGGUGAAGGUGCAGUGCGCAAAAACAUUCAGAUAUAUGCACCUGUUGCAGCCAAUAGUUUUAUUUAUUUACAUCCGUAAUUUAAAUUCAAAAAAUACUUUUUAUUUUUUUUUUAUUGAGUUUUUCUUUGUAAAAAUUGAACAAAGCAAAAUUAUUUACCAGCUUAUUCUCUAAAUAAUAAAAAUAAAGAAAACUUUACUGUAAAUACUUAUUUUUUUAUUUUUUUUUUCUGACAUUUAAAAAUCUAUAUUUUGCUCUUGUUAAAAUUUUAGAAGUAUUUUCAAAAGAGUGUGAUGUUAAUAAAGAGAAUAAAAUGACCAAAUUACUUAACUUCUUUUAUAAAAAAAUAAUUUUUUAAUAUAUUUUUAUUUUUUGAGAGUCGUUUUCGAUAUAAAUUAUAAAAAAGAAUAGAAUAAUAAUGAAACGAUAAGGAAAGGAGAGAUCAAAUGCAAUAAUUUAAGAUAUUAAUAGAAUAAAAUAUUAAUUUUUUAAUAUUAAAAGAAAAAAAUAUUUUCUGUAAUUCAGUCAAAUAAUAAUAAUAAAAUAUUACUUUUUCCCGCCAUCUUACCCAAUUGUUUCAACCUCUCUCUUCAGUGUCCAGCUUUUUCACCUCUACUGCUGCUGCUGCUGCUGCUGCUUUUGCUGUUGCUGCACAUGCUCGAGGACUCAGGCGCCAGUGAUUUUCCGUUAAAACCCCUCGCGCAUAUCAAGCGGGUCCCCCACAUCCAUCUCUCUCUCUCUCGCGUCUCUCUUUCUCUUUCCCCACUCACAUGCUUUCCGUGAUCUCCGACCCAAAUUAAAGCAUCCCCGACAAAUAUAUCUCGGGCAUUUUUUGUGGUCCAAUUCUCACGAUCUAUUGCAUAUAAAAAGGAGAGNGGGGGGGGGGGGGGGGGGGGGGAGGAAAUAAUUACUGCAGAAGAAGCAGCAAAAGAGAAUCCGUCUAUUGCUGUGUCGAUAUUUAAUUAAUUUACAGGAAUUUUGAUAAAUACAGAGUAAUAGCAUUGCCACGCCCUUAUCUCAUCAGCAUCUCCACCACUCGCAAUUCCCCAAAUCAGAAAACGGAAAGAGACAGAGAAAUGUUGUACAAUUGCGAGCUCAACCGGUAGGGGAUUAUAGCUAGGGCAGGUACCUUUCGGCGUCCUCCAUCGCCCCGCUUUCCUCCGCCGCCGCCGCCGCCGCCAACGACGACGACGACGACGACGACGACGAGGAGCACGCGCCGCACCUCUGGCACCGCGGCGGGGGAGGGGGAGGGGGAGGAGAAGGAGACGCGGGGACGACGAGGAUGCGGCGACACGAGGGGCACGACGAAUGGAAGCCGAGCCACGUGUCGACGCAUGCGACGUGGAACCAGUGCCCGCACUGCGGCAGGAUCCGGAUCUCCUCCCCCUCCUCGAACUCCGCGAGGCAGAUCGGACACUCCGACGCCUUCAUCGCCGCGCAGCCGCUGCCGCCGCCGCCGCCGCCGCCGCCGUACGCCACCUUCGGGAGCGCCCGGAUCGCCUUCUUCUUCAGCCCCUUGCUCGGCGCCGCCGCGGGAGUCCGCGGAGGGCGAGAUUCCCCGCCGGCGGAGGAAGAGGAUGGCGAGGAUCGCCGGAUCCAGGCGCAGCGCGCGACGAGGGAGAGGCCGACGACGCAGAUGAGGGCGCAGAGGAGCGCCGCGAGGAUCACCACCACGUCGGAGUCCACGGCGAGCGGCUCUGGGGCCUCCGCCCCGAUGUUGGAAGAGUUAGCCUCGAGGAUCCUCAUCGCCCGAGCCAUUUGAUCAUCACCAAGCGAGAACGAAGAAGAGAAAGAGAAAGAGAGAGAGAGAGAGAGAGCGAGAGAGAGAGAGAGAGAGAGAGAGGAAGAGGUAGGGCGAUGGGAGGAGGGAGAGGGUUCGGAUCUGGGGUUUAUUUAUAUUACAACCAAAAAAUGUUUUUGAUUUUAGCAAAAAGGACCUCCACUUUACCCGAAAUUACAAGGCUCGUACCACAAAUCUUUCCUGGACGAAAAUGCCCCUAACAAGGAAUCAUAAUGCCACCGUAUGACGUGGACGGCAUGCUACUUAAUAAGGACAUAUGUUUGUCCUCUUUUGGUAGGGGAGGGAAAAAUAAAAAAAAGAAGUGAACGCACCAUACGUGGCGCGCAUCACGGCCCUCCAAAUGAUCACAACAGACCCCAGAAUGAUCGGACGCGCGGCUGUGAUUACGGCCACGUCAUCCAACUUAGAGGGGCCGAGGAUUGGUUGUGACGUGCGGGUCCCGCACAGGAGAGCGCUUCCAUGUGGUCGUAGGCGCAUCAUUCACGGGUGAGUGCAUUGCACGGACAGUGAUGGGCUUGAUGGCGACGUGGACGGCAGGUGAUGCGGCUGGGGCACAUGGGGUGGCGCGCGCACGGAUUAGUUUCGUUACAGUGCGUGCAUUAGUUGUGCCUACUCUCUCCGAGUAACGAGUUACGAGGUUUCGUUAGACGUGAGUAGUUUUACGAGGAAUUUUAUAAUGAAUUUUUUAGUACUAUAGUUGUAGUUAACCGUUAACGUACCAAAUUUUAUUCCAUAAUGCACGAUAACUCUGUCAGCAGCAACAGAAUUAACCGGUUAUAAAACAACCGUUAUAUUUUAAAAUUUUAAAAUUUUAAAAUAAAAAAGCUAUUUUUAUAUAAUAUUAGAGUAAAAAAUUCUGAAUUCGAGUCAUGACAGACUCCUAGUAUUAUUUUUUUUCAUAUUUAAUUCAAGUCAACAACACGAGCUCACAAAUAAUUUUAAGUCCAAACGUGAGGGAAAGUGAAAGUGUUAAUAUAAAAAAAUUUAAUCAUUGUUAGUUCUGUCAGUUGAUGUCCUCUUCCAAUUGGGACUUGGAAGAAGAUGCUUACAAACACUUGAAAGCUCUGGCUCAUAUCAGGGAAUAAGCCGUGCUUGUUCUUCGUGGUAUCAGGGGCAGGAUACAAACGGCUGAGGUAUUAUAAUACAAUGGUUGUUUCACAUCGUAUCAGAAUAUGAUUCGAGUCAUAUUAAGUUCCUAAUAUUAUUAAAUUUUUUCUAUUUAAUUUAAGUUUAGGAAUGUCAAUAAAUUUGGAUAUCUGAAAUAUUAUCCGAAUCCGAACCCGAAUGGGACCGGUUUAUCCGAGCUAAAUGCAUAUGAAUUUGAUUAUAGGUAUAGAAAAUAAAAAACCUAACAAUAUGGAUACGUGUAUGAAUUUUGUAUUUAUUCGACCCGAACCCAAACCCGAAUCCAAACCCGAAUAAAUUAUAUAUAUAUAUAUAUAUAUAUAUAUAUAUAUAUAUAUAUAUAUAUAUAUAUAUAUAUAUAGAGGGUUCGGCCACUAUAUUAUUAUGAGUACAAUCGCUCUCGGACUCAUAAAUCGUUUUCGAUGAUAGAGCUUCCGAAUCAACGAUCCAUACCGUUAAACGUUUUUUACAGUAUUUAAAAUUUCUAGAAAUCAAAUUUUAUAAUUUUUCGACAUCAUUUACCUUACAAUCAAGAGGUCACAAAUUUGACAAUUUUUAACGGCCGGUAUAGAAUAUUUGCUAGUUUAACGGUGUAAAAAAAUUAAAAUUUGUUGAAUUUUUGAUAGAAAAUUCUAUUCACUACAUAGAUAAAGAUCAAUAACUCUAAUCUUGAAUUGAAGGAUCCGAUCAUCCUUUUUUAGGAUGUCGUUCGAUUCUGACCGUUCAUUUUAUGCCCACUUGAUGAACUUUAUUAUGAUUUCGAAAAUUUACGAAAUUUAUUUUCUAGAAAUUUCAAGUACUUUAUAUCAUAUUUAACGGAGUGGAUCGUCGAUUCGAAAACUCCAUCAUUGAAAACAACUUAUGAGUACGAGGGCUCUAAUACUCAUAAUAGUAUAGUAGCCAUGCCAUAUCAUUAUAUAUUAUUAUAAAUAUAUAUAUAUAUAUAUAUAUAUAUAUUAUAUAUAUAUAUAUAUAUAUAUAUAUAAUUGAAUCUCCUAUGCUUUUAAAAGUACCAAGUUAUUUGAUGCUUGUAGAUUUUUGGCCAUUGGAUUAAGAGAUAUGCGGUUAGGAUGAUGUGGCCCCUAGGGUUGAGUGGGUGUGUUUUAGUGAAUAGUAUAAUCAAUGCGUUGAAAAUGAAUUCGAGGUAGUAGAUCUACCGGUUAAAAAAAUUAUAAGCAUCACAGUGUUUGGUGCGUUUUUACCAAGCCACCAUAGGCCGACUCAUACUAUAAUAUCAUAUACUAUCUAGUAUAUAUAUAAUACCUACCCUACUAUAUAUAUGUUAUUUAUUUAUUUAUACAAUAUAUAAAAUGUGUAAUAAUUUUUAUCUAUUGGAUCUUUCUCCUACAGUAUACAAUAGUCACUUUAUCUUCCAAAAUCCAAAUCCUAAUAAGCUUGUUCUAUUAUUUGAUUGUGUUUUAAAAAUUUUUAAUGUUACUAUAAUAUAUUUUGAAAUAUGGUAAAGAGGAAUUAUUAUUUCGGGUUCGGGUUCGGAUUUCGGGAUUUUGGUCGGGGUCGCAUAUCGGUAUGAAUUUUUAAAAUCCGUCAGGUUCGGAUUCAGGUUCAGAUUUUAAUUUGAUUUUCGGAUUUGGAUUUGGAUUUUUGAAAAUCCGACCCAAAUCCGAUCCGUUGACGUCCCUAUUCAAGUUCACGUUAUGAGACUAUACAAAAUUUCGAAUCCAGACAUAAGAAAAAGUGGAAAUGUUAAUAAAAAAAUAUUUAAAUAUUAUUUUUUAUAAAUUUAUAUUUUUAAAGUACAAAUAGUUGUUUCACAUAACCCGAGCCAUAUAAUUUAUACUAAAAAAUUCUAUACUCUUAUUAUAGCUUUGGAAGCAGCAUUGUUAAAUAUAAAAAUGUUCAAAUACCGUUCUCUAACAGCUUAAGUUUUUAAAGUACAACGGUUGUUUCACGUGAUAUUAGAGCAAGAGGUCCUGAGUUCAAGUCACGCCAGACUCCUAGUAUAUUAAUUUCCUUCUAUUUAAUUCAAGCCUACGUCACACAGAUAAACAUCGUUCUCUACAUUUUCUUUUAAUUUGGCCCCCUUUUUCUACGAUGGUGUUUCCUUGUAAGAGGGACGUAACAGGCAAGGUUGGCAAUUGAACCAAGGUUUUUUUAUGCUCGGGUCUCUUUUGGCUUAAUUAAUUUUGAGCUCGCUUAAACUCGACUCGAAAUUAAAGAAAACAAGCUCGAACAUGAAUUUAGACUAUAAAUCAACUUUAACCUGACUUUUCAACAUUAUUUUGCUCAAUCAGGCUUGGUUCGAAUAAGGUCGAAAUUAUAAAUAUAGCGAUAUCACAUGUCUUUAUUUGAGAUUCUAAAUCUAGCCAAGUUAAUAUAUUUCAUUUAAUCUUAAAAAUCAUAGAUUUUGAAUGACUGAGGACUUCAAUUUUACUAUUAAUUUCUACUACCUGGAAGUACCUGGAACAUAUAUAGAUUAUGGAAUUAUCAACAUUUAUUUUAUGAUAGCAGAAACAUUAGACAUCUAUUAGAGGCUUGAUGAGUUAGUUCAUAAAUUAUUUUUUAUUUCUUAGAUACAGUACUACCACAUGUUAGAUGAUCUUUUUUCUUUUUAUUUUUUCUAGGUAAAGCCCGUAGGCCAUGUUAGAUCGAUGUAUGUUUAUUAAUUCGAAAAUAAAUAGUUUGAUAGAUUAUUCCAAAACUUUUUAUUUGAAACUCUAAAAAAAGUCUAUUUUGGAGUGAAAGCUCCAUAUUUAAAUUCACUGUAUAUAAAUCUUGAGACUAUAAAAAUUACAUAAGCAGGAGAUUUAUCAAGCUGUUCAUUUAGGGUUAGAGACUUAAAAGCCCGAAAUCAGGUUUGACUCGAAUAAAUAUCAAUUCAAGCUUGAUCAAAAUCUCUGGCUCAAAAUUAAUUUCAAGCCAAGCUGGAACUCAGCUCGACCAAGCGCGGCUCAUUAAGAGAAAAAAUGUAUGAAAAGGAAAAGAAAUAAAAAAAAAAAGAAAAAGAAGUUAGACCCAAACAAGAUAGAUGCUUCUAGGACAAUUACAAAGUAAUCAGACACUUACUUGAAAAUGACCUGUAACAAGCUAGCUAGCUUUCCUAUAAUUCUCUCCUUGCAUAAUUAUAUAUUUAUUUAGCUGAUGAAUAGUACAUUUCCCCUACAUAUGCAUGAACUUAAUAUGGUGUUGCCACAAAAAGAGGACAAGAGCAAUUUUGCACCAAUAAUUAAAGAGCAUCACCUCUUUUUGACGAGGCUUGAUGGGAAAUUUAGUGCCCUCCACACUUAGCAUCUUCCUAGAGAUUGCAUUGCAUGUGGUUAACUUAUCUUUUCCCUUUCAGAAUGGUGGUUCAAUUGACCAUUAUGGGCUACUUUGGACUCUUCCCAUGUAAUGUGUUUUUUUUUUUUUUGUUUUUUUGUUUUUGUGUAUUCAACUGUGGUAUUUCUCACUGCUAGCUAGCUAGUGUAGUGCGUAAAGAUAUUUAUGUCCCUGCAGAUACGAAGUAUCUUAUGAAGAUGAAAUUCUAUUUUUGGACCAUUUUAUUUUCAGCAAUAUAUUGUGUUGUAAUUAAGGAAAAAGAAGAGGUUAGUACUUUUUUUUAAAGAUGUCCGUGGACCGGGUCGGGUUUGGGUAAUUAAUAUACUGUACCCAUACCCUAAAAAGAAAUGGUUACAAAAAAAAUAUAUACCCUACCCAUUUAACUUCGGGUUUGGUCCGGAUCUGGGUACUAAAGCUACUAAUAUACCCAUCGGGUCUAUUUGAGCGGGUCUGGAUAGUGACUACCCGUAUACUACCCGUUCAAGACCGGGUAUGGAUCGGGUCUAGAUCGGAUACGGAUAUCCGUAUAAAUAUAUAUAUAUUUAUAAACUUUAUUAAAUAGUCAAUAGACAAACUAUAAAGCCCACCAUAAAAAAACUCGCAUUCUAAUAAGUUGUACCGUCCAAUAAAAUUCAUUCAAAAGAAAUAUUGUCGCUGAUGAUGAUGAUGACACUGAUGAUGAUGAUGACAACGAAAUAUUGUUGGCGAAAAUGAAAUGAAAAAAAAAGAGUAGAAAACAAAGAGUAAAAAAAUUAGAAAAAAGUAAUGAGUAAAAGAGACUGCUAGGGUUUCAUUAGGAUGAAAAUACAUAGUGACUCAUCAUCUAUAAGUCAUAUUAAAAUUGAUCCUUCAACUUCAAAAAUUUAUUUAUUUUUAUUUACUAUCGGAUAUUUCAUCGGGUCCGGGUCCAGGUCCGGAUUUGAAAAUUAUUCCGGACCCUACCCAUUUAAAAGUUAGGUUCGGGUCGGAUCCAAAUCAGGUAUGGAUAUAAAAUAUCCGGACCCAUACCCGAAACUUUAAUGGGUAAUUUUUUUUAUCCAUAUAGUAUUCAUUUUUUAUCGGGUCCGGUUCGGGUUCAGUUCGGGUCCGGGUCAGGUAUGGGAUUUCGAAUAUUUUGGACACCUUUACUUUUUUUCAGCUUAGAAAAGAAAGCGAGACUGAUAAGAGAAAACCUGCAAACUUGUAUCGCUCUAAUAGUCUUCUAUGUAGCAGUAAUUCUACGUAAAAUUGGUAUCAAUCGAACUAAACAUCUUCAACUAGUGAAAAACAUGAUUAGCCUAAUUUGUUAAAUAUAAAAAUAUCUUAAAAUACUAUUUUUUACUGGCUUAAUUUAAUAUGAUAUCAUAAUUAAAGGUUAUGACUUCAAAUCUCGUUGCAUUCCUUUUCUCCUAUUUAGUUUAUGUUUAUAUUAUAGACCUAGUAAAAAGUUUUGAAUUUAGAUGUGAUUUAAGCUUUUGGAGAAAAUCGAUACAUUUUUUAUUAUAUCAAAGUAAAUCUGAUUAUAUUCGGGUAAAUUGGUGGCUACAAAAGUGGUGUUAAAAAAAGGAAAAAAAAAAAAAAAAGGUGUAAAGCUAGCUUGACAAAGAAGUACUACAAAAUGCUCAAGCAACUUUAUUUUUUUUUUUAAGUUAGGUUGGGCUCUCUUGAUCUGGGAACCGUUCAAUUUUUGUCGUAGGAUGAAUAAAUGGAUUGAGCCCCAUUAAAAAAAGUACAUCUCUCCCUUGUCUCCUACAGUACCCAGAAAAAGACUUGAAUGGAAGGCACUGUUUUACUGUGAUGCAAACUCAGUGCACCGAUAACAUGGGUUACUCUACUGGUUUUGUAUCUAACUUCGAAUAGGGUAUAUUCCUGUUUAAUCAAAAAAAUAACAUGUUGGGUUAACAUGUUUGAUGAGAGUGACCUAGCUAAAUGAGGGUGUAUCUUUUAUAGAUCUUUUGCCGAUGAGAAGUGAAAUGUGAAAUUAAUUAACAACCGCAGUGGUACCUUUACUUAUAAAUGUUUCAUGUUUCUCAUGAUUAAGUUGGUGAGAAAUUAUAUAUAUAUAUAUAUAUAUAUAUAUAUAUAUAUAUAUAUAUAUAUAUAUAGAACUAGGCUAAUAUACUAUUAAUAGCACCAAGUCAUUAGUGCUAUCAAGUUUUUGGCCAUUGAAUUAAGAGAUGUGUGGUUAAGAUGAUGUGGGUCCCCUAGGGUUGAGUGGGUGGUUGGUUGAAUAGUAUGAUCUAACGGGCGAAAAUGAUCAAAAAGGUAGAUCUAGCGACGAAAAACUUGGUAGCACCAAAUGCUUCAUGCUAUUAAUAGCAUAGUAGCCGAACUCUAUAUAUAUAUAUAUAUAUAUAGAGAGAGAGAGAGAGAGAGAGAGAGAGAGAGAGAGAGAGAGAGAGAGAGGCUCCUAUGCUUUCGAAAGUACGGGAGUCUUCGUACUUGUAAGUUGUUUUCAAUAAUCGGACAUCCGAUUCGGCGAUCGGUUCCAUUAGACAUGAUCUACGCUGUUGGAACUACUUAGAAACCAAAUUUCAUAAAUUUUUGACUUCGUUUGUCUAGUAAACGAGUAGCCUUAAAAUGAACGACUGAAAAUGAAAAUCUCAUAAAAAACAGUGAUAAAGGACUCAAAUUUCAAAUCGGAAGUAUUGGUCUUGCUAUUGAUGUUAAAUAGAAUUUUCUAUUAAAUUUUUAUCUAAUUUGGAUACUUCUACACCGUUGAACUUAAAAACGUGUCACAUCGGCCAUUAAAAUAGCCAUUUUUGAGACCUUUUAAUCACUUGGUAAAUGAUGUCAAAAAAUUAUGAAAUUUGGUUUCUAAAUAGUUCCAAUAGGAUAUAUUAUACUUAACGGAGCUGAUCGUCGAAUCGGAUUUCCUAUCAUCGAAAACAACUUAUAAGCACGGAGGUCUCCGUAUUUUCGAAAGUACAGGAGACUUACUCUCUCUCUCUCUCUCUCUCUCUCUCUCUCUCUCUCUCUAUAUAUAUAUAUAUAUAUAUAAGUCCGGCUAUGGUGCUUGUAAAAGCACCAAGCACUUGGUGCUUGUAAAUUUUUUACCGUUCGAUCUACAUCUUUGAUCAUUUUCACCCGUUAGAUUAUACUAUUAAACCAACCACCCACUCAAUCCUAGGAGGCCCACAUCAUCCUAACCGCACAUUUCUUAAUCCAAGGGCCGAAAAUUUACAAGCACCAAUGACUUGGUACAUUUAAAAGCAUAGAAGCUCAAUUAUAUAUAUAUAUAUAUAUAUAUAUAUAUAUAGAAGUGAGCUAGAAUAUUUUUAGAAGCACCACCUUCUUGGUGCUUUUAAGUUUUUAGUCCUUAAAUCUACUCCUUAAUUAUUAAUAAUCUUUGGAUCAAACACUAUCCCAUAUAUAUAUAUAUAUAUAUAUAUAUAUGUGUGUGUGUGUGUGUGUGUGUGUGUGUGCGCGCGCGCGCGCGUGUGUUUCUCAAAAGACCAAAAUUUCCUGUAGAAGACUUCAAAAACAGAGAAGCUUUUUUGAAAAGAUAAAUUCUUUUAAAGAUCAUAACACUAGUUAGCACAAAGACCUUAACUAUUACAGAGCGAGGUUAAUAUUUUUAUCAACUGUAUUAAUAAAAUAUCAUAGGUGGAGUUUUUUUUUUUUUUGAAGACCUUAGCUAUCAGAGAGUGAGGUUAAUAUCUUACUGUAUUAACAAACUAUCAGAGGUGACGCUUUUUCAAAAAGAUAAAUUCUUUUCAAGAUCAUCAUAACACUAGUUAGCGUGAAGACCUUAGCUAUCAGAGAGCGAGGUUAAUAUCUUACUAUAUUAACAAAAUAUCAGAGGCGACGCUUUUUCGAAAAGAUAAAUUCUUUUCAAGAUCAUCAUAACACUAGCUAGUUAGCGUGAAGACCUUAGCUAUCAGAGAGCGAGGUUAAUAUCUUACUAUAUUAACAAAAUAUCAGAGACGUAGCUUUUUCAAAAAGAUAAAUUCUUUUCAAGAUCAUCGUAACACUAGUUAGCAUGAAGACCUUAGCUAUCAGAGAGCGAGGUUAAUAUCUUACUGUAUUAACAAAAUAUCAGAGGCAAAACUUUUUCGGAAAUAUAAAUUCCUUUAAAAUCAUCAUAACACUAGUUAGCAUAGAAACCUUAGCUAUCAGAGAGUGAGGUUAAUAUUUUUAUCAACUAUUGUCUAUUUCACGGGAUCAACUUUUAUCGGCUAAUCGGUAGUUUUUUUUUUUUUACCCCGUUCGAGGACUGGUUGCCUCAUUCCUGUAGCCUAAUUCAUCUUUUCAAUGAAUGAAAUAGAUAACAUGCUAUCUUAUUCUCAAAAAAAAUAUAUCUUUAUCAACUAUAUCAACAAAAUAUCAGAGGCGUGGGUUCGCAACCACUUACACCACCUUUGUCCCAUCAUUUUCAUAUCUUAUCUUUUUCAGUACAGAGGAAAAGCCUCUGGCACUAACUGCACAAUCUUAGUUAGGAAUAACUCAUUGUCUAAUCUCCUCAUCCACUUAUCAUCACUGUAUCACAUCCAUUCAUCAUAUGUAUGUUUCAUCACUAUCAUCCUGUAGAAUCCCCCUCUUUGGAGCACAUCAACCAUCACAUUAAAGAGAAGAACACCAUGGGCAGCAUUUUCCCUUCCUAAAAGAGCAAAAGUGCGCCAAUUAAGAGUUUUAUUGGUGCAUUCUCGGUUACACACGUAAAUCUGUUUCAUAAACUGCAGAUUUUUACAUGCAUUAGUAACAUAUGAGCACGUGAAAUUUGAAGGGAUGAAAAUAAAAAUGAUUACUUUUUCUAUCAGAAAAAAAAAAAAAAAAUCUUGGCCCACCAUCUCACCGAUGUGCCGCGUAAUAAUCUACCUUCUGAUGCUUACCAUUUUAAAAGAAAAUAAUUUUUAAUAUUUUGAUUUCAAGUGUUGGAUUAUGUAAAAUCAUGUUCUGAGUCGAUAUGCAGAGUUUGACUCUAAUUGAAUCUAAUUUUGUUCCAAAAGAUUAGAAAUAAUUCCAAAUCACUUUAAGGGUGUGUUUGGUUCGAAUUAUCCUAGCAGAUUACAAGAAUUACUGUGUGUAGUUCAUCCGCUAUUUAAUCUAGUCGUUAAUGUAGCAUUACAAAUCGAGCAGAAUUAUAUCGAAAAUGUUAACGAGGGGGGGUCGUGUAUCUUGCAUUACUGAAAAUCGAUAAUACUACAUAUUAUGUAAAAUGACAAUUUUACUUUCCAACACUCCCAAACUUAAUUAAUAGCAUUGUUUUCAUCUCUGUCUCUCACGCCCUCCCCCCUCUCUCUCGCACGCCGCUCUCUCUCUCUCGCUCUCUCUCUCUCGCACGCCGCUCUCUCUCUAGCACGCCGCUCUCUCGCUCUCUCUAUCUCUUUCUCUCUCUCUCUCACGAACACACCUAUUUAUUCUUUUAUGUAUAAUGAUCUUUUAUUUAUUUAUUUUUUUAUGGGUUGAAAUUAAUUUUAUGCAACGUUAUUUUUUUAUUUUUUAUUUUUAUGUUUGAUCUUUUUAUUUUAUUACUUGUUAAUAUAAUUAAUUUACUAGUGUAAAUUAUAUUUUAGUAAAAAAUAAUAUUCAAAUGACAACAACAAGGAUAAUUUUGAAAAAAAAUAUAUUUUUAUGUCAGGAUUACUAAAUUUUAUAGACUGAAUCAAACGUAGUAAUGCUAUAAACACUGCAAUCCAGUAUUACAUUACUGCAUUAAACCAAACGCGCUAAUACAGUAUCGAUAGUAAUUUCACGUCGAAAUCCAAGAUAGCUGGAUAUGUCGAGAUACUCUGUAAUAGUACAUAACUCGAACCAAACGCGCCCUAAAGAGUAUUCUUAAAAGGAUAUUGAUGACUACAUGUGAAUCAGACUUGAAUGGAAGGCGAAAAUUGUUUACUAUUAGGAUUAGAAUUUUAGGAUUAUAUAAACUCUUGUAAUUAAUUUUUUAAAUUAUGAGCUUCAUUGUAGACACCAUAAUUGAGAGAAAAAGGUGGAGAGCUAUUAAGAGAGAGUUUCCUAUCAUCCAAUCGACUCCUUUAUACUUUUGUGCUGUGAAUUAAUCGAAAAAAGUAUUGAGGUGGUCUUGUCCGUGGAUGUAGACCGACUCGAGAUUGGCCGAACCACGUAAAUUUUAUGUUUUUAUUAUUUUUUGUUUUCUUUAUUGCUUUGUUAUCCUUGUGCUUGUUUUUUCUACGAAUAUGUCUACGAAAGAUUCUGUUUCCGCUGCGCUAGUAUCUUAUGUGGAUUUGAGGUGUGCUCGGUGACCCCACGAUCAGACCCUUCAUCAAGAAGGAAAUUUGUUUGUACUUUUCGUCUUCCCUCGCCUUCUGAAAUUAUCAAUUAAACUUUUAUUUUGACCGCAAAAUUUAUUGUGGAAAUCUCAUUAUAAUAGGCAUGACAUCUUAAAUACACCCAUAAACAAGAGCUUGAGCUAUGUACGUGGAUCAAAUCAGCAAAAAAACAGAAGAGAAAAGUUGGAGACCUUACACAUUCACGGAUCUUGCCUGUUUUGCGCAGCAGAAUGCUUUGAGAACGAGAAGUCGUCUACGUCGAUACGCCUCUCUUGUUGGCUCUCCUGCAUGUUACUCGAAGUCAAGUUCUCGGUUGCUGGUGGUGACGUCGACGGCACGUCUGCUUCUUGAUCCGAGUUAUCCGUGUCUGAGAAGGAUUCUCUUAUUCUGCCAGUGUGUCCUACAGUUUUGAAUCGAUAAAGAGUGGUCGUGUUUGUGCUUGUUCCAGGGUUCGUGUCUCGGCUCGCCAAAGUAGGAUGCAGGGAUACUCUAUUGGUUUUCUUCUUUCUAACAGCUUCGUGCCAUUUCUUGAGGGCCUUCGACGUCUGCUCGUCGAAGAUGGACCUCUUCAUCUGUGAUCCCAUCUAAAAGAAGAAGCAUUGUCAUUGUUAAGAUCAUAAUUGUUUUCACUAUUGAAUCACACAAAGGACUCGGUCAAAAAACAAAAUGCAAGCCAAGCUAGUAAAUAUGAAUUUGAGAUUCUGUCAUGGAGUUAGUUACCUGAGACACAAGAGCAUAAAGUGGCAGCGUAACAUAGCUGCACACGAAUUGGACCGCCACGCUGAAACAAUUACAGAAAACACAAAAAAAUUCUUAACUUUGCACCGCUAUCUACAGGUUUGUAAUGUUGAAUUCUUAGCUUACCCGAGACACAAUCUUGCGGUAAGAAGACUCCUAUUCUCAUAGAAGCAAGAGUGCAAGCCAAACACAUACUGCACAGGCAGAAGUUGAGAUAUCAGAUCGCACGCAGAAAAAUAAACAGAUGAUUAUUUUAUAGACCCGAAACUGCUACCAAACUGGAAGGAGAAAACUCACCCACAUCCAAACAAAAGAAGUAAUUUGAAACGCAUUCUGCAUGGAAGUUAAGGUUUAGAGAUGAGUUUCCAUAAUCAAAUUAUGUAAGAACAACAGAGCAUGAGUGAAAAAAAAAAAAAAAAAAACAAACAAACAAACAACAACUUGAACAUGUUAGAGAUAAAGAUGCAAUAGGGUAACUAAAGUUCACACAAGAUUGCUGUUAAUGUAAGUUGUCUGAAGGAUGCUCAGACCAAAAUGGCAUCUUACAAGGGGUGAAGGGACUAAAUUAGUUCCUAACCUGGAACAAAGUGAAAUGGAUGAGGAACAGAACUAAGCGAGGACGUCCGAACCAGAAAUGUUUGUCGCUAAGCUGCACUAGAGGGAUUCCCUGAACCACAGCAUGCCUCUCUUGGAUCUCAAUGGCCAUCCCUGCAAUAAUGGCCUGCAGCUUUGUUCCAACUGCCAAGAUUACCUGCAUAGUCGACAGGGACAUUAGUCGCGUUUAACAAUAGUAGUUGAGUAACUCCAGAAUUUACUAACAAAUUUUCGCUUACAACGAGGGGCAUCGUCGAUGCCCAGAGCAAUUCGUCCCAACCUAUUACAAGAAAAAAGACGCCAAAAUUGAAAGUCUAAGAAAACUCAUUACAUCAGAAGUGGGGAACGGCUUUUUUAUUUUUUUUCCCCCUUACUAACUACAGUACUGUUACUCACCAUGAAGAUUAAGAAGCAAAAUGAUCACAGCAGAUGCCCAUAAAACAGGACUGGUCGACAACAGGAAACACGGCUUAUCAGAGAAAAGAAUAACAAACCUUUAUGUAAAUUGAUGAUUUCGCAUAUAAUCAGAUGCAUAUCAGAUGAAAAUUGAUGGUUAGCACGAGAUUGAUAGGUAUCAUCACAUGAUGAUAGUCGGUUUUAAUUACUGAGUAAAAUUGCCAUGACACCGAUAAAUGGGGAUCCAUGAGUUGUAUUACCUGACGCCGACAACUACCUUAAAGUCAUCCUCCAAAGACCGUUUUACGUACUUUUGGAAAUCAAACUUACUUCCAGGAGCUAAAUGAACCUACAAAUAAGAAAUGGUCAAUACUUUUUUUGGCAGAAGGUUGGCGCAAUUUGCCGCAAGAGAAACUCACAGUGAUGAAUCCAUGGCGCAGCGUCAAGUAAUCUGAUUUGCCAACAGACCUAAAAAAUUGCCGGAAGAAACUAACCUACAGUAGAUGAGUUUGGAUAAAUACAACAAAACAUUGACUGUAACAGCUGUCGGUAUAAGAAGACCAUAACCAAUUGAAGAAUACGAAAUGAAACUGUCGUAAACUGACAGAAAAAUGAAAAUGAAAUUUAAAUUAGACAUCUGCAAUCAUGAGAUAAAGGUGAAGAGUAUACACAUUAUCACAAUAUCUGGAGAGUGCAUACACUGUCCUACCAAUACUGCAAGCAAAAAGAUAAACAGAUCUGAUUCCUUAUUUAAGCCUGUUUGCAUUGCUAACUAUGUGUCAAUAUUCUACUAGGGAGAACAAAUAAACAAGAUUUCAUGUUAUUUUUCAUCUUUUGGCGCAUCAAAUAAAUAUAUCGUAAUCAACAAUAUGGAAAAGAGAUGCAUCAACAAUUCACUGUGUUUUGUAAUAGAGUAGCAACAUUAACAUGAAAAGGAAUACGAGAGUAACACAACUAACAGCAGAUGUAACAGCAUGAAUGACUCAACUGACAAUUUUUACUUGCCGUAUAAAGCAAAAUUUGUGGCCUGCUCCAAAAACUUGCGUGCUGUCUCACGAAAGUUGUCUCGUGAGUGAGCCUGAAUCGUGAAGGAUCUGCGUAUUGCAAUCGCAGACGGCUCAGAUAUAACAGAAUUAGAUGUGAAAAUUAGGCACAAGUGAGAAAAGAUUAAAGCACACGAUGAUAGUAGGAGAUUUGCAGAUUCUGUGGACUCCACAUUUAAGUUAAACACUUUUCACUAGUUGGUAAGCUCAUUGCACAUCAAUUAGCACGGUAAGUAGAUCAAUGAGAGACCAAAAAUUGUGUACAAUUAACUGCAAUAAAUUAUAGGUACCAGCAGAGAAUUCGUAAGUAAGGGAUGAAGUCUCCUUCUCCCACUCCUUCCAGUUGCGAAUCUGAAAGGUGACGAUACUCCGGUGAAUACUCUCUAACUAUUCUGAGUUACUAAUUUUAGGGGGGGCCAAUAUCUAGAUACCUUUGCUCUUCCGAGAGCCAUUGUAAUAGCACUAUAUGCUACAUGAAAAACGGCCAAGAAGAAAAUGAAAAUGUGAAGCUGAUGUAGUCCAUGUGAAGAGACAAGUGGAACCUUCCCCUGUCGAGAAGCAUGCGCGAAUGAAAGAUCAUAAAAGAACAUGAAAAUUGGCAUUUCCAGGUACAAAUUUAUGCUAAAAUUUCACAUUUACAAUACUAUUGGCAGAAUACUGUAUUGUUAUCUAGCUAGAUUUGCUUACAGCAGGACACGCUUUUAUCGUAUCUGUAGCUAAGAUCCUACGAUUCGAAUUUGAAAUUGCAGCUUCCCAUAAAAGUCUUCGCCGUUCCCCUCCGCUGUCACCUUUUUUUCUGAGGCGGCACGGUAACAUGGUAUCUGCCGCGCUCUCUGGUAUGCAGAUUAGAAGAAUGUACUUCGUUACGAAAGUCAGCAGUAAAGAGAUGAAGCCGAGAAUCAUCAACUCUGCGAAUCGAAGAAAAGAUCGGAUUUGAAGACACGCGAAAAUAGCUGCAGCAUCUCAGUUUUACAAUUACAGCAAACGAAAACAAAAUGCAUCAUUUACUACCACAAUAAUUUUCCGAAACAAACUUGUGCAUACAUUCAUGACAUGCAGAACAUAUUUGCAUACCAGUUUUAAUCUUCUCGAGAGCUCCGGAGAGAGCCUUCUUGCGUUUCUUGGUAAAUAACUGUCAUGCGAAUCCACAUCAGCUAGAAAUCGGAAUCGAUUGCGUUUGCGAAAUACUAAUUCUGAUCACAUGUUGAAAAUAAAUACGUAACAAGAAGCAAAAAUUUAGUUAAACAAAAUUGUCUUGCUUUAAUUGAAUAUGAGAGAUGAUGAAAGGUAAAUGUGUCUUUUUUUAUCUUUAAAAAAAAGAGAAAAUAGCAUAGUCCACAUAAGGAAACCUUGAGGAACUGUAAUUUAAAAAUGAAUAUGCUAUUAUUGAGUGCAAUUACUUUCGAUCCAUAGAGGCUUUAAACAGCAAGGAAAAAAAAAAAAAUCAAAACUCAUGGAUAAUGAACAUCCAUCGAAAACUUAUUAUCUUUAAAAUUACCAAAUAGUUACAUCAACAAAAUACAAAAAAAAAAAGACAAAAAUAUAUAAUAAGCAAUUAGAAUAUGUUGAUGCUGAAGAAAAAAUAAUAGUUAAUAUCAUAAUAUGUCAACACACAGAUAUAUUUUUGAACCACACAAAUUCGCAUGGUAUGACACGGUGCUUGUCUUGUUAUACUGUGCCGGCAAAUGCUUUGCACAAUCGCAGAUUUCUGUGUCACAGAAGUUAAAUCUUUGAGAUGAGCAUUAAUGCUGUAGCGUUAAUUUAUAGCAUUAAGAAAGAAAAAAAAAAAUGGCACGAAACAUCCGCACAAGUAGAGAGAGAGAGUCGAAUCCUAGUUGAUUCAUAUUUCUAGCUAAGUUUAUUUCUAAAUGAAAUAAACGAAGCGGAUAGCGUGCUAUCUUUCUCUAAAAAAAAAAAAAGGGAAUUCAAUAAUACCAUAGAUGUUGUUUACUUUGAUGAACUUUUACUAAGUCACAUACAGCAAAUUAACUGUCCACUACUUCAUCUUACCAUAAAGCAAUAUUUUUGUUAUCUUAAACAGGCUUUAUAUAGAGGUCUUGAAGAAGAAGAUGAAACAGAAGAGGUUUGCUGUCACAUCUUUGCUUUUGAAUUCCCCUUUCNGGUGACAUUACCAAAUGCUUAGGAGUCUGAUUCUUCGAAAAAUUAUGAAAAGCUAUUUUUUCGACAAAAAAAUUUUAAGAAUUAUUAUAUUUUGGAGCUUUUGUUAUUCAGAUUAAAAAAAAUUGAAAAACAAAAAUUCUAGCUUUAUAAAAAUUCUGCAAAAAAUAAAAAUAAAAAAAAAUAAAAAAUGACUUUUUUAUGGAACCAAAAUGGACGAAAAAAAGUAUUUUUCGGUCAGAUUUUUUUUUCUCCUGAAAAAUUUUUCGGAGAACCAAACACCCCCUUCAAUUUUCUUUGCAAAGAAACCCAUCUCAAAUUUGAGAACAAAGAAUCCUCAUCCAAAAAAAAAAAAAAAAAAAAAAAAAAAAAACACACACCCGAAGCAGCAGCAGCAGUAGUAGUAGUAGCGGUAGCAUGCAGUUGGUACGUGUACCUCUCCGAGGUGGUCAAGUCCCUUCUCGAGCAAGAUGGAGACGACGAUGAUAACCGCGCACACCACCGCCACCGCCCACGUCGGCGUCUCGCUCAGCUCCCGCCCCGUGCUCGCACCGCCACCCCCCGCCAUGUUUAAACGCCCACACACACACACACACACACACACUCUCUCUCUCUCUCUCUAAUAAUUAGAAGCUGCAGCAGUUCCCUCUUAUAGCGAACAGAGGAGGAGGAAAAAGUUUUUAUAAUGGAGCAGUGAUAUUGCUGACGUAGCGUUUCUAAUUAAUAGAAUUAUUCUUAUUAGAUUCAAAUAUUCCAUCAUUGAUAAUAAAAAAUAUUUUUAUUAAAUUAUUUUAAAAUAAAUAUAAUUAACUUGUUAUUAAUAAUAUGGUAUAAAUAUGAUACCGUAGACUUUCUCAGAAGAUGGGCCACAGCACUCUCAAGUCAACAAGCGUUAGUCUUACCUCUUCGGCUCUUCCAUCAUAUAAUUUGUUAAAAUAUAUUUUAAAAAUAUAAUUAAUUGAAUAUAAAUAAUAUGAGGUACGUGAGUGUGACAGAGCAGACAUCUCGUAUAGUUUUGCAUGCCAUCUGAAAAGACGGGUCCUCAGACAGCUAUCUGCAUGUACCCGAUACGUCCCAAAAACUAUGUAACGCCACAAAAAAAACGUUGAAGUUUCUAUGUGUGACUUAUUUCAGUAGAAUACCAUAUCUUGUAUUAUUUUUUAUUAAUAUUAAUAUUCUUCUAUUUUGGCCAAUAUAAACUUACUAAAGCAUUCUCCUGCCGAUACAAGUGUCGCCUAUUCCCCCCACACUAUCCAAAAAUUAAUAACCUUAUUAUCAGAUUCAACCCGAUUUGAUUUGAGUAAUUCGAUCGAAAUUAUGGCAAUCCGAGCUUCUGAUUCGAAUCAGGUCAAAUCAAAUUGAUUAAAGAGCAUCAUUUUAUGUUAGCGUAUGUCUUUUCCGUGUUCACAACAGCGGUAAUAAAAGGAGAAUCUAUUCUGUUAGGUGACCUAUUAAUUUAAAAUUUUGAGCGACUCGAAAAAAUAGUUAAAACUUGUUUAGGUUGGCUGAUCCUGUUGGUUCAAGUUAGACUUAAGGUUGAUCUGAUCUUUUUUCAGCUUGUGAUAAUUGAUAAAGUUAUUCAGAAAGAUGUCAUUGUCGAAGAUGAUUGUAACGCAUUUUAUAUACGAAUGGUAAUUUUGAAGUCGUGUCACUUGAGUAGCCCUCAUAAGAUUUAUAUUAAUUUCCUACAUAGUGACAAAUGCAGGAUGUAUAAUCUACAGAUUUUGUCAAAAUACUAUUCUUAUACAUUAUUUAUAAAAAGAGAUAAAUUAGUUCACAUAUACAGUUCAAUUUUUUUUUUUUCCAAAACAGUAAGCCACACAAGUCACAUCAAUUACUUUUUUUUUUGAAAAAAAAAUGCUACAUCUAAAUACACCAUUUUUAGAGCGAAUAUCUUACGUACACUCAGAAGAUCCCAAGAUUUAAAAAUUUUAAUUAACUUUCUAGCAAAAACAAAAAUGAUAAAACAAAUACAAAAAUACAAAUAAAAAGGAGUUAGAAUACAAAUUUUACACCUAUAUAAUAGAUGUACAAACAAUAUUACUCUUAAUUUUUUUUGAGGAAUCAAUUAAUAUUCACGGGCAAAGAAAAGUCCCUAUAUGUCCACACACCCAAUAAAUAAUUUGCUUCUGAGACAUAAUUGCACGAUCAUGCCUAGCUGUUUUUUCGUGUUUAUGUAUGGAAAGAAUUUAUGUAAGGUGAUUAAUUGUAGGAUAAAUUUAAUUUAAAACAAUGACAUUUAUCAAAAUUACUCUAUUUUUAAUCAUUUUAAUUUUAUCAAUUUUGCACAUAGGCUUUCCUUCUAUAUUAAUUUAUCUAUAAUACCAAAAAGUUUAGUGUUCUGUGGGAUCGGAACGGGUUAAUUUAUCUUACGGAUGCAAAUAGAGUGGAUCCGGGUACUGAGGGGGUUUUCAACCUCUCGCUUAGUUUCUUGUCAGAAUAGAAUGAAUUAAUUUUUAUAUUUUUUAUCUUCUACUUACAGUUUUCUUCACGAUGAAAGAAGGAAAGAAAUUUUCUGGACAAAUCGAAACGAAUUCGAAACAUAUUAUUUUUAAUAUUUUUAGAAAACAAAUUUUUUAAGUAUUUUUUAUACUUUCUAAGGAGAAAUUACCUGAACCUGAUCCGCCACCUCAGCCGUGGACUGCUCAAAUAUUUUUACUUAGCAGGUAAGAGAUUAAAAGCAAAUAUCCCUUGGACGGUAUGAAAUAAGGCGGUCCACGGCUGAUAUGCUGCACCAAGUUUAGGCAAGUAAUUUCUCUACACCGAGGGAUUGCUUGUUGACCGGGUUUACGCAUUCACCACAUAUAUCCUGUUCCAAAGUCCACUACCAGUCAAUGCGACUGUUGACUUUGACUUGUAGUUGACUUUGACUUGUAGAUAAUUAUAUAAUAAUUAGAAAGUUCACAACAAAUGAUAUGUUGAUUUAUAUAAAAAUAUUUUAAAAAGAAGUACAGAACCUGACAUGUAUAAGUUGAUGAAUUUCGUAACGAAGGAAUCUAGUUAUUCUGUCAAUUUUGUUGAAUUUGAUCAAAUUUAGUAACUACAUUUAAUUAAAAAUUUUUCAUUUAAAUUGUAUUUGCUAAUACUAUUUUAACAAAACAUUUAUAUUUACAUAAGCUUAUUUAGAUUGAGGAUAAGGCCUCCUUGUUUUGUCACUCCUUUCAUUUCACUGGAGAUUUGGAAAUCUCCAACUGAGAGAGAAAUUCACAAAAGAACAAGCUUUUUAGUAUGCAAUUUUGGUCGAUACGAGCUAAAUUUUCCUUUUUUUAUAAUGUUAUAUUUUUUACAUUUUUUUUUUUUUUGUGUACCUAUCUCUGUUCACCAUUCAAAUCCUAAUCAAAGCAUAGAAAAUUCACAAUGUCCGCAUAGGGAAGCAAUUAAUAACCACUCUUGAUUUAGUAUCUCAAUAUUUUUAAUUAGUUAAAUUACAUAGAAUCUUUAUGUAAAUAUCCUUUUUUUUACUUUUUCUUUUUGACUUUCAAAAAUGUUCAUUUUGCCCCCCUUAAAAUUUCAGAAAUAUUUUCAGAGUGGUACGGCGUUAAAAAAAGAGGGCAAAAUGACCAAAUUACUGAUAUUUUUUUAUAAAAAAAAUAAAAUUUUAAUAUAUUUCUGUUAUUUUGAAAAGUAUUUUCGAUAUAAAUUAAAUAUAAAAGAAAUAGAUGGAAUAGUAAUGGAACCCUUACAAAGGAGGGCUUAAUACAAUAACUUGAAAUGUUGAGAGAAUGAAAUAUAAGUUUUUGAAAGUUAAGGAGAAAAAGUGAAAAGUAAAUACUUAUAAAUUUUUUUUUUUGUAAUUUAGCCUUUUUAACUAGUCAAAUGGAAGGGCCAAUUUAGUAACAUAAUUUAAUAAAUUUGUCCAGUCACAAAGAAUUGUGUUGAUAUGCUGAGUGCUAACUCUUAUCAACUAAUGAUGUGUUGAUAUGCGCCUCAUGUGCAAAAAGAUUGAUCUGUACAUUAUAAAUCAGCACGAAUUGACAUUGAUAAUUGAGUUGAAUUCUCAUUCGUAUGCUCCUAUCCAAACAUUUUAAUUAGUCGACGAAAUUUUGAAAAAAAAAAAAAAAAGAAAGUAAAAAAAAACUAAGCCUGAAAAAUAAGGCCCAAUUUACGUAACGGCUCCUCAAAUCUAUCAUGUUCAAAUUCCGAUUAACUUUUAUUUGAUUUAUUUGCAAAUGUACUCAUAUUUGAAAUCAAAGAAGAAUAUUACUUACUUUUUUCUCCAAAUUGAAAGAAAAUUUUUUGCUUCAAAUUAAAAGAACUUUACAAGGAAUUUUCAAGUGGAAGAAAAUACCAAAAUCCUCGACUAGAUGUUUCCAAGAAUUCAGAGAACCCUGGAUGAUAACAAAGAAUCCCACAGAGAACUGACAACAUUUUUUUCCUUUUUUUUUUUUCACGGCAAUCGAGAGAACCGAUCUUUCUGAGAAUCACUACUGGGAACAAACACAGGAAGCUGGUGAGGCCCCCUACCCCUCUCCUGCCGCUGAUUCGAAUUCGAACUGCCGCCACCGACGCUUCUGAAGCUCCUUGUCGCGGGCUCAUUGAUAAGAGGUCCCCCGAAAAAUAUAGAUUGCCCAGUAUACAAAAGCUCGGCAUGGUGCAUAUGAGACGACGACGAUCCUGGUUCACUGAGAGAGGACACAAACCGGCCCGCUUCUUGAUCCCAGUAGACCGACGACCUGGACCUUCCAGCAGUAAUUAUGUUGCUUUUGCUUGUGCCGCCGUCCUCUGGAACUUUCGUGGUUACAGUCUCAUUCCCUUCAUUGGAUUUCAUGGACAACGGAGAUCUAUUUGCCGAUAAUUGGUAGAUCGGAUUGAAAAGCUUUGUAUUCGAAGGGUUUGGUUCCGCUUUCGGCGUGAGGUUUACCGAGUUUGUUCGAGGGCUGCUUAGGCUGCUCGGUGUUUGAGGGUAUGUAUCGAUAUCUUCUCUGCUUGCUCUACUGGGUGGGUAAGAAGACUUCAGUGGGGAAGACCUAAUAGUAUUAGUACCUCCUCUAUUGCCUCUGCGGAGCCCAAUAUCAGCACUUACAGCACUGCUUCUGCUGCUAACAUUUCCACUUGAGAACCGAUCUGUAUCGUAGUGGGCUCGGGAACUGAUUGGUUUCAGCACCGAUGAAGAAGCUCGAGCUUUUGCAGCGGCUUUCAUAGCUUCAUUUGAAUCAAGCUUUGCGAGUUUCCAAGCACUGAUACGAAUUGGUUUUUUCGGUUGUCGUUUCCCCUUUUCAGAUGGGUCCCUAGCAUCUGGAUCAACUGUUGAUGGAACCCGGCCUGGAUCUAAAUGCGGGAUGAUCUCAUCCUGUCAGUUGACAAAGAAAGCAAAUCUCGCUUAUUUUUUGAUUUUACAACUUCAAGAUACAAAAUUUCCUGCUUUAGAAGCAAAUUACCAGCUGGUCCAUAAAGAUUCGUGGAGGAGUGCACCAUGCGCCUCUGUACUGCAAGCCCAGCGAGCUUCCGCUAAUGGCAGUUGGAGCGGAACUCAUUGGAGAAGAGGGGAGGCUUUGCUGAUCCUCAUUCACAGAUGGCCCAGGAGGUUCACUUUGCGUCCUCAUUGCAACUACAUAUUCAUAUGUUGUAAUGCCCUUGAAAAAGAAAAAAAGAAAGAAAAAAAUCAUUAGGGGCGCAUUAGGUUGGCCACAGAAGACAAUUUUAGGAAGCAAAGUCCUAAAAGGAAUACAAUUGAAUCGAAGGAUCAUACCUUUCGAAUCAAUAUCAUAUGGAAAAAGAAGAGUUCUCCCAAAGGCACAGAAGCCAGCAAAGAGAGAGCUGUACACAGGACCUGCAAUUGAACGAAAAAAUAAGCACAGUGAAUAAUAUGUCAACAAGGACCUAGAAUGACUGCUACAUUACCCCAGAGAGAGCUUCUUUCAAGUGUGUUUUUCAUUACACUAAAUACAACUGACCAGAGAGGAGUCUAUUUAAAUUAUAUUUGGCUUCUUGUAUAUUUGUCUGCUAAUUCCUGAAAACAAAUCUACACAUCUUAUAGGUGGAAAGGUUCGGACAUACCACUAUUGUAGCGAAGGGUGCUCUGGAAAAGCCAUCUCCUAGCCUUGCAACUAUCUCUUCUUCAGUUGCCCUUCUGUCAGUGAAGCACCGUACAAGAACAGCAAUACCAACUCCGCAUUCAACGGCAAGCUUAUGCACAAAUUAUCAUAAACAACCAAGGAUUCAGUAAGAAAUAAAUUCCACCUUAAGGAUGCAAACAUUUAAGUCUCCGAAAUGCUAGUCACUUCUGUUUUAACCCUUUCCUACCUACCCAAGCAAGGCUCAUGGCCAUAAGGCACAAAAAGGUGACGUAAUUCUUCCUUCCAACACAAUUGUUUAGCCACUGCACCAAACGAGAUGAACAUGAUAAUACGGACAUUGUCUUUGACAGAUUAGAGAAUCAGAAAGAAAAUAUGAACUUUGAAUGCAUACCCGACAGUGAUGAUCAAAUUCAUCUACACACUUGUCACAACUUCGACAAUGUUUGCUAAAUUUUCUCACCUAGAAAAAGAACGGUCACAACUGUAAAUAUGGCCAGAUAUGUUGAAGCGAGUCUCUCAUGAAGAUGUAACAAACUGAGAAUUUACUUAAAUAUCCAGCAGAAAAAUAACUCUAAUAUGAAAGUAAACAAAAAUGAAAGUUAGUAUCGAAGUAAAUUCUCUAAGAUGUGUUAAGCGGCAUGCAUUGAUUGCAUAUACAAAAUAUGCACCAUGCACCCAAAUAUACAAAACAUGCACCACGAACAUUAUCAAGACAACAAAUGGCAUGAAAAGAUCAAAGAAGCUAAGGAGCUUAACACAACCUAAACAUCAUAUGAUCAUGUGUAACUGAUAGAUAUACACGCAUAACGUCAAUGUGCCUACCUUGAACAGCAAUGAAGCAUAAACAACAGAGUUAACUAUUAGAUUCUAGAAUUGCUUCUCUCUAUUGGGCACUGCGACCUCAAUGCUUCUCAGUCCAUCUUUAAUAUUGGAAUUAAAGCCCAAAAAUAUAGAUAAAAUCGACCCUUUACUUAAGGACCAGAAGUGACAGUACUUUGAAAUGAAUUGUCUAAAUAACUAUCAGUCCCAAUGGAAAAGAAACCAGGAGGAAAGAGCUCAUGAUAAUCUCUAGAGGGAGAUAUUCCGACAAAUUGAAUACCGUCAGACAAACUGAAGAUGAUCCAACCUGAUAUAAAUAAAAGUUUAUAAGUUUGCACAUCGACUUAACUCAUUGAUUAAUAGUGGGAAACUGUGAUAGAAUUCAUCCUUCGUUAGUUAUUCCUUGUUGUAAAAGUAAAGCAUUAAAGAGAAUAACACUUUCACAUAAUUCAUAACAAUGUUCAGUUGAAACGAAAAGAUAUCAAUACAAAAAAAUUCAAGAAACAUAUAAAAUUGUGGCACAGUUACCAAGAUAUCCAAGAAAAUGCUCACAACUAAGAGAAAUGGUAAAUUGAUUCUUGAAGAAAAAUAGAUGUACCUCAGCAUUGCACAGGGUGCAAAAUAAUGCCUCAUCCUCUCCGUUCUCUUCUUGCUGGUUAACAUCCUUGUUCCUGCGGCAAUCAUCUUUAACAAAAAUGGCACAAAAGAAACAUCCAACGUCCGAGCAGGUUGUAUGCUUCCUAGUAUUCUCCUCAAUCUUUGACCCUAACUUACUGUGUUCCUCGAGAGUUUCUCCAUCCCCUUCAGAAAUAUCAAGAAAUUGAAAAAGCAAAUGUGAUAUCAAUCAUCUAGCAAAUAGUAAGAUUUUCAGGGAAAAAAAAAAAAAAAAAACAGAAUAUGAAAGCAUACCUUGUGAUUUAUGAGGCAAUGCCUCAUCAGGACCAAUCAGAAUUCCAGGAUCAGCAGGAUCAAUAGCAGUGCAUCUAACAUAAAGCACUAGUACAGACAAAGCCUGAAAAAAAAACAAACAAUAUGCACUAAAGAAUGGUUAUUUUUCUCUAGUGAGGGCUCUAAAUUCACAUUUUGCUAACAAGAGAAUUAAACAACUAACCAGAAAACUAUAAACAGCCAUGGCGACGUAUUCAUACAAGUCCUUCCCAAGAAAUGGUGCAAAAAAGGCAUAGAACGCAAUACAUAGCAAGAAGAACACUGUUAUAGCCACUAUCUGCAAAAGUACAAAACAGCUCACAAUCAAUACAGAAGUAUGCAUAAUGAAAGAACUCAUAAGAUGCUCAUUUCAUAACACAGCCAAAAGGUCGUUUUACAGAAAUUGUCCGGAGCUUCUUGAUCCUAUUCUAUAUCAGUUCAUAAAGAUACUUAAAAUACUUUUAUCGGCAGUGAGAGAAAUAUAUACGGAUCUGCCAAAAUCUAACUAUAUGGACUAUCUGCCAAACUUAUGGGCAGUGUGAAGGAACCAGGCUACGGUGGUCGCUGGCAAAAGCUACGAGUCCAUGCUAAAGAUCUCUAUUAAACAAUAAAAUGUGAUAAGUUUUUACGUAGGAUUUUUUACAACUGAUUCAUCAGAGUCAAAAAGUGACCUUUUCUUCCGAAACUAAUGAAGAUCAUUUGAAAUCCGCCGAAAGGAUGUCAUUGGGUCAAAAUUGCAUCCUUUAUUACAGAUAGAUCGGCCAAAUGCGCCAAAUUGUGCUUCUAGAUAAAGUGAAUUUCUUUACGAAAGAAUCACUUAUUUUGCGAGCGUAAAUUGCUACUUGCUAAGAGGGCAAUCUCAUAUUUUCUCAGCUCUUUCCAGUUCCUUGUCAAGGAUUCAGCAUGCAGUUCUUUCUCCUGCGCAACUUCCGCCGGUUUCAACUCUCAUUUGCAUGCGCAUCUUAUUUAUGUGCGCAUAAUCCUAUAUCCGCCAUAACAUUGAGAACACUACCACCACAAAGUGGAAAAUUCGCAUAAACCUAGGAUUUGAGGAACAACUCCAGCAAAAUAAAACUUUUUUUAAAAAAUAAACAGUAUAAUAACACAAAGAGCUUGCCUCUACUUGUUGAUACACCUUACCCCCAAAAAAAAAAAAAGGUAUCAAACACAAACACAACACAACACAAGACACAUUCAAAAAGCACCUCUUAUUGCCGUUACCAAAUCCAUUAGAAUUUACCGAAAACAAAAUUCGCAAGGAAACAAAAAAAAAAAAAAAAAAAAAAAACUCUAGGGGGCGAGAUUUGAUCGAACCUGGAAAGUGUGGGCGGGGAGCUGCCACCCGUGGCGCCUCGCCAUGGCCGACGCACUAAAGUCGGCGCCGGCAACGCAGCAUUACCCACCAAAUGCCUAGCGGACGCCGACUUCACUGCUUCUUCUUCUUCCUCCUCUGCUUCUUCCUCUUCCUCUGCUUCUGCUUCUGCUUCUUCCUCUGCUUCUGCUUCUGGGAAAAGCGGAAACAGGAUCGGCUUCUUCGGAGCCCGAGGGGGGGAGCGUUUGAGCGUAUCGGCCACGGCGGAGGAGGGAGGAGGUGACGAAGGGUUUCUCUUUUUUUACUUUAAUCGAGCGAAGCGCUUCCCAUUUGAUUUGCUCUAAUCGAAGUAUACUACUAUACACAUGGAUUGCGUUUUUACUAAUCAGUCCUCAUCUUAUUAUAUAUUUACGAAAAACCCUGUGUUCUAUGGCUUGAUCUUUUACUUGGUCUCGUUGGUGAGUCCACAUCGAAAGCAUGUCAUGCGUAAAGCAUACUCUUGAUUAGUAUUUAUUUUAGAAAAUGUCUACUUUUUUAUGUCACGCAAAUUUAACUAUUUUCCAAAUCACAAUUCUUAGAUAUGGAGUUUUUUUUUUUUUUUACCCCUACUAUUUUAAUCUGGUCCCAAAGCUUCUUUAUCACAAAAAGAAAGAUCGAAGCACAAACCGUCUUUUUUUUUUUUAUAUAAAAACGAAAGUUCGAACCUUACAAUCUGUUUGGUUCAAAAUUUAUACUAUUUUAAAAUUAUUAUAUAUUUUAUAUUUGAAAUGGCUAAUUCGUUACUAAUUUAUGAAGCCAUUUAGAUUGAAAGAUUUAUAUUUUUUAUUAAUGAACUACUAAUAAUUCAUACCAAGUAUAAAAAUUAGAAUAUCUCAUAAUUUAUUAUAAUUUAGUAUUUUGUCAUUUAAAAAUAUAGAAUAAUUUUACUACUAUACUGAUAUUUUUUAUAACAAUCCAACUCGUGUUGAAUAGUAACAAUUUUAAUAUUUUCAAUGAAAAUUAUGGAACAUAAUCGAAAAUUUACAAACUGUGAACCAAACCUGGCUCAAUUAGUUUAUUUUAAAAUAGUGAUUACUUUAUUAAAAUAUAUAUAUAGUUAUGCAACAAAGAUUAAUUUUCUCUUGUAUGAAAUUUUCUAAUACUAAUGUGCACAACAAACAAAAAAUGGUUUAACUCCCCCACAUGCCACAUGUUACCACACCCCAACAAACUGGACCUCAAUACAUGCCUAAUCUAUAGAAGUGCUUACCCUUUCCAUUUCUUCUUUUAUAUUUUUUUUCAAAAAAACACAAAUGGAUGUUUAUUACAUCAAAGUUUCAUCAUUCAUGGUCAUGAAUUUGUAGUGGAAUCUUUCAUAAUAAAAAUUAAUUAGCUCAUAGAGAUAGGGAAAUCAUGCUAAUAAAUUUGGGAACAGUGGACUAUUAAAGGACAAAGGAUAAAUUAAUCUCUCUUGGUACUAUUUUAUAUCAGUUGACACAUGGAGGUGGUUGGAGUCCUAAUAGUAUAUUAGUAGUUUAAUGUGGCUGUUUAGUGUAGGGUUAAGACUAAUGGGAGUAAUCACUGGGGUGAUCAUUUUUUUAUUAAUUAAAGCUAUGUGUGCAUGGGGUGGAGAUCACCAAUAGUCACCUACUCCAAUCUUGGACUUUAGUACUUACUACUAUUAAUUGAGGGGUUCAUGUGUGUGAAAGGGUGACUAUGUUCUCUCCUCCAUAGGGAUGCAAAUGGAUCCGGGUUGGUGGAGCUCCGCCCCGAUCCGCCCCGAAUGGGGUGGUAAGUGGGAACAAAAAAUAUAAAAAAAUAUAACCCGUCCCGAAUCCGCCCCGAUCCGCCAAGUAAAUGGAGCAGGAGGUGGGAGACUCCUUUUUUCCUUCAAUCCGCCUCGAUCCGUCAAAAAUCCGGCUCCCGCCCCGAUCUGCCCCGAAUGGAGCGGUUAGUGGGAGCCAAAAAUAAAAUGAAAAGUAACCCGCCCCGAAUCCGCCUCACCCCGAUAAGAAAUGGAGCAGGAGGUGGGGGAACUCUCCCGCCCUCGAAUCCGCCCCGUUUGCAUCCCUACUCCUCCAUGGAAACUAUGACUUAGAUGGUGUAAGGUUGUUAGAACCAACAAUGAUAAAAAAAAAUAAUAAUAGGGGCAAUUGUUUAUGUAUUUCUGAAAAUUUUUUGAUUUUUUUAUUUGCUCUCUUAGAACAUUAAUAUUAAAAAAUACACUUUUAAUGUUCCAAAAUAAUUUCAAAUAUAUUUUUUAGAGUUAAAUUAUACUAGUGAACUGCUACGAACAGCUGUUAUUUAUAUAAAAUUAUUAUUUUGCCAUUUCAAAAAUAUAAUUACUAAUUUUUUUAAUUGCUCUUAAGUUAGGGGGAAAAGAAAUUUUUUGAUUUUUUCUCUUUUUAAAUAUACGUUUCAACCAUACCAACUUUUUUUCAUUUGCCCUUAAAAUAGAAUCAAAAGAGAUAUUUUGAUUUUUUUUUUUUUAACUCUGAUAGAAAUAUAAUUAAGAUUUAAUCAGAAAUGACUUAACGGGUAUUAACAAUGGAGCAUUUUUAAAUAACAAUAAAAUAUAUGAGGGAUAUAUUUGAAAUAAAAAAAAAAUAGAAGUAUAUAAGAUAUUUUGGACGUUUUCACAAGAAUAUUAGAUAUUAAUAUUAUCCAAAAAAUAUAUUUUUAAUCAUGAGAAACAUAAAAAAGGAGGAAUUAUUACCCGAGGAGAUUAAAAGUUCUUCUUCUUUUCUUUUCCUUUUUUUUUUCUUUUUUUUUUUUCUGACCACACGCAGCAAAUAUUGAAACCUGAGUACCACAUCACCAACUUUUAGAUAGAAACAAAUACAGCAACUUGUUUGGCUAUAAAAAUUUAUAUAAGAUAAGAUGUGUAAUGAAUAAUUGAAUACACAAGUGAUGUAAAAUUAGACUAUUGCGCGAAAUUCACACGAUAAUUUCUCCCUCAUUUAAUUUUUUUUUUUUUUUUUCUGGUACGCUAGCACUUUGGUAGUUGUUCUAGCUUUUUCCUUUCUCUACGGUCGAAACAAAUAUGCUUGUUCUCAAUAAUUAUGAAAAUAGCAACUCCACCAUCUUGUUCAAAAAACAGAGAUGUUGAACAGUUCACAUGAUUGAUUUGGGGAAAAGAGAAAAACUAAACAAUAAAAACUAAAAACAUUUGUACGAUAUUAAUGCAUGUAAUAAUGUAAUUAAUUAAUAAAUUAAUUAUAGAUACAAAUAAUGGGCCUAAUCUUGAGGCCCAAGGCCUUCAAUUAAUCGGCCCAUACAUACCCUUGUAUCUGCUGCGAAUGAACGGGCCGGACAAUCGUCCGGAACGUGGCGCAUGCGGACUCGUGAUCAAUCUAAUUCGGACGCCAGGAUUCGUCGCGAGUCGAUCGGACGGUGGGUUUCCAUUCCCGCAAGUGUCCGCAUAAUAUCCGUGUCCGGGCGGAGAAAAAAUCGCGCGCUCCUAACAUCACCACCGUCCCCCGAAGAUCAAAGCGCGAAUCUCAACGCCGAUUGCCACGUAGGAUCCUCGAUCCGAACGGGUAAAAAAUCGAUAGAACCGAGGAACGGUCACUCUCCCUCUCUCUCUCUCUCUCUCUCCUCCUUACUCCGUAGUAGUUCUCGCACCAUUUUAUUUCCUAGAGAGAAAAGAGAGAGAAAGCUUAGGGUUUAGAGAGAGAGAGAGAGCGAGCGCCAUGGCCGUUGUAGCGAACUCCAUCGUCACCACUGGGGAUUUGCGCCUCUCAUCUCUUCAUCGUAGAUUCAUCUCUACUUAUUUUUUGUUACUAUAUAUAUAUAUAUUAUUAUUAUUAUUAAAUUUUUAGACUCUUUCCCAUUUCUUUUUGUUGAUUGUUGUUACUGGGAUCCUUUUGCUAUGCUAAUUGAUAGGCCCAAUUGCGAUUUGAAUGGGUUUUACUUCGCUUGAUUGGUUUGCGAAUGAUUGUUGAAGCAUUUGUGUGAUUAAUUCAUCUGAAUUUGGUUGCUAAUUUGACCUCUAAAUUAGGUAAUUGAUAUUGAGACAACUAUUUCAGAGAUCUUGAAACUAUACUUGUGGAAUCACAAUUAGUAGCCUUCAUCUGAGAAAUGACACUGUCAUAAAGUUCGGUAGAUUGGGUUGUGGAUAUGGGGAAUUGUUGAUUUAAUCGAUUGAGGUAAACUACUGGGAAGUUUGAUGUGUGCAGUUUAAUGUGGAGAAAUAUAUGUGCGGAUUUGAAAUCGCUUCAGAGGCUUGAACUGACUGAGAUUUUGUAGAACUGAGAAAAUUGUAAAAUGUUCAUCAGAGAUUCAUUUAUAAGAAACAUGCAUUAUUUGGUGUAUAGAUGGGUUUUUCAUAAGCUUAAUAUGUUAAUCAAGUCGUUGGAUAAUCCUUUUAGGAUUGACAUACUGCAACUCAUUGAAAGGCAUCAAUCUGAAGUACAGAGAAACUAACCUGCAAAUAUGGAAUUAUAGCGACUUUUAUUUGUUAGCUAUGUCAUGAAAGUAGUCCUUAUUUGGAAGUAUCUGAAUUUUGAAACACUUGAUGAUUGUUGCUCUUCAUCUCUUUAAGAUAUAUUAGGUGUCAUCAGACCAUAUCAUAGUUAUUUUCACAAUUCGCUUUUGUCUGUAUAGCUGCCAGCCUUACCUGUGCAUUUUUUUUUCUUUUUGCCCUGGUGUUUCCCCAGGUGACUUAUUGAAGCCAACAAGGAAGCAUCUCACACUUCUGAGUGCUUCAAACUUGUCAGUCAGUCCCGCUCACCCUUUGGGAACCAAUGUCGCAAUUUCUAGGAGCCAAAAAGUUGUUUGCGCUGGCUAUAGGUACCUAAGCAAUUUGAUGAUUAUUCCAACUAGUUUUGCUGGCUAAAUAUCUGUUAAAAUCCUUCUUUUCUGUUUUCAUGAUGGGAUAGGGAAGUGCAUAUUUUUCUCUCUUCAAACUUUUCCUUUUCAAUGAUUUGCCUGCAUGAUGAUACACUUUGGCUAAUUUUCUGCUUUCUCUUUAGAUUUGGCACAUGUCAGAAACUACAAUCUCCUAAAUAUGUUUUGCAUUUUCACUUCCUCUAUGUGGGAUCUUCAUCAUAAUUAAUACUGUCAAUUGUCUUCAGCACAUUAGUUCACUGUGAAGUAUACUACUUUAUGAUAUAUUGGAUAAGCCUUUUGCCAUUUGGAAACAUUUGUGACAGGGAAGGUGGCGGACCAAGUAGCGCAAGCGUUUUUGUUGGCGGCUUUGUUCUGGGAGGAUUAAUAGUUGGAACUCUUGGUUGUGUCUAUGCACCUCAGGUUUGUAUUUUCAACUUGUCUGUAUUCCUCUUUUUAAGCUAAGAAAUUUUGAUGGGUUUGAUAUCAUCUUUAGCACCAUAACCUGGAAUGCGAUAGCUGUUUAACUUUUUUAACUGAAAAUGCUCUGAAAGAGAGGAGAGCUUAUAAUCUCUUGCAAGUAGCAAGAAAUUUUUGCUUUCUUUAUCUACUUUUAGAUUCAUGAACUCUUUGCUACUUGAUAAGGACUGCACGAAUUCUUUCUUUCAUGGACAGUAUGUGUGCCUAUUCUUUCAACUCUGAUAUAAUUUUAAUAAGAAAAUGAAAGAGUAAUUUUAUCCUAACUCUAUUUGUUUUAUCCAUUUUCUUUUGCCUUCUUCUGAUGAUUAAUAAUUUACUCCAGAUUAGCAAAGCAUUGGCUGGGGCUGACAGAAAGGAUCUGAUGAGGAAAUUGCCAAAAUUUUUAUAUGACGAGGAAAAGGCUUUGGAGGUGAACUGAUCUUCUGCUCAAAGUUAAUCUUUUAGAGAUGAAUUUUCUGCUAUUGGCAUUCUAUUUCUUCCUGCAAUUUUGCCCUGUGUGGUGGGAAAGCUUAGACAUACUUGAAAUAAUCACAAAUAAUUUACUACAUUGGAGACAUUACUUCUGUCUUGCUUGACAGCUAGGUUAAAGUUAAUUAAGCAAUCAACUAAAAAGGACCUGUUAUUUUCAUCCUCUCUCUAAGAUUUCACUAAUUGAAGAUAGCAAAUAAGGACUUUGUUUCUACAAAAUUGGAAAAUGGUUCAUGAAUACUAUUGUUAAUGCAGCAGAUCUUUUUGGGUGUUAAUGUAAUUUAGUACUUCUUUGAAUUAUCAAGGCUUGGAUUUGGAUAUGCAUAUGUGUUGACUAAUGGUGAUUCCAUAUGGCGCAAAUACCAUAUCGUGAUAAAUCGCAGAACUAAUAUGAUACAAUAUGGUACAAGAAAGAUUUCUUUUGUUCUGUGUGCCUUUUUUUUUUCUGUAGGACAAAUUCUUUUCUUUGUUUACUUUGGGUAAAGCUAUACACGAUUAUAAACCGGCAAAAAAAUCAAGCAGCAUUAUGGAUUAUCAUUAGAGAGAUUACCAUGACAUAAACUCCUUGAUGUGUAUUUCAUGAUUCAUUGAGAUUAAGCUUACUAAAUAUAUGCAAUUCUUGUAUUAAUACAGCAUGUUCCCCGCUUUUUGGAAUUGCACUGUCAAACCUGUUUUCCUUCAUUAGUUUAUUACCUUUUAGGAUGCUUACAAUCCAAAGCUUUACUUUUAAUGAACAACAACAGAAAACGAGGAAGAUAUUGACAGAGAAGAUUGCGCAGUUGAAUGAGGCCAUCGAUGAUGUUUCUUCCCAGCUCCGAGCAGGUGAUGGUCCAAAUGGAGUUGCUGUGGCAUCUGAUGAGGUCGAAGCUGCACUGUAGUUCUUCCUGGCAUUGUUGGGUACAGCAGAAUCUGCUUUAUGGAUGAAUGAAACAUUUUGGCUAUUUUAAAUUAUUCACGUCAUAAAAAUAAAUAAAUAAAUUUUGUGCACCUCACACCUCACCUCUUAACCGUUUCUACAUGAACAUAAUAUGUGUGAUAAGAUACUCGAGUAGCUGAAUGUUAACAGACUUUGCUUUGUUUCAAUGUAAAUGCAUGUUAUCUCUGUGAAGGUUGGGAUGUUGUUAUGUUUCUCUUUGAUUUCUCUCGAGGAUAUGAUUUCAGCAGAAAUUUUAUGCGUGCGAAAGUUGCAUCGAUGUUUUGCAUUUGUAAACACCGUAACGCAAUGGGUUUCAUUGUUAUGGUAUAUCUGAGAUUCAUGGGGCAGCCUAUACCACUUGCAGAUUGAUGCCUUUUGUUAAUAAGUUUAUUGAAUUGCUUUCGCUUCAUAGCCUCUGCGCCGAUGCCAAGGUGGGACGUUCUCAUUAUACUGCGUCGCAUGCAUGCACUUAUCACCUUAAACCGUAUAUUUGCUGCUAAAUGUUGAUGUGCUAACUUGAAUGUCCAAGUGCUAACUUCAAUGUUGAGAAAUUAACAGUAUCUAUAUCGUACAAGCACUCGAAAUUUACUCAUGGGUUUCUACGAAUUUAAGUGCCCUUUUUAAAAGAUUAAUUUAUUAGUAGAAAAGUAGCUCAUCUUGCAGAGUAUCCAACUAUUCCAGCCAUCGCAUCGGGAUUACACCCAAAAUGAAUUGGACUACAAUUAAACUAUAUAUUGCAUGCGUGCUAUGAUCUGAUGUUAGUGACAAAUUGGAUCUAGCCUAACUGCAGAUUUAAGAGGGCCCCCACCUGCCAACUAAUAAAAAAAAAAAAAAAAAACAAUAAUAGAAACAAAAUAGAAAUAGAAAAUAAAGAGGAACCAAAGAAGGGCAACCUUGGAUCCUCCUCUGGACAAAGGCAACUUGAUUUGUCACGUCCACGAGCGUAUAAUUGUUUUGGUGACUGCGAUAUAUGUACGUCUUGUUGGAGAAUAGAGCAAGUGCAGUGAUAAAUAUCUCUACUAUUUUCAUAAACACGAUAGUGGUCGGACAAUUAUAAUAGCUAUCAGCAGGGAUAGAGCCGAAUAGUGUGGAAUAGAAUGACCUAGAACUAGUGUUUCCCACUGCUCCAGGCAUGGGAAUCCUGAAACCAAAAGCCACCCUAAUAAUUUCACCAGCUGGCAUGAUAUUUACAUCAUGCGUCCACCCCUAAACAAAUAACCCUAACACUGUAAUCACAAUGAAAAAAAUAAAUGGCAUAUCUCUGCACAAUGUUUUUACAGACAAUCUUGCAAUGCCUUCCACAGUUGUUCAGAUGCAGUAAAUAUAUGCUGAAACUAGGUAUAUGCUCAACUCAACAGCCAUUGGAGUGUUAUUUAUAACAAUCAUCUUUAUACAACACCAAGAAACUUGAUAAACAUAGGAAUCAUUUUGAUAACUUUGAUACUUGACAGUCGAAUGGAAGUCAGUAUUUUACACCGAAUUUCCUAAACAAAAUGCCAGCAGGAUUCUUUAAUGCACUUACGCAUUUACUUCAGUAAGUUUCUGAAAUGACGAAUUUCAUAUGGACCCCCACCAUAGGUAGACACAUGGGGCUCUUCAUGACCUCAAUUACUUUGUUGGUUCUUCUGCAGAGAUUUUACAUGCCAUGCUGUUCUGAUCAAAGCAUUAUACACUAUUAUUGGAUUGUGAUGUGGCUUAAUGACAUGAUAUUUACCUAUCAGCUACCCCUUACAUAUAUAUAUAUAUAUUUUUUAUUUUUAUAGUAUCUUCUUGUUUCUUUCUAUAAGAGCUAGUUAGGGAGUAGCAGCACACCUUACAGCAGGAGAGAGGGAAGGGAGAAGAACAAGAUGGAGUUUUGGUCUCUGUUCAUGAUGGCAUCAGUGCCGGUGGCCGAGAUCAUGCUCGUAGGAACACUCGGAGCUUUUCUCGCAUCUGGAUACGCCAACAUUCUCUCGGCUGAUGCAAGGAAACACAUUAGUAAGGUUUAAAAAAGAAAACAUAGUUUACUUUGUUUUCCUGUACUUACCUCCUACAUAAAAUUGCUCAUGCCCUUCAAAUCUUGAUUUCUUUUGUACUACCUAGAUACUGUUUGCAGUUUUUGGCCCAGCUCUCGUCUUUGCGAGUCUCGCAAAGACAGUUACUCUGGAAGAGAUAAUUUCUUGGUAAGUAUCAACCCCUUAUGCCUUCGAGAUAAUUAAGGAUGUUAGGUGUAACUAAAUUUCCUUGGUAACUCGCAGGUGGUUUAUGCCUGUGAACAUUGGGAUAACGUUCUUGAUUGGGGGGAUUCUAGGGUGGAUAGUAGUGAAGAUCUUAAGACCAGAAAAAUAUCUUGAGAAGAUUAUCAUUGCUAGUUGCUCAGCUGGUAAUAGCCACCAAAAUUGUUUAAAGAUUUGAUAAACUAUUCUAAAGUUAUCUAAUCACUAGAAGGAUUGUAUUAUCUCCUAUGCACUCCAGGUAACUUGGGCAAUUUGCCUCUGAUUAUUAUCCCAGCAAUCUGCAAUGAGGAGGGAAAUCCAUUUGGAGAGCCCAGCACAUGUAAUUCCAACGGACUUUCUUAUGUGUCUUUUUCUAUGGCGGUAGGAAAAUCUCUACCCUCUUUAUGCCAAAGUCCAUAAUAGUAUUCUUGUCUUUUUAGGUCUAGAUUUAUGCAAGUUCUUACUGUUCAUGUAGCUUGGUGGUAUCUUCAUAUGGACACACACGUAUGAUCUUAUGCACAAAUCAGCUCAACUAUAUGACAAAAUCCAAAAUGAAAGUAGACUAUCGAAGACAAUUGACGAGAAAUCGGAGGAAAGUGGAAAUGCACACUUCAACAUCCGAGAAACAGAAGCUAGCUGUAGUGAUCAGGAUGCUUUACUUUCACCUUCAUCUAAACCUGUUCAAAAAGAUGCAGAACAACCAAUGGUGAGUGCUUCAACAAACAGUGGGAUAUUUCAUUAUCAACAACUUAUUAUAUACUAAUUUAAUCUUUAACAUUAAGACGAUGUUUAGCAUAUAAACUAAGUUAACAGUUAUGAAGUGUUACGCUGCUGAUCAAAAGGGACAUAAGGAAUCAACUAUCAGAGUGGAUUAACUUGUACUCGCAUUUCAAAAAACAGAUUGUACCAUUUUUAUCCCGUAGAAAGAUGAGAAGCUGCAUGUCCAACAACUGGGAAAGAUUCAAAGAAAUUACUGGCGGAACUAUCCAUCAGAUUGCGGAAGAGUUACUAACACCACCUAUGAUUGCAGCGGUACAAGUCAAAGCACAGAAUUUUUCGAUUAAAAGACAGAAAGUAGAUUAGAAUUUAUCAGUAUCGUAAGAGAACUGAUUUUGUUAACAUUUUCUUCGCGUGUUACAGAUAUUCGGUUUCUUUGUUGGUACCAUUCCUCAGCUAAAAUUUCUCAUAAUUGGAGACGAUGCCCCACUUAGAGUACUACAAAGUUCGAUUACAUUACUAGGGUACAUGUUAUCUUCUAUUUCAACUACUCGAAUAUUUUUCAUGACUAAUUUGCAUCUCGGAGACUAUAACAGUAUUAAAGUUUCUCUGAUUUGUUCCAAACCGAAUGCAGAGAUGCCACACUACCUUGUGUUACUCUUCUGUUAGGAGCAAACCUAACCCGAGGUAGUACUCCUUCAACAAUGACUCAUGAAAGGCUAUCUUAUAAAGGAUUAGAAACUUCCAACUCCCAUCUAAACUCCAUAUAAUUAUCCCCCAAGCAGGAAUUCGCAAGUCAGUGUUAAAACCUUUGGCAAUUUUGGCAAUCAUCACUGUGCGUUACGUGAUCCUUCCACUCUUUGGCAUUGGUAUCAUAACAACAGCUGCUAAACUUGGGUUUCUCCCAAAAUCUCCACUAUAUCACUAUGUACUACUGAUACAAUUCGCCCUACCACCAGCCAUGAGUAUUGGUAUGGAAUCAUUGGCAUAUUUAAUUUACAUGAGAAGUGCCGUUUUCUCUAUGACAGUUAGAUAAGGAAGGAAACAUACAUGCAGGUACAAUGGCUGAAUUGUUCGAUGUUGGUCAAGAAGAGUGCUCCGUCAUCUUUCUUUGGACCUACUUGACUGCCGCACUUGCAUUUACUAUUUGGUCAACGAUCUUCAUGUGGAUCUUAACCUAAGAGAGUCAAGAAACUCUAAGUAUACAUACAGAAUCAAGAACCUAGAAUUUCUCAGAUUUAAUUGGAGAAUUUCAACACGCAAGUUAUCAAGAGUUGGUGUUAUUCUCACCUAUAUUAUAUUUGUGGAUCUCACCAUCUCAAAUAAAUGGAAGACAUAGACUUAUUUAUUUAUUUGUUUACUUAUUUAUUUUGUUAUGUUUAAGUUUGUGUCAAAAAGGAAGAAGUACACGAUUGUAAAACAUUUCUGUUGAUACCAGCACAUAGUUUCUAUGUGGAGCCUCUUUUUCUCAUUUGCCGAACGUGUAUUAGAAAAAUUCCCUAUGAAUUAAGAUCAUCGUCUGCUUACGAGGGCCAAAAUACUUAGCAUAUCAAAAUUCCCCUAGAUUUUCAAAUAGAUCCCCUCAAUCUUUUUUCGUAAAUUUAAUUUAAUUUCUUUUUCUUUCUUUCUUUUUUUUUUUUGAGAAGGAAACUAGUUUUGAUUUAUAAUGCCGAAAUCUAGUAUCGACACCAACAGUUCUGAGUUUGAUUGCAGAAUUUGCACUCUAUCUUCACAUUUCUAGCCCAUAUCAACCCCUGCAUUUCAAGAACAAUGAAAGAACGUCCAAAGAUCUCUCACCACCCAGCCAUUAUUAACCAAUCUCUGACAUGUCAAAGAAGAGAACUUUAAACAAAAUAAGAUCAUCACAUAAACGAAUUCCCUAUCCCAUAAAAUCUAGAUUACAAAACCCCAAAUUUCCUACUUCUUGAUCCAAUUAACGCCUCCUAAAUCAAGCAAGAAAAUGGCGCAAGCAUUCGCAGAUGAGUAAAAUUCAAAGCAUCUAGGAAAAGUGAAAAAGCGACCUGAUUGAGAACAACACCGAUGUCGACGAGGAUAGAUGCGAAAGUGCGGGAAAUCGAAGUUAUCAUCGCCCGAGAACUUCUCCAUUACAGCAACCUCGAACGUGAUCAGGAGGAGGAGGAGGAGGAGGAAAGGGGAACGAUUCGAAGAGCCAAAAUCUAGGGUUAGGGUUUAGGGUCUCCGCUUCGUCUCCUCUUCUCCAAGGCGUUUGUGCUUUGUCCUCGGCUUCUCCGCGGCACGAACGUACACGCACAUGGACGAGCACAACAUAUAUAGGAGCGUGGGUUGGCACGUGCGGAUCACGUGCUUAGAUAGGCCUAUCGGGCCAAGGGCCCAACCCAAAAACUGUUACUUAUAAACAAUUGUUUUGGCCCAUGUGAGAUAGACCGGGCCAAAAUUUAAGGUCCAAUAUUAUUUUCUCACCCUGGUUCGGGCCAAUUUUUGCUCAUUUGUAUGGGCUGAGUUAAAAGGUUGUUCAGAAGCAGGAAGCUACAGAGCGAGAAAUUAAAAAUUUUGCGAGCUCGACUUUGCCUCUGGCAACAUCAAAGUCGAAAGGACGAUCUCUGUACAAUUAUGAGUGAGAGUUUGGGGCUUCGCGCGUUUUAGAGGCCGAAACAAAUUGGUGACAUCUACGACUUUCUCUAAAUCACGGUUACGAUCACUCUAAUAAGAAAAUAAAUAGGCCCUUAAGUUGGAGCUUCCACCGGCUCUCGACACCGUUUGGCUCAACCUAUCCUUUCUAAUGUGGUGUCACGCAUGAAGGGCACAAUUUGGGCUAAAUGGGUUGAACUACACAGGUUCAGAAAAGUCCAAGUCCAACAGCCAAUCAUGGCCCGUACAGGCUUGUAAGAAAUAUCUAUAUUUUGAGGCUAAUAACCAUCCAAAAAUUGACUCAAUAUCAUUUUUCAUCAUCAAGGAGGCCUGAUGCAAAAUGGUGACCCAAGAGGACAAGAAUAAAUCUGACAAUCAUUUCGCCAUCUGCAACAAGUGACACAAAAUAGAAGAGUAGGGAGGGUGGGGGGUGGUGAGAAAUGAGUGGCUCAAACUCGACCAAUCUCCUUAUCCAUAAACCAUUGGAUAGCUCCUGGCACCAGAAGCAACUUUACAUGCACUGUAUUGCUGUUAAUUAGUAGUUAAUGCAUUCAAAAAUGACCAUACAAACAAUGGUUUUUUUUUGCAUUUAGUCCCCUGGUAAAUUUUUAUUUUAAAAUUAGUCCUGUCAAAAUUUAAUUUGCAAAAAUUGUCCUAGGCCUGCCACGUCAGCGUCACGCGGGCAGGGCCAGGGCCCGUGUGUUAAGUUGAACACGGUGAACCAUUCACCGUGUUUAGUACGUAUUUUUUUGUAUAUUGAAAAGAGGAAUAGGAAAUAGGGAUGUCAAUAGAUAUGGAUAUUCGAAAUAUUAUCCGAAUCCAAACCCGAAUAAAUUAUAUAUAUAUAUAUAUAUAUAUAUAUAUAUAAUUUAUUUUUAUUUAUUUAUAUAAUAUAUAAAAUAUUUAAUAAUUUUUAUUUUUUAGAUCUUCAUCCAAUGGUAUAGAUUUUUAAAAUCCGCCAGGUUCAGAUUCAGAUUUUGAGUUUUUGGUAGGAUAUGGAUAUGGGUAUGAAUUUUUAAAAUCCGUCGGGUUCGAAUCCGGGUUUGGAUUUUAAUUUGAUUUUCGGGUUCGGAUUCGAAUUUUUGAAAAAUAGAAGAAAAGGAAUACAAAUUUUCUAUUCAUUUUUUCAAUAUAAUACAUACUAAAUACGGUGAACCAUUCACCGUGUUCACCGUGUUUAACUUAAAUACCGCCCCUAGUCCCGCCCGCAUGGCGUUGACGUGACGCCUACAUGACAGGCCUAGGGCUAUUUUUGCAAAUUAAAUUUUGACGGGACUCUUUUAAAAUAAAAAUUUGCCAGAGGCUAAAUGCAAAAAAAGCACUACAAACAAUGAGUGAUGCUCAGGAUUUAUUUGCACAGUGGUUUAAUAAUAAGAACCAUUACAACGUAUAAUUAUCACACAGGGAGAAAAAACCUGUUGUUUCUAGUUGCAGUUGGUUGCAGCAAUGGCCAGCCAUGCAGCUCUCGCCGCGGCGAGAAUCCCCUCGAACACCUCCGGCUUUCACGCGAAAGCCGCCCCCGGCCACCACUCCUCCCCUUUCUUUGCCAGGGUCCAGCUCUCUUACUCUGCUAGUCAUGUUUGCAGUAACAAACAAGUUCCUUUGUCGCAAAACUAUGUAUUGAUUGGUGCCUCAUGUUAAAGCAGAGGCUUGAAGUUGCAGAAUUCUCGGGGCUGAGGUCGAGCGCGUGCGACACCUUCGCGACGAACGGGAGGGAGGCAUCCUUCUCUGAUGCCUUGGCUGCGCAAUUGGCCUCCAGGGUAAAAUCACCAGAGAUUCAUUCAUCUGUUGCUUCUGAUUUCUUAUGUCAGUUUUCGUAAAACUAGUCAGUGAAUCAUGCAGUGAUCUAAUUCUUCAACUACUGAAUUCCAAUAGACAGUUCCUGAAAAACUGACGCUUAGCAUUAUCUUUUCCUUUCCCUUCGUCAAGACCACGGGAGCGAGCCCCGUAAGAGGGGAGACAGUCGCGAAGCUCAAGGUGGCGAUCAACGGAUUCGGGAGGAUCGGCAGGAACUUCCUCCGCUGCUGGCACGGCCGGAAGAACUCCCCUCUCGAAGUUGUCGUCGUGAACGACAGCAGUGGUGUUAAGAAUGUAUGCGCAAAUUGGCUUUACCAGUGUUCAUGAAUCACAAAUUCAAUCUUUAGUUACAUGAAUAAACUCGACUCUCUCUGUUGUAGGCAUCACACCUUCUCAAGUAUGAUUCGAUGCUCGGGAUCUUCAAGGCCGACGUGAAAGUUGUAGACAGCGAAACCAUUUCUGUCGACGGCAAGCCUAUCAAGGUCGUGUCGAACCGCGACCCUCUUAAGCUGCCGUGGGCAGAGAUGGGCAUAGAUAUUGUUAUUGAGGUAUAUCAUUGAGAAUUCAAAUAAUAUGAUCACAUUAAAUUCAACAAGGAUUCCUAAUAUUAAAGGAUAAAAGCUCUGAACAAUUGAUCUAAUGUAGGGUACUGGUGUGUUUGUCGACGGCCCGGGUGCGGGAAAACACAUUCAAGCCGGCGCCAAGAAGGUUAUCAUUACCGCGCCGGCUAAGGGGGCUGAUAUUCCAACCUAUGUUGUGGGUGUUAAUGAAGGUGAUUACGACCAUGAGGUUUCAAACAUAAUCAGGUGAGAACGAAGGAGUUUUUUUAAACUUUGCCCAUGUUAAAUCUAGCAUAAGUUAAUUUACGGCGUAAUUUUCAUGAGUUUUUUGUGGUUGCAGUAAUGCAUCUUGCACCACAAACUGUUUGGCUCCUUUUGUGAAGGUUAUGGAUGAAGAACUUGGUGAGUAUUGUUAGUAGUGGUUCUUUUUUUUUCUUUUUUUUGAAAAUUUUAUAAUAUUGUAGAGAGAUCAUUGUGUCAGAUUCUUUCUUUUUUUUUUCUUUUUCCCCCCUCUGAUUUGUAAUGCAUGAUUUUUGCAGGGAUUGUGAAGGGAACAAUGACAACAACUCACUCAUACACUGGGGAUCAGGUUUGUGUCCUCUGAGAAUAGUGUGCAGCUGAGUUUAUGUGAUUAUCUGAUGUUAUAUUAUUUCCUACUGACACAAACAUACCCCCUGCAGAGGCUGCUGGACGCGUCGCACCGGGACCUCCGGCGGGCACGGGCGGCGGCACUGAACAUCGUGCCGACGAGCACGGGUGCGGCGAAGGCGGUGUCGCUGGUGCUCCCGAAGCUGAAGGGGAAGCUCAACGGGAUCGCACUCCGCGUGCCGACCCCGAACGUCUCGGCCGUUGACCUGGUGGUCAAUGUGGAGAAGAAGGGCCUCACCGCCGAGGACGUCAAUGCGGCAUUCCGCAAGGCGGCGGAGGGCCCGCUGAACGGAAUUCUAGCCGUGUGCGACGUGCCAUUGGUGUCGGUGGACUUCCGGUGCACCGACGUGUCGUCCACCAUCGACUCCUCGCUCACCAUGGUCAUGGGCGACGACAUGGUCAAGGUGGUCGCGUGGUACGACAACGAGUGGGGAUACAGGUGAGUUUACGGAAACAAUUGUGUCCUAUAUCCAUGCGAAUGUAUCGGUGAAAAUUUAGCGGUCAAUUGACAGUAGUCAACUUGCAGAAACAAAUCUGCAACAUUACGAAACUUUUAGAGUAUUAUGUUCAAGAAUUAAAUUUUGCAGGGGCAGUGCAAUUUUCAUGCUUUGCAUGAAUAUCCAUAUGUAGUUGCUCUGCCCUUUUCUCUGCUGCCAAUUUCUUAGCACCACUAAGACAAUUUAGGCAAGCCUGUGACAGACCAUCUCAAACUGUCUUAACUAACUUUUGUAAUCUGUCAUUCUUUUUUCUUUUUUUUACAGCCAACGCGUGGUCGAUCUGGCGCAUCUGGUGGCUGCCAAGUGGCCUGGCUUGCCAGCGCAGGACAGCAGCGAUCCCCUAGAAGACUUCUGCAAGACAAACCCGGAGACCGUCGAAUGCAAAGUUUACGAAGCAUAAGAUUUUAGUUCCACACUUUGAGCAGAAUCGUUGUUCUGAUAAUUUUCUUUCAGAAUGAAACAAUUCGCGCAAAGAAUCGUCAUCUUUUGUCAAGUUGAAAGACGGUGAAUUUGAUACUGUUGCGACCAUACUUUUGCUGUUUAAGAUUUGUUUGAGAGUUCAUGGUUGAUAUGAGUCGCAAGUAAGGCAAAUUUCUGAGCAUGAAUUUGGGUGAAUAUUGUCAAAGACUCUAAAACAUUAAACAGGAAUUCGAUACAGCGAAAACAUUUGCUACGAGUGGCAUUCGACAGUCUCAAAUGUUCGCACCGUGAAUCUCCUUUUCAUAAGCUGUUAUAAAUCUAAAUUAAAAUCAACUUGAAAAGUUCAUUGCACUGUCAGUAUUAAGCCACAACAAUCCUUGCAGAAAAAAAACAAAGUAUACAUUGUGAAUCACGAGCCAAAGGAGACAUUCAGGAAAUAUUAGCUGGAAUGAGAAAACAUUCAGAAUAAAUGUGAUAAAAAUAUUUCUUUUGUCCACAACAUUUUGUUUUUAUAGUUAAUGGAGAAAAGCAAAAUAGGAACAAGCAACCAAUGUUCAGGCACAAUCACUUCAUAUUAAAGGGAACGAAAUGGAGAAAAAGUGAAAAUGAUACCGAUGAUCUUAUCAUUUCAUACAUGUAUACUAUCUAUCUCUAUAGUUCCUGGGUGGAUACAAGUAUAUUUGCUCCUAUACACAGGAGCAUUUGUCCAAAUAACACUAUCGCCGGCCCGAAUUAUUUACACUGAGGACAAAAAUGCGGUAACCAAUUCCCAAAAAAAUUUACAGACGAGUUAAUAUAACUGCAUCUAUCUAGCUUUCAAUAUCGGUGCCAUUUCUUGACCCUUCCUGUGUUUGUUUCCCUUUGGAUCUGUUGUUCACUUCUUCCAUACUGUUAACAAAAGAAAGGAAAGACUGAAGGCUUCGGACAGAUUGCGAGCUUCCCCGACUGGAAGAAUCGGCAUUUUCCACGGGCACAUGCUUUAAGAACUUCCGCAAUACAGUGAGAAAAUAGAUUAAGAUGGCGAGAACGCACGCCACCCCGCAUAUGAGAAAUAGACCGAGGAAGCUGCUAAGAUGAAGCCGAUUUGACUCUAUAUCAGUGCUCUGCGAGCUGCAUGAGGUUCUCGUCAGCCACUUGUCAUGAAUCCUCUGUAGAUCCCCGUUCUCUGAUAGUGUGAGAAUGGCUGUUGAGAGAUCGACAGCUAAGGGGGAGUCGCGAGGAAAAGCCUGAAAUGAGUAUGAUGAACAUGAAAUCAUUCAGAUUUGAAAAUUACAAACUCUACCAUGAUGUAUGGUAAAAUGUAAGAUUACAAACAUUAAGGAAAUGCUCACAAAUCCCCAGCCACUUUUGGUGAACUCCGAGCCCACAAUCGCAAACUUGCAAUGUGUUGAGAGAAAGAGUUUGAUAUACGGGCGCUCAUCGACCACAGCAGCAACCCCUCCGUUAUUAGGACCGAGUUCAAGGGCCAUAGCAUAUUCUUCUGGGGUAUUGAAGGCUUUAAGUCGAGAUCUUGAAAUGCCGAGGUCCUCAACAAGAUAAUAUUCGGUGAACGAACCGACUUGAAAUCCAAUAGGCUCAUCGCUAGAUAUCAAGCUGUCAAGUCCCUUAAUAGGGGAGGUGAGUUGCUGCAUGGUGAGUAGCGAAGUCAGGUUUGCCGUGUAGCUAGACUGAAUGAUCAAGACUACAAAUAGCCAAAUUAUAAGCACGGCUCGCCCCAGAGUGCUCACAGUGUUUUCUUCUGAGGAAUGGAAAGAGAAAAAAAAAGAAAAAAGAAAAAAAGAAGAAAAAGACAAGUUAAUCAGGUUGAAAAAUAUACUACUUAGCAAUACAAAGAAUUAUGAAAGGUUCAGCUUCACUUACUAUGCGAGAAAAACAAAGUUGAAAAACUGAACCUGUAGAAACAGAAAAUGUAAGAGAAAAUUAGAAGAAAAUAUGUUUGUUGACUAGCACUCAAGAUUCACACAAAGUUAAAGCGAAUGACUACUUGCCGAAUAGAAGAAUCUUUGUACUUAAUGAGAAGAACGGGCUCAUAAUGUGCGAUCUAUUUGGAUAGAAUCAUCAGAUCAGAAAUUAACCCUAAUAUUAGUUUCUUUUCCUAUAAAUCUUACCAAAAUAUCGUAAUCAGCUGCUUCUUUGGAGGACCGCGGAAUUCGUCAUUGAUCCUAUGCUCCAGAAUCCAAAUCACCGAUCCUACAACAAGAAGGAAGAGCCCUGUGAUACACCACAUUCUCACCGUAAAUGGCUGCAAGAAAGCCCAAGCAUUCGAGUUGAGUCUCUUGACAGGGGCCAAUACCACAAGCCCCGACUCGAUAUACGGCUGUGUAAAAUCAACGAUCCUCGUUCGGUUUGUGACAAUCGCAAUGUCGCCUAUAGCAGCGUCGAGUUCCUAAAAGUAAGCAAAAAUUCCAAAUGAUCAAAAUAUUGAUAUAAAUUAUUCACACUAGAAAUUGCAAUUAUCGAAGAGAGAUAAUACUCACACCAGACACGACUUUUGCCACAAGAUCUGUAUAGUUCGGAUUGUCACGACCAUCACCAAAAGGAAUAAACUUAUAUAGAACAGGAUAAGGCAGUAAACUUAUAGCAGCAACAAAGACAUCUACACAGUACCCCUUCACUACAUCACUACCUGGCGCUUCUGAGAUGAACUCCCGGUAACUGACUCUAUUCGGAACUCCAAUUCUCAACUCCUUUCCAUUGUUAGGAAAAACCCAUCCGCGAGGCUUUGUUGCUGUUUCUCCUGGCCAGAUUACGGUGUGCAGCUCUUCAUUUGCCGCUGAACGAUUUGGCGGCUUCAUAUAUAGUAAUUCAGGCGAAGAAACCGACAACCCAGAAUAGUUUGACCAGUAACCGACGGUCCGCAACCCAGUUCCUAUUAUGUUAAGGAUAUCAUACGCCGGGUGAAUAAGGUACCCCUGGGAGUCGAAAUGAAUUGGACCAGUUACACCCACAAAAUCUACAUUGUGAAUUUGAUCUAGCAGAAACUGCCCCCCGUUAAACACGCUCAUCGCUUCCAAAUGUAAAUUCCCUCCGUCAGCAUCGUGCAAAUUGGGGUCGUUAGAAAACGAAACAUUUCCGCCACUACUGAAAAAUGAAUCAAGCGCGUAGGCUAUCGUCCACACCGCGUCGUAAGCAUAUAGCGCAUAAGAAUUAAGUCGAAAGCUCUUCCAUUUGGAAAGAAGGGCGCUCUUUCUUUUGGAAUUGGGUGUGUGCUGGCGCAAUGCGAGAACUCCUUGCAUCGUGUCCGUGAUACUUGGCUCAGCGUAUGGCGUAGAAUCUAAGAAAGAGCUUAGCCAAUCAGUUGCAAUCCAAACAUACCCCUGCGACAUCAUACCAAGAAACUUUGCCACAGAAAAAACCAUGACUCCGGAAUCUGGAUUCGCAUGUAAAACGAUUAUUCGCGACUCCAUUGAUGCCACCUUGGCUAGUAAACCAGUGAUGUCACUCUUGGUGGCUCCAGGCCUCAUUGCAGCUUUAUACGAGAUCGUACACUGCCUCUCUGCAAGUUUAUCAUUUAAUGAAUCAAUUCCAUUUCGUCCGUAAUCGUCAUCAAUGAAUAUAGCAAUUGCUUGUCUCCAUUGAUAGUAAUCGACUAAUUCUGCGAUUGCGGCCAUUUGAAAUAGAUCACUUUGGGUGGUUCGAACAAAGUAAGGAUACUCGAGGGAAGAAAGAGUGGGAUCGGUCGCGGCAAAGGCGAGGAGAGGGACUUUGAGCUCGUUCGCGACAUGAGAAAUUACGUGGGCGAGAACAGAAGAUUGGGGACCGAUGAUCGCCACAAUAUCCCUCUCCAUGAACUGCAAAGCUGUCACAAUUUUUCAACUCAGAAAUUGUCAGAAAGUCCUAAAAAUACGAUCUUGGGGUAUAAUUGAUUUUAACUGAAGAUUGAAGAUCAGAGAUGCAAUUCGAUACCUUCGGCAAUGCCAAUGAAACCGUUACAACUGGUGUCCUGCACCUGAACAACCAGUUUGGUGCCUCGAAGAACACCUGAAUCAUUGUUAACGUCGUCGAUUGCGGCAUCAAUGGCAACCUUGGCCACUCUUCCAAUGGUGGAAUUGAAUGUGAAAAGAGCCCCAAUGUUCACAACAUAAGGUCUUGUGUAGUUUUUGUCACUAAGCCCAGCACAAAACACACAACAAAGCAGACCCAGCAAGUGAAGAAGCACAAAUCUCAUGGUGAGUCUAGUGGGAAAAACAAAAAAAAAAAAAAAAAAGGCCUCCUUUUUAUUAUUAUUAUUAUUAUUAUUAUUUUCCUCCCUCCUCCUCCACAAAUUCAAGAACCUAAAGCCCAAAAAUAAUGACUAGGAGUUUCAAAAACGAAACAAAAGGCCCAAAAUUUUCAAAAAAGUUGAAGGAACAAGAAUAGUUGAAAUAGCAUAAAAAUCCCACCUUGGCGCACUCGAAUAAAUCACUUGCAGAAGCAGCCCUAUGGAAACAAAAACAACGCUACGGUUGGAGCGACAAAAACAAAGAAGAUCCAAAGUGAGGGAGUUGGUGAAACCAAGAGGCAGGGGAAGGGAAAAUGUUGGAUAAAAAGGAGGGAGUUUUGGGUCCGUAGUAGCUCUUGAAACAGGAAAUGCAAAGAGAAGAGGUGGUUGCAUGGAGUGAAAGGGGGGAAGCACAUGAUUCUUGAACUGUUUGGUUUGGGAAUAGGGAUAGGGAUAGGCCCUUAUCCCCUUUAUACCCAAACGCUAAUUUUUUAUCCGAGAAUAGUAGUUCUCGAUUAUCCCCACCAACACCUCAAUUUUCUAUAUAAAACUUCCUAAUAUUUUUUUUAUCCUCGGGAACAACCCAAUUUUCAUCCAAACACUAUUUUUCUUAUUUCCAUACUUGUACCUAUCCCUGUAAUAGCUAGUUCUUGCUUAUACCCGAACCAAAUGGUACCUUGAGGGUACUGGUCAUUGAUGUUACAGGGAAACACAUUAUUGAUCACUUCAGGGAUUGUACGGAGCGAAAACAACCCAAUGGGGAUUUAUGGUAUGAAUGAAAGAGUGUCAGUGGAGUAGUGGACCCAAAUUGCACUGAUCUGCAAAUGAAUCUUACAAUAUAGGGUAAACUUCAAAUACCAUCCCGUGGUUUCGCACUCUGUCACUUUAGUACUUCGUAGUUUAAAAUGUAUCAAAUUAAUGUCCCGUGGGCCGUGGUUUUAUUUUUAUGUUUUCGUCAGUUUUUUCAUUAAUAUUUCGUUAAAUUAUAAACAAAAACUUCAAAUACCCUAUCUAGGUUUAUCGAAUAUUUACUUUAAUACUCUUUAGUUUUAACUUUAUCACUAAUUUAACGAAAAAAUUAGUAGAAUCGAUAAUAAAAAGAUAAAAAAAAAAUCACAUGGCACUAAAUUGAUACAUUUUAAAUCACAGGGUACUAAAGUAAGAAAGUGUGAAACUACAUGGAUGAUAUUUGAAGUUUUCCUUACAGUAUAUAUAAAUUUUUUGAGUGAAAAGUAUAAAUUAUCAAUUUCGUGAUUAAAAAUACAAAAUAAUUAAAUUUCGAACUUAAAUCUUCAAGUACUAAUACAAUCAGUAUUAUUCCAUUAUUUCGUAAAUAAGAGGCUAUAUCUUAUGUAGUUUUACGUAAAUUAUCAUUGUCUGUGUGUUUCAUUAAUAUCAGAAUACGAAUAGUUUGGUAAUAAUAUUCUAAACUAUGAGGCGUGAUUAACAGCUUCUGGUUUCAAAAUAAAAUUUUGAAUGAUUGAGUUAUAUUUACAUGCAUAUUUUUUUUCAAAAAAAAAAAAAAUCACUACCAAUCACUGUUUUUGACACAGUGUAUAACAGUUAUAUUUCUCUACCAAAACUUUUCAAAUCGCUUUUGUUUCAUCGUGUAAGAUUACUUCGACUCAUAAUAAUAAUUUUGUUAUUGGUGCAAAGUCACAUUGCCAACGUACGCUAAAAUGGAUAGGAUGGAAUCGAGUGGCCGUUAAUCGGCUUAAUUUGGUUGGCCCAAGAAUUCGGAUAUCCCUCCUCAUUAUUGUUCUCUAUAUAGUAGAUGAAUCCAAAUUGAUUGGUAGAGAUUCCAUUCUGAUCUGUUUCGAAUCGGACGGCACGUAAGAAUUAAAAUAAGAAGAAAAAAAAACUAAUUUGUUUCGAAUCUACUUCGAUCUGGAAAAAACUAGGGCCGGAUGCGGAAGACCUUUUUUUUUUUUUUGGGCGCUAAUGGUUAAUUCUAAAUGUUCGAGCUGUUAAAAAAAAUAUAAUUAAUUUACUUAAAAUAUACAAACAUAAAUAUAACAUAGGUCCUGAUUUGAGACAACCUAGCCUGCUGGAUCUCUCGCUGUUCCAAACAUGAUUCUGUCCAACCUGACUUCUUACUAUAAGGUAAAAGGAUGACCGCUUUGAGUCCGCAAAUUCAUCUUGAUUUAUUUAUUUUUGCCCCGACCAGUCCCAAAUAAAAUAGUGAAAAAAAGAUAAAAUAUAGAGUAAAAAAUUAAUCCGCCAAGACCCCACCAUCCAGUUUGCGUGGAACCGUCUAUGCACCCACAUCCACGUGUUGUGAAGACAAUCUGACAAGUAAGCUUUAAGCUAAACAAAAAAAGAAAAAAGAAUGCAUCAGUUAUAUUACUAAUCACUAAUGUAGCGCUACCAGCUAAUCAGAUUGCUUCUCUUGAAUUCACUCGUCCAAUCAUUGUUAAUUAAAAAAAAUAUUUUACUUUUCUUUCAAAUAAAGAAAUAUGAUUGACUGAUUAUAAAUAAUAUGGUGUGACUACUAUAUAAUAAAAGUCCUCAGACACGGCAAGAUUUCUCAUUUAUUAGGCUGCAGGUCUGACCCCAACUUUCCAUGCCUAUAUUUUUUUUUAACUAUUUUUGUGUGUGAAUGUUGAUUUAUUCGCGAGCUGUGAGUGUCUAUGUGGAAUAUAAUGAGAUCAGUUCAAUAAUUCGUCAUUUGACUGUAAAAGUCUGAAACUCUCCUAAUAAUUUUGUCACUUCUUUUUUUUUUUUUUUUUUUUUUUUUUUUUUUUUUUUUCAUAUGAUUAUCUCUUGUACUAUGAUACCCGUGUCCAUCAUUGGGUACAUUGAGUAUUGAAAACCUGAGAAAAUUUAAAAGAGGUUUCUUGCGUUACCCGGACAACACUAAAUACGCACGUUUAUCAUGAUAAUAGACUACUAAGAUCAACUCAAUUAUUUCUUAAAGAGAAGGUCACAAAGGCCGAAUAAAGUAAUAAACAUCUUUGCAUAAAAUGUCAAAAUGCAAAACUUUUCCUACUUUUCAUUUGAAGCACUAAUAAAACAUGCGGUAGGAGUGAACUAGCUUAAGUUUGAAACUCUGUCUCGUGUUUUUCAAGUAUAAAAAAAGGUUGGUUCUUAGCCCAAUUUGGUUUAAUAUUCGUGAGUACAAAGAUCAAUUUUUUAAAAAAGAAUCGGGGGCCGUAUAAAGAAGGCUCAUUUCAUAAUAAAUUUUUGGCCCAGUAGAGAUGGUAAUGGGCACUGUGUCUCUUUUCUGUUAGUGCUGCACUGCUGCUUAGGGCAUGUUUGUUUUGGUGUAAGUGGAGUGAUGGAACUCAAGUUCUUUUACUUCCGUUAUUUGUUUUGAUGUAAGUGAAAAAUAUAAUAUAACUCGUUAGAUCUCCACUUCGCCUACUCUCGACUUCCUCCUCUAAAGUGCCGAACUCGACUUCCACCACACUUAACCUCCUCUAAAAUAAUUAUUAAAUAGUCAAACCUAAACUCUACUUCCCUUAUAAUAGAUUAAAAUUACCUUAUUUAUAAUAAAUUAGAAUUAUCUUUAAAUAAUAAUAAAAAAAUUAAUUAUAUAAUAAGUUAAAUUUUAUAGCGUUAAAUUUACUAUUAUAUUUAGGAGAUAAUUAUCCACUUACUUACAUCAAAACAAACAACGAAACUCACGAAACUAAUUUCACUAGUACCAACUUACAUCAAAACAAAUAGAAGAAGUAAUUGAAUUUAAUUUUCAAGCUAUACGAGUUAGCUCAAAACAAACAACCAAAAAAUAAUCACACUUCAGAAAAACUCAAACACCACUGCACUUGACUUACGUUGGAUCUACAGAUUCGUCAAUCCAAAGGGACCCUUAGUGUGUUUCAAAAAAUGGGAUUUCUUGGGAAAUGUGUACUUCGUCGGAUGUUCUGUUACUUCUGUGAAGUGCUGCAGGCUAUACAAGUACUAAUAAAUAAGGCGAGAAUAUGCUAGAAACUGGGGCCAUUCAUUUAAUGAUGACUGGCUUGAUAUUUUUAUAUGAUUGAAAAUUUAAAAUUUUAAGAGAAAACUUCAAAUACUCCCCACUAUAGUUCCGCACGUUUUCAUUUUAAUACCAUAUGAUUUAAAAUGUACCAAGUUAGUAGCUUACGGUUUUGCACUUUCUCACUUUAGUAACUUGUGGUUUAAAGUAUAUCAAGUUAGUACUCUGCGAUUUCAUUUUUGUAUCAAGUUCCUGUGGUUUCAUUUUUUUUUUUAUUAUCCAUUUCGGAAUAUUUUUUUCGUUAAAUCAAUGACAAAGUUAAAACUAAAGAAUACUAAAAUAAAUAUUCGAUAAACAUAGGUAGGGUAUCUGAAGUUUUUUGUAUAUAACUUAACAAAAUAUUAAAUCACAAGAUACUAAAGUGAGAAAGUGUGAAACCACAGGAUACUAACUUGAUACACUUUAAAUCAUAGGAUACUAAAAUGAGAAAGUACGGAACCACAGUGUACUAACUUGAUACACUUUAAACCAUAGAAUACUAAAGUGAGAAAGUGCAAAACUACAUGAGGGGUAUUUGAAGUUUUCCCAAAUUUUAAUUUUCAUCGCUGCAAAAAUUUUGACGUAUAUUACUUGAUAGGAAUACUAUAUCUACUAAUAAACUAAUUUCUCUUAUUAUUAAAAAAAAAAAAAAUUAAAGUCCAAUGUGAUAACUAUCUCUUAAGAUAACACGGUGAAUCUAGAUCACUACAAAGUAGGUGGAUCUAAUCACAGCUCGUGUGCCUUAAGAUAAAAACCAGCACCCUUAUUCAAAGAUAAUAAUAAUCUAGUUCUUUCAUCAGUCUAUUUAGGUUGGUUCCUGGCAAAAAAUGUUACUCUCACAAGCAGUAGUAAAAGAUUUGAUUGUAAUAUAAAACUAGUGAGAAAGAAUUGCAGCAAAAAAGUUUGAAGAUGAGCCAAAAAAAUUAAAGAAAGAAAACGGAAGUGAUAUACGAGAAAUUUCUUAGAUUUUCAAACUCUAUCUAAACUAUUAAGUCAAGUAUGGGCAACUGACCAGAAAAUACAUGGCUAAAUUGCUGUAGUACAAGUAGUACCAGUGUACUCCAAAGUCGAAAGUACAACCGCACCCACGGUUGUCAUCUUCGUAGUACUCCCCGUUGUAUUUGUAUUUGUACUGCUAUAUUAAAUUGUUGUUUACUAGUUAAGCUAUAUAAGGAAACAAACUGGGAGUUAAAAAAAGAAGAUAAGAGUCUAAUGUGGUAGCAGCAGUAGUGGAAGGGGCAUGCAGAGGAGAGGAGAGAGAUCCAACACUCCCCCCUCUUUUCCAUUUCCUGUGCUCGCCCCUUCCACCCCUGUUGUUUCCCCUGUUCUUAGAGUGGCUCCUCCUCCGGUAAAACAUUGCACCGCAUUUAUAUCUUUGUAAGGUUUCAUUCAUCUUUUUGAUAGUUCGUGCAUUAAUUUAUUAUAUAUUAUAUAAACAUUUUUGCCAACAGUACGUAUAUGUCUAAAAUUCCACGUAUGCAACAUUUAUCCCCAUUUGAAGUGCAGGUAAAAACCACUCCUAACAACAUUUACGUCAAAGAAAAUGGCGGAAUACCGCAUUGGUGUGUAAUUCCAACAAUUACUUUACCAGGACUCAGUUUUUUGGGUCUUACUGUACCAACAGAGGGAAAGGAAUACUCAUCAAAGUUCACGAGCCAUCACUCAUACCUCUUCAAUCAUGAGGAAACAAUAUUAUGUACAAAAAGAUGCUUCAUGCCAAAGGUUUCCCAUGUAGUAAUCAGAGAUGGAAUCAUAUUAUUUGGAAAGAGGAAAACGAAACUGUAUCAUUGGGUCAAACCACAUUAUAAUACCCUAUAGAACAAAGGAAAAAACAAUGGAUAUACAAAGUUUCAGUUAAAAAAAAAAAAAUUGUGAAGUAUUGAAGUUACCUUCAAUUGAACUCUCUAUUGUCUCUUCCUGUUUUGUAGCUCAGAUCACAAAUAGAAUAGAAUAUGUUGUUUCUGCUAGAGGCUAUUAUCUGCAGUAGAUAAUGUACUGGACAGAUGAGCAUCUUAUUGUCUAUGGCAGGAAAAUAACAUUCGACAGAUAAAAAAAAAAAAAAAAAUACAAUCUAAAAAGUCGAUAUCAAUUCUUAAAUGCAAUUAAUAAACGCAAUUAACGAAGAAAGAAACAACUCCAACGACAAGCGAAACAUUCUAAUGGUGAAAAAAUAAUGGAGAUAAAUAAACUGAAGAAUUAUGAAGACUGAAAACAGCUAGAGAAUGAUCUCAAAGAGCUAACCUGUACAAAAUUGAUUACCUGUACAAAAUUGAUUUCUUGAACAAUUCCGGAUAUACAAAGAAGGUUCCGUGACAUCAGUGUCCUCCGACAUGAAUGAACAUGGAUCAUUGACUCAAUGGUGCAAGACUGGUAUGAAGUGAGCACAUCAUAUUAGACAGAUAUCACGAAAGAGAGGUAAGGUACUUCUAAAAGCUGUAAUCCAACUUACCUGCAAUUUUGUGGUACGCUCCAUUUAUACGCCCCAGAAGUUUUUAAGCUGGGUGGCAAAGACAUAUAGUUCCGCCAAUCCUCCAACAUAACCCUUAAAUCAUGAAGUUUGCGAUGCAAACCGAUGCAGCAAUUUGCAUGCAUUGUGCAGACCUUACUGAAAUCUCUGCUUGGUUCACAAAUGCCACCAAAAUAUGUUGUACUCAGAAACCUAAUUGUCAAUCCAAUUUCAGCGAUGAAUGGAUCACGCUUUAUAAAAUUAAGAACAUCCUGAUCGUGAUAGCCUGGGUGUUUCUCUCGUGAGGAGUACCAAAACUUGUAAAAUUCAAUGCUUCGGUUGUUGGAUCUCACAUAGUUAAAUCCUCCAUUAGGAGUGUUCCUUAAAUCGGUGGCAUCACCCAUGAAACGGUCACAGGCGAUCUGAAAAUCUCCGUCAGGAUGAAAAUGUGGUAGUGGAUUACGGAACCACAUAAUAUCUGUAUCCUGGAAAUUAUCAGAAGAUAAUGCUUUAGAAAGAGAUUAAAACAUGAAGCCACUUGUGCUCAAUACUUGGGAGGAAAAAAAAAAGGUAAUAUGCCAAACAAACAUGCCCUGAGAAAAAGAAAAUGAGGCAGAGGAAGAUAUAAGGUGAAAAGAGCAAUUAUUUCACUGCACAAUCAACUUCAGAAUGUGCUACUGAAUAUUUAGCAGUUACAGAUUUACAGUGCAUUAAGCAGAUCAGUUAUCUGCAACUAAUUCACUGCAGAACUAGCUUACCAGAAUUACUUUCUCAAGCAGACACUCUUAUUGAUUUGUUAACUUAGAUUUGGGAGCUGCACUUCGGCACCGGUUUCUUGUUAAUGGCUUAAUAAAAUUCAACAAUAAUUGCAGAGACUUAACGAUUUUGAGUAUAGCUCUAUCAGGCCCUAUAUAACAAAGAAAAGGCUUCUUCGUCCAGAUAGAGUUUAAUACUUCAAGAUUAUAGUCUAAUAUGGAUCACAAGUCUUUCCAAUGCUUUUAUUUGUAGAGAGAAUAUUAUUAAAGAGAAACUGCAGAAUGCAUUGUAGCGACCAGCAUGCUAAUAAAUGAAUCUUGUGCAUCUUAAACCUACUGGAUAUUUUUGUUAAUAACUUCCAGGAUGAUAAUAUAUCAUAAUGUCCAUCCACAACACCGAAAAUCUUUCUAAUUCAUGUCAUAAUUUGUCUUUCUAAUCAUUCUUGUUCUAUGUUUUCUGCAUCUUUUGCAAAAUGAUAUCAUCAUUAUAACUUUAAACAAUGACCAUCACAUCAUUUCACUAAACUUAAAUGGAUAUCCCUACUAUUAAACCCAAGGAAAGGGGAGAACUCACCGAGAAGAUAAAGCUGUAUCCCUUUUCAAGAAUGACCCUUAAGAAAUCGAUCCUUCUCCACAUCAUCUUCAGGUACCCGGCGGUCAUGAAAUUCUUCUCCCCCGAGAAAUCCACACCUUCCGUGAUAAGAGCAAAACAAUGCUGGUGUAUCGACAUGCACCGCUUAUAUGCCUUCAUGUCCAACGCGAUAAUCACCAGAUGAUUCAAAAGCAUGCGAGUGCCAUCGCCAGUACGAAAACUCUCGAUGAAGAGAUCUACAACCGAGCCAGGAGAGGCCCAUGCAGCAUUUAGGACAGUCAAUAUUAUGGUCUUGUUUACCAUUGCGGUGUCAUUUAGAACACGCUCGAGCCUCACAUCCUCGCUAUCCUACAUAUGUUUUAGAAUUAUAUACAUGUAUAACAGAUCAAAUAAACAUUGAUAGCGAAAAAACAUCACAAAAUUGCGUGAUGGAGCAACUAAAAAAUCGAGUUACAGUACGAAUAUUAUUAUGUCGCAAUAUUUCUUCUCAGUCAACAAACAGCCUAUCGAUCAAUUAAUAAUUUGUGCAUCAAACACCAGAAUAUGAAAAAAUGAAUACAGCAACAAAAAUAAAACAAAAAAAGAAAAACCUAGAAUUAACUCGCUACGAGCCGAACCGGUCGAGACAAAAAAAUAAAAAAUAAAAAAAAGACUAAAAAUUCGGUGGUCCUUAAUUCGACCCUUCCAAUGUAACAGCAAAAAGAUUUCAAGAAACUGAAGGGCAUUAUGGUCAUUCCAUAGGGAUUGUUGGAAAAUACAUGUAAUGGAACCAAAAAAAAAAACCUAAAAGGAGAACGAAGGAAAUGGUGAUUCGAAAACGAUAGGAGACGAGGAAAAAAAAGAAAGAAUUGCGAAUCGUAAAUCCUAGCGUAUAAGAAGAGGGAGCUUCGAAUUCUAAAACCCUAGCUCGGCAAAGGGAAAGGAGAAGUGUACGGCAAGGGCUCUCACCAAGUCGACGAGGUCGACGGGAUCCUCCGGGGGGAGCGCGGCGAGGGGGGCGGGCUCCCACAGCGCGGCGGAGCGGAGCGGGGCGAUCGGCCCCGCGGCCCGGUAGACGACGGCACAGGGCAACGCCACGGCGGCGAGGAAGAGGAGCGGGGUCACCAUGCGGCGGAGGAGCACGGCGGCGCCGCCCCCCUGCGCCGCCAACGGCUGCGGCGUAGGCUGCGCCGAGCCAUUACCUCCUCCUCCUCCGCCGCCGCCGCCGCCGCCGCCGCCGGAGCUGGAGCUGGUGGCGGUGAUGGCGAUGGGCUCCAUUGCAUACCUCGCAGGACGACGCCCGAUGAGCCCCGGGGGCUUCGCCAUUUAUAGAGAUGGAGGGGGGUCUAGGGUUUUACCCGGUGCGGAAUUUGAAAAUAGCGGAGAGGAAACGGGCGGAAAAGGAGGGGUAGGCGUUGUGGGGAAGCAACGACGGGGAUUGGAUGGGAAUACGUAUCGGAGAUAGUCGAGGAUUGCGAUUUUUUCUCUUUUUUUCUUUUAUUUAAAAAAAAAAAUAUUUGCGAAUACUCUCUUCUUUUGCUCGCAGUGUUUUACUUUUCUCUACUGAAACGCCACCAGCUACGUUGAUUCUUUUACUUUUCUUUUUUUAUUAUUUCUUUUUUAAGCUUCGUCGGUGGACGCGUGCGGUUCAGUUUUGGAAUGUUCAGGUUCAGUUUUGUCUCAAGUUAUUCUCUAAACCUGGUCCGCCACGUCAUCCGAAAACCGACCACCAUAAUUGUUUUAGGCUUAGUUUGGUAUUGAGAUCUAUCUAACACUAUUAAAUAAAAUGGAAUUGAAAAAAAAGCAUAUAGGAAUAUGCUUCUACGUUUUCCGGUGGAACCGCAGAAAAUAUACCGUAACCGACUCAUCGCGAUAUACGGAACGUAAUAUUAUGUGCGGAAACAAACAGAUAUUUUUUCAUCGUUUUUCACCGCACGUAACGCAAUCUUUCCGCAAUUCCAAACGAAACCUUACUAGUAUAACAUUGGGAUGUUAUACCAGUAAAAGAAUUUCAUUCAUAGUUUGAAAUAAAACUACAAAAAUUAGUGCAGGUGAAAUCAAUUCAUAGUUUUUUGAAAUAAACUUCGCCUUAAAAAUAUUUUCACGAUUGAAUAAAAACUAAUGCGCUACGUUUUUUAAGAUGUAGAUUUUCUAUAUCCCACGCACACAGGUACUAUUAUUAGCAACAUAAUUAAUUCUCUUCUACUGGUAAGGCUAUAUCUAGUGUUUAUAUGGUCUCUGAAGUGUACACAAUGAGUCAAUUUUUUUUAAAAAAUGAGACUCAAACGACACACGAACAUACACAUAAGGAUAUUUUAUUUAGUUACAAAUUUAUAGUAUUAUUUAUCUUUACGGGAGUGGGCCCAAGCAAUAAAUAGAUACAACUAGAUAGUAAAAAGGAGUGAAUUGCAAAAUUUCUAUCAUAUACUCUGGUGUCACAUGAUUACAAUAAAAAAAUAAUAUAAUUACAAUUUUUUAUUUGUUGAUAAUGAAAUAAUUAAAAAUAUAUAAUACGAGAACAUAUUUUCUCCUAAAAACUUUAGGCUAAGCAUUUCACGCCGCCUUGCACGUGUUUUGGAGCUCGGAAAAUUAAAGAAUUUCUAGAAGACAUUCCCACGUAGUUCGAAUGACUAUUUUUUAGCGCUGCAAAGAAAGUAUAACAAUAAUAAUUAAUAUUAGAAGAAAAAAUAGCCAAACUUUUAAGAAUAAUACUGACACUUGUACAAAAAGAUAUAAAUUAUAUAAUAAAAUUUUAUUUUAUUAAACUUUUUAAUACCAUAAUUUAAAAAAAAAAAUAAACUUUAUAAUGUGAUGUAAAUCAUAUAAUAUUUUUAGGCGUGUCCGAGUACAUUUCUCUAACUCUUAAUUUCCAAAGUCAUACUUUGUUGAUGACGUUUGGGCAUGCGAACGGUAUUGCAUGUUAUGCUCACCGGAAAAGCGACCUAUUCCUGCACCAAAAAAGUUUCAAAAAAAUAAUAAAAUAGCCAUUUGAAGUCCACAGUAGGAAAGUCAACUGGUUUGAUUCGAAGCAAUUUUUUUAAAAUUUAAAUUUGAAUUUGAUAAUCAAAUUCGAAUCUAAAUAUGAUAGAUUUUAAAAAUUCAUAUCCAAACGUGAAUAUGACCAAAAAUCCAAAAUCUGAACUAGAACCCGAAAAUCCGAACUCAAAACAUUAUUUUUCUUUACCAUAUUUUAAAAUAUAUUAUAUUAAAUCUAAAAUUUUAAAAUAUUUAAUUCAAAAUAAUAUAAAACAUUUAUAGAUAUAUUAUAUAAUAUAAAAUUAAUUCGGAGGGUUCAGAUCGGGUAUAUACAAAAUUAAUAUCUAAAUUCAAAUUUGUCGAGUUUUUAUUUUUUUAUUUUUAUCCGAAAACUAUAUACAUUUAGAAUCAGACAAAUCCACUUUGUACGGAUUCGGAUUCGAAUAAAAUUGUGGACAUCUGCAUCUAUUGCCAUCCCUAGUCCAAAGUUACAUCAUUACAUGAGAUAUUUCAGUGUGGGAGCUAAUUUUGUUUUGUGACUUUUGUCCGGAUUGGUUUGGAUCGAGUCUGACCCGACCCGCGAAGAACUGGGUCAGGCCGGGCAGGUUGCUUGGGUCCAUCACUCGAGCUAGUUUCGCUUCAGGCCUAAUUCUGUGCAAACAAAGUCCAAUUUUAGGACUUUUCUGUAAAAUUUACAAAACAUUAUGAACAUGUCGCAAAUAUCCCCACAAGUCACGCUCAUCGCACGUGGGGUUAACGACGCUGCCGCGCCCCGCUCCAUCCUCGAAGCGCUAGGGCUUUUCGAGGGCGCUAAGACGAGGUAGACGAAGAAGGAGAGAUCGAGAUCAAUGGCGGGGGAGAAGGGGCUACCAAGCUUAUUACCUCACGAGGAGGAGGAGGAGGAGGUGGUGUUGGUGGAGAGAGAAGAGGCUAAAGAGCGCUCGUCCUCGCUAACUCCAUGGGAGCAACACUCAUCGGUGAUCAUCCUCCCGCGCUACGAUUACGCCGCCGCAUCCUCGCUUCUUCGUCGAUCUCACUCCGGUUUCCUCAUCACUUGCCCCAUAAGUUAGUACUGCUCUAUCCUCCGUCUCACUUUGUACUAGUAAAAUUAUAUGCAAAUUAGUUUGAUCCAUAUUUGUGUUAGUUUAGAUUGCAUUGUUAUAUGAUCGAUAGAAUUAGAUAGGUAGUAUUCUCAAUAACUUGAUUCAGAUUCAUAUGUGAAUGAAGUUUCGGUUGAAGUGAUGUUAUUUGGCCUUAGUUCACGGAUAUGGGGAGCACUUUUUGUUUAAUUAACUUCAAUGCUUUUAUGCAUAUAAUACAAAUUAUAAACGUAAAAAAAAACAAUGAAAUUGCGCAGUUGUCCCUUGGUUUUAAACUUCUCUAGUAGCAGUUUUUCUUUGCAUUCGUUAUUAUUUCAUUAGCUCAAGAAUUUAUAGAAUUGAUUGUGUUUCUUUUCAGAACGCGAGAAAAGUGCUACCAAGGAAGCUAUUUCCCUCCUCAAAGAGGUUAUUACACCAUACGUUUUACCUUUUUAUGCACUUGAUUUUCUUUUCUUGUAAUGCAGGUGGAUCAAUCGCUUAUUGACAUGUAUGUGCAAAACUAGAUGAGUGAUUAUGAGACCAAUUGCUACACUAGAAACUAUGAAUUAAUUUCUUAAACUUUGGUAUGAUAGCCUGCAAAAAUGUAAAUUGAGCCUUUGAUGAAAGUAAAGUAGAUAAGUGUAUUAGUUUGGUUGACAUAAAAACUCAUUGAUAUAGUAAGCUUCCCUCUAGUAUUGAUUAGUAUCACCUCAUAUCAAGGAUUGCCGUGCCAGUCGGCACAGUUUGACACGGUUGACAUGUGCCACCCCUGUUGAUGUACAAAACAGGGUUUGUACAGAGGCAUGCCAGUGCGCCAUUCCAUGCCGCUGGCACACCAGCACAUCCCGUGCCAGUAAUCCUUGCCUGUCAUGUUCCAGGAAAUAUUGAAAUACCCUUGUCACAACCUACUAUACUCCAGCUAAAGUCUUAUUCAUAUAAGUUUUGCAAUAACUUUGGAAGGCUUGCUUUAGCUUUUGCUUUAUUCCAAGACAUCUCAAGGAAUCACAAUUUGUUGUCAAGUUAGUUUCAGAAUCCUCAGGUUGUUUCCUUAGCCUAUGUCAUGUCUAACUAUGGUUUUAUCCUUUUAAUGACUUAUUAUGCAAUUUACAUCUCCUAUUGGUACAAAUCCUGAUUAUAUGUCCUCAACAUCUCUGAUGUACCCUAAACUUUGUAAGCUUUUUGCAGUAUGUCAACCACACUUGUGGCAAUGUUUCUGGAAAUUCAGAGUCCUUUGAUGCAAAGAUUAAGAAAAGGAGAGUAAGCUGUCAAGCGGAAAAUCGGGAAAAUGCUGGAGAUAUAGAAAGAAAUGGUAACAACGGUAUCCCAGAGGCUUCUGGUGAGUGUCAUCUAUUGUAGAUUAGAAACUAGAAAGUACAUCUUAGACAUUAAGUUGUCCUUUAUUGCUGGGGACUAGUUCACUGUUCAUGAGAUCCUUCAUGAAACAUAUACACAUUUUUAUACUUCUAUACAGGUAAAGCAGAAGAAGUGCCGAGUUCCCUGUCUUGCGAGACAAGUGGGAAUGUACAAAGGAGUUUGAAUCUAUCACUGGUCAAAUUAACUAGGAGCGGGCUACUUCUUUUUGCAUUUCCUACUAGUAACUUUCAUCUUGUUGUCGAUAUAUUAUCAAAUAUAUUCCUUUCAUUGAGCUCAGGGAGGCUGAAAUCACCCCUGUAAGUUGCAUAUCUGCUUAUUUCUCAAUGCUUGCUAGGAUUUUGUCAUAUCUAUUAAUUCUAUAGUUACAUUCCUAUAGCCAUCACUGUACAAUAGUAGAUUCCUAUGCUAAACCUAUGCUAACACCUGAAAUCAUACAUUGUUCUGCCUGCUGAUUUGAUAUAUUAAGAUGAUGCAUAUGAUUAAAUACUGCACUAUUUUCAUGAACAGUUGGUGCAAUCGUAUAUUUCCAAUUCAGGAAACUUGUUUGUUGCUGGAGAAAGAACUAGAAGUAGUUGUGUCGAAGCUAUUCCGAGAAUUUUUAGGAGAUGGUGAGGAGAAACUAGACAAGCCAAUCAGGGUAAGUUUCUAUUUUCUUCCUUAAAAUGGUGUCAUUUUUAGUAUUUUGGAUAGAUCUCUACUCUUUUUUUCCUUUUGUAAACCUUUUCCUAAAUUAAACUGAUGCAUGUGCUGGUGGUGCAUCAAGAUAAUACUCAUGGCAUGUCAUCUCUGUUCGCCAUAAUUCAACUGUAAUGCAACUUUACACUAUGGGCCUAUUUAGUUCAUAAUUUAUAAUAUCCAAUAAUCCUCCAUAUUUUUUAUUAAAAAUAUUUAAAUCAUUACCAUUCAACUCAAGUUGGAUAGUUGUAAAAGAUAUUGGUGAAGUAGUCGAACCGUUGUAGAUUCCUAGCUAGUAGGAAUACUAGAUUACCACGGGUUAGGAGAUAUUCUUAUUUCUAUGCUUGUUAGGAAUCAUUAGUUGUCCAUUAAUAAGCAUAUACAAGUUCCUAACAACCUCCUAACCCAAGAGGCAUGAUAAGUUAGCAACAAACUUGCCAUUCCAAAUAUAUGACAUUCCCGAUAUAUAACAAGCCUUGAACCAUACGGCUCUAUUCAUAGUCUCUCUCCAUUGUUGACUCAGCUUGUGCUGUUCGGGGGAAGUUGGGUGUCCCGGCUCAUAAGAACUCGUAUGCUUUGGGUUUGACACCUGCGUCAAAGGAAGACCCCAAAAAAUUUCUCACCUUUCCUACUUAAAUAAUCAAUAUGAAAGCGGUUUCAUAGGCCACGUUGACUAGGUUGAUCUUUCAUCAUCAAAUCACGAGUUUCAUUCCAUUUCUGGAUCCCCUCGUGAGAGUAUAAAACUUCGCGCCUGAAAAGUGCUCUUCUUGAGUGCUCCAUUCUAUGAGCUAGUAGAGACCAAAUCUCCAUCUUUUUUCCCAUCCCAUUGAUCUAAUCAAAGCUUGUUACGAUCAGGCUCAUUUGGCUGAGAUCUUCCCUGGUCUUUCAAAGCCCAGCUCUGUAAGAGCCUAGGAUUUACCAGGAAAUCAAUUCAUUGGAAUUGUCAUAAUAGGCACAACCUUCACCUUCACUGGUGCUGCAACGGAGUUGAUACUAAACUAUUCAAUAUUAAAAAAAGAAAGACCACUCUUUUUCAAAGCCUCCCUUCCAUGUAGUCUCUCUUCCCGCGCGGACGAUUGAUUCUUAAUUGUUGGUUGUACUGGUUUGGAUUGUUAGGACCAACAUCCUUUCCGGUCUAUAAGCAUUCUGCAUUGCAUCAUUCUUCUUUUUUCUUCAUAUGCCGUUAUCUUUUUCUUGUGGUUUAAACAAGAAAUGCUGCAGUUUUUGUGGUAGGCUGAUGAUUAAAAAUUCUAUUGCACUGUAAUAUUCUGUUUAAUCAUUUGGAUUUACCACUCAAGUUUGCAGUUGGGUACAAUAGAAGAGGCGUUGAUGAGACGGAGAUGAAAACACUCAAAGAUACUGAAGGCUCGAAGGAAUCUACCUUGAUGGAUCGAGACCAGUGUUUCAGGGUUGUGGCUGGAGCUGUCAAAACUGUUGCGAAAAAUUCCAUAGUGGAUCUGAAAUCUCCUGAGGUAUAUAGCCUCAUUUCUAUGCAACUGUCAUCUUUCAAUGUACUCCCUGGUUGGUUCAUUUUUGGAAUACAUGUUGAGCAUCUUCAGAAGUAAAUUUAGAAUGAAAUACCAGCAAACUUUCUCCUGGUAUAAUAUAAAUAGGUUAAAAAUCAUCUUAGCUAGUUUUCAGAGGCUAAUUGAAGUGAGAGAGAUGUUGUUAGUCAUGCUAGUUCAACUGUUUCCUCAAGCUUAGGUUCUGUUUUUUUGUUCCAUUACAGUGUUAAUGCAUGCGCCUAUUGUUUCCAGGUUGCACUUCUUGUAGAGCUACUUCCUCUUUCGGGGAUACCCCAUGGAUCAUCAGUGGUUGGAGUAUCUGUUCUUCCAGCUGAGCUUGUAUCCACGAAGCCUCGUCUCUGCAUAAAGUCUCUUGUGGCUAAUACAAAAAUGACGAAGAGAGUAAGAUAAAAUAGGUAGGUACUUCUCCUGCACAAAAUUAGGACGUUGUAUAAAUAUUUGGACUCCUAACAUCACAGUUUGCUUAAGGUUCUAGCAAUUUUGUUCGCCUGUACAGAACCUUAAUUAUGUGGGUUGUUUAACCUUCUGUUUUGUACCUUGACGUAGGAUGAAAAUUAUUCCUUGCAUGAUGGAGCAGGGAAAGCGGCAGUAAUGUCGUGCUGAGGUGAUGGGCCUCUGUUGACACACUUUGGGACCCUGGGUUAUUGUGUCGGUACCACACAAUAUAAUUCACUGAAGGUUUUCUUUACUGAGGUGAUGGUCCUUUGUUGCAGAUAAUUUUAUGAGUGCUUUUUUUUUUUUUUCCCCAUUUUGAGUUUGUAGCAGUACUUGUCUAAGACAGACCUUUGGGAUUGUAGGUGAUCAAGAGAAAUGUAUUGUACUGAGUAGUUAACUGUUUUCAAGUCCCCAGCCUACCCGGAUUUUUUUGCAUUCCUUAUCUAACCCUUAUCUUCUGGAGUUAUUUUCUGUUGACACUUUGGCCAUCAAGUCAAUAGCAAAGUAUUCAUAUUAAUGCUAUGAUACCUAACUUAAUCAAUCAAACAUUUUGAUAUUUCGAGUGUAAUCACCUCAAAUGCCUUUCCAUUACAUUUUCCAUACAGUUUUGCUUCGAGAAGGAGGUUGCUUAGUAAAAAACUUUUCGAGUUGUCUGUGUUUUCCUCCCUGCAGGAAAUUUCACAGGAAAUAUAGUAGCGAUGUGUAGAAAUAUUGCCUCCCACAAAUGAUGUGUUGAUCAUUGAUUAUUUUGAAUAGUUCCUUCCUGGAGGUAGUUUCCUUAUGCUUUGUUAAAAGGAUCAUAAUUACGCACCUUGACUCUCUUAAAUGCCCUGACUUUGGUAAUUUGACAAUGUUCGGGGGGCAAUACUUACUGGAAUUUUGUUCCCGACCGUGUGGGGUCUUGAGAUUAAGAGGCUAUUUCUCUUUCAAACACACAUCAAGUAAUCUAUUGGGGGCCAUAAAUUUUCCAUGUGGGUUUAAAAGUCAGCAUAUGGAUGAGACUUUUCUAUCUACGUCGCAUCCAGCACAACAAUUUUGAGUAAGGAAGACCAGAAUAAAUGGAGAAGGCAACUCAUAACUGCGACAAAAGGGCAAGAUACUUGUUGAGGUAAGUAACAAGUCUCUUUCAGAACCAUACUGGUUAUAUAUAGGCAUCAUGCUAUGUAGCUUUGAUUACAAACUAUAUGUAGUAUUUUUGUAGUUAAUACAGAAGGCUCUGUGCUGUUGAUCCGACAAUAUUUGUUCGCUGAAACGACAAUUAGUCACUGUCUGACAACUCGUCCUGUUUUGCAGCUAGAUUUGCAUUAAAAUCAUUGUCUUGUGAGUGCUUCGAUGGUCCACAUGUGUAAAAUGCUGUAAUCAGGUAGUGAAAGCCCUAGACUCCAAGCCUUCGAUUAUCUUUUCGCAUCUAGUUUACGAUUAACUAAUAGCAUAAGCAGUGCUGUUUAGUAGAGGUCCUAGAUCAGACUUACAAGAUGGCGAUAAAUUCCAAGACAAAAAGAAAGAAAGAAAUAGGAUGAAUUACAAAGGCUCAAUCUAAGAUCCACAGAUGGACAUGGAAAGAUCCAAGUUAAUGCCACGGCCAUCAGAAUAACAUGAGCUUCCUGCGAAGCUCCUCCUUGAAGCCGAAGAGACCGUGCUGCUGCAUUCGCUGGCUGAGGAUGUAUUGGUGCUUCUGUAAUUCGGAUCUACCGACAGUGAUAAUGAAAGUGAGCAAUCAUAGGUAUUCUCUCUCUUUACCACUCGCUCCGCUGCAUUUACAUAGCUCUCCUCAGAAAUAAACUUCCCUGAAGAGGAGGGUUGGUGGUCAUUUUGUUUGUUGCCCUGUCACAUUGUCACAAUUUCAAAUGAUAAAAAAGCACUCGUAAAACUCAAAUGGUGUUGAAGCAGCUAUCGUAUGCUGCAUAAGAUUAGAAAAUUAUAUAUUAAAAAUUUUAGAUGUUGCAUGUGAUAUUUAGCAGUUUGAAUUUUCUGAGUUUAUUUGAAUUAGGAUAAACUACAGUUUAGCCUAAUGUUGGUUUAAGUGCAUUUUUGCUUUGCCACUCUAAGAGGCCAUUUGGUUGGGUGUCAUUAAAAGUACAGUAUAGGUAAAGAUGUAUAUAUUUGCAAAAACAGCAGUUACAACUACAUGCAUCUUAUUUAGUUUGAUGUAGUAGAAAGCACUGUAAUUAUUAAUAAUUUAUUUGGUUACACAAAGUUGAGAAGUGCAUUUUUAAACUUUUUUCACUUUAUAUAUGCGGUGUUGAGUUUAAAAAGUGAUUAGAGAUGUAAGCUUAUUUUUUGUUUAACGUUUCUCUGGCCAACCGCGGUAGUUGGAAAUGUAGCUAAUUUCGGCGGAGUUCUAAUUGCUACAGUUGGACCGCCCUGCACAAUUCCAAUUACAGCUGUUAAAUUUAAAUGCAUCAAACGAAACAUCAGAUUUGAAUCUACAUAUAUUUGCAACUGUAGUGUCGCUACAACUACAUGCAAAUAAACAAUCGUAAGUUGCACUUAAUUAUUCUAUGGUUUAACGUGUUUAUAUUUUGCCAGUGGUUCAAAAAAACAUUUAUACUUAAAACUUCUCUGUAUUUUUAUUUUUGUUUUACUGUAAGGAUAAGAGUAUAUUACCUUUUAUUGUUUUCAUAAAAUUCACUUUGCUAUUCUAUUUGACAGCAAAAUGUUUUGGUAAAACAGAAAUCAAAUCACAGAGAUAAUUAAGCACAACUUUUUAAAUCAUAGUGUGGCAAAGUUUAAAAAAAAAAAAAAACACUAAAACACAUGCGAUUGGGCGCAAAUUGAAGUUUACCCUUUGAAUUAGCUUUUUCUUAGCUGUACCUCAGAAGAGUGCGAUUCGUGCACCACCCGUCCCAGGGCCAAUUUGAGGUGCUUUGAAGGAUGAUCGUGACAUUUUGCCAAGAAUUCAUUAGCAUAUCUGUGCCAUCUGAUAAAGCUCUCCUCUUUUAUCUUCCGCUCAAAAGCCACACUUUGCAUGUAGUUACCACUGCAAUACGAAGAAUUCCAUAUUUUCUCGCACCUUCCUUGGCUUAUUCUCGACCUGCUGGGCAGGAACACGCAAAAAAGUGUUAAAUAUAAAGUAUUAAAGAAAUCCUUUUUGGCGAGCUUAAGUUUUUUCAAAAUAAAGAGUUGGUUCCCGUGAUAUCAUUGUAGAAGAUCCUAAAUUAAAUCUUUUCAAACUCUUGUUUGAUCAUCUACUGUUUAAUCUAAUUAGUUCAGAGUGAUAGGUGAUAAGAUCUGGCAAACCUCUUCGGAGGUAGAGCGGGGCACAAAAACGGGGACAGGAAUUCUCUGGUGGGUUUUGAAGAAGGGCAUGGACCAUCAUCAUCAUCAUCAUCAUCACCAUCAUCAUCAUCAUCAUCAUCAUCUCCUCCACCACCAUUAUCUUCACUCAAGUGCUUAUUUUCUUGCUUCUCUGAUUACAAAAAAAGAAAAAAAAAAGAAAAAAAAGGGCGAAAAGUCAAACUCGCGAAGCUGAAACUCAUGUAUACAACACCCAUAAGUAUGCGGACGAACCUUUCCUGCCCAUGUCAUUCCUCAUGCUUCUAUACAUCUGAAUCAAAUUAUUUACACACAUCACUUUGUAUAAAAGAAUAAAGAUGAAGCGCAAUAAAUAAUAAUAAUAAUAAUAAUAAUAAUAAUAAUAAUAAUAAUCAACAAAACAAAAAAAAAUGAAAAUUAAUUAAGGACACCUGAAGAUGGCUCUUUACGUGAGAUAUUGUAAGCCCUUUAACAUCCAUGAGCUGGAGAACAAGCUUAGGUGUAGCUUCUACAUAAAGUUUAAGAUCAAUCCUUUAGUUAAAAAGAAAAAAAAAAGAAAAAGAAAAAGAAAAAGAAAAAUAAAAUAAUAAUAAUAAUAAUAAUAAUAAAGAAAAAGGUAUAUAUAUAUAUAGAUAGAUACUUACUAUCUUGGCCUCCGAGCCUUUCUAUGGCAUGAACAAAGCAUUGGUGGAGAUCAGGUGUCCAUCUCAAGCGAGGAACCUUGGAUCUGAUGUAUUGUCUCACAGCUCCAGUGCUCUUUCCACAGUUACUCAUCUCUCUCUCUUUCUCUCUCCCCCCCCUUAUGUAUACAUAGUUAUUUUCCAUAUAUUAUAAUUAUAUAUGUAACGUUGCCAUAGUAUAAUAUAUAUCUUAGUCACAUAUAGAACUAUUCUUGUUUACAACAAGAUCACUGGAAAAUUAUAAACUCAAGUGCUAUUUGAGAUCAUCGCCAGAACCUUGAAAAUACGAAACAACCAUUUAAACAACAUAUAGAAUGUCAUAAUAAAAGAUAUAUAUAUAUCAUGUCCAGAAACCAAAUUGUGAGGACGAUUUUAUACUGCUUAAGUUCAUAUAUAUGAUAUUCAAAAAAUAGUUAAGUGAUAAUAUAUCGAAAAAACUCGACAUUAUGAUGUGAUGAUACGUAUGACGAUGGGUCAAACUUUUCAUAUAUAAUAUAUGCUAUAAAAAUUUAAUAAUUAAGUCUGUAGCAUCACAUAUGUGCAUUAAUGUUUGUGAGAAUACUAAGAAAGAAAAAUAAUUAACCUCUCAUAUAUAAACUUCUCAACUUAUAAUUGAACUAUAAUUUUCAUUUCACAAGGCAAAUUAAGUACUCUUAUAUAUUUCAACUGCAAAAGAAAAAGAACUAGGUAAGUUUCAAAAAACAAAAAGAGAGUAAAUCAACAAACUAACCUUUUAAACAACAAUCUCCUCCUCCUUGUGUUCACCUCUCUAAGUUAUCUCUCCCUCCCUCUCUCAUUUGCAGUACUUGGUCUCUAUACAUAUAUUAUUGUUGGGAUUCUAUAUCUCUCUAUGGCCUAGAACACUGGGUGACCAAAAUAUGCACCAGAACAAUUCAUUAAUAAGGGAAUUAAAUGCUAGGGGGAGAGAGAGAGAGAGAGAGAGAGAGAGAGAGAGAGAGAGAGAGAGAGAGAGAGAGAGAGAAAGAGAGGAGAGAGAGAGAAGGGGACAAAAGGGAGGAGACAAAUUCCUCUACUGGUUGCCUCUGAGAUAUAAUCGAUUUCUCCUCCUGAAAGGGUACAAAAUUCCCACAUCAUCAUUACCUCUUCUAAUAUGUAUUAGCUAGUUAUUUGUUGUUAUGUAUUCAUUUAUUGUGCUGUAUAAUUGGUAAGAGCCUUUGACUCAAUAACAGGUGUAUAAGAGAGAGAGAGAGAGAGAGAGAGAGAGAGAGAGAGUUUUGAGAGUUUUGAACAGCUAAAAGGUACAAUUAUAGGGUUGCUCCCCAUGAGGAACUGUGUGUGUACUAAUGGGUCAUGUAUUGAUUUGUGCUAGGAAAAUGAAAUCAAAUUGACUCUUCCUUUUUGCUUUUGUUUUUGAAAUUCAAACCAAUCGAUUGUUGAAAAACAUACCAAAUCGAACCGAAUAAAAUUAUUCAGUUUCGCUCCAAUCUGAUAAGACUGGAGCGAAAUCAAAACCGUGUUGGACGAUUUUAAUAGCUCUAAUUUUACCGAUCCAUUCUAUACGCAUAUGCACGCGCAAUUGCUCCAUAUUUUUUUAAUUUCAAAAAUAGGAAAAAAAAAUAAACAGAGAGAAAGAAUCCUAGUAUUAUUAUUAUAUCUUGUAAAAUAAGUCAACUAUGUGAGUAGGGCCCCUGCAAUUAAAAUGUAGAGAUGCUAUAUUAAUUACUCCUGAAUUAUAACCCUAUCACAGGAUUGAAAAGUCCUCAUUUCAUUGAACAACUCUAUAAAGUGGUGUUCUUUAGAUUGAGGGUUGGGACUUUUCAGAUCAAUCAAGCUGGCUAGUGAUGCUUUUUUAUUAACGGAAAACUUCAAAAACCUUUCCUGUGGUUUCGUUGCUUCUCACUUUGCUCCCCUGUGAUUUAAAAUGUAUCAAUUUGCCUCCCUGUGAUUUUUUUUUUCUCAUUUUCUUAUUAAUUUCAUUAUUUUUUUCUUAAAUCACUGAUAAAGUUAAAAUUAAAGGGUACUAAAGUGAAUAUUUGAUAAAUCUAGAUGAGUAUCUGAAGUUUUUUGUAUAUAAUUUAAUGAAAUAUUAACGAAAAAGAUACCGAAAAGAUAAAAACUAAACCGCAGGAGAAAAUUUUGAUAUAUUUACAACCACAGGGGGCAAGUGAGAAACUACAAAACCACAGGGGGGAUUUUUAAAGUUUUCCCUUUUAUCAACAACAAAAAGUCUACACAACUUUCUGUCCUUGGAAAGAAGUUAACCAUUAUUGAAAAUUUCAAGCCAGAUUAUUAUGGGCUUUCAAAGAAACUUUUGCCUUGGCUUCAGUAGGAGUACUCUGAGGUAUCGUUUGAUUCGAGAAUAAGCAAAAAAUGGCCAUUUUAGUAAUAGAUAUAAAUUAAGGUAUAGGCGGAGAUUAGAUCAAUUUUGCGUUUGGAUGAAAAUUGGGUUAUUGCAGGGAAUAAAAAAAAUAACGUUUAAUAAGGUAAGAUGGAAUAAGAAGGAUAUUGUAUCUUUAUAAAUAAAAAAUAAUAAUAUUACCCUCUUAUUGUAUUUGAAUUUGAAUUUUUAAAUUCUUAAAUUUAUAUUCUUAAAUUUAAAUUUUUAACUUUGAAAUUUCAAAAUUUUAAAUUAAAAUUUAAAAUUUAAAAUAUCAAAUUUUAAAUUCAAAUUUUUAAAUUUUAAAUUUUAAACUUUAAAUUUAAGAUCAAAUUUAAAUUUAAAAAAUAUAAAAUAUCAAAUUUUAAAUUUUAAAAAUUUAAAAUAUCAAAUUUAAAAUUUAAAAUUUAAAAUUUAAAAUUAUAAACUUUAAUUUUGAGAUUACAAAUUAUAAAUUUUAAAAAUUUAAAUUUUUAAUUGUUAAAUUUUUAAAAUAAGAAUAAGGGUGGGCACAAUUAAUAAAAAUAAUUUAUUAUAAUAAAUUUAUAAUUUUUUAAAAAAUUCUAUUUAAACUUAAAUUUAAUAAAAAGAAUUUAUUAUAAUAUUUAAAUAUAAUUUAUUAUAAAACUUAUUAUAAUAUUUAAAUAUAAAUAAUAUGUAUUAACAUACUACAAUUAAUAAUUUUAUAAUAAAAAUAAUGUAUUAUAAUAUAUUACAUAUUAUAUUUAUAUAAUUUAAUUUUAAUUCAAUUUAUAAUUAAGUUUGAAAUUAAGCAUUGGAACAGCACUAUUCCACCAAAAUGGUGGAAUAGCAAAUCCCUUGCUGUUCCGGAAUAACCGGGAAUAGCAAAGUUUGACCAGAAUAAAAUAUCCCAGUAAAAUAUCACCCCGUUUGGCGGAAUAGUGGGGAUAACUUUUGUUAUUUCCGUUUAUUCCCCGAACCAAACGGGGCCUGAAAGGUUUCUUCAAAAACAGCUGAUAAUUGCACUUCCAUUUGCACAAAGUUCAAACUAACCGAUUUUAUACGUGAAACUUAAUGUACUUUUAGUAUUUUUAAAGAAAAUUAAAAGAAAAAAUAAACUGAGUUAGAAAUGUGAAAUAAACUUCGAAUACCGAUCAUCAAAUUUUUAAUUGACUGCUGUAUAUUGGUGUUACUUUCGAGACCGCAUAAGGAGUACUACCCAAUGUAGUAGUUCUAUAUCAACUAUAUAUAUAUAUAUAUAUAUAUAGAGUUGAGCUAUGAUACUUUUACAAGUAUCAUCAUCAUGGUGCUAUUAGGUUUUAAGCCAUUGGAUCUACUUUUUGGUUAUUAAUAGCCUUUGGAUUAAAUACUAUUCCACCUACCACCACCUACCACUAUCAUCUCAACCUCACAUAUCUCCAUCCAAGGGCUAAAAACACACAAGUAUUACCCCCAUGAUACUUUUACAAGUAUUCUAGCCCCUAUAUAUAUAUAUAUAUAUAUCGACUGUACCUAGAGCAAGUGGCAAAGGGCUUGGUGGUUGGUAUCCGAGACCCAAGUUCGAAUCCUAGUUGAUUCAUAUUUCUAGCUAAGUUUAUUUAUAAAUGAAAUAAACGAAGCGGGUAGCGUGCUACCUAUCUCUAAAAAAAAACUAUAUAUAUAUAUAUAUAUAUAUAUAUAUGUUUUGGACUUUGGUAUUGGCCGUAGCCUGUUUAUCAGUUCAAUGAUGGACCCAAACCAUAAUUAUGAUCUCCACAAAGCUUGGACAAAGUAUGUAAUUAAUUGGCUUUUAUAUUCGACAUUGCAUGGCAAUGAUACGUAUAAUCGGUAUGUGAAGUUAGGCAAAACGAUACAAGUUGGACCACAACCCCCAAAUUGAGAUGAUGAGGACGCACAGAUAAAAGAAUAACAUAGAAUAGUGAGGCUUCAUUGAAAAGUUGGUGUGCACUAUGCCAAAUAUUUUGUGUGCAAUUCCAUUUCACUAUAAACACUUUAAUUUCCAUGUAGAGAGCGUUUUUCUUAAAAUAAAUAAAAACCAAGUUUUUUUGUCCAUUUCGCUGCAAUCAAAAGGAAAAAAAAUCCAACAAGAAUCCAAAUAUCUGAAAGUACCAUCAUUAAUAGGGGCACAACAUUAUUAUAUGAUAACGCUGUAAUAAUUUUAUCCAAUUACAUCAAUUUAAUGGCAUUAUUGUAAAACAUAUUUUAUUAUAACAAUUUAUACAAUUAUGAUAAUACGUACUGUUAUUAUAAUAAGGAUCAUACUGUGUAGCUAUUUAUUACCACAUAAUUUAUAAAAGUAAUUUAAAAUAACUUUUUUUUUUUAUUAAUAAGAGCUUUAACGAUUUGCAACAAGAGCUAGCGUUACAAUAGAAGAUUAAAAAAUAAAAAAAAUAAAAAAAAAUGCUUGGUAAUAAUUUUAUAUAAUUUAUACUUUUAUUCUCCUCUUUUCAUUUAAUUGCUAAUAAAUUGUUUUGUCACCAUAUCCUACGGACAACAAUUUGGCAGAAUGAAUGAUAGGAAAUCCUGCGGGACGAAUGAUGGCGGGAAGGACGGGGAGCAGAGAGUCUCAUUUUACCGAUGGGCAAAUUCAUUAAUAAAAAUCAAAUAUAUAUUUUUUUAAUUAUAUAUAUAUAUAAUAUUUUUAUUUUAAAUUUGUCUCUACACAUUAAUUUGUUUCCAAACCUACUCGAAUAUAUACUAAUAUUUCAAAUUCAAGAAGCGGAAACCACAAACUUUAUUUGGCGGAAAGCGUAAAUGAAAAACAAAUUCGACUUAAAAAGGACAAUCCCAAAAAAACAACCGUGAGAAUUUUUUUAAAAUUUUGAGAGAAAGAUAGUAUGACGUUAUCGUCCGCUUCGUUUAUUUUUUUUUUAAAAAAAACUAAACUGAAAAUGUAAAAUAGUAAGACUUCAAACUUAAAAUUUACGAUACUAAUUAUCAAAUAUUUUAUUACUUGAUCGAUGAUAAUAUUUAAAUACCGACUGACUGAAGAUGGAUUCAAAUGAUUGAUCUAAAAUUAUGUUGAACAAGUAAUUUUUGACAAUCAAAUUUUAGUAAUUACUGUAAUUUUUUUUUUUUUGAGAUAGAUAGCACGCUACCCGCUUCGUUUAUUUCAGUUAGAAAUAAACUUAGCUAGAAAUGUGAAUCAAUUAGGAUUCGAACUUGGGUCUCAGGUACCAACCACUAAAUCCUUUGCUACUUGCUCUAGAGACGAUCGGUUAAUUACUGUAAAUUGUUAAGAACUAUUUGAAGUGCCAUAAAAUAAGGUGUGAAAGCUAAUGCAACUCUCUCUAUCCGCCAUGCUAAAUAAUUUUUUUUUUUUUUUCAAACGUCGUGGUUUUUGAGAAAAGGCAAAAUGACAGUGGUGGCCCACACCAUAAUUGCACACGCAAUGGUGGAUGAAAUGGCCAAUCAAUGGCCAUCAUUUAGCGUAAGAGCGUGCGGGCCCUACCCUACGAGCCAAAAAAAAAAAAAUUUAAAUACAGUAGUCACAUUACUUAUACACACGGUGUUUCCUAAUUAAUCAAAAUCUAUUUUAUCAUAAGUUUUUUUUAAAAAAAUUAUUAUAUUUUUUAAAAAAUAUAUAGUUAGUUGAAUAUUAAUGAUGCGGUGUAACUACUAAAUAGUAGCAUUUCUCAUGAGCCAAUAACAAUAAUGGACGAUAAUAAACAUGCAACCCUGUUAUUAUAUCAUAUCUAUUAUCUAUUAAUCUAUAUGAAUUCUUACUGUUUUUUUACCCUGUGGCAAAUUAACUUUCACCGUCAUCAUUAUUUGACCAUUUUCAUUUUCUUUAUUAAACUUUCAAUUAAUACAUUUAAUUAAUAUAUCUAAAUAUUUUUAUUACUAAACUUUCAAUGACAAAUUAUCUUUUACGCUCGCCGGCAUUUAACACUUCUCUUUUCCUAAAUCAAACCUUUAAUUAAUAUAUUUAAUUAAUACAUCUAAACGUUUCCAAUAUCAAAUUUUUCCUCCACUAGAUUUUUAAUCUUCUAUUAAUUCAUCAAUUCUCUCUCCCUUAUCUUUUCUCAUGCACUAUCGCCUCCCUCCCUAGCUACUUCUUUCACUAAUGCGCGUGCAUCUUCCCCUUCCGCCGCGGCCGAAUAGAGCACAUCGUCAUUUUCACUAUUAUCAUCGCCGGAGAAGACGUUGUCGGUUUCAUCUCCACUACCAAUAAUAAGGGACCUUUCGUGACUAUGACAAGUGAAGUAUACAAGAAAAUAUUUACUAUUUUCUUAUUAUUAACUGCUUCUAUAAUUUUUAUCCGCUGUGAAGCGCGGGCUCCUCUCCUAGUAUUUAUUUAUAGCACAUUCACGGGUGGUGAUACGGCAGUGGUGGUGGCGGUGGCGGUGGCGGUGGUGGUGAGUACUGGGGGUUGAGGAAAUAGGAAACAAGUAUUGGUGGGUGGGGUUGAUGCAGGAGAGAUGGCCGGCGCGAGCCAAGGAUGAUCACGUUAUUCGUCGCACAGGAAAGAGAGUUUAACGAGCCCCCACCCAGGAGACUCUUCAUCGCUUCUCCGCUCCUGCUCCUGGCCUCCUGCUCCUGCUCCUGCUCCUGCUCGACUACAUUAUGCAGGGGACAGAUAACUGGCGCGCACCUGGCAUUCCGAAGUGUUGGAUGGAACACUGUAAGAAUUUGGUUUUUCGAAUUCAGGCUCGUCCGAUCGAUUCCGCCCUCUCUCAAAUAAAAAGAGAUUUUGUUUGGCCGGGGACGAGUUCUGAUGUUCUUAAUCUCUCGUCCAAUCCGACGUCUGCGACUCUCGGCAUGGUGCGUACCUGAUCAUACAAUAUUCAAUCCAAUAAUAUCAGAUGCCGAAACAGCGAUGCGGGCCCUAGCCCCUAGGAGAGUUACUCCCCUCUCCAUCAUUGUGUCUCCUCCCUUCUGACCCCACACGGGGAAAAGGCUGAUGCCUUUUGAAUGGAAAUUUCCUUCGCUCCGCGUACGGCGCCAUCAUUCCUCUACGGGAGUUGGGCGAAAUUGUUCCCUGUACUAGCAGGCUCGCUAUAGUUACCACGUAGCGCAUCCUUAAAAUUUCAUUAAUGGGACACUAUUGGGUCCGUUUUGAUUUUUUUUUUUUUUUUUAAAGAAAAACCCUUUUGGGUUUUUCCUGUUAUAGAACGAUCCCCGUGGAGUUCAAUAGUUGGCUAGGUAUCUGGAUUCGAGCCUCUGCUUGCUUGCUUGCUUGCUUGCUUGCUUGCGUGUAUUUCAUUAUUAGGGGAGCUGCUCGAGCCCCUCAGGUUCUUGGAGCGUGAUCUACACUACACACCUAGUAUUUGGACGAAAAAAGUUAAAAGAGGACCAGAGGGUGUGAAACAUUUAAACAGUAGCCACUAUUGGGCUUUAAGUGCUCAAUGUCCUCAGUAGAUCCCGAGUCAUUGAUUGGCAUUUCCAACCCAUCAAUGCCUGGUACUCGUGAAUUACCAUUGCUACUACCUUCUUCAAGGCGUAAAAACCCAAGCAUUCUGGCAAAACAGAAACACUUGAAAGGGAUUUUUCCUAGCAGUAGGAAGUUGAAAUCAGCUUUUCAUUUUCAACAAGACGAUCGAAAGGCUUUAAAAAAAAAGAAAAAACAAAAAACAAAAAAGGAAGGAACACGGGUAUGGCUGCAGGAAGAGGCUAAGAAGGCAUCAUAAUCGAAAGCUUUUGAAACUGCUAUACUCAGCAACACUUUUGCAGAAACUUUUUAAAAAUUAAUAAGCACCAAGUCCCAUAAUUAAUAGCAUAUUCAAAUUAAAUACAGUGGGCUACAACUCAGGACCACAAUUAGAAGGCUGAUUCUGGCCUUGUCAAAACGACACACAGUUUGCGGCAAUAAUCAUGAAACAUAGUUAUUUGGCACCGAUGCAAACAAAUAGAAGAAAACUUCAAAACAUAACUGACAGAUUCCGAAUGCCAAAAGAGAGGGGCCAUAGCCACCUUUCAUUUAAACUCUGGCUUAGUCUCAAGAGCAGUAAUGAUGCAGUCGGCAAAUGCGUACGGUGGCAAAUGACAAUUCCAGUAUAGAGUCAUAGAGUAUAUAGCUAGUCGAUUCCUUAUUCCCAGCUCAAACAGGGAAGCACAAGAUAUAAGGGAAAGAAAAAAGACGAUAAAACAAUAGUUGACUCCUCAUUUAUUAAAAUUUAAGAUUUUAAGAUGUUGUUUGUUAACACAAACUCACAGUCCGCACAGAGCGUCGAAGCAGGCCUAAGUUCCCGGAGGAGGUCCGUGUGUAUCCUGUUACGAGAAAGGCAGAUACCAUGAAUAAACAGGUCUAGAAUACGAUAGCAAGAUUGCAGCGCAUAUUCUCCGAUAUAUACAGAUGGAGGUGGAUUGCACGAGACAUUAGUGUACUCUACACGUAAAAUUCAUUGUAUUUAUGUUAUUACAAUUGCUUAAAUUAAAAGGAUCAGCCUUUAUCAUUUGUCACCAUAAAGUUUCAUGACGAAUAUCAUAAAAAAUCAAUGAGGGAAAUUAGAAACAGGAUCCUGAUUAUGUGCCAUGCAAUCCCAAUAUUAUCUGAGUAAAACAGCUCAUUAUCCCUAUACUAAUUGCUCAGAAUACUCUUAUCCUUCCAAUAGUAGCUUAGUAUCUCGUCAAUCAUCAGUCAUUUAUUGCUAAUAGAAGCUCAGGUUAGGACUUGAGAGUAAUGCACAACAAAAUUUAAGCUUUUAUUGUCACAAACCAAAGUUCAAGAGUAAUUGUUUUGUGCAUAGUUUGAGAGUGGUUGUUGUAGUUACUAAUAAAGAAAAAGAAUUUCACGAGGUACAAAAUAGUAGCCUCGUGGAUCCUCUCACCAAGUUUCUCGCACAAUAUUGUUACAUUAGUGCAAUUAGUAAAUAAGAAAUUGAGUUGUAAGUUGAUUAUUUUGCACAGCUCAUCUCCUUUUACAACUCCUAGCACAGACAAGUAUAAAUAGGACUCAGGCGAGGAUGUACAAUUCAAGGAAAACGGGUGCACCAUAUGCAUUUCAUCAACCUUGUGGCAUGUUACAAGGUUUUGCCAUAUUAUUACCACCAUGAACACCAACAUCACGUGGAAGUUAACAUGCAGGGAAUGAAAACAAUCAUCAUUAGUUGCAGCGAGUACUUGUUUUUUUUUUUUUUGAGAGAGAAAGGUAGCAUGCUACCCGCUUCGUUUAUUUCAUUUAGAAAUAAACUUAGCUGGAAAUGUGAAUCAACUAGGAUUCAAACUUGGGUAUCGGGUACCAACCAUCAAACCCUUUUGCCACUUGCGCUAGGGACGGUCGGUUGCAGCGAGUACUUGUUAUUUACAUAAAACUAGGGAAAUAAGGUUAAUGUAUCGAAAAUUGCAUACAAAUAGUGCAUUGGAAUAAUCAAGUUAUCAGAGCAGGAUCACCACUUCUAUGUACAUGAUCUAACCACCAAUAAAUCAGUUGCACAAGAAAUACGGAAUAUGGCACCUCCAUUACUAUAGCUCAUCAACCACAGAGGAAGUUAUUCCAGUAUAUUCCUUGAGUCACCUGACCAAUUAAACCCAGAAAAUAACAUGCAUAUUUAUUCAGGUGACCCUUACCUAAUCCAGACAGCAUGAUUAUCAAUCAGAUAGGUAGUGCAAGACAUACCCAAUUUACAGGGUACCCACCAUAAAUGACACAAAUCAUAAUGUGGGAGAACGAAAUUAGAGCACAGAAUUGCCUUGCAACCUCAUGAUGAAGUCCACUUUUUACUUAUUUAUAUGCAUGAUGCAUCCUACCCAAAAGCAUGCCAACACAGAUGCCGCAGACAAGCAAGAAGGAAAAAUGAAAAUGAUUAAAGAAAACACAAUAAUUGAAUACUCAUAGGCUUACUGUCUCAUGAACCUUAGAUCUACAAAAACUUCAAAAUUCCCACUCUUUUGGUAAUGAGCCUUUGCCAGAGAAUAUGCAAGAAAUUUAUCCAAGGAACAAAUGUCCUCUUCACAGGAGACACCAGCUACUCAAUACAAAAUGCAGAUUAUUAAUAUUAUAAAAAUUUUAGUUGAUUGUUGUCACGUGUUAAUGGACACCAACAAUAAAAUAUUGGAAGCUCUCAUGGUAGAUUGCAUAUCUCAGCAUGUAUCACAGUUUAUAUAGACCAUAGACCCUAAACCCAGAAUAUUAAUGCCACUAUAUGUAUAUAUCACCAAUAGUCAGCUUAUGUGCUGUGAAUAGCAAAAGAAGGGGGGUUUUGACUGGUGCGUGCGGUUAUGAUGAAUGACAUAAAUGGGGUUAAUCAUAGCUAAAAGGAGCCAAUAAAGAAACACCAUGUCUAUAGAUGAGCAAAUGACCUUCUACUAGUUAUAUAUAUCUCAAACAAGAAACCUUGCUCACAUAGCCGAAGAUAUGAUUUCUAUUAGUUACACAAAAGAAUGGUUACAGUACAAAAAUUGUGGACAUGAUGCUAGAAAAAAAUGCAAUGGUUAGCAGAUGCAUACAAACAGAAACUUCAUAACCUUAUGCUGUGUUCAGCUAGAGAAUGUUACCUAACAGUUAAUCCAAUGUUAAAGAGUAAAAAAUCAUCAGCAACAAUAUGAGCUAGGAAGGUGUCAAUGUUGUAAACAACAUUGUAAGAAACAAGCUAUAAAUAUGAAGGGAACAAUCAUAAAAGUGACAGAAAAAGAGAAGAAUGACCCCUUAUUCUGCAAAAUUGUUCGGUAGAACCUAAUUUUUGUAUCUCACAGUAAUACAAGUAGAAGAUUCGGGUAUUACAUUCAGGAUAAACUGGCAAGAGUAAGUUAAGCUUCAUUUCUCUGUCAAAUCUUAAUAUUAAUAGUAACCAAUAACUCAUCGACCGUCCCUAGAGCAAGUGGCAAAGGGCUUGGUGGUUGGUACCCGAGGUCCCAAGUUCGAAUCCUAGUUGAUUCACAUUUCUAGCUAAGUUUAUUUCUAAAUGAAAUAGACGAAGCAUGUAGCGUGCUACCUAUCUCUCAAAAAAAAUAAUAGUAACCAAUAACUCAAGAAACAUACCAUCUUCCUAAGAAACACCAGCAAAAUUAUUUUACAGAUAUUGCAAAUAGAAAUGCCUAACAUUUGCUAUUCAAUAACCUGCUAUUCAAGCAUGCCAAGGAAAGGAUGCCAAAAGAUGAUGGCCAAAAAUAAAUAUAUUACUUUCUGUAGGGUAGUUGAAAAGAACCAAACAGUCCUAAAGUUAAUCAUAACAAACUUCACCGUUCGGCGCAUAUACUUCUUGGUUAUUGGCUUUAUAUAACUAUGCCCAUUCCCCGAUUCAAUGAAAUUUAUUAUAUAAACUACAUAUCCCUCAACUUAUUAAAUCAACUGCAUAUCCCUAAUGAAGCCAAAGUCUAAAAUCAUCAGUAUGAUCAUAAUCUUUGGAAAGCAGUCCUGGAUAAGACACGCAUUAGAAUAUAUAUAUGUGGGCAUAUAGUGAAUGUAUCAGGACAUCUCUGUAGUUCUCGCGGCAACAUUCUGAUGUGUUCAAACUUCAAAGUUCCGACCUCAUCUCUAAUGUGAAUUUCAGAACAUAUCUAUAUUUCUCAUGCGCUAAUUUAGAGAUACUGUAGAUGCUGCAGAUUCAACAUACAAUGGAACAAAACAUCAAUCAAAAAAUUGUAGAGCAACAUUCAGAUAAAGGAUUAUUUCCAUAACGAGUCUUGCUAGGGAAGAAUAUGUGACUCCCAAAUUGGGCAAUUCAGUCUGGUCAAACUGGAAAGACUUCUAGUUGAAUAUAGAUAUUAAGAAUACCGGUCUCUACAAGCUUAAGGAUUUGGAGAACAAUAUUCUUUAACAGUUUGUUUAGUUUCUCUCCUGCUUCAUUCACAUAGCACAAGUAUAAUUGUACGUCUCAAUGAAUUUUGCCCAAAUCUUACGAAUUCGUCCUCCUUUCCCACAUUCCAACAGAUAUGGAGCCAAACCAAAACCCAAAUCAACCUUAUUACAGAUCUAAGAACCUUUCCACGGCCUCUAUGUAAUCUUUCUAAAUCCCAAUGGUUGUAACAAUUUAUACCAAACCGUAGAAACCCUAAUCCCAAUUCUAUCAGCAAAUUUUUUUAAAAAAAAAACAGCCCUAAAUUACCAGAAUUAAUCAAGACAAGAUUCCACAAAGAAUCCAUCGUAAAGAUCCAAUCUUGGACCCAUCAAACCCAUAAAGAGCACGUCAAUAGCCACUAAAACCAAUCAAUGAGAGGAUAGAGAGAGGGACCAACCAAUCGAAUCAGGAGGCCUUCGCCGGGGAGGGGAUGAGGGGGAUUGGCGCGGCGCCGGGGAUCUGCUGCUUCGCCUUCUUCUUCUUCCUCUCCUCCUCGAGCUCGCGGAUCCGCUGCAUCUGCAGCAUGCGCUCCAUGACGAGUUCGUACUCGCACUUCUCGUAGGCGUGGCGCUCGGGCUCGCACCGCCACGGGAGGUAGAACUCGGCGGCGCGGCAUUUGUUGAGGGGUAUGAGGAGGUGCGCGCACUGAUCGCGGUAGGGGAGGGGCACACGCGCCUCCACCAUCUCCUCCUGCGUCGCGAUCAUCGGCUUCGUCGACCCCAGCUUCACCACCUCCUCCUCCCCCGCCAUUGUUGCGCACUCGGAGCUCCUCGACUCUCCUUCGCCCUCGCUCGAUUACACGCGUCGCUCUCGCCCCACGACUUUGGACUAUCGGGCUAAAAAUGUGAACACGGACGGACCCAACUUGGGUUCUGAGAUUAAAGACUUACCAAUUGGAUAUAAUAUAAUAUAAUAUAUAGGGGUUAAUUUCAUACGUGUCCUUACAAAUAUUAUGAAUGAUAAAUAUAUCAUUCUCUAUAAAAUUUACGAAAAACUUCAAAUACCCUCCUUGUGGUUUCACUCAUCUCACUUUAGUACUAUGUGGUUUAAAGUGUAUCAAGUUAGUACCCUGUGCACUUUCUCAUUUUAGUACUAUGUGGUUUAAAGUGUAUCAAGUUAGUACCCUGUGGUUUCGCACUUUCUCACUUUAGUACCAUGUGGUUUAAUAUUUUAUUAAGAAAAAAAUAAAAUCACAGAGUGUUAACUUGAUACAAAAAUAAAAUCACAGGAUACUAACUUGAUAAAAAAAUAAAACCACAGAGUACUAACUUGAUACACUUUAAACCACAGGGUACUAAAGUGAGAAAUUACGAAACCACAUGGUGCUAACUUGAUAUACUUUAAACCACAGGGUACUAAAAUAAAAAAGUGCGAAACCACUGGAGGAUUUUUGAAAUUUUUUCCAAAAUUUAACUUUCAUAUGUUGUUCUCGCAAAAGUUUUAACAUUUUCAAAUAUGUCAUUUAUGUUUGUUACCGUCAGAUAAUUGUUUAUAUUUUUAAUUUUAUCAUCAUAAAUAUGUCAAUUCAAAAGACAUAACAGUAUAAUAUAAGAAGGGUAAAAAUAUCAAAAACUAAUCAGAGUUAAGCAUUUAAUUUAUGGUUAAUUAAAUUUUUCUAACAGAUUCUAACGGCCGGAAUAUAUUUGAAAAUAUCAAGACUUUUACAGGAAUAAUAAAUAAAAGUUGAAUUUUAUAUAAAUAUAUUUGUCAUUCACUAUGUUUGUAAGGACCUGUACAAAAUUAAUCGAUAUAUAGAGAGAGCUAGAGUGAGCUAUAAUAUCGGUAGUACGGAGUCCUCCAUACUACUAAGGAUUAGUUUGGUAUUGAGGUCUAUCUAACGCUAUUAGAUAAAAUGGAGCUGAGAAAAAAAUAAAUAGGGAUAUGCUUCUGCGUUCUCCGGUGGGACCACAGAAAAUAUAUUGUAACCGACUCAUCGCAAUAUGCGAAACGCAAUAUUACGUACGGAAACAGACAGAGUAUUUUUCCAACGUACUUUUUCACCGCACGUAACGCAAUCUUCCCGAAAUCUCAAAUGAAGCCUAAGUUGUUUUCAACAAUGUGGUUUCCAAAUCGACGAUCGACUUCAUUAAAUUUAAUCUACACUAUUAAAAGUAUUUAAAAACGAAAUUUCAUAAUUUUUUCAUAUCAUUUAGCUAUCAAACGAGAAAUCUAAAAAUAAACAGUUGAAAAUAAAAAUCUAAUAAAAAUGAUAAUAAAAGACUUGAAUUUCAGAUCAAAGAUAUUGAUCCUACUGUAAAAAAAAAUUUUAUUAAAAUUUUAUCAGAUUUGAAUUAUUUUACACAAUUAAAUUCACAAACACAUCACAUCAAUCAUUAAAAUUAUCAAUUUUGAAAUCUUUUAAUCACUAACCAAAUAAUAUCGAAAAAUUAUAAAAAUUAGCUUUCAAAUACUUUUAAUAGUGUGGAUCAAGUCAAACGGAGCAGAUCAUCGAUUUAAAAGCCGCGUAAUUGAAAACAACUCAACACUACAAAAGCCUCCAAACUACUGAUAGUAUAGCAACCAUACUUUCUCUCUCUCUAUAUAUAUAGAGAAAAAGUCUGCCCAUAUGCUUUUUUUGGAGGGUAUGAUAUACACCAUCCAUUCUAAAGUGGAAUGUACCUUACUCGUCACAUUAUACACCUUCCAUUCUAGGAUGGAAUGUAUUUCACUUAUCAUACACAUAUGAAUUGUGCCGGGCUGGCACGGCCCACAUUUUCUGGGCCGAAACGGGCUAGAGGCUGGCUAGUCCCAGCCCGGAUUUAAUUUCCGGCCGGGUCGUACCGGGCCCAAGUUGUCUACCCUCUGGCCCAGCACGACCUUUUGGCCCGAAAGACACAGGCCGUGCUUCAGGCCCGGCCUAGUAAAGUAUUUAUUUUUAAUUUUUUUUAAAAAAAAUAGUAUGCAAUUUAAAAAUGUAAAUAAUAAAUAUUUUCAUUUAAAUUAAUAUUUUGGCUAAAAUAUUAAAAAAAUUAUAAAAAUAAUUAUACUAAAAUAAAUAUUUAAUUUUUUAAAAAAUAAAUAAAUUUGUAUUANAAUGAUAAUAAAAGACUUGAAUUUCAGAUCAAAGAUACUGAUCCUACUGUAAAAAAAAAUUUUAUUAAAAUUUUAUCAGAUUUGGAUUAUUUUACACCGUUAAAUUCACAAACACAUCACAUCAAUCAUUAAAAUUAUCAAUUUUGAAACUUUUUAAUCACUAGCCAAAUAAUGUUGAAAAAUUAUGAAAAUUAGCUUUCAAAUGAUUUUAAUAGUGUGGAACGGAGCAUAUCGUCGAUUUAAAAGCCGCGUAAUUGAAAAUAACUUGACACUACGAAAGCCUCCAAACUACCAAUAAUAUAGCAACCGUACUUUCUCUCUCUCUAUAUAGAGAGAGAAAAAGUCUACCCAUACGUUUUUUUGGAGUGUAUGAUAUACAUCCAUCCAUUCUAAAAUGGAAUGUACCUUACUUGUCACAUUAUACACCUUCCAUUUUAGGAUGGAAUGUAUUUCACUUAUCAUACACUUAUGGGUCGUGCUGGGCUGGCACGGCCCACAUUUUCUAGGCCGAAACGAGCUAGAGGCUCGCUAGGCCCAGCCCGGAUUUAAUUUCCGGCCGGGCCGUACCGGGCCCAAGUUGUCUACCCUCUAGCCAAGCACGACCUUUCGGCCCGAAAGGCACAGGUCGUGCUUUAGGCCGGCCUAGUAAAGUAUUUAUUUUUAAUUUUUUUUAAAAAAAAAUUAGUAUGAAAUUUAAAAAUAUAAAUAAUAAAUAUUUUCAUUUAAAUUAAUAUUUUAGCUAAAAUAUUUANGUUAUUUUCUAAAUAUAGUGGUAAAUUUAUUUCUAUAAAAUUUAACUUAUUAAAUAAUUAAAAUUUUCAUUAUUAUUUAAAAAUAAUCUUAAUUUAUAUGAAUAAAGUAAUUCUAAUCCAUUAUAAAGAAAGGAUACUUUAGGUUUUAUUAUUUAAUAUAUUUUUCAGAAAAGAUUGAGUAUUGCGGAAGUCGAGUUCGACAUUUCAGAGGGAGAAGUCAAGAGUAGAUGAAAUGAAUGUCUAUCGUAACUUAAAUUACACUAUAUUUUUAAUUUAUACCAAAACAAGUACUGAAAGUAACGAAACUUUAGUUCCAUCCAUUCACUUACACCAAAACAAACAACCCCUUAGCUCAUUUAUAUAGAGUAAAAAAAAUUAUAAAAAAAGUUUUUUUAUUUAAAUAUAUAAUAAUUUAUUCUAAUAGAAUUGAUUAUAAUAUAUUUUUUAUUAUCCACUAAAAAAAUAGGAAAAGUAGAUUUUUAUAUGCGUUCACCCCUUUUCGCCCAACUUCAACCAUUUUUUUAUUAGUAUUAAAUGGACCUCAAUACCAAACAAAAACGGGCCUAACCAUUCAGUCCAUGCUCACCUAUUUUAUACAAUUUUUUCGUAUGUUGUUGACUUUUGUAACAAGUUAACAUCUAGACAAUAAAUUCUACUCACUUACAAUUUCUAUAUAUUAAAUACCAAAAAUUUAGUUGGUUGAGAAAUUGUACACGAGCAUAAGGUAAUGACAACAGUUUGCCCAUUACCGACCGUCCUAGAGCAAAUGGCAAAGGGCUUGGUGGUUGGUAUCUGAGACCCAAGUUCGAAUCUUAGUUAAUUCACAUUUACAGCUAAGUUUAUUUCUAAAUAAAAUAAACAAAACGGUCUCUCAAAAAAAAAAAAAAAAAACAGUUUGCCCAUUCAUUCCUUGUACAAAAUCCCGAUUCCUGUUACUGUCCAUAAACAAAAUGAAAUGCCUGUAUGGGAAGGAGUAAAUUUGAUUUUCAUUGUAAUCCUCACCUGUCAAAUAGUCUACAUUUCUCGAAUAACAAAAAAAAAAAAUGCUAACUAAAAAAAAUUGAUAUUACCAAAGCAGUAUUUACUAUCCAGCGCACGCAUUUUGCUCUUAUAUAAUCAUCUCAUCUGUAUCUAUAUCUAUACUCAUUACAUUAUUUUAUCUAAAUUUAUUCAAACCCUUCUUCCAUGUCGCAAAUGUCCCUUUUUUGUUGACAUUUUUUAUUUUUUCUCUACUUAUCUACAAAUAAAUAUAAAAAUUGAUUGAUUUAGCAAUGUCACUUUCUCAACUAAAAUGUACGUACAUUCAAAUUGGAUCCUAUAGCGUGAGAGUCCAGCCCAACAAACAAGGUCACAAUAGGCCCGGCUAAAGCCCAAGCUCAAUGCCCAUCGGGCUUUGUGAAGGUGUACUUUACGCAUUUAUUAUAUUUUCCUAUUAUACAAAAAUAAAAUAAAAUAAAAUAUUCUAUAUAUAUAAUUAAAUAUCUUAUUUUGAUAACUAAUAUACGGGACUUUAGACUUUCGACACGGACCCGGACCGAGCUUGGACAUGUUCAAAUAAGCCCAUAGCCCAGUCGAAACUAAUUUUGAUUUCCAAAAUCCGGCCCAUACAUAGUCAAAGUCCACCCAUAGUCAAAGUUCACUGCAGAACUUGAUUUAAGCUACCUGGUUAUGUUUUAGAAACACAUCUUUCCCCAAAUUUAUACUUUCAGAUUAAAACUGCUUAAAAUUUGUAUAUCUAUAUCCAUUGGAUUUCAAUACCACUAAAAUUCUAUCAGUUUGUAGAUCGGAAGCACCAUAAUUUUUCUAUUUAUAAAUCCCAACACUGGUUAAUUAAUUAACAACUCCACAGAUUUAACUACUAUUUCCAAUAUAUAGAUAGAUGCACAAUCAAAAAGAUUAUUUUGCCAUAACACCAAAACAAUAUCUAAGUAAUAACAUACUAGCAGGCCUUUUACUUCUACAUAUUUAUUAUUCAUCGAGCCAAAACAUGAGCAAACCGAUUGUUAAUUUCAAAUUCGCUUCCCAAAUUGGAGUGGUUGUGAAUUUACCAAUUAUUUUUUUAAAAAAAUACGAUUUGCAUAUAAUAUGAAAAAAUAUAUAAAAAAACCAUUGACAAGAUGGAUCAGAUUCCUGGCUUAAUCUCCUCCUCAAAUCAAGAGGAAGAUGAAAAACGAUCGCACGUUAUAAUCAGAGUCGAUCAUCUGGGGAAAGGAUCAUCAUCUCCACCAUGUACUACUUUAUAAUUAUCACUAUUUCAUCUAAAAAAUACGAAUAAUUAAUUAAGAAAAAAAAGAAACUAUGAGAGGAUCAGAUUCCAUGGCUUGGUUUCUCCGAAGAGAAUAAACAAAAACAGCGCACGUUAUGCUCAUCGUCGAUCGUCUGGGGAAAGGAUCAUCAUCUCCUCCGCCGCAAUCCAACGGCCAAAAAUUAGUAUAAAAAAAUGAUAUUAAAAAAGCAAUAGCAUAAAAAUGUCUCCAUCAUCUGGUAACAGGCCUUCAACGGCUCAGAAUGAGAGAGAUGAUGAACACAGAUGAUGGAGAUGAGAUGGUUUUAGCGUCGACUCAUACGCGGCGGCUACGAUCGGAUCCGACGGUAAUCAGUUUCCGACGCACGGAAGAAGAAAAACAAAACCCUAAUAAUCAAACCCUAAAGAGUAAGAAGACGACGAAACCCUAAUUUUAGUGAGGAGAACAAGAAGAAGAGCCGCACCCAUGGCGACAUGUUAGGGGAAAGGGUGGUAUCGGCUAGUUCUUAUAAAUAGGAACGAGAAGGAGCGGGGUGGAAACCCUAGAUUCCAUCAAGAAGAAUGGACGGUUGAAACGUUGCCACGUGGAUACCAUGUUAAUGAGAGCUAUUGAUAUGUUGGAUUCGGAUCUUGACCCGAAAAUAUGUGGGUACAGAAACUUGGAUUCGGAUCGGGUCGAAAAAUAUAGCCGCUUUACGCGAUAGAGCUAUAUAAUAAAAGCAACAUUUUUUUUUUAUUGUUAUUUGCGUUGAUAAAGAUCAUUUUUUUUAUAUUGUUUGUCUUAAAAUUUUAUACAUAUUUUUUCGGUCGGAAACCGUUCUAUAAUAAGGUGCAAUUUGACGCGAGAGAUUGAUGUUAUAAGGAAAGAAGUGUACAUGAAAGAGUGGGAGUGUAUAUAUCUAAUUUGUUGUUAAACUCAGUUCACUCUAUGUCUCCUGGUGGAAUUAAAAGCCUAGUAACGCAAUUGAGCUAAAAAAAAUCUACAUAUUUUUUUGAUAAGAUCGUAAAAAUUAUAUUUUUUUUGAAUCAAUCUAAGACUUCGUUUGGGAUUGCGGAAGAUUUCGUUACGUGCGGUGAGAAACGACAAUAAAAAAAUACUCUGUUUGUUUCUAUAUGUAAUAUUGCGUUCCGCAUAUUGCAUGCGAUUUGUCAGUUAUGAUAUAUUUUCUGCGGUUCCAUCAGAAAACGUAAAAGUAUAUUUCUAUAUACUUUUUUUCAAUUCUAUUCUACCUAAUAGCGCUAAAUUGACUUCAAUACUAAACUAAGCCUAAGAAGAUUCAUACGGUGUGCUAUUAUUUAAGAGAACAAAAUGAAUAUUUACUCGGAGUACUCUCACACCGUGGAGCUCUCUAAUAAUGUUUUGUUAGAGAGUCUCUAAUCUGUCAUCAUGUACGUGUUAGUUUUACUUUCACCAUAUUGUUCGCUAAGUAUUUUUUUAAGAAAAACUCUAAAAAGAAAUAGAAGCGUUAGAAAGAUAAAAGUGUACCUGUCAACUGAUUGGGACUCCUUAAUGAGGCAUUGGGGAGCUUCCCACUGGUUUUUUUUUUUUUUUUUUUUUUUUUUUUUUUUUUGCGAGGCAAAUACUUUGCGAAAUAUAAGUUUUUCCACUAACAUGCAUGAGGUACUGCCUAGCAAGUAAACCUUAUAAUGGCAGCAAACAACCAGUAACACUUGCCAGAUAGUUUCAUGCAAUUAAACCUUAUGAUGGCAGCAAACAAUCAGUAACACUUGCCAAACAGUUUCAUGCGAUUACCUCUGCAUUAAGAACUCCCAACUUUCCUUUCUUCUUCCCAUGCUCUAUAAUCAUCAACAAUAGGUGCGUAAGCACUUUUCUAAUUUCCUUCCAUGUAGUUGUGGUGUCAAUAUAUAAGUUGUUUCUUCAAGUUGAACCGGGUCUCUAUUCCACAAUUUUUUAUUUUUUUUUUAGAGAGAGAUAGAUAGCACGCUAUCUGUUUCGUUUAUUUUAUUUAGAAAUAAACUUAUCUGAAAAUGUGAAUCAACUAAGAUUCGAACUUGGGUCUCGGGUAUCAACUACCAAGUCCUUUGCCAUUUGCUCUAGGGACGGUCGGCUACUCCACAAUUUCAGUAUACGGUCCAAAGGCUCUUCACUAGUCGCAACUAGAAGCGAGUAUAGCUCUUACCUGAGCUUUUUCUCAUUAUUAUUGUCUUUAUCUUGAGAUAUUUUUCCAUUAGUACUAAAUUAUAUGUUUAUUGCUAAAAUUUAUUUCGGGUUAUUCCGUGCUAAUUUAGAUUCUUUUGUCACUAUGUGGUCUUUUUUUUUUUUUUCUCAAUGUUUUCUUACGUAUUUCUUCUUUUUUAGCAUGGCCUAUUUUGAUAUAUUACAUUUUGGUCUUUUUUUCGAAUGUCUGUUUAAAUUGUUAACGACUCUUCAGUGCAUUUUAUUUACCAAACAUUUUAACCAAAGAUGGUUGAUUGAAUCAUAUAUUGCGAUUUGCAAAGUAUUUUUUGAAAAAAAAAAAAAAGCCUCUUAAGGCUUCAGAAAAUGGUAGAAAGUAAAAUGAGACAUUGAGACCCCAAAAUAAAAGUUCUAAUAUGCUUCAUCCUUUAAACUUGUUAUGAAUAUUUUUGAAAUAACACUUCUUCUAUUGCACCCACAAAACAAUGCUCCUAAUAUAUAUAUAUAUAUAUUGCACUUUAUAUUAGGACCAGCGAAGCUAUAAUAGAUGGUGCGACUGGGGUGCUUCUAAUAGGACCAAACACCUGCUGCUAUCAAAUAUUUCACUGUUAGAUUUACUCUUUUGACUAUUUUAAUCCGUUAGAUCAUACAAUUCAACAAAUCAUUCACUCAACCCUGAUAGAUCACUAUCAUUUUAACCGCACAUCCCUUCAUGACUUUGUGCUAUUAGUAGCAUUUCAUCAUAAUUCCAUAUAUAUAAAGAGAAAGAGAGAGAGAUGACUUUGUACUAUUAGAAGCAUUCCAUCAUAAUUCCAUAUAUAUAAAGAAAAAGAGAGAGAGAGAGAGAGAGAAAGAGAGAGUCCGACUAUGGUGCUUUUAAAAGCACCGAGCACUUGAUGCUUCUAAGUUUUUCGUCAUUAAAUCUAUCUCUUUAACAAUUUUCACCUAUUAUAAUAUUAAAUCAACUACCCACUCAACCCACUAGAUACUUUUAAAAGUAUAUGAACUCAAUUCUCUAUAUGUAGUUAAUUUUAUAAUUUUUAAAAUUUAAAUUUGUAAAAAAAGGGAUAGUAUUAUUGGCUCAAUCAAUGCUUCAACAUUUUCUGGAAAUCAAGAGGCAUUUUCUCUUCUUAUGUCCCUGCAUAGAUGCUUAUGUAUUUGAUGUGCGCUUCAUUUUUUUGUUAUUGCAUGGGUCAUUUGUGUCUAGUUCUGCAAUUUGUUUGUGUAUUGCUUUUUGGUAGUGUUCUUUAAAUAACUUUCUCAAUUAUGCCGUCACAUAGAUUUCAUGUUUGGUUUGUUCGUAUCGAAAAAUUUGGAAAACUAUUUUGUAUAUUUGAAAAACUAAUAUAGUGUCACACUAUAAGAUAUUUUUGAAGUGUUGGUUGAUAUCAUAUCAUAUUGGAAAAGAAAUGCAGUGCUCACUGUAGAUAAUUAUUUUGCAGAAGAACUUAGAUAGUAAGCAAAUAGCAAUGAUUAAUUGAAGUUGAGUGAUAUAACCAUGAUUAAAAUCAUAUUAUUAAAAAUUUGAUAAUAUAAUCUCUCUCUCUCCCUCUCUCUCUCAGAAGAUACUAGAGAGUUCUACUCUAGCUAAAAGAUUGGCAAUAAUUGAAGUUGAGUGAUAUAACCAUGAUUAAAAUCAUAUUAUUAAAAAUUUGAUAAUAUAAUCUCUCUCUCUCCCUCUCUCUCUCAGAAGAUACUAGAGAGUUCUACUCUAGCUAAAAGAUAGGAAAUACUUUGUCCUAAAGUGGAUAAGCUUGGAAAUCUCCAUGUGACACUAUCUUCUUAUGAGCAUCAAUUAUUGCCAAUAGUCAUCAAUCGCAUAAUUUUUUUUUUCCCCAGUCCUUUUCUAAUCACAACUCAUCCACCAUUUUGCUAUUAUUAUUAUUAUUAUUAUUAUUUUUACUACACUCAUUUCUAAAAUUAUUUUUUUAUUGUAACUACAACAACCUUCUCCUAUCCACACACACACCCUAUAAAUAUAUACAGCCAACAUAAACACCAUCCUCCUCCUCCUCUUCCCCACCUCCCUCUCUCUUUCAUCUUCUUUCCCAGUAUUAUUUUUUAAUAUAUAUAUAUGUAUAUAUUUUUUUGUAGACACACCCCAUUGCAUGUCACCCAAUAUAUGAGCUUAUCUAUAAGAACACCUCCCUCUCCAUUUUAGGUCCCCCCUCUUUCUCCUCCCCCAACUUCAACAAAAAAAGAAAAAAGAAAAAAGAAAAAAGGAAAAAAGAAACAAAAAAAAAAAGCUUCUGUAAUUAAAUUCUUCUCUCUCCUCAAAGCAUAAGCUAUUUCCCUUAUUAUGGCUUUUGGCUUGGAGAAUGGUCACACCCCACAAGGUACCAUAUAUAUCCCCUUUUCUUUUCUCUUCUUUUUAUACUUUCCUAUUGUCGCAUAAAUUGAAUGAAUGAUCCUGAUUCACUUCGAUCUUUGUGAAUCCUAACUUAUUUCCUAUUCUUGUCAAUAAUUAAUUAAUUUUUUUUUUAAAAAAAAAAGAUCAAUAUCUCCUUCCCUACAGACAUUUUCAACAUUUUUGAUAGAUAUAGAAAUUUUGUAUGUUAUAGCUUAUGGGCGAGUCCACUCACUGUGUUAUUGCUAGAUAGCCUCGAACCGGAGCCUAACACAUUGACUAAGCUCUAUCACUUUUUUUCUCUUUUUUUUUUAAGUGUUUUUCUAGUACAUAACAUAAGGUGCAUAUAUAUAUAUAUAUAUAUGCAGAAAAAAAGUAAAAUAAAGGGAAAAAAAGAAGAAGAAAAGAUAGGGAGGAAGUGCUUGCUGCACCCACCGAGUCUUUUUAAUGGCCAGCUCACGCGGAACCAAUAGAGUAGGUAAAGGGUUUCAGACAAUAGAGUUGGUAAAGGGAAAAGUAGAUUCUAGAACAGUAAUGCCAAUAUGUCAUUUAAACAUAUAAACACAAAUUUUUUAUAUAAAAACUUUUUUAUUAGAAAAGACCAAUAAUUUUUUUUGUUGUUGUAUACAAUUAAUUGUUACUAUUUAGCAUUAAUUUCUUGUAAUUUUUUAUUAUAUUUUAUUAAUAGAUAUUUUUAGAUUUUAUUUCAAUAGAUUUGCUACAGAUCUUCUGUACAGUAUUGAUGGGUGUAGUUUUUUAAAAACCUUUUGCAUAAAAUAAUUUGCUUGUAAUGGUGAAUUUGAGCCAUGGACAAUUUAGACAUCUCACUGGUUAUAGAUGUAGCUAUUAUCUGCAUCCCUUGAUAUUUCCACUAAUGUAUCCACCACUCUAGAAAAUCUAGAAAAAGAUGUAAAAAAGGAGGGACAAUUGGUUAUAUACCUCUCAAAAUAUCAAAAAUAUUUUUUUUAUUUUUAUUUUUUUAAGUUAAUUUAAACUAAAUGUGAGUUAAAUAUCUAUCAAAUAUCUCUUUUGUCUUUAACUUAAGAGCAAAUAAAAAAUAUUGGUAAUAGUAGAAGGAUAUAUUUGAAAAGAUAAAAAAUUAAAAUGCUUUUUGUACUCUUAACUUAAAAGCAAAUAAGAAAAGUCAAUAAUGGUAGAAGGGUAUAUUUAAAAAAAUAAAAUAAUAAUUUUAUAGAGAUAACAGUUAUUACUAAUGGUUCAUUAAUAGAAUUUAACUUACGGAUAUAUUUUAAAUAUGUUGAAACGUAAGAAAAAUAUUUUUAAUAUUAGCCUUCCAAAAAAGAUAAAUCAGAAAGUCGAAUUUUUUUUUAAAAAUAUAUAAGCAAAUGUUCCUUAAAAAAGAAAUAUAGAUUUUAUAUCAUUGAUAUUAGAGUUCAGAAGAAAAAAAAGAGUAAUAAAAAAGAAAGUUAAUGUGAUAAAUAAACAAGUGAUGAGAUAGAUAAACUGUACCAUAAGGAAAAAAAUAAUUUUUAAAAUUUUUUAAAAAUUUUAUUAGUUUUUAUUUUUAAAAUUUUAAAGGUAAACCAAUUGCUAUUUGCAAUGUGUAUAGCUAAGUCAUUUCUAAACUAGACAAAAAUUUGCUGAGCAUCGACGGUACGGAUGGGCGCCAUAUGACCCAUCCAUCGAUCGCCCUUUCUUCUUUCGCUGCUUUCUCUCUCUCUCUAAAAAUCGGGUAUAAAUUUUUUUAUUAUUUCUUCCACAUACGCCCGUGGACCACGUGGCGACCAUAAGCAUAGUCCCCAAAAUAAAUAGUUUGGGUUCGAUGCCCAGCAAAGUUUUAUCCCUCUAAACUUCGGGGCUUAGUAACGUGGGUUACAUGUUACUAAGCCCGGUAACAAUUUACUAACUCGUUACUACUCCUCCACAUGGGUUCCUAUUUGCACCCAGAAACACACACACACACACACACACACACACUCUUAUAACACGCCAAGAGGAGGGCCCCACGGGUUUAAUGGGUACAGUGCGUAUGAAGUGCGUGCAUUAGGUAUGUGUCCGGCGAUGCGUACUGUGUGUCCCGGGGGGACACGUUUCGACUCAUCACUCGCCUUGUACAGAGGCGCAAAGCGGUUAAGCGCUCGACGGGUCACGAGGCGCACCGAUCGUACAGUCCACGUGUCACCCACAGCGCCAGCUUUCGGAGCGAACGGUCACGUCCGAGUUGGGGGGACCGUGGGCCCUGUCCGCUUUUUGUUCGGGUGCGACGCCGCCCGCAUGCGACCGUCCCCCUGAACGUAUUGGAUGAUGAUAUGUGGGUGGGUCUCCCACGCAAUGCGGUAGUUAUAUUACUGAUAUUAUAUUUUUAACUAAUUAAAAUAUUUUUUUAAUUUAUUUAUUUUAUUAUAAUUAUAAAAAAAUAUUUAUAUUAUAUAUAUUUUUUAUAAAAAAUUAUGAUUAGUUUGUUAUUGAUAAUAUGAUACAAGUGGGACGUAAUAAAUUUUUUCAUAGCGAAUCUGAUAUAGCCAGCGCUUGAAAAAUUAUAGAUUUGUUUUAGAACUUCAGAAUAGGAGUGAAAACUAGUCGGAUAAUAUCUAAUUUUAUAUACAAAAUUUUUCCAAUUCGGUCAGAUCCAGCAAAUACGAAUAUAAUUUUUAAAAGUUCAAAAUUAUAUAAAUAUUUUCAAAAAUUCGAUGUAAAUAUGAAUAUUCAAAAAAUAUUAUUAUAUAUAUUAUUAAUUAAAUAUUGUGGAAGAUAAAUAGAUGCUGUGAUUUGCACAGAAGAUAGAGGGCUUGUCUCCUUAUUAAUUUAUUUUCAAAUUUAAUGAUAAUUAUUAUUAUUUAAAUUUAUACACAUAUGUAAAUUUAAAUUUAGAGAGUCGUAAUUCUUUAUUUUGAACUUUAAUUUAAAUAGUGAAUUUAUAUUUAAAUUUAAAUUUCAAGUCGAAUUUUGAUUACGAAUUUAAAAAGUAAACUUAAAAUUUUAUUUUGAAUUUAAAUUUGAGUUGAAAUUUUAGUGAAAUCUUAUAUUUAUAUUGCGAAUCUAAAUUCUAUUUUAAAUAUUUCUAAUCAAUAAAUAAUGUUUUAAUAAUGAAAUAAUAGUAUAAAAAAAUAAAUUCGAUUCUAAUAAUAAUAAUAAAUAUGUCAAAUAUCAGAAUUUUAAAAAAUAUUGUAUUAUAUCCGAAUUUACUUUUAACAAAUGCAAAAAUAAAAAAUUAAUAUUUAAUAUUAUAUUCGUAUAGAAUUCGUAUUUAAAUGAAAAUAUCAAUGCUAUUUCGUACAGUAUCCGAGCGUAUUGGACUCAUUUUUACCGCUACUUGGGAAUGCCUAAAGGGUUGGUGCGGGGCCCACGCAUCGUCCGCCGUGUCCCCAGUCCACUAAGCAAGAGCCGCGCUUAGCGCCGUACGAGCCCCGCGGGCCCCACGGGACAGCUACGUUUUGUUACUUUCCACCUCCACCGUCCGAUUCGCGGACCCCUCUCCUCCGGGCCCUCCAUCUCCCUCGAUCCCCACCACCCUAUUUCCUAUCGUCGAUUGCACCACUACUACCCGGAGUAAAGAAUCCCGGCCGUCCAUUUCGUGGGCCCCGGGUGUCAGUAAAUGCAUACAUACACGAUCUUUCUUUCCGUUACACCCAACCUUUGACCGGUUUCAAAGAUCGCCGCGAUCGUGACUCGUGGGCCCACCGAUUCCGGAAACUGCAACCAACCACGUAACGAAGUUACAAUUAUACCCUUGCCAUUUCUUCUAUUGAUGUAACUGUUUGUUUUUAAAUCAUGUUUUAGUUUCAUUUAACGAUGAGUUAUUAUUAUUAUUUUUAUUAUUAUUUAUUAUUUAUUUUUUAAGAUUCGUCGUAUCCGCUUGCAUCGAGGGAGAGCGUGGCCAAUCAUAGCGAGUGAACCGCACAAAUAAAAAUUGCGGGGAACGGGUGGGGCCCGCUUGCCAUGAUUAAAAAAGGUGGACCGGGUUCGGUUCCACUCGGGCGAGUCGAACCGGGGGCCGAGUUGGGCCGGAUGUCGUUGUCCGAAGCCCACUUUCCCCGCUGUCUCUUUUAAAUAGCAGAGUAGGACGCUUGUUCUGCCCCAUUUCUCGGUGAGUGGGGGCGGAGUUUUCUAUCCUUUUUUUUUUUUUCUUCUCUAAAGAGAACCGCGAGAGAGAGAGAGAGAGAGAGUAGGGAGAGUGGUUGGAGAAGGGGACGGAGCGCUUGUGUGGGAGGAAGAAGAAACGUUUGUGAGGGAGGACGAAGCGCUUUGUUCUUCAUUUUCCGUCUCCGAUCACGGUAAAGAGCUUCCGGAACCUCUUUUUUCUGUAUUUUUUUAGAUUUUUUUUUUUAGUUUUCUCCUAGUAGAUCUUUCGAUCUCUUCUUCCGAUCUCUCUUUGUAGUUUUAUUUGGUUUUUUGUGAAGUUUUUUUUGAGCGAGCGCACUUUUUGGAUGGGAAAAAGUAGUGUUCCUUGGUUUUCAUGUGUAUUAGUCGAAAUUUUAAGCAGCGAUUUUUAGGUUUCUAGGGUUUUUGUGGCCGGAUGAGGCAGAUCGAUCUGUUUGCUGCGCUGAUGAAGUAGUUGUGGUGGAGAUUUGUUUGUUACAUGUUCUUAGUCUCCAUUUUGAGUCCGUACUCUUUGUGACGGUUCCUUUCUCGGUUUGAGUACUUCAGAUCUAGCGAUGAUCGAAGCCUCCUGUGUUGCUUUUCCUCUGUUUUUUUCAUGGAUUCAACGAUCCUUGUUUGUUCAUUUGUUUCUAGUGUGAUCGGUGGUGGAUUCAUAGUUUUUCCCCCUCCAUUUCCCUUUCUUUAUUUUUCCCUGAUCGGAGGAGUUUGAUUUGUAAACUCCUGUGGAGUAUGGAGGAAGCUCAUUUCUCGUCCUAAUCGGUUGCGUGAAGCCUUCUUUGUUCAUGUUUCCUCCUUUCCGUGUAUUGCAUUCAUGUGUGUUUACACUGUAAUGUGUUCAAAACUUGGAAACAGUUCCUACUUCCUGCAAAAUCUAUUCUGGAGUUGUUCCGUGCGUGCUGUAUAAUACAUGUAACGUUGCAUUCGGUGUUGGUUCUGAGUCCUCAAGUGUUUCUAUUGGUUGUUAAUUUACUACUUUAUUAAGUUCUUUUGGUUUAUGCUGUAUUUAUUCCUUUUUGGUGAACUCUUGCUCCAGACAUUUUUUGUUUUUUGUUUUUAUUGUGAAGAGUUAAUUACACUUUCAGAGUGGAGGUGAUUGUCACAUCAGAUUUAGUGAUUGCCACAUCAGAUUUAGUGUUCCCCUAAAAGUUUUAAUACUGCAUGACUUAAAUGUGCUUUAAUGAACUUAAAAUCACGAGGAAACGCACCCCCAGGAUUUAGUAUAGUCCUGGGUAUAAAAUAUAGUAGGGUUAAAUCUCUUAAUUCGGUUAUAGUAUUUUUGGCGGUGGUUAGGCUGUUAAUUGGGUUACGCGUGCUAGAGCUAGAGUAGUUUUAGGAUGUUGGGUUAAGCGUGCUAGAGCUAGAGUAGUUUUAGGAUGGGUAACCCCUUGGGUAGUGGGGUGGCACACUUACACUGUUGCAUGUGGAAAUACUAUCAUCAUCUCUUACAUAAAGCUAACAAAAUUCCCUGCUUUUAGCAUUGCACUCUGUAAGUUUUUCUCUGACAGCGUGUGGAAUCUGUCUGUUGUGAUGCAUUGUCAAUUAGUAUUUUUGUUUUGUUUCUGGUUUUGAAUUUAAAUGCUUGUUUUUUGUGGGGAUUCUUCUUUCUUGUGGCUACAUAGAGUAAUUUCAUAGUGUGGGACUAGCGUAUCUCAUACUGAAGGACAAGUUAUUCGCUGUUUUCACUUGUUUUGUCCCCUGGAUUUAUUUGUCAUCAUCAUGUCAAUCUGGUUGCCAACGCAGUAUUGUUAUUAUUGUACUGGUUGGAAGUAAGAUAAGCAUUUCUAUGGCUAUGUUUUCUUUUUAAUAUCUUUAUACUGUGAUUGAAAUGCUGCUGCUGGUUUUGUAGCUCAUAACUCCUCAUAUAGCUGUUCUGCACUAAAUGCUAAUGAAGCCUACUAAUAGGAGUUCUCUGUUAUGCAUUACUUUGUCUAUUUUAUAUUCCAAAUUUAUGAAAUAACUAUUACUUUUAUCUACCAUAAAAAAAUUGCUGAUUUCCAUGAUGAAUCUGUAAUAAUGGCAUUUUCUGCGUUCGACUUUGAUCUUUGUAUUGUAUAUUUGCAGUUGUUGGCUCUCAUGAAUAUCUUCCUAAGCUUUUGUUCUGGUCAUCUGUUUCUCCAAUUUACCAUUGAUAUUUGUUGAAAGGAUUAUUUGGAGCAGAUAAGCUCCAAGGUUCCUAUAUACGUGAACAUUAUCUUUUUGGACAUGUUUUAUGAUUUCGCUCCCAUUCCACCAAUUUCUGUGAUUUUCUUUUCCCUUCUUUCUUGAACAUUGUGUUAAAUUCCUUCAUUUUGUUUAUAUAUGAUGAGUGUUGUUUCUUUCUCUUGCAGCUGUAGUCAUGGUGAGGAAAAGAAGAACUGGACCUCCUGGCUCUGCAGAGAGCUCUCAGUCUACAGAGGGCAGUAGUAGCGGCGAACAACGUGCUCCUCAGCAGCGAUCUGAGCGGGCCCCAAUGCCACAGCAACAGGGUGGCGGACGGGCCUGGGCCCCAGCUCAUCCCCAACAAGGAGGCCGGGGGGGUGGACAAUACCAUGGCCGUGGGGGCGGUCAAUACCAGGGUCGUGGUGGUGGGCAGUACCAGGCACGUGGGCAACAGGCAGGUGGCCCACCUUCCGAGUACCAGGGGCGUGGUGGUCCCCACCCACGGGGCGGAAUGCCACCUCAGCAAUAUUACGGUGGUCGCAGGGGUGGUGGCAGUGGCAUGACAGGUGGGCGCGGUGGUGUUCCCGUCGCCGCAGGUCCGUCAAGAACGGAUCCCGAGCUGCACCAAGCAACCCAGGUUCAAUAUCAAGCCGCUCAGGCUGCAUCAUCCCUUUCUGAAGCUGGUUUGUCCUCUCAGCCUGCGGAGGUGAGCCCAGAGCAAAUUGAACAUCCGUUUCAGCAACUCACGAUCCAGGGUACUGGUUCUACUAGCCAGGCAAUACAACCAGUUUCAAGCAAGUCAGUGAGAUUUCCACUACGCCCUGGAAAAGGCAGUGUCGGAGACAGGUGCAUUGUGAAGGCGAAUCAUUUCUUUGCUGAGCUGCCCGAUAAGGACCUUCAUCAGUAUGAUGUAUGCCUUUCCUUCAUCUUUUCUAUUGUUCGCAUGGUUUUCUUCUGCUGCUAACCAUCUGUAAAUUGUUUGAAAUUAGGUGACUAUUACACCGGAAGUAAGCUCCCGUGGUGUGAAUCGUGCUGUCAUGGCGGAGCUAGUGUCUCUGUACAGGGAAUCCCAUCUAGGUGGGCGCCUUCCAGCUUAUGACGGCAGGAAGAGUCUUUAUACUGCUGGUCCUUUGCCUUUCUCUUCCAAAAUCUUUGAAAUCACGCUACAUGACGAGGAAGAAAGUCUAGGCGCCCCAAGGUAUUUCUUCUAGAACGCCAUUGUGUGCUGAUACCAUUUUGAAUUAAUCAUUGCUGUUGUGAGUUAAACUGAUGUGUGCUUAUCAUGCAGGCGAGAAAAUCCGUUUAAAGUAUUGAUCAAAUUUGCUGCUCGUGCUGAUCUUCACCAUUUAGCAAUGUUUCUGGCUGGAAAGCAGGCAGAUGCCCCUCAAGAAGCGCUGCAAGUUCUUGAUAUUGUUCUACGUGAACUACCUACUGCAAGGUAAUUGUUCUUUUGCCGAAUGGCUGUUUUAAUAUAUAAUUUGUUCUAUUUUAAGUGUUGACUCUCACAUUCAACCUUGUGCUACUGCAGAUAUUCACCAGUUGGCAGAUCAUUUUAUUCACCUAACUUAGGGAGGCGCCAGCAACUUGGUGAGGGGUUGGAGAGUUGGCGUGGCUUUUAUCAGAGUAUUAGGCCCACUCAGAUGGGAUUGUCCCUUAAUAUUGGUUAGACCAAGUUCUUAUCUGAAUUUCCUUCUUCUGUUAGUGCCUGUAAGCUCAAGAAAUCUCUUUGAAAAUUUCAAUAAAGUAGCUGGAAUAAGGAUCUGUUUUGUCUUAAGCACGUAAGCUUGAGCACGAAAGGAAGAAAAGGUUUUGUGGGGGAAGGAAUCUACUAUUUUUUUGGGGUAUUUAGUUAGUGAAAACAGGAAGUGAGAUGACUUUUGAUAUGAAACUAAAAUAUCAAAUUUCUAACACCAUCAAUUCCUGUCAAAAGAUUUUCAGCAAAAAAUGGAUUUUACUAAAUAUUACGACUCCUAGCUAAAUACAUCCUGAAUUUGAAGCUGUGUAAAUAUUUAUUAUUGACCUGUGAUUUUUAUUUGCUGCCCUGCUUUUAUCUAUCAGAAAUUUAUCAGCAGUACAGUAUUUAAAUAUAAUCAAGAUUAUUCUACUAAAGCAUCCCCCCCCCCGCCGCCAACCCUUUCUUGUAGAUAUGUCNCCCCCCCCCAACCCUUUCUUGUAGAUAUGUCUUCGACUGCCUUCAUUGAACCAUUGCCAGUAAUCGACUUUGUGGUGCAACUUCUGAACAGAGACAUUUCUGCUAGACCAUUAUCUGACGCCGAUCGUGUGAAGGUCUGCUUUUCAUCUGUUAAACUUUAUGUACUGAUUUAGGAUAUUUUUGGGUAGUUGAUUUGAAUGAACUCUUGCAAUAUACUUUGGUUGGUAUGUUUUUAUCUUUUUAAUUCUGAUCUUGUGUAUCUUGAUUUUUUUUCUAGAUCAAGAAAGCUCUAAGAGGUGUGAAGGUUGAGGUUACGCAUCGAGGCAACAUGCGCAGGAAAUAUCGUAUAUCCGGCCUCACAUCACAGGCAACUAGAGAGUUGACGUAUGUGGUUUUUCAUUGGUUAUGUGUCGCAUCUCAUGCAGUAUUGCAUGCUUUAAUCUGUUUGUAUUUUUAUAUUUUUGGAAUGACAUGCUACCAGGUUCCCUGUGGAUGACCGUGGUACGAUGAAGUCUGUUGUCCAAUACUUUCAGGAGACCUAUGGUUUUAACAUUCAACAUACCACUUUGCCUUGCUUGCAAGUUGGCAAUCAACAGAGACCUAACUAUCUUCCCAUGGAGGUCAGCAUGUUGAUUAACUUUUAUUUUUUAUUUUGGCUGCUCUUAAGCUUCAAUAUACGGAUUUCUUGUAUCAACUGUGAUAUAUCUUUUGUUUCUGCUAGUCGUUCUGUGUGGCUUUUUAAUUGUGUAUGCAUGCUAACAUUCAGGUCUGCAAGAUAGUUGAGGGUCAGAGGUACUCGAAGAGGUUAAAUGAGAAACAAAUUACUGCUCUUCUUAGGGUGACUUGCCAACGCCCUCAAGAGAGGGAGCUUGACAUUUUGCAGGUGAUUAUGUUGCUUUACCUCUUAUAGAGUGCUUUAUGGAGCAGCAUUGUCAUGGAAACGUACAGUUCACUACACUAACUCUAUUUUUUUAAAUAUAUAUUUUUUUAAAAUAUAGAAUACUACUGUUGUUGUAAUGAAGCAUACGGUUCAUGACAUUUGCUUGCCGUAAUGGAUUUUCAUCGAAAUAUAUGGUUGUGGACAAUUGCUUAUUAGUAAUUCUGUUAGUUGGUAUAACCUGAUAUAUAAGGAAAUUUUCAUUAUGUGAUCAUUUCUGGCACCGAAAACUAUCUUAGAUUGCUGUCGGUUUCAUCAUCUUUUCAAAUUGUUUUUCAGACUGUGCAUCACAAUGCGUACUAUGAAGAUCCUUAUGCACAGGAGUUUGGUAUAAAAAUUGAUGAGAGGCUUGCUUCAGUUGAGGCUCGAGUUCUACCUGCACCUUGGGUCAGCUUCUUAGGCUUCUGGUUAUAUGAUUAUGAUGUUUUCACUACUAUAAUUUUUGAUGGACUGGUAAUCAUUGCUCUUGGUUCCCCUUGCAUUUUUAGCUUAAAUACCACGAUACUGGAAAAGAGAAGGAUUGCUUGCCCAGGGUUGGCCAGUGGAAUAUGAUGAACAAGGUAUGGGUUCGGAACGAUAUAUAUUGGUGUCAUGCUUUGUUGGAAUUGGUGUCAUUCUUAUACAUUGUUGUGUUACUAUAACUUUGCCUCUUAUUUGAUUGUACAAGUCUGUGGUUUAAAUUGAAAAGAAUAAAUACUUGAGAUAUUUUUCUGCUUGGAAAAAUAUGCUUUUAAAAGUUGAUCUUCAUAAUUUUACAUUUUUUCCUGCUUGCCAUUUAUAACACCUGGGAUGAUGAAGGUAACAGGUGUUUGUAAAUAAUUUAUGGAUUUUGUUUUGCUUUUUCUUUAUUCUGUUUAAUUGUAUUAUCUCGUUUUUGCUAUGUAGAAAAUGGUGAAUGGUGGGAGGGUGAGUAACUGGACGUGCAUCAACUUUUCAAGAAGUGUCCAAGAUAAUGCUGCUAGGGGAUUCUGUCAUGAGCUGGCUGUGAUGUGCCAAGUAUCUGGAAUGGUAUGUCUAUUUUGAGGCUGCAAUAGUUUCAAUAUGAGCAGAAGCAUUUUCUUUUCAGAGUUUUUCUCACUAUUGGUAUUCUUGAAUUUUUAUUUUUUUUUAUUGUCCUUUUAUCUAGGACUUUGCUCUAGAGCCUGUCCUUCCUCCUUUGACUGCUCGACCUGAGCAAGUGGACAGAGCUCUAAAAGCGCGGUACCAGGAUUGCAUGAACAUACUUAAACCACAGGGUAGAGAACUUGACUUGUUGAUUGUAAUACUGCCUGACAACAAUGGUUCUUUAUAUGGUACGCCUCCUAGGUUCCUACCAGAUAAUGUUUCUUCACCUAUUUUAUUCUGUUCUCAAAUUGCUUAAAUAUGUUUUGUGCUUUUCUUCCUACAGGAGAUCUGAAAAGGAUUUGUGAGACAGAUCUUGGAUUAGUCUCACAGUGCUGUUUGACUAAGCAUGUUUUUAAGAUGAGCAAGCAGUAUCUUGCAAAUGUCGCUCUCAAGAUCAAUGUUAAGGUGAGUUUCUUUUUCGUGCAAUUUUUUCUGGCUACUUUAUCUAGAUGGUUACAUCUUAAUUUUGCUUUGGCACCUAUAGGUCGGCGGAAGAAAUACAGUUCUCAUGGAUGCGCUCACACGAAGGAUACCCUUGGUCAGCGAUAGACCAACUAUCAUAUUUGGUGCUGACGUGACUCAUCCUCAUCCUGGGGAGGAUAGUAGCCCUUCCAUUGCAGCGGUAAGAUCAACUUAGUACAGAAUGAAAAUAUAGAAAGAUUUUGUCAUUUGAAAAUGAAAUUGCGGAGUUCUACCGUCGCUUGGAUUGCUGUAAUUGGGCUUUACACAGGUUGUUGCAUCUCAAGACUGGCCUGAGGUGACAAAGUAUGCUGGCUUAGUAAGCGCACAAGCUCACCGCCAAGAACUUAUUCAGGAUUUGUUCAAAGUAUGGCAGGAUCCUCAACGAGGAACUAUCACUGGUGGGAUGAUAAAGUAUGUUUUUGUUAUUCCUCGGCACUACCAAUCUUUUUUUUUGGCUACACUUGUGUUGCUUUUACAUUUUUGGUAGAAAGCCUUAUUUAAUGAAAUUGUAUCGAAUUUUGUAGGGAGCUUCUCAUCUCUUUUAAACGUGCCACCGGACAAAAACCUCAGCGUAUCAUAUUUUACAGGUAUCAUUCAUCUUGUAUUCGUAAAUUGGAUUUUGGACAAUUAUGUUUAUGGUAUUGGUCUUUCAGGGAUGGUGUCAGUGAGGGGCAGUUUUAUCAAGUAUUGUUGUAUGAACUGGAUGCCAUUAGGAAGGUAUAUUCACUAUAUAUGACUGAUCAUAACCCCAUGGUUUCGCAGCAUAUACCUUUGCUUUCCUAAUUACUUGCAUCUGAUCUUUUUUUCAUGGUAAAUUCAGGCAUGUGCAUCGCUGGAGCCUAAUUAUCAGCCACCGGUAACUUUUGUGGUGGUUCAAAAGCGUCAUCACACACGGCUGUUUGCUAAUAACCAUCAUGAUCAGCGAACUGUUGAUAGAAGUGGAAAUAUAUUGCCUGGUCAGAAUUUAGUCAUUGGCAUAAACAAUAAUUUUCUCUGGCCUUUUAAUAACUUCUUAAGGGUGACCUAAUACUCUGGCUAUUGAUGGCAGGUACUGUGGUUGAUUCGAAGAUUUGCCAUCCGACAGAGUUCGAUUUCUAUCUAUGCAGUCACGCUGGCAUACAAGUAAAUAUCCAUUGGUUGUCUAUAUUGUUUCCCCUAUUUUCAUCGUCUUUACUGAUUUGUUUUUGAAACUCUUAAACACUUGCAGGGCACCAGCCGUCCUGCGCACUAUCAUGUCUUGUGGGACGAGAACAAGUUCACUGCUGAUGCACUGCAGUCUCUUACAAACAAUCUAUGCUACACGUAAGAUUUCUUGCUUUUCUUAUAAUUUCCUAGAUACUGCAUUGUUGGAAAGUCCCUUCAACUGAUUGUUUGAGUUCCUAUUUUGCAGCUAUGCUAGGUGUACCCGUUCUGUCUCAAUCGGUAAAUAUUUCUGAUCUUGCGUUACUGAUCCAAAACACCAAAUACCUUGAGCACAUACAUUUUCUAUUUUAUUGUUAUAUAAAUUUUCUUUUUUCUGGUCUUCUUUGCAGUUCCUCCUGCAUAUUAUGCUCAUCUGGCCGCAUUCCGUGCUCGGUUCUACAUGGAGGCGGAUACUUCGGAUAGUGGAUCAAUGGCCAGCGGCGCUGCUGCUGGGCGGGGUGCUCCUUCCGGAGGCGCACGCAGUACCAGAACCCAAGGAAAUGUUGCUGUUAGGCCCCUGCCUGCUCUGAAGGAGAAUGUGAAAAGGGUCAUGUUUUAUUGCUAAAUUAUAUAUGAGCUCCUUGAAAGAACUGUGUGGGCAAGACUUCUUUUGUGUUGUCGCUUGUGGUGUUUGACUGGGUUCGAGUCUCUGUGCUUGCCUUUUGUUUGCUGCUGUGACAAUUAUUGUGUUUCGUUCCAUGAUGUUUAAUUUUCUUUAUGUCAUGUUGUGUAAACCUCAACUCUUGAACUUAAUAACUUAAGGUCUCUGGUUUUCUGUGAACUUUUUGUUGAAUCUUUUCCUGGGCUGCGGUACGCCGUUAUGCUUUAAAUCUCUUCAUUUUGCUGCAAAAUUUUAUUGUCCAUAGAGUUGCGUGGUACGAAGCAUCGGUAGUUUGCGUCUGUGUUUGCUCCAAAAUGCUCUCUCAUGGGGUAUUAUCGUCUGUUUUGGACAUGCCAUAACUGCGUAAUUAUGCGACCGCAACAAAAUGAAGGUGUUCAUUAUAUUAAGUUGACAUUGGAUUCUUGGGGCAUUGUUGACGUUGUGAAUGAAUCUGUUAGUUCCCCUAAAAGGUCAAAGUUCCUCAACAACUUUUUGAGUUAACUUCCACUAUAUUAUCUUAAAAAACCUCUUCUUAUAAAUGUAACUAAUGUUAAACAUUUCAACGCUUUAAAUCUCCCUCCGUAUAAGUUACUACCCAAGAUUCGCUUUGCCCGUACUAAUUUGUAGGAGAUCUUACCCAUUUUUAUAAGGCCCGCGGGAUCCUAACCAGGAAAUUUCUCGGAAAGUUUGCUCUCGACUCUCUGAAUAAAGCUAGAAAAACAAAACCCUACUUCUUUAUUUCUAUUUGCCCAAACGAAACCCUGCUUUUCUAUACCUAUUUGCUCAAACAUGUCAGAGAAAUGCUUUUUGCACCUUUUAAGAAGUUCGGUCGUAAAUUUUACAUCCACCCUCUAAGGAUUUAUUUUUUUUAAAAAGGUUUUUACUAUAAAAACAAUGAUUAGAUUAUUGAAAAAAAAAAUAAAUUGUUUUCUUCGAUAGAUAGAAUGUGAGACAAAUCCUGCGUUUUAUUUCUAUUUUCUUAAACUCGUCAAAGAAAUGCUACUCAUGCAUUCAAAAAAAAGGUCUCGAGAUUGACCUUGUUUUCAAUCUUACCGAGAUGAGUAAUAUUUCUUGAGGAGCAGGAUUCGGGGUGUAAAAUUCAAACCACCCAUCAAAGAACUUAGAUAUUUUUUUAAAUUUUGUUAAUUUUUUUUUUCAAGAAUAAUAAGAUUAGUAAAACAAAAUUAUUAUAUUUUGGAUGGAUAUAUACAUGGAAUGUAAGAUUCUUAUUUUAUUUUUUGACUAUACAAAAAACAGCCCCUGCUCAACAUGUGAUGAGCGCUAGGGUCGAAUCGCUGUCACUGAAUAAAUGCAUCUCGACGAGAAACCCUGGCCACAUCUUAUGAUUUGAUUUAAAGCCAGUUCUUGUGAUCUACUGUAUCUUUUGUGCCCGAUCAAAUCAUUGGAGCAACUUUUCCCUCUGCAGGGAUAGGCACUAUGAACGCACAUUUUGUCUUCUUAUCAGCCUCUGUCGUAGCAGAGAUCUUUUUCACGCUCAGAGACGAAUCAAGAGAUUCUGGCAUUGUGCUGCAACUAAACAAGCAUGGACAAGUUAAGGUUGGAGAGUCUCAGUGCGUCUUGUUAAGUGUCCGCUUUGUCAAUUUUAGACCCCCAACUUUAUUUUAUUUAUUUUUUCUACGCAGGUGUGAAUGUUUUGUUUGCCAAAUGUGUCUCUAGAUUGUUCCUUUCUCCUUUUUUUUUUUUUUUUUUUUUUUUUUUUAAAUUUACUACUGAAGUUUGUUUCAACAUAAGCAGAAUUAUUAGAACAAAUGCGCGCAUCAGUAAAUUUUCCACCCAAACUUGUAAUUUUCCAUCAGUUUUCCAUUGCAACAUAAGCAUGAUCUUAUAUUUUAGUAUACUAAACCUCAAAAACUUUUGGUUGGUAGAGAGAGGAGAGGACUCUAAUUCUGAAAAGUGUCUACUGUGCAGAGAAGAACAAAAAGCAAUAUAAAAAGGCAAAAAACAAAAAAGAGAGAGAAAAAAAAAACAAAAGGUAACGGGAGAUCACAUGUGACAUGCGCACAUGUGGUGUCGAUAAUUCGAGGCAGCUGUUUGCUUGCCUAGUUAUAUACGGUAUCAUCAUUUGUUUCACAUUUUUUUUUGAAUUUCUCUACGGUGCAGAAUCCACAUCCACAUCUGCGCCCUUCAAUCAUUCGAAUCCAUUGGAUUAUUACUUUCUCUGAAAAGGAUUUAGGAAGCCCAGCAGAUGAUCAACAUUUUAACACUCUUGCCUGGAACAAAAAGUCUCAUAGUGAGGACUUUUCUUUGCACCUAUUAGCCUUUCGAUCUCGAUGGCUUUCUCCUUCUUCUUUUUUUUUUUUUUUUUUUUUUUGGGAAUAAAAAUAUAUGAGCUAUUUUAUUUGAGCUAUAGAUUAUUUAGAGUCGACCUUCUAAUCUAUCAAAAUUUUAAUCUUUUUAAUUUGCUUGAUUUGAAUUGGUCGACGAUAUAUACUUUGAUUUCACGCAAUUCUGGCAACCGUACAUUUAUUUAAGCAAUUAGCAUAAAUUUUGAAGCCAAGAUGCCGUUGGCUGACUCGAAUCAAACAAAUUGAAAGAUUGAAUAAUAAAAUCAAAAAAUUGAAAUAUUGGAUAGUUAAUUCACUCAAAAUGGUUUAUAGUUCGAAUAAGUUCUCUUGCGCAUCAUUUAUAGCAAUUUGUUGAUCUCAAAAAUAAUGGAAGUACCACGACCUCACGUAACAAAUUAAAAAUAGGGCACAUAUUUACUCUGUGGGUUACGGAUCUUAUUACAAUUUGAAUAUUAGUUUUGGACUUUAUCAUGAAUUUAGGUUAAAUCGCUAGACAAAUUCAAUCGAUGUAGUGCUGCUUAAUUAAUUAUGGAGAAUUUUAAUGUCUUGUAUAACUUUCUUAGUCAUAUUGGUGGAUUCUAAAUUAUGUGAAACAACUAUUAUGUUUCAAAACAAUAAGCAAGCCACAAGAGAACGAUAUUUUUAAUAUUUAUGUUCAAUACAUAUUCAACUUUUUUGUAUGUUUGGGCUCAAACAUUUUUUUAUAGUCCCUAUAUACACACACACACGUAGACUUGAAUUGAACGAGAGCGACUUAAAUAAAACUAAGAGCUUGAUAUAUAGAAUUCGAACUCAAAAACAUCAUGCUUUAAUGCUAUGUUAAAAUUAUGUAAAAUAAUAAUAUGCUCCAACAUUUAAAGCUAUUAGUGAAUGUAUGAUAUUUUCAACAAUUUAUUUUCAACAGUUGAUGGAUACUCUCGUCGUUAAUUAAUUAAAUACUAGGCCAGCUUACAAUCUCAACAUGAAUAAAAUGAGAAUGAUUUAAUGAAGCUAAAAUGAAAUUUAAUACUGGUAAUGCUAACAGAAAAGACAACAAAGUAAUAAGAAAUAGAAAAAUAUUAUUGAAAUGACAUGAAUUCGUAGAAAUUAAACUCAAUAACCUUUUGGGACAGAGAUAUAUAUUACCCAAAAAUGGAACUGCUAAAGAGUAGUAUUAAAAAUAAUAAUCUUAAUAAUUACAAGUAACGUAUUAUAUACCUUCCUAUAUAUAUUGAGUCGUAGAUUAGAAUGGAAUUGGAUGGAGUGGCAAUCGUACGUUAUAGGGUGAGUCACACUCCGGGGGAGGCCAAGUGAGGACAAGAAGAGAAAUAUUGUAUAAGGAAGUUUGAGGGAUAAGAUUAUAAGAAGGUGGGUUUGGUGGGGGGAGGUUGGUUUGGUCAAUGCAGUCAAAAUUCCAUGGGAAUUUGUGUCAUGCAACCUAAUAUGUAAGGUGGAAAAAAAGGGGUCUCAUAAUAGAGAAUUAAUUCCACAAUAGAUUUUAAAGUAUGUAGAGGGGUUUUGGUGAGCCCAACUCGAAUCCUGUAUCUUUCCAUGGAAUCUAAAGAGUUGAAACUUAACAUUGCCAACGUUGAGAGAUGGAUAUACAUACCAAACCCUUCCCCACCUCUCUCUCUCUCUCUCUCUCUCUCUCUCUCUCUCUCUCUCUCUCUCUCUAUAGCACACUGGCGCAAUGCAUGCAAAUUUAGCUACCCCUCACCUACCACUCACUCUCUACCCCCCCUAUUAGGUAAAACAAGACAACACAAUAGGCAUGAUAGAGACAAGUGCCUAGGAUACGUAGCUAGUCACAACUUUUUCUUUUCUCUCUUUUUUUUAAUCUCCAAGAUGUUGGAGCAUUGUCCCAUGCACACAAGGGAUCUUAUACAAAAUAGAAGAGACAUCCUUGUUCUCGUUUUUUGAGAGAGAGAGGAGGGUUAGUUAGCAAUAAUUCCCAGCUAAUGGUGGCAACGAGCUAAGCUAGAAAUUAAGUAAAAUAGAUGAUGAAAGACAACUCUCUACACUACACAUGAGUUAUUGUUGUCCUACUAUACUAAUAAAACAAACAACAUUAUAUAUGUAGCAACUAUGAAACUUCUUCCUCAACUAUAGCUAGUUUUAACCAAGUUGAGUUACUUACCUACUCAGCCUCCUCUACUCUUUCUCCUCCUCUUCUUACCUCUAUCUUAUAUCCCUCCUAUGUGUAUAUAUAUAUAGAAAUAUUCCUCAUUGAAGGCUCCUACCCGAGAAGGAUCCGCUAAACGACGACGCCGACUUCAUGUCGGGAUCCAACGAGCUCAUCUCGGCCCCUCCCAUCCCCCUCAUCAUCCCGCCGACGCCGAGAAAGUCCCUCGUCAACCGAUCGGAACUGACGAUGUUAUUCACCGUCGAUGACAUGUUGCUGUUGCUGUUGUUGUUGUUGUUGUUGUUGUUGUUGCUGCUGCUGUGAUACUUAACCUCGUCCAAGUUACACAUUCCCGGGUGGUUGAACCCCGCGAAUGCGACGUGCUCUUGUUGCUCAUGAUGAUUGGUGGUGAAAAGGCCGCUGUUGCCACCGCCGCCGCCGUUGACCAGCGAGUUCAUUAGGUCUUGGAGAUGCGUCGACUCGUUCUGAUGAUGAUGAUGAUGAUGAUGAUGAUCCAUGGGGGAUCUCAAGCCUCUGAACAAAGUGGCCGGCGCGUUCGAAGUUGUAGUUGCACCCAUUUGAGCCGCCUUUUGGAGCAGAGCCGUCGCCGACAUCUGCGGAAGGAUCGACGCCGCGUCGCUGUGGUUCGACUCGUUAAAAAGAUGGCUCAUCAUGUUCCCGGCGAAGAGCGAGGCCGCUUGCUCUGUGCCGUUCCCGUUUCCGUUAUUAAAUUGUUCAUGUAUCAUCAAAUGGCCGCUAUGGUUACCGCCGCCGCCGUUGUUGUUGUUGUUGUUGUUGUUGUUGUUGUUCAUGGCGUUCCCGCUGCUGCCGUUGGAGAAGAAGCUGAGGUUAAAGAGAUUGGCGGCUGUGGGACCGGCGUUGGCGGCGUUGGCGGUGGCGUCGCUUUGGAUGUCGGGCAGCUGCAUUAAGCCGUGAAAGGGUUUUGUCUGGAGCAAGGAGUGGUGAGGCGGCCGGAAGCCCGAAGCGUUCGCCGGAGGGAGGAGAUGGUCAAAUUGAGAGGCGGCACCGCCACUGCCACUGCCGCCGCCGCCGCCGCCACCGAGCAAUGAUGGUGUGAUUUGAGAGUUCACUUGGGAUAAGCUCAGCGCCAUGGUGCUGUUGCCGUAGAGGUGGCUCCCCACGGCGGUGUUGAGGCCGUACGGAAGCCUCGCGCUCUCUUGCGCGAGCGCGUCGCAGAAGGCGCGGUGAGUGAUGAAGCUAUCUCGCCUGCGUAAUUUGAGUUUGAAGUGGAAGUGAAGAAGCAAAAAAUGUAAAUGCUGCGAGUUCAAAGAAGAGCUAAUGUGAUUUGUUUAGAGUUAGAAACUUACUUGUAACUUAGUUAUUUCAUUCAAAUACUGGUUCGAAUAAUUUAUUGUUCAAUUUAAGUAUAUUAUUAUUAUUGAUAUUUCAGUAUUCUAGUCUAUAAAUAAUUUAUAUUAAGCGGAUUAGUUUGACAACUAAUGCGCAAUGUCACGUGCCAUGUUCGAUUUUUAAACAUGCAGUAUACUCAGCAUUUUACAUAAAUAUACCUAUAAGAAUUAGCUCAAAUGGUUAGGGCUCUUAGAUCUUUGUACUCUUCUUAUUCUCGUCAAAAAGUAUAAUAAAGAGGUCAGACUCAAGCGAGCCCUGUAUCCUAACUUCCUAACUUCCUAAGAAGGUAAAAAAUGGACAGUACCUAAGUAAUUUAAAAAAAGUUUACUCAUAAUGAGAACUACGUAGAAAAUUAAGAUCUACAGUGUCUAAAAAGUCAAAAAAUGUCCAGUUCCCGAGAAGCAAUAUUGCUGCAAGAUAAGGUAGAGGAAAAUUCCGCUUGAAGUCGAAAAGAGUCAAUGACAAAAGCCUAUUUUUCUCUAUUUGGGAACUCAACAUUCAUUCAAUGCAAAGAGAAAAUUUUUGCAGCAAAUGUUCAAAGGAAUCAUCAAUGCAACUAUACUUCCUACACUAAAAUUCCCAAAUCACAUUCAUUCUUCUCUACAUGCCAAUGAAAUAAUGUUUUCCGAAGCCAUGAAUUAAUGUGGCCCCCAAAAUCAAGGAACCCACGAAUUAAAAACGCCAACUCCCCAAAAACUCCUCAUUCCUAGAAUUAGUUAGUAAAACAAGCUAACCGAGCAAUAACCCUUCACCACCCGAAUCCCUCGAUUUUUAACAAACUCUUCCCUCUUCAAUUAAUGAGGUCUAAUGUAACUCCCAGGUUAAAUAAAUGAGUAUGCGAGAGAGAGAGAGAGAGAGAGAGAGAGAGAGAGAGAGAGAGAGAGAGAAAAGAGUGUGUGUGUGUGUGUGUGUUUUGGGGGUGGGGCAACAUUUCUAUCCAAAAGNGGGGAGGGGCACUCUAACCCUAACGUUUUCUCAUAAAAAGGUGUGGACCUGCCACGGCCAGAGGGACCUGACCACAUCUAGCCAACGCACAUGAGAACAAACCUGCUAAGCCGCUUACAUGGCACCACGUGAACAAGAGAGAGAGAGAGAGAGAGAGAGGAGAGAGAGAAGAGAGAGAGAGUGGCGUUAGCCCCUAGGCGAAAGAUGAGCCUUUCUCCUCUAAGUUGAAAAGUUGAAAACUCAUGAACCAUGGCACUUCCAUAGACAACUCACGUGGGAGCAGUUCCUUACUCUGUGCCACAGCCCCAGCACGUACCCCCGCCUCUUCUCUCUUUCUCUCUCUCUACACUUAACUGGGGAAUCCAACCAUAACAACCCUAAAAGAGAGAGAGAGAGAGAGAGAGAGAGAGAGAGAGAGAGAGAGAAAACCCUAAUCCUGGAAGAAAAAAACAAAGGAAGCCCACAAAAGUAUUUACCACAAAAGGAGAGUGAGACUACAAUAAUCACCAAAACCAAGGUGACCCGGUUGAAAACAAAUGCAGAAAUCUAUGAUGAUAUCUUUGAAAUGAUGCCCCAAUGAUGGUAUAUAUAUAUAAAACUAAUGGAGGCAAUGCAAAUAUCUGUGGAUGGAUAGAUGGAUGGAUGGAUGGAUCGAUGGUCCAUGUAGUAGUGUGUGUAUAUGUAUAUGUGCGCGUGCGUACAUGUUUAUGCAGUAAAUACAAUACUAAGUAUAUAAGUUCGUAAUAAUAAUAAUGAUAAUAAUGAUAAUACCUGGAGAAGAGGGUGCCGCAGUCGCAGCGGUACUCGCGGGUGCCGCAGGUCUUGGAGUGGGCCUUGAGGUCGGAGUGGACGGCGUAGCGCUUGGAGCACUUAUCGCACUUCCACUUCUUCUCACCGUGCUUCCGGGAGAAGUGCUUCUUGAUGCCGGUGAGGUCGCCGAGGGCGCGGGAGGGGUCGUGGUGGACGCAAGUAGGCUCUGGGCAGAGGUACACUCGCCGCCGCGCCUUGUCCUUGUCGCUCUUCUGCCGCAGCUUCCACGGCAGGUUGUGGCCGCGCCGGUGCAGCUGCAGGUUUUGCUCGCGCUGAAAGCCCUUGUUGCACACCUCGCACACGAACCGGUUCGUCGCCAUUAGGGUUUUCGGCGACAGCGCGAUCACUUCGGCAUCCGGAUCUGAAUCCAUCAAGAUCAAUUAGGGUUUCUUUUGUGCAUUGUCGAUUAAGCUGGUGAAUUUAUUCUCCACAGAAGGAUUAACGAGCAGUUUGGCCCACCAUGCAAUGGAUAGGGCUCGGAAGUUUAAAACAAACAAGGAAAAAAAAAAAAAAAAAAGGAAAAGGGAAGAAGAAGAUGAGGAAAAAGUACAACAUGCACAUGUAUCCCAAGAAUGAGAGAAUUUAUCUCAAUGGAAGAGUAAGUGGUGUGCGUGAGAAUGUCUUCUUAAUUUUUUUUGGGAUAUGCAGUGAUAAUAGAGGAGUAGAAGGAGGAAAACAAUAAGUUGUUAAUCCAGAUAAAAAGUACAUGCAGGGAAAAGCUUCUUAUCACUACUAAGGGGAAAUUUAAUUAAGGGGGUUAGGUGGUGGAGGCGCAUGGAGAUGGAGGUGUUGGGGAAGAAGCAGAACCAUUUACUCGAAACGACGGAACGAAAGAAAGAAAGAGAGAAGGGAGAAACAAAGAUGAAAAGAAGGGGCUCUCCUUGAGCUUAAUUAGACGCAUGAAAUUUGAAGAAGGAAAAAUUCAGUUAAUUACUAUACGUUUAUAAGAAGAUACAAUUGACUGGAACGGAAUCCAAAUGACCUUUGUCAUGUGGAUCGAUCUCACAACUGGGGUAGGAGAAAUGGAGGGAAAAAAAUGAAAAAAAAAAAUGAAGCACAUAAUGAAUUAGGGCUUUCCAAGAUGAAAUAGUGAAUUCGCAAGCGUGCGGGCCACAAAAUUCAAAUUCCACUUUGGAUAACCUCAUCUUAUAUCUUUCCUUGAAGCGAAGGUUGAAACGCAACCUUCGUUUCAUCACUAUAAAGAGAUCAAUGAGGGAAUAGUGAACAUGGUUGGGAAUUAAUCAUCAUGGUGUGCAUGAAUAUUAUACGUUGGGAGCGAAUUGAUAUACAUAUACUUGGAUUUCCCGGGAGAUUCCUCCUCUUCUUCACAGGAGCUGCACUUUCCGGGAGCGACGCCGCUGCCACUGCCGCCGCCGCUGUAGAAGAGGAUGGGGUCAACGAUUGCUGGUUAUGAGGCUCUUCAUCUCUGAUUCCGAAGAAGGGUGCCGACGCCGUCGAAGAAUCCAUCUCUCUCCCUCUCUCUCUCUCUCUCUCUCUCAACUAAUUAAUAGCAACAGCACAAUUACACUUCGCCGUUUUCUUCCUCUCGAUGGUGCUCUUCUCCUUGUUUCUUCUUCCGUGAUCUCCCUCAACCUCUUCUUUUGGUUUCUGCUAAGAAUUAACAACAGUGAGUAGUCCACACCAAAACCAUAAUAAAAAUUCGCAUGGAACAUAAACAUCAUGCACCUUCGAUCCCCCUUCUUUUGUUCUAUCUAUGCAUCCAGUUUAGGGAAAGAACGAGAGAGAAAGGGAGGAGAAGAUCCCGAUACAAUAAGAUGCUAGUAAAAGAGCUUUCGAUCUGAAGAAGAAAAAAAAACCACAGGAGAAACCAUCCAAAUUAAAGCCUCCAAACCCUGAGGGGGUCUUCCUAGAUUAGCAAACGAACAAAGGGAGCUCGAAAUCCAAACAAACAAAUUGCACUCACUACUAGUAAAAGGGGAGAGAGAGAGAGAAAGGGGGGAGAAGAAGAGAACAAAAGAUAAGAUUAAGAAAAAGCACAAACCAAUUCAAAAAUCACUUGCUUAAUUUGUUUCUUCUAUCUAGCUCGCCUUGUAUAUAUCUUCUCUCUCACUCUCUCUCCCUCUCUCUCUCUCUCUCUACUACCACUCUUUUGUGCUUUUGGAUUUGGAACAGUGGAGGUGGAGGCAAUAUGCGAAGGGUUGUUGUGUGUUUUCUUUCACUUCCUUGUCAUCCUUUUCCUUCUCCCUCUUCCUCCUCUUCCACACUGCAGCUUUUUCUAUUUCUUUUUCUCUCCUCCUUUUCCUCGCCCCUUUGGCCACAAAUAAAAAUACCACCAAUGUUUUAUAUAUGUAGUAUAUUUCUCCGGCUUAGAGAGAGAGAGAAAGAGAGAGAGAGAGAGUUGAUGGGGGUCACACGCAGGUGAAACCGUGUCAUGUUGUGGCUAAGGAUUGGGUCCACCGACUGUAUAGUCCUCGCGCCUCUCCCAUCCCCCUCUCUCUCUCUCUCUCUCUCUCUCUCUCUCUCUCUCUCUCUCUCUCUCUCCAUCCAUGUCCGGACAAACCCUACCCCUCAUCAAUCCUCCGUCCUCACUUGCCUCGGUUCAAAAAUUAGGCUACAAUACAUUGCUAGUACAAAUUAUUCUUUGUAAUAUAUUAUACAUGGGAGAAACUUACCAUUAGUACUAAGUUCGUGUUUCGUAUGCUUCCAUUUUUCACUUUUAUCUGUAAGAAAAGAAAAGAUAUGAAUUCGUGACAAAAUCUAAAAACUACCGAUUUUCUGAUAUAUAUAGUGAAAUGCAAAGUAGUAAUUAAAGUUAUUAGAAGAAAAUUGAUAGAGUAUUUAUUUUUAUUUUUCGUACUUCACUUAGACAACACUAUAUAUACAUAGUACUUUAACAAACGACACUUUUACGCUGAACAAUAGAAUUCUAAUGUGACAACUCGCUUUCUAGAGGGCUCAUCUAUUCUAGAAUUAUUCUAACUCCAGCACGUUUAAAUCUUUUAAUCUGUAGGGUGUAACCACCGCUCAAAAUAUUAUAGCUUAGUUAAAAUAUUUUAGUCCUAUUAUAUCUUAUAGAUUGUAUUUGACUAUUCCAAAUUUUGGCAGUGUCAUAUUUCUCCUCCCUUUAAAUUCCGACAUUAUUGUUAGCUUGAGCAUACUUAGAAGCAUCAGAUAAUAUGAGACUCGAUAAUAUGAGACUCAUCUUGCUAGUCUUAUCGUUCGGAUCUUGGCUUAACCUAUUAUUGUCAGAUCCUAAUUAAUUUUAGUUUGUCAUUCAAACCCUGACUUAUCUUAUGCUUAUAGUUGGUAAUUGGCUUUCAUACCAAUUGUGACGCCCCAUUUUCCAGAAAGGUCACAUAUUCUAGAACUAUUUUAGCUCCAACAUGUUUAGCCUUCUUAAUCUCUUAAACAUAGCCAUCAUAAAAAAUGUUAUAACUAGGUUAAGAAAUUUUAAUCCUAGCAUACCUUAUAUAUUGGACUAUAUCAAAUUUUGAAAAUGUCACAUUCCUUCUUUUUUUAAGUCCUGAUGUUCUCAAUAGGCUUGAGCACAUUCAAAUUAAGUAUCAGACAAUAUGAGACUCGUCUCGCCCAACCUUAUCACUUGACCUUGACUUAAUUUGUUAUUGUCACACCCUGAUUUUAGCUUGUCAUUCAAUCCCUAGCUAACUCAGUCGAGAUUUAUUUCAUAUUCCGAUUAAUGAUUGACUCUGAUAUUAACUGUGACGUUCCAUUUUUUCAAAUGGGUCGCCUAUUCUAAAACUCCUCUAAUCCUAGAACGCUUAAUCCUCUUAAUCUUUUAAGUCUAACCACCACCCAACUAGGUUAAGAGAUUUUAGUACUAUUGUAUCUUAAUUACAUACUGGACUAUCUCUAACUUUGGGAUCGUCACAUCUAAAGCACACAUGCUUUAACGCACUCUCUCUAUUAUCCACAUAUUUACCUUAUUGUACGUCUUAAUGAAACAAAUUUAAGUACAGGAAAACAAAUACAGUUCAAAGGGUAGUCAAUGCAUAAGCAAAAAAACAAAACAAAACACCAAAACUGCACUUCAAAGAGCUUACUUUGGAACACAGCCACAGCUAAUUAAUGAAAGUAGUGUUACAUAAGCCUUUAAUCCUUUUGUCGUGUGUAAGGUGCACGGGUGCAUGGUCUUUGCUUUGAAACCGCACUUAAAAUGCUUCCUUAGGCAACGUGUAGCUGCAGAGGGUAGGCACAUUACAACUGUAGCCAUAUGUGGCUUCGCAUUGCGUCACUAUACAUAUAUAUGUGUAUGCAGUUAUACUUUUGUUGACAUUUUCUCUCCCACGAGACCCUUAUUGAUAAGGACUCGCAUGCAAUUCGACACCUAUGUAGAGCGCAUAUGUAAUGUAAUAUUAAUCCUUCUCUUCCUCUUUUCCUUAAUUUGUGAGUUUAUCAUUGGCUAAUUGUAAAAGCACUAACUUUAUAUAUAGAAUUAAGCAGCACGAUCGAGCGAAGUAAAAGAUAAUUUGACAGUUGAUCACUUGUCAUGUAAAAAUUAUAUUGUAAUUGAAUCAGCUGUCACAUUUAUUUUGCACGAAAUAUUAAAUUGAACAAAUUAAUGGACUUUGAUAGGAAUGAUCUUGAUUGAAGCUGCUCUAUAAAUUAAAGUCAAGUAACUUAGUAGUUCUGAUAAAAUUCAAAUUCGGUGAUCAACAUGAAAUUUUGCGGUAGGGACAAAUUAAUUGACCCAUUAGAGAGAUUUAGAAGGCAAGGUCUUAAUUAAUUUGGUAUAUUCUUGAAAAGUACGCAUUUGAUCACAAAGCACGUUAUUAUUAUAUAUGUAUGAACUCUAGUUAAGAUUCGGGUUCGCGCCUGAACCAUUUAACCUGUAGUUCUUGUACUCAACAAGUUAGUCACAUGAAAAAUAUGCAUGUUAGGAUACUUGACAAAUGAACUUGUCCUAAAAAUUUGUCACGUCCGCGGCGUGGUUCAUUCCUGACCAAGUUUGGAUGGCUCGCAAUUGGACGUUCCCACAUAAUGAAUCAAUUUCUCCCACUUUCAUUUCAAUUUAGCUAUUUAUUCAAGUUAUAUUCAAUUUGAUUAUAUCGCUUUUCCCUUAACAUUUGAGGACACCUUUUCUUAUAUUUAAUAACACGUAAAAGCACGUACCCUAAUAUAAUCUAACGUCACAUUUGAAAUUGUCGGUUAAACUCUCUGCAAAUGAAGAGUCGCUACGUAUAUAGCGACGCUUAUGCCAAGCGUCAGUAAAAUAUAUUCUGAUAUUUUAAAGCGUCAGGAUUUUUUUAAAUUCUGAUAUUUUAAAGUGUCAAAAAAUUAAAAAUAACAGUAAAAUUUAUCAAUUUAAUAAAUUAGUUUGAUAUAACAAAGAGUUCAUAUGACGACACUUUUUGAAUUGUCGGUAUUUGCUAUAUUUUUGGGACGCUUCCUCCGAGCGUCAUCUAUAAAGUGUCCUUAUGUUGAGAUUUCUUAUAUGUUAUAUUAAAUUUGGUCCAUUCUAGCUAAAAAACUUUCUAGUUUAAAGGUUUUUUUCGGACCUCUAAUUUUAGUAUCAUCAAAUAAUUAGCAAGCUGUACCUCUAAUUUUAGUAUCUUGAAAUAAUUAGCAAGCUUGUCCAUUUGAGCAGAACUCGGUGAUUUUUUGAGUUCAGAUUGUUGAAUAUAAGUAUUAAAAAAUAAUGUUUUCUGAAAACUUAAGUUUUUGGAGAAAACGGUUGUUUUGUAUAAUUUCUCAUGGCAUUAGAGAGCCAAGAGGUUUUGAGUACGAGUAACGUCAGACUCUUAAUCUUAUUUAAUUUUCUCACGGUUAAUUUAAGUAUACGUCUUAGGUCUAUCAAAAUGUCUCAAUCCCACAAUGAUAAGAAUAUUGAAUAUAAAUAUUAAAAAAUUAUUGUUCUCUCAAAUUUUAAGCUUUUAGAGAAAACGGUUGUUUCGUAUAAUUUUUCACAAAUUAGUCCAUUCAAAAGUUAUUUUGGUAAGCUGAUCCUUUCUAUAUAUGUUGUAAGUUAAUUGUGGAAUUGUUAAUAAUUUAUCUUGCACAGUUGCAAGUCCAUUCAAGUAACACUUCUUUAGAAGCUCAAUGUGAGAUAAAUUAGCACUCGAUGACCUUUUUUCUCUUUUUGGAAAAUGCUAUUUAAGUAUAAAUAUUAAUAAAAUUGUAUUUACACCGUUACUAGUAAUCCGUGUUCAAUGAUCAGAUUUAUCUGAAUUUCCUGUACAUACCAUUUCGAUUUUAAUCGGGACAAAGCAAUAUGUCCAAAUCCGACUUUCGUUAUUAUUGGAUUUGACCAAUUGGAUUUGGUGGAUUCAGGUAACAUCUUGCCACUCCUACUCGAUCAUGUGCCGCAUUUUUUGAAUAAUAGAUCACCAAAGUUCAAAUUGUUACCAUGAACAAAUUGUGGGGACUAGGGACUAAGAUGCUACGGCUUAAACGAUGGGAUCGGAAUUGAAACCAAAGUCAAAAGCCAAUUUUACGUACCUUGACACGUUAUGUUCCUAUUAAUUAACUAAACCACCUAACAAAUUCAUUAUGUACAUGCAUGGUUUAGCCUGCAAUUAAUUACAAUAGCAAAUAAAUUUUGGGGGAGGGGGGAGAUUUAAUAUAUAACAUGCACAAAAAGAACACAAUCUCUCAAUUUGGAAGGGUCUAUAUAUCGAUCUAGCUAGCUAGCUAGCUAACUCGAUUUAAUAUUUUGAUCAGUCAAUGGAGUCAAACUCAGGCCGCGAUAAUAGGAAUCAAUCUACAUAUAUAUAUAUAUAUGUAUUAAUUUGUGUUUAUCAAUAUUUUAACUAUGUGGACCUUGGACUCUAAGCUCUAAACCUAAUAAAAAUAUAUUUCCGUUGAUGGCGAUGAUCAUGAAUAUAAAAUAUGAUAAUAAGUAUUAGGGGAGAGGGAAUUCCGUGCAUGCAUGGGGACAUUGGCAUUAUCGUUGUUACCAACAAAUAAGGUUGCAGCAUUAACAUAUGAGCUACUUAAACAUUCGCUUGAGAGAAACAUUACACAAACCAACAUGCUUAAUUAACUCCAAAGACAUACAUUCCCACCAGAUUAGUUUCUUUUCGGGUCUAUACGAUCACUAUUUUUUUUUUCCUUUAUUUUUUUAAUGUUUUACACGUUCAUACGUGACUUGUUUGUAGGCUAGUUAGACAUUGCCUGGAACAAGAAUAAUUUUCUAUAUAUUCUCUCUCUCUCUCUCUCUCUCUCUCUCUCUCUCUCUCUCUGUACCGGAAGAUUCCUUUGGUUGCUUUCGUGGUAGACCCCGUAACAUAACAUGUGUUGAAACGUAUUAAAAAUGUUAUAUAUAUUAUUCAUGUGUUUAUCUAGUAGUCAUACGAAAGAUUCUUUGAUUUUGGCCUGAGCAUCUUCCCUUCUUUAGGCGGAGCGACUACGAACUCAAACGUUGAGUCUAACUAAUUAGGUUGUAUCUGGCAUCAUGGACUAUUUUAUUUAUUUUUUUUUUUUUUUGAGAGAGAUAGGUUGCACGCUACUCACUACGUUUAUUUCAUUUAGAAAUAAAGUUAGCUAAAAAUAUGAAUCAACUAGGAUUCAAACUUGGGUUUCGGGUAUCAACCACCAAGCCCUUUGCCACUUGCUCUAGAAACGGUCGGUACGUAUCAUGGACUAUUUGUUACAACAAAUGUACAAACGAAAUAAAAAUGGAAAAUACAAAAUAAUCAAACUGCAAGCAGAAAUAAAAAAAAACACACAAAUUUACAUAAAAAAUUUUUUGAAGGAAAAAACUACGGGCAAAGAAGGAGAGAACUUCACUAUUGAAAAAAAGAAAAAUAUAAUGUUCGAAUACAACCACCACAGACAUUCAUUUUUUCCUUCACAAUUUUAUUUUCCAAACUGGUCGUACCGCGAAACUGUCAGCAAAUCGAAAUUCCGAAUUCAAGUCGAUUAUCAAUUUCGAGUCACAUCUAACACUACUUAAAUGGAAUUAAGUUUUAUUUAAAAGUCUCUCGACUAAUUUUGUGAGACUAAGAUGUAUACCGUNUUUUUUGAGAGAGAUAGGUAGUACGCUACCCGCUUCGUUUAUUUCAUUUAGAAAUAAACUUAGCUAAAAAUGUGAAUCAACUAGGAUUCGAACUUGAGUCUCGGGUACCAACCACCAAACACUUUGCCACUUACUCUAGAGACGGUCGGUAUCAUGGACUAUUUGUUACAACAAAUGUACAAACGAAAUAAAAAUGGAGAAUACAAAAUAAUCAAACUACAAGCAGAAAUAAAAGAAAACACACAAAUUUACAUAAAAAAUUCUUUGAAGGAAAAAACUACAGGCGAAGAAGGAGAGAACUUCACUAUUGAAAAAAAGAAAAAUAUAAUGUUCGAAUACAACCACCACAGACAUUCAUUUUUUCCUUCACAAUUUUAUUUUCCAAACUGGUCGUACCGCGAAACUGUCAGCAAAUCGAAAUUCCGAAUUCAAGUCGAUUAUCAAUUUCGAGUCACAUCUAACACUACUUAAAUGGAAUUAAGUUUUAUUUAAAAGUCUCUCGACUAAUUUUGUGAGACUAAGAUGUAUACCGUUCUAUCAAAUCAUAGCUGAUGAGACUUUUCCAAGGGAUUAAAAUUAAUCUUUUAAUUUAUAAUCGCAAAAGAAACAGUUCAUGGGGGAUAAGUUAAUUCUAAAUAACUUAUUCUGACGCUGAUCUAAUAAGAACAAUAAACCGGCCUUUAUACAUAGACAUAUAUAGAAUUCAGCUACAAAACUGUUAAUAGUACCAAACACUUGAUGCUAUCAAAUUUUUUAUCAUUAGAUCUAUCUCUUUAAUCAUUUUCACUUCUUAGAUCAUUGUACUCCACUAAUCACCUACUAAACUCUAGAAAAUCACUAUCAUCCUAACCACACAUUCUUUCAUCUAAAGGUCGAAAAUAUAAUAGCACAAAUGACUUGAUGCUUUUAAUAGUAUUCUAGUCAAUAUAUAUAUAUAUAUAUAUAUAUAUAUAUAUAUAUAUAUAUAUAUAUAUAUAUAUANNNNNNNNNNNNNNNNNNNNNNNNNNNNNNNNNNNNNNNNNNNNNNNNNNNNNNNNNNNNNNNNNNNNNNNNNNNNNNNNNNNNNNNNNNNNNNNNNNNNNNNNNNNNNNNNNNNNNNNNNNNNNNNNNNNNNNNNNNNNNNNNNNNNNNNNNNNNNNNNNNNNNNNNNNNNNNNNNNNNNNNNNNNNNNNNNNNNNNNNNNNNNNNNNNNNNNNNNNNNNNNNNNNNNNNNNNNNNNNNNNNNNNNNNNNNNNNNNNNNNNNNNNNNNNNNNNNNNNNNNNNNNNNNNNNNNNNNNNNNNNNNNNNNNNNNNNNNNNNNNNNNNNNNNNNNNNNNNNNNNNNNNNNNNNNNNNNNNNNNNNNNNNNNNNNNNNNNNNNNNNNNNNNNNNNNNNNNNNNNNNNNNNNNNNNNNNNNNNNNNNNNNNNNNNNNNNNNNNNNNNNNNNNNNNNNNNNNNNNNNNNNNNNNNNNNNNNNNNNNNNNNNNNNNNNNNNNNNNNNNNNNNNNNNNNNNNNNNNNNNNNNNNNNNNNNNNNNNNNNNNNNNNNNNNNNNNNNNNNNNNNNNNNNNNNNNNNNNNNNNNNNNNNNNNNNNNNNNNNNNNNNNNNNNNNNNNNNNNNNNNNNNNNNNNNNNNNNNNNNNNNNNNNNNNNNNNNNNNNNNNNNNNNNNNNNNNNNNNNNNNNNNNNNNNNNNNNNNNNNNNNNNNNNNNNNNNNNNNNNNNNNNNNNNNNNNNNNNNNNNNNNNNNNNNNNNNNNNNNNNNNNNNNNNNNNNNNNNNNNNNNNNNNNNNNNNNNNNNNNNNNNNNNNNNNNNNNNNNNNNNNNNNNNNNNNNNNNNNNNNNNNNNNNNNNNNNNNNNNNNNNNNNNNNNNNNNNNNNNNNNNNNNNNNNNNNNNNNNNNNNNNNNNNNNNNNNNNNNNNNNNNNNNNNNNNNNNNNNNNNNNNNNNNNNNNNNNNNNNNNNNNNNNNNNNNNNNNNNNNNNNNNNNNNNNNNNNNNNNNNNNNNNNNNNNNNNNNNNNNNNNNNNNNNNNNNNNNNNNNNNNNNNNNNNNNNNNNNNNNNNNNNNNNNNNNNNNNNNNNNNNNNNNNNNNNNNNNNNNNNNNNNNNNNNNNNNNNNNNNNNNNNNNNNNNNNNNNNNNNNNNNNNNNNNNNNNNNNNNNNNNNNNNNNNNNNNNNNNNNNNNNNNNNNNNNNNNNNNNNNNNNNNNNNNNNNNNNNNNNNNNNNNNNNNNNNNNNNNNNNNNNNNNNNNNNNNNNNNNNNNNNNNNNNNNNNNNNNNNNNNNNNNNNNNNNNNNNNNNNNNNNNNNNNNNNNNNNNNNNNNNNNNNNNNNNNNNNNNNNNNNNNNNNNNNNNNNNNNNNNNNNNNNNNNNNNNNNNNNNNNNNNNNNNNNNNNNNNNNNNNNNNNNNNNNNNNNNNNNNNNNNNNNNNNNNNNNNNNNNNNNNNNNNNNNNNNNNNNNNNNNNNNNNNNNNNNNNNNNNNNNNNNNNNNNNNNNNNNNNNNNNNNNNNNNNNNNNNNNNNNNNNNNNNNNNNNNNNNNNNNNNNNNNNNNNNNNNNNNNNNNNNNNNNNNNNNNNNNNNNNNNNNNNNNNNNNNNNNNNNNNNNNNNNNNNNNNNNNNNNNNNNNNNNNNNNNNNNNNNNNNNNNNNNNNNNNNNNNNNNNNNNNNNNNNNNNNNNNNNNNNNNNNNNNNNNNNNNNNNNNNNNNNNNNNNNNNNNNNNNNNNNNNNNNNNNNNNNNNNNNNNNNNNNNNNNNNNNNNNNNNNNNNNNNNNNNNNNNNNNNNNNNNNNNNNNNNNNNNNNNNNNNNNNNNNNNNNNNNNNNNNNNNNNNNNNNNNNNNNNNNNNNNNNNNNNNNNNNNNNNNNNNNNNNNNNNNNNNNNNNNNNNNNNNNNNNNNNNNNNNNNNNNNNNNNNNNNNNNNNNNNNNNNNNNNNNNNNNNNNNNNNNNNNNNNNNNNNNNNNNNNNNNNNNNNNNNNNNNNNNNNNNNNNNNNNNNNNNNNNNNNNNNNNNNNNNNNNNNNNNNNNNNNNNNNNNNNNNNNNNNNNNNNNNNNNNNNNNNNNNNNNNNNNNNNNNNNNNNNNNNNNNNNNNNNNNNNNNNNNNNNNNNNNNNNNNNNNNNNNNNNNNNNNNNNNNNNNNNNNNNNNNNNNNNNNNNNNNNNNNNNNNNNNNNNNNNNNNNNNNNNNNNNNNNNNNNNNNNNNNNNNNNNNNNNNNNNNNNNNNNNNNNNNNNNNNNNNNNNNNNNNNNNNNNNNNNNNNNNNNNNNNNNNNNNNNNNNNNNNNNNNNNNNNNNNNNNNNNNNNNNNNNNNNNNNNNNNNNNNNNNNNNNNNNNNNNNNNNNNNNNNNNNNNNNNNNNNNNNNNNNNNNNNNNNNNNNNNNNNNNNNNNNNNNNNNNNNNNNNNNNNNNNNNNNNNNNNNNNNNNNNNNNNNNNNNNNNNNNNNNNNNNNNNNNNNNNNNNNNNNNNNNNNNNNNNNNNNNNNNNNNNNNNNNNNNNNNNNNNNNNNNNNNNNNNNNNNNNNNNNNNNNNNNNNNNNNNNNNNNNNNNNNNNNNNNNNNNNNNNNNNNNNNNNNNNNNNNNNNNNNNNNNNNNNNNNNNNNNNNNNNNNNNNNNNNNNNNNNNNNNNNNNNNNNNNNNNNNNNNNNNNNNNNNNNNNNNNNNNNNNNNNNNNNNNNNNNNNNNNNNNNNNNNNNNNNNNNNNNNNNNNNNNNNNNNNNNNNNNNNNNNNNNNNNNNNNNNNNNNNNNNNNNNNNNNNNNNNNNNNNNNNNNNNNNNNNNNNNNNNNNNNNNNNNNNNNNNNNNNNNNNNNNNNNNNNNNNNNNNNNNNNNNNNNNNNNNNNNNNNNNNNNNNNNNNNNNNNNNNNNNNNNNNNNNNNNNNNNNNNNNNNNNNNNNNNNNNNNNNNNNNNNNNNNNNNNNNNNNNNNNNNNNNNNNNNNNNNNNNNNNNNNNNNNNNNNNNNNNNNNNNNNNNNNNNNNNNNNNNNNNNNNNNNNNNNNNNNNNNNNNNNNNNNNNNNNNNNNNNNNNNNNNNNNNNNNNNNNNNNNNNNNNNNNNNNNNNNNNNNNNNNNNNNNNNNNNNNNNNNNNNNNNNNNNNNNNNNNNNNNNNNNNNNNNNNNNNNNNNNNNNNNNNNNNNNNNNNNNNNNNNNNNNNNNNNNNNNNNNNNNNNNNNNNNNNNNNNNNNNNNNNNNNNNNNNNNNNNNNNNNNNNNNNNNNNNNNNNNNNNNNNNNNNNNNNNNNNNNNNNNNNNNNNNNNNNNNNNNNNNNNNNNNNNNNNNNNNNNNNNNNNNNNNNNNNNNNNNNNNNNNNNNNNNNNNNNNNNNNNNNNNNNNNNNNNNNNNNNNNNNNNNNNNNNNNNNNNNNNNNNNNNNNNNNNNNNNNNNNNNNNNNNNNNNNNNNNNNNNNNNNNNNNNNNNNNNNNNNNNNNNNNNNNNNNNNNNNNNNNNNNNNNNNNNNNNNNNNNNNNNNNNNNNNNNNNNNNNNNNNNNNNNNNNNNNNNNNNNNNNNNNNNNNNNNNNNNNNNNNNNNNNNNNNNNNNNNNNNNNNNNNNNNNNNNNNNNNNNNNNNNNNNNNNNNNNNNNNNNNNNNNNNNNNNNNNNNNNNNNNNNNNNNNNNNNNNNNNNNNNNNNNNNNNNNNNNNNNNNNNNNNNNNNNNNNNNNNNNGAAAGUCCGAACAUCGAAAACAAAGUGGAAGCACGGAGCCCUCCGUGCUUCUAUAAGCAUCCUAGCCGCACUCUAUAUAUAUAUAUAUAGAGCAGGGCUACUAUACUCUUAUAAGUAUAGAGCCCUUCGUACUCAUAAGUUGUUUUUGAUGUUAGGAAUUUCGAAUAGACGAUCCACACUGUUAAACAUGAUCUAGAGUACUAUUUGAAAUUUUUAGAAAAUAAAUUUCGUAAUUUUUGAAGAUCAUUAUAAAGUUCAUCAAGCGAGUAUAAAAUGAACAGUUGGGACCAAUGCCGAGAAAUCAUUAUAAAAUUCAUCAAGCGAGUAUUUGAAAUUUUUAGAAAAUAAAUUUCGUAAUUUUUGAAGAUCAUUAUAAAGUUCAUCAAGCAAGUAUAAAAUGAACAGUUGUUGACCAAUGCCGAGAAAUCAUUAUAAAAUUCAUCAAGCGAGUAUUUGAAAUUUUUAGAAAAUAAAUUUCGUAAUUUCUAAAUAUUUUAAAUGCUCUAUAUAAUGUUUAACGGUAUGUAUCGUCGAUUCGGAAGCUCUAUCAUCGAAAAGAACUUAUGAGUACGAAGACAAUCGUACUCAUAAGAGUAUAGUAACCGGACUAUAUAUAUAUAUAUAUAUAUAUAUAUAUAUAAAGUACAAUAAUUAAAUUCAUGCAUAUACUGUUCCGUCACGAAAGUAGAAUUAAGCCACUGAUUAAGAGUGUACCUUAAUUUGUAUGGGAGCUAGCUAGGUAGUAAGUUGCGUCAUGGAGAUUCUGAGAAUAUGUGUCAUCCAAGAAAUUCAAGUUGCCCUUCUAAUUGAUUAUUAAUCUUUAAUCCAGGGCGUACACACACACACACACACACACACACACACACACACACACUUUUUUUGGCCGGUUUUUGACAAACAAAGGCACACACUUUUUUUGGCCGGUUUUUGACAAACAAAGGCAUCUGCACCAGAUUACUUUAUUAAUUUGCUCCAGCUGUUUUAUGCAUUUGAUGUACUACCUAGGUCGGAAAAAAAAAAAAAAAAACUUGCAAUGGUAAUUUUCACAUACUUAAACUUAUAUUUUAAUUAAAAAAUAAGCUUAUAAAUAUUAAAUUUAAUCCGAACAAAUCCAUUCCCGCCGCCUGGAUUCAAUUUUCAAUUCGGCCUCCUAGGCAUGAUUGGAAAAAAGGGUAAUUGAGAAAAUUUCCAUUCAUCCGAAAAUUCGAAUCGGAAUGAAAAUCUCGCAUACUAAUUACAGACAAACGGAUUCGUCCAUUCCGACUCCGAUUCCAGAGUAAAAAAAAGGCAAACCAAAUACGCCAUGAGUUCGAUACAUUGGAGGCACCCCUUAUAGUCAGCAUAAGCUGCUAGAUUUCACUUUAUUAACAUGUGAUUUAUUUUUUUUAACAAUUAUUUUUUUUCUGUAAAUAAGGAUCUCUGUAAAAGUGAAAAAUAAAAGAAAAAAAGUAACACGUAAGCGUAUGAAAAAAGAAAAAUAGAAGAACACCUCUAGGUGAUAUAAUCUCAUUUUACUUUGCUAACUACCAAAGUGGAGGGUCAAUUCCUUUUUCAUGAUGUUUCGAUAUAGUAGAUUCUUACAGAAAACUGAAUAACAGUCACUAGCUAGUCACUAGGUAGCAAAAUAUUAAUUAUAUUUGAAUCAUAUUAUUCAUGCAAUAGAGAAUACUAACUCUGAUUUUACUAUAUAUGUGCAAGUUUUUUAUUCGGUUUACACCAUCCGAUCGACUUUUCUAUUUAUUUGAUUUAGAAGAAAACGAAAGCAUUCGAAAUAUGAGAAAUUUAGUCUCCAACAACAUUAAAUUAUCCAAUGAAUCACAAUAUUCAUGCAGUAACGAAUAAUAACUCUAGUUUUAAUAUAUAUAUAUACUGUGCCAGUUUUCAUUUGAUUUACACCAAUCAAACUUUUCUAUUUAUUUAACUUGGAGGUAAAUAAAAACAUUCGAAACAUAAGAAAUUUAGUUUCCAAUAAUGUUAGAUUAUCUCACGACACGUAGAAUCAAAUAAAAUGUUGAUCCGGACGGCGUUAGGAUACAUGGAAAAAUGAAAUCGGGCAAAAUCUGGUCGAAAUAAAGCCAAUUUAGAUCUGGCUGAUAUGCUUCCGACCUGAGUUUUUAAACGGUGUAACUUCACCCUCGGAUGUCCCUUUCAGGCGUAAAACCCUAAUUCGAAAACAAUUGUUUUAGGCCUCCAAAUUCGCAGUUUUAGGUUUUUCCUCAGUUAAUUUUGAGAAUAUUAUUUUGUUUCUUUUAUUAUUUCAAGUUAGACCAGAGUUUUGUAUUAUUUAUGAUUGUUUAGGGUUAGACUCGGGUUAAUUUCGUAUUUUGUGUUUAGAUGAGCGUCUCUAUAUAAAGACUAAUUAGGGUUUAAUUUGUAGAGACAAUUUUGGAGAAAUAAUGAUCGUCUUCGUUUAAGAAGAGAUUCUUCUAUAUAUCUUUCUUAUCUACCCUUCUGCUUCUUUCAUCUCAAACGUAGUUUAGGCCUGCGUCAAAUGCUCUACUAUCAAUUCAACUUGAGAGUUUAAUUCAGGUCGACUGUAUAUAAAAGCUAAUUAAGUAGGAUUUUAGAAAGACAAUUAAUUUUGGAGAAAUAAUAACCCGUCUUCGUUUUAGAAGAGAUUCUUUUAUCUUUCUAGUCCGUUCUUAUGCUUCUUUCAUCUCAAACACGGUUUAGGCCUGCGUCAAAUGCUCUAGUAUCAGUUCGACUCGAGAGGUUCGGGCUCCAAUAAUAUUACUCGAAUAUUAAGUAGUUACCUGUGCGACAUUUUACAACUCACGAUGGAAAGAGACUUGUUGUACGCUUCCAUGCCCCAAGUUGUAUGGUCCCUUUUCCCUUUCUCAUAUGUCAACCUCAUGGCUUCUUAUUCCGGAGUUAUUCUCCCCGUUUUCCAGGUUAAUAUGGACGAAAAACCUGCAUACGGAAUAUUAUGGGAAUAGGACCUUUUGUUCCCUUUCUAAAAGCUUCUGAAACUCGUCCUUUACACAGGUAAAAAUGUUAGGUGGACGUCACGAAUCGUGCGAGGAAAAUAUCCUUAAUUCACAUAAGAGAAUAAGUUAUUAUUCUAUCAUGAUAUAUACUGGCCAAACUUAUACUGUCACGUAUAUAUGCUGAGGAUUUUAUGACAUAUUGAGUAAUUUGGCGAGGUCUAUAUAUAUGGCAUCAUUAAUUCUAUUGUUGAAGUGCACUCCUUAAUUAAAUAGUUACAGUACUUUAAUUAACUCAACAGUAGGCGCAUCAAGUAAAUUAUUAUCUCCCUGUUAAUUACCAAUUGAUCAUACUCACAAUAUCGGUACGCUGGAUUAAAAAAAAAUCUGUGUAUAUGCUAUUUGUGAAUCCUAGGAGCUUUUGUGGGCAAUAAUUCAGUAGGCUCUACAUGAUCGUAACUUAGGGAAAUGGAAUGAUUUUGAUACAAUUUAUACGAAACUGCAAAUACAUAAGUCGAACAUGUUUUGACUACAAAUAUAUAUAUAUAUAUAUAUAUAUAUAUAUAUAUAUAUAGCUCAACAUAUUCGAGCGAUGGGUGCGAUCUUUAUAUAGACAAUUCUAUUUCAAACAUGCAUGUUUUGGUAUCUUCGCAAGAGUUCUGGUUUUUAGGACUAUUAAUUGUUCAUAUAGUAUUUGGACUUGUGAUAAUACAUCUCAAAAAAGCAUCUAUAAUAGAACUCGAAAAAAAAGAUGAUGCGAUAACUAAUUUGAUCAUCAAAAUUAUGGAGAGCUCCAGUGUUCUUCCUGUGACGGACCCCAUCCAUUUGCAUCAAAACAUGUGCGCCUGAACAUGCAUUAUAGUUAGAAUUAUUAGUAUUAACGUACUCGAUCAUAUAAGUGCAUCGAUUGUUACCCCAGAAUCCAAUGACAUGAUAGAAGUACCUUUUUCUCUUUAUUUUCGUUCAAUGUUUGCAUCAAAACUAAUGACAAAAAAUGGAGAAGUGGUCUUAAAGAGUGGUGAGUGAAUGAUUAAUUAGGAAAAUUCUCAACACCAAUCAAGCAAAUUUUGUUUCUACAGAUAAAGUAAAAUCAUGCAUGCAAGCGCCUUUCGAGUUUGAAUACUAAUAAUUGAUCCGUGUCGAAUAUGUGUAGAGAAUUAUUGUAUAUUUUUUAAUAGUCAUCUGAACUUUAAAAAUAUAUAUGAUUAGCCUUAUAGUAUUUUUGAAAUAACUAUAUAAAAUUAGGAAAAAAAGGAAAAGUACAAAAAAAAAAAGAGACAAGGGUCAUACCACUAAUAAGUUCAAAAUAAGAACCAGGUCAAAUUUAAUUUAUUUUAUGGUACCGUUCAUCGGGGACCGUGCUAAAAAAAUGUUGUUUUCUACUUGCUCCCGAAUUUUUGGCGAAAAUUAGCAUACGAACUCGAAUGCACCUCUUCAACAAAUCCCCUACUUACAUAAAUUACCCACAAAUAAUUUCAUAAAAUAGAUUCCCAAUAGGGAAAAAAAUAAAAGGAAUAAUAUCUAAUAUAUAAUCCUCAAAAAAUUUCAAAUACCUUAUAUAUCUCUAUUUUUUUAUUUCAAAUAUAUCCCUCAUAUAUAUAUUUCUCCGUUAUUAAAACAUAACUCCGCUAUUAGUACCCAUUAAUAAGUCAUCUUAGUUUAAGCCCAGAUUAAAUUUUUAUCAGAGUUAAAAAAAAAUCAAAAUAUCUCUUUUGUAUUUAACUUAAGGGCAAAUAAAAAAAAAUAGUGAUAGUAACAGAAUAUAUUUGAAAAAGUAAAAAGUCAAAAUACUUAUUUUGUCCAUAACUUAAGAAGAAAUAAGAAAAAUUUGCUGACGGUAAAAAGACAUAUUUAAAAAGACAAAAUAGUAAUUUCAUGAAAAUAACGAUUGUUCCAUUUGACAUAAUAACUUACAAUAUUAAAAAAAUAUAUUUUUAAUAUUAGCCCUUAAGAAAGUUAAAAUUUUUUUAAAAGUAUAUAAGUAAUUGAAACAAAAUAAAAAAGAGGGGGAAAAAAAAUAAAAGGAGAGUUAGGCGCCCAAAAAUCUAAUAUAAAAUAAAUUCUGAUUUCGGAAUUAAGUAUAGAGGAGGCGGUGGAUGAGAUGGGGGUCAAUGAACAAACUUUAUAAAAUCAGUGGUUACUGUUAUGUAUAAUUAUUUUUUAAGUGCAUGUGUCACUUAACAAUUAAUAAGAAAGUGUAUGUGUCGCUUUACUAUGUCCUUGGACUUAAUCGUGGCCGAAUUUAUGGGUCUUGGUCUCUUGCCCUUGAACGAUGAAAGGUUUUAAUGUAACUGUUCUAUGAAACUUUACAACGUCACAUAAUUGACCACAUCUUGCUAAGUUCCUUUCAUUGGGAGGUCAUAGUUUAGGUUUUAAUUAGGUCCAUCAUGUGGAUAUAUAUUAUCGACUAAUUAUUUUCCUAUUGUCUUUGUGUGCUCUCUUUGUCACACGAAAAAAAAAAAAAAAAACACGAACGGUUUCUAAGUAAUUAUCAGAUUGACCUUUUAAGUAACAUCAUUUUAUAGGCAUUUAGUUUUACUGUAAUUUCGAAAGCGAAUAAAGAAAUACGAAUUAAACGUAAUAUUUGUAUUGAGUGGACCACAAAUUAUUGAGACUAUGCAUAUUAAUGCGGAAUUAUUAAUCACAACUCAGAGCUAUUUAAAAUAUUAAUGCUUAUCCUUUUAUAAGGUGCACCAAUAGCAUUGCUCUUACAUAUUAGAAAAUGUUACUUGUUUAUUUCAAAAGAAGGUGUAUUAUUUACACACCACCUUCAAAAGUCUACAAAAUCCCGUAAAUUUUUAGUAUUUAUUAAAAAAAAUUGAUAAGACAAGAGCCAACUUUUAGCCAUUGAACGAAGGAAAUGUAAGAUCUACAUAUUCUUUUGGAGUGUAUUAGUAGCAUUGCUCUUAUAAAUUUGACGCGAGAAAAGUGCACGCACCAUAUUGCGUCAAAAAGCUUUACCACAAAAAUAGUUGGCCGAUAAUAUCUAAUUAGAUGCUUACUGGCACUUUAAGAAAAUUAACAUUUAAAAUUUUUUUAAUAUAUAUUUAAUGAUUCUUGAAAGCAUCCUAAUAUGGUAUAGCGUCACAUUUGAAAGCGUCGGCAAAUAAAGAGUCAUUAUGUAUAUACCAACGCUUAUGCAAAGCCUCGAUAAAACAUAUUCUCAUGUUUUAAAGCGUCAAAAUUUUUUAGGAUUUUUUUUUUGAAAUUUUGAUAUUUUAAAGUAUUGAAAAAUUAAAAAUAAUAGUAAAGUUUAUCAUUUAAUAAAUUAGUUUGGAUGACGCUUUUUGAAGCGUCGGUAUUUACUGUAUUCUAAUGGUGCUUGGGGACACUUCCUUCGAGCAUCGUCUAAAAAAUAUCUUUAUAUUAAAAUUUUCUUGUAGUGUAAACUGCAUGAUCUGAAUCUAACCAUGAUGUCCGGGGCUCGAAGAUGCCAGUGAUAAACGGGAAAGCGAGAGUUCGAACCUCCGAAGUAAUGAACUGAUACUCCGAAUAUCCAUCAUUAAACUAGCUAAUUAAUAAUUUUUUUUUUUUUUUGAGAGAUAGGUAGCACACUAUCCGUUUUGUUUAUUUCAUUUAGAAAUAAACUUAGCUGAAAAUGUGAAUCAACUAGGAUUCGAACUCGGGUCUUGAAUACCAACCACCAAGUCCUUUGCCACUUGCUCUAGAAACGGUUGGUGCUAAUUAAUAAUUGUUAACACAAACGUGUUGACACUUCCUUAAUUAUUUUCUAAAAUUAAACACAACAAAUUAUUUAGCUACAAAUUAGAGGAGACACUUCCUUUUCUUUUGAAAAUAGGAGUUCCAUUGCCCUUUACAUCUCAACCGCGGUUUCCUCCUCCUUUGCUGGGACUUGAACUCAAGGUUUCAAUUAAACCCCGCCUCGUGCUUUAUCAAGGUGAUCCCAAUGGUUUAUUGGUAUGUCAUUUAAUUCUUAUCCUACUCAAUUAAUCGGAUGGGUAUCUUAAAAGAUCAUUUUAAAUUUCAAUCAGAUCAAAAUAAUUCUAGUUUUUAUGUCCGAUGUGAUUUGUAUGCUCAAAAUAUACACGUGAUACGCUUUGGAUCCGGAUCCGAUCAGAUGGAUAUAAAUGCAGGUUCAGUCAUUGGAUUCAGAAACAAAAUGAAUGUGGUUCCAAAAAUUCUAGAUUAAACUAUACCAUUAUAGUUAUAAUUUCAAAAGGUAAAUUGCAUAACGUGUCCUCAAUUAUUAUAUAAUAAGAAUAAUUGUGUGGUUAAAUGAAUUUAGUGUACUCUAUAUCUAACUAUUUAGGUAUAAUCUUUGACUACACGCUAGCUAGUCUCACUGUUCAUGAUGUAAUGUAAUCUAAUUUGACAAAAUGAAACAAUCGAAAAACAGUUAAUCGAUAAUCUUCUAUUACUGUUAAGGAAUGAUUGUUGUACUCUUCCACUUAGACGCGUCCAUUUCGUCGUUGGAUUUAACAAAAUACAAAAUUUUUACAGUACAAUAAAAGCUAUAAUAAAUAUAAAUAUAAAAAAUAAAGAUUAAUUAUAACAAUUGCAAUUUGAGAAAUUAAAAUGAAAUGUGGUGUAAUUUAAGAAGCAAUAUUAACAAAUUCAACUGUCUUCAUAUUAAAUUCAUCAAAUCUGACCGGAUUCAACUCAUAAAUAAGAAAAAUUAGUUCAAUCAAUCUAUGCAAAAUUUUAAAAAUAAAUUUAUAUGAAAUUCAUAACGAAUUAUGUUUAAAGAGAAAUGAUUGGUAAAUCCCGCGCGCGCUUCAUCCAUCAAGGAGUUUAUACAAUCUUUUUGUAUUUUUAGUAUUAAAACACCAGAAUGUAAAAAGAUUAAUGCUAUGAAACAAGAUCCUUAGACUAUUAGAGAUGAUAUUUUUUAAUGUCUACAAUUCAUCAUAUUUUCUCGCAUUCAGAUUUUUCAUAUUUGGACAUAAAAACUUUUGUGAUGUGCUCAAAACCUCCAUACUCUAACAUUGCGUUUGGUUCGGAUAUAAAUAAGAACUGUUUAUUAUAGGGAUAGAUACAAGUUAAGGAAUAAGCUGGAACUAGACUAAUUUUUACAUUUGGAUGAAAAUUAAGUUAUUCCAAGAAAUAAGAUAAAAGAUGUUUGGAUUGUUAGAUUAGAACAAGAGGAAUAAGAGUUAUAAUUUGAAAUUAAAAUCAUAUUAUCUAAUUAAUUAACAUCAAAAUAUUACUUAAAAUAAAUAAUAAAUAAAUUAUAUUAUUAAUUAUUAAUAAUUAAUUAUAAAUAAUAAAAUAAUAAUAUAGAUUAUCUAAUUAUCAGUAAUAAUUAUUAAUAAUUAUUAAUUAAUAAUAAUAUCGAUUAUCUAAUUAUUAAUUAUUAUUAUUGUUAUUAAUUAUUAAAAAUUAAUUAUAAAUAAUAAAUUAAUAAUAAUAUUGAUUAUCUAAUUAUUAAGUAUAAUUAUUAUUAAUAAUAAUUAAUAAUUAAUUAUAAAUAAUAAAUUAAUUAUUUAUUUUAUUAUUUAAGCAAUAAAUUAUAAUUUAAAUAUAUUUAUUAGAUUAAUUAAUGAUUUACUGUCAUUAAAAUUAAAUUUAGAUUUUAAUUAAGCUUGUUUUCACCCGAGAACAAGCUUGUUCUAGAAAAAAUAUGGAACAACAGUUACAUCAGCCUCAUACGAGUUUAUUCCAAAAAUUCAAAAAUUACUGUUCUCGAAAACCAAACACGACGUUUGGAAAUAAAGGGAGAACAAGGAUUUAUUCCCUCCCUUAUUUCCGAACCAAACGCAACCUAAAAUAUCAUAUCAAUAAUUCGAAGUACACGUUUAUUUUUUAAAAAAGAAUUAAAAAUUUGUGGAAAUAAUAUUUAAAUAUUGAAUAUUGAACAAAUAUUUAUUUAACAGUAAAAGGAGUAAAAUAGAAAUUGGGAGAGGGGGCUGUACUGUGUACAGCUGUGUCGCGUAGCUCCUGGAGGCUUGCGGCUCCUCUAGAUUCCCGCCCUCGUCAGCCCGCACGGCUCUGACGUGGCAGGAGAUCCAGCCCGGGGGACACGGUGGGCCCCGCAGCGGUCGGCCGAUUCCUGCCGGCUCCAGCGGUAAUCCCGACGCCGCAAAAGACAAACCAACCCCUCCUUUCAGUUCACAAGGAUCCAAAACGAAUAAUAAAUAACAAAAAGAUCCCCCGAGGGUGUAACAUUAUUAUUAGGGAAAACUUCAUAUAUCCCCCUAUGAUUCCGCACUUUUUCACUUUAGUACCCCGUGGUUUAAAGUAUAUCAAGUUAAUAGACUGUGGUUUCAUUUUUAUCUUUUUGCCAGCUUCUUAGUUGAACUUCGUUAAAUUAUAUAAACAAAUUUUUUACUCCACCUAAAUUUAUCGAAUUUUCAUUUUAGUACCCUUUGGUUCUAACUUUGUCACCGAUUCAACAAAAAAAUUAGUAAAAAUAAUAAUAACAAAAUAUAAAUAAAAUCACAGAACACUAAAUUGAUACACGUUAAACCACGGGUACUAAAGUAAGAAAGUGUGAAACUACAAGAUGGUAUAUGAAGUUUUUCCUUAUUAUUUGUACUCUAAUAAAAUUUCAGAAAAAAAAAAGUGAAAAUUUACGAAGGCCCCCUCAACUAUAUACAAUCUUACAUGUGACCCUUCAAUUUUUAUUUAUUUAUUUAUUUAUUUGAUUGAAAUUUUCUCCAAUUUUAAUUUUUUAUUUAUCAAAUUCAGAGGCUAUUAUAAGCCAUUAAUUAUUAUUCGGUUACUAGAAGAAGUUGUAUUAUCGAAAAAUAGAAUUCGAGGGGUCUCCAUACAUUUUUACUUAAAAAGAAAAAAGAAUUGUGUUGAUUAAUUUAUUUAUAGUACUACUUUGACACGCUUUAGACCUACCGAAAUUUCCGUUAAGCUUUUUGGGGGGUUUUAUUAGUAUUAAAUUAGAAGGGAAUGUGGGUGAGUAGGAAGGAGCAACAAGUCACCUAACCCAACUGUGGAUAUUUUUAUCAAUGUCCAUGUGUUCACGAAACACUAACACUAGACGUGUAGUAGUGAGUAGUAGGUUAAUGGUUUAUUAUUACAAGUGGAAAUAUUAUGUCAUGUACUAUACUGUUCUUAGCCGCACACGUGAAUGCACCAUGGGACCUACAUGAAAUUAACAAAAAAGGACUCUAUUUUGACCACUGAGCCAUCCAUUUAGGCCAAUCUUAGAUAGAUAGAGAGGGAGAGGAGUAUUGCUACGAGAUUUUCAUAAUAUUAUUUUUAUAGAUUGUUAUAUAGAAAAUUUUUUUUUUUGAGAAAAAGGUAGCGUGCUACCCGCUUCAUUCAUUCAGAAGGUGAAUUAAGCUACAUGGGUGAGGCAUCAAGGCCUCAAAGGAGACGGAAACAAAGAAAAGACAGAUGGUGUUUACAGGUACAGAUAAUACCGCUAUGCUGUCAACAAGGCCUAUCUACCUACCUGUCUACCUACCGGUCAGAAUUUUCCACUGAGCCAUCAAGUAUUUGAUCUUAUGGGUCCCACGGAGAGGGUCCGCCUGGUCCUUUGAAAAAAUCGCUCCGUUCCUAAUCUCCCACACCGUUAUAUAGAAAAUUUUGAUUAAUUUAUUCACGUAGUUUCUUUUUUUUCUUUUUUUUUAAGAGAAAAAUAAUAUGUUAUCCGUUUCGUUUAUUUCUUGUAAAAAUAAAUUUAGCUGGAAAUGCGAAUUAACUAAGAUUCGAACUUGGGAUCUCGGAUACCAACCAUUAAUUAAAUCCUUUGCCACUCGUGCUAGGGACGAUCGGUUAUUCGCGCAGUUUCUUGUGAAUAUAAUGAACAAUGAUAGUGAUUAAUAUGUAGAACUAUGCUAAUCUUAGUUGAUGGCUCGUAAACCUACCGUUGAAAAGCGCUUAGCUGUUCCUAUCUAGUGUACGUCAAUUCGUAAACCUCAAUGAGAAUUGGGUGAAUCUUAGAAUGCAUAUGUGGACAAUUUGUUUCGAGUUUCGACGGUGUUCUGAAGGUAUAAUACUGAUCUUGGAUUAAGUUGCCACUCUCGUACCCUGGAGUUAGUACUUCUACUGCAAGGUUAAACAUUCCGUUGUGAAUAAACAAAAAAAAAAAAAAAAGAAGUUCUCAAUUAGAUAACGUCCAAAGAACACUACCAAAUAAUACACAUUCAAACAGUCGUGAAUCUUUAUCAAUAUACAUGUUACAACUGCACUUAAAACAGUAUUAUCUUCUGAAUAAAACAAUAACCAAAAUAUAUAUAUAUAUAGUAAAAAAAGAACAAUCCCUACAGCCCAUCUGGGCCACACGUGCAUGCCCAUGUUGAUGUCCGAAGCGCCAUAUAAAUAAUAAAAUCAUUGUUUUAUACUGUAAAUAAAUAACUAAUUCCUAUUUAGCUCCGUUAGCGUUUGUAAACGUUUUUCUCUUUUAAAUGUUCUUCUGCUCUAUAUAUAUAGGAUUAAACUUUUUUCAGGGGCAAUAAUAAAUAAUCAUACAACGUACCAUUUUAUGUUUAACGUACCGCUCGAUCGAUCGAUCAGAUUAAUCCGGGGGUCAAUUAAAGAAUCUUCUUCUCUAGUAGAUAUUUACAACAUAUAUACCAUUCGAAUGGUUAGAAGAAUAAUCACGUAUUUUGGAAGGAUUUGUUGUGUGAUGGAUGAAUUUAGGUUUGUCUCAAUACGAUUCGAUCGAUCGUAUUCGGAUGGUACUAUUGGGUCAAGUAUUACCAACCAUCCUUGCACAUGAUGAUGGGGACGUGAGCGAUCAGCAUGUGGGCAUCAAGCUUCAUCAUCACGAGGCAACGUUGUGGGCUCCGUGUGCAUGAUUGAGGGAGGUACUAAGGAUUACUAUAGAUAGUGAGCAGCACAAGUGAUAGUCCCCCCUCAUCCUCUCUGCUUCGCUGAGCGAGUCAAAUGGAGUCGUCGAAGAUGGAAGAAGCGUAGAGACAAAACUGAGGGGGUUCACGAGCAUUCUUACACACUCUCAGCCUCUGCUACACUACAAUAGAAAGAUUCCCACUUUUAUAUUUAUAUAUAUUUAUACAUAUAUAUGUACAGUGUGUGUGUGUGUCUGUGUGUGUGUGAGCGAGAGAGAGAGAGAGAGAGAGAGAGAGAGAGAGAGAGAGAGAGAGAGAGGCUGUUUGAAUAAUACGCGAGCUGUUCUUUAAUUUGUCCCAGGAGCAUGUACCAGGGAGCUGGACCUGACACGGUGGCAUGUACCUGCAUACCAAAUCGCACACUUAAAUCAUUCACCAACACGACGUUUCAACUAACAACUUUUCCUUGCAACUUUUUGUAUUCCCCUACGCGCAGCAUCAUUUAAUUGCUACGCUUUUCUAUGCCUAGGAUGUACGUACGCCCGUACGAGUAAAUACGCAUAUCAUGUUUAUUUAUGCUUUUAUAGAGUUGAACUAGAAUACUCUCAAAAAUAUCAAGAGAAUGGUACUUUUGAAUUUUUAACCGUUGGAUGAAGAGAUGUAGGGUUGAAACGAUGGUGGUAGAUCGUGGUAAGUAGAAUAGUGUUUGAUUCAAAAGAUAUUAGUAAUUAAGGAGUAGAUUUAAAGACUAGAAACCUAGAAGUACCAAGGGCUUGGUGCUUCUAAAUAUAUUCUAACUCAAUUUUGCUUUUAUAUAUAUAUAUAUAUAUAUAUAUAUAUAUAUAUAUAUAUAUAUAUAUAUAUAUAUAUAUAUAGUGAGGCUACUCUGCUAUCGGAAGCACGGAGCCUUCCGUGCUUCCAGCUCGUUUUCGAUGUUGCGACUUUCGAAUCGUCGAUCGGCUCCGUUAAACUUGAUCUAGAGUAUUUGGAGUACCUAGAAAAUAAAUUUUAUUAUUUUUCGAUAUCAUUUGCCUAGUGAUCGAAUGGGCUCAAAAUCAACAAAUUUCAAUGGCCGUAGUGAGCCGUUUGCAAGUUUAAUGGUGUAGAAAUAUCCAAAUCACGUAAAAUUUUGAUAGAAAAUUCUUUAUACUAUAUAAAACAAGAUCAAUGUCUUUGAUUUAAAUUUUUAAUGUCAUAUUAUUACAUUUUGUAAGAUGUUUAUUUUCAGCCGUUGAUUUUGAGCCCCUUCGUUCACUAGGCAAAUGAUAUCGUAAAAUCAUAAAAUUUAUUUUCUAGGUACUUCAAAUACUCUAGAUCAAGUUUAAUGGAGCCGAUCGACGAUUCGAAAAUCGCAACAUCGAAAACGAGCUGGAAGCACGAAAGGUUCCUUGCUUCCGAUAGCAUAGUAGCCUCACUAUAUAUAUAUAUAUAUAUACAUACACAAGUUGAGCCGAAAUGCUAUCAAUAAUUAAUAGAUUUCAUUGUCAUUCAUUUGUUUUCGAUAACGGAACCUCCUAAUCGACGAUUGGCACCGUUAAACAUGAUUUAUACAACUUGAAGCAUCUAGAUAUCAAAUUCUAUACUUUUUCAAUAUUGUUCUCUUCUUCAUCAAGUGGACACAAAAUGAACAAUAAAUAUUCUUUAAAAAAUGAUAAUAAAAAUUUUUAAAUAGUUUAUAUUUUGUUUUAAAUAGUUUAAAAAAUUUUCUAACCAAAAUUUAAUUGAUUUGAAUAUCUUUAUAUUGUUAAACGAGAAAACGCCUCAUAUCAACCAUUAAAAUUAUAAAUUUUGAAACCCUUUGAGCAUUAAGUCAAUAAUAUCGAAAAGAUUUGAAAUUUAAUUUGUAAAUAUUUCAAGUGGUAUAGAACAUAUUCAACGGUGUCGAUCGUCGAUUUGGAGGCUCCUCAUCGAAAAUAAAUGUAUGACAACGGAGCCCGUUUGCUACCGAUAGUAUUCUAGCUCAACUCUAUAUAUAUAUACGAAUUUGGCUGGAAUACUAUUAAUUAAUAUCACCAAGUCAUUGGUGCUAUUAAGUUUUCGACCCUUAGAUAAAAAAAUGUAUGGUUAGAGUGAUAGUGAUCCUCUAGUGUUAAGUGGGUGGUUGGUUAAAUAGUAUGAUCUAACGGUUAUAACUAAUGAAAAGAAUAAAUCUAACGGGAGAAAAUUCGGUAGCAUCAAACAUUUGGUGCAAUUGAUAAUAUCCUAGCCGGACUCUAUAUAUAACCAUACUCUUAUGAGUAUGAUCGUAUUCGUACUUAUAAGUCGUUUUUUAUGAUAAAGCUUUCGAAUCGACGAUCCAUACCGUUAAACAUUAUUUAGAACAUUUAAAAUAUCAAGAAAUCAAAUUUUAUAAUUUUUUGACAUUAUUUACUUUACAAUCAAAAGAUCUCAAAAUUAAUAAUUUUUAACAGUCGGUAUGAAAUACUUGCUACUUUCAUGCCGUAAAAGAACCGAAAUCGUUUGAAUAUUUAAUAAAAAAUUUUAUUCACUAACUAGAUAAAGAUCAAUAACUCCGAUCUUAAAUUAAAGGAUCCAAUUAUUUAUUUUUAGGACGUCAUUCGAUUUUGACUAUUUAUUUUAUGCUCACUUGAUGAACUUUAUUAUAAUUUUAAAAAUUUAUUUUUUAGAAGUUUCAAAUACUCUAUAUCAUAUUUAACGGAGCAGAUCGACGAUUCGGAAGCUCUAUUAUCGAAAACAGCUUAUGAGCAUGAAGAACUAUAUUCAUAAGAGUAUAGUAGUCCUACUUUCUCUAGAGAGAGAGAGAGAGAGAGAGUUUGGCUAUUAUAUUAUUAAUAGCACCAAACGUUUGAUAUUAUCGAAUUUUUCGCCAUUAGAUUUAUCCCUUUUGACUAUUUUUAUCGGUUGGAUCAUACUAUUUAACCAAUCACUCACUCAACUCUAGAAAACUUCUAUCAUCCUAACCGCACACCUCUUCAUCCAAGAGCUAAAAAUUUAAUAGUAUUAAUAACUUUGUAUUAGUAAUAAUAUAGUAGUCUAACUCUAUAUAUAUAUAUAUAUAUAUAUAGAGAGAGAGAGAGAGAGAGAGAGAGAGAGAGAGAGAGAGAGAGAGAGAGAGAGAGAGAUCC